AGCAACAAACAUUUCCACCACAACAACCAUAUCCGCAGCCGCAACCAUUUCCAGGACAACAACCAUAUCCGCAGCCGCAACUAUUUCCACAGCCGCAACCUUUUCCGCCACAACUUCCAUAUCCGCAGCCGCAACCAUUUCCCCCACAACAACCAUAUCCACAACCGCAAACACAUCAUCUGCAACCACAACAACCAAUUUCGCAGCAACAAGUACAACAACAACAACAACAACAACAACAACAACAACAACAACAACAACAACAACAACAACAACAACAACAACUACUACUACAACAACAAAUCCUUCAACAAAUUCUGCAACAACAACAACUGAUUCCAUGCAGGGAUGUCAUCGUCUUGCAACAACACAACAUAGCGCAUGAAAGCUCACAAGUAUUGCAGCAAAGUAGUUACCAAGUGUUGCAACAAUUAUGUUGUCAGCAGCUGCGGCUGAUCCCCGAGCAGUCGCGGUGCCAAGCCAUCCACAAUGUCGUUCAUGCUAUUAUUCUACAUCAACAACAACAACAACAACAACAACAACAACAACAAGGACAACAUCAACCGUCGAGCCAGGUCUCCUACCAGCAGCCUCAGCAACAAUAUCCAUCAGGCCAGGGCUCCUUCCAGCCAUCUCAGCAAAAUCCACAGGCCCAGGGCUUUGUCCAACCUCAACAUCUGCCCCAACUCGAGGAAAUAAGUAACCUAGCGCUGCAGACGCUACCAGCAAUGUGCAAUGUCUACAUCCCUCCAUAUUGCUCGACCACCAUUGCGCCAUUUGGCAUCUUCGGUACUAACUGAGAAGAGAAGAACUCUAGUACUAGAUAUAUGAAACACCGUGUUCUUAGUCCAUGGUUUGGUCGUUGUACCGUUGAAAAUAUAAGGUGACAUGCACUAUCAUGUAAGAACCCGAACUAUACUAGUUCAAACAUGGGAAUAAAAGACAAACACAUGUCUUGUCUGCAUAUGAUUGUUUAUUUGAGUUCCAUUCCUAUGCCCAUUCACAAGUUCACCCGUAAUUAUAUAUAUUACACAUUAAGUAGAUAUUUAUGUUGCAUUAAUAUGAAGAUAACAAAAUGAGUCUGAAACUUGAAUUAAAUUGAAGUAUUUUCUUGGACUUUCAAAUUGUGUAUUAUUAAAGUAGUAAGGAUUAUCCACAUCCUUGGCUUGCCCUUCAUCAAUUAUUCCCAGAGAAGCUUUCAGUUCAUAAAUCAAUUACAUUGAUUUUUGUGAAUGGUACAUCUCCUCAUCACGAGUAUCAUUACGGCUACUCCAAAUCGCUCACAUAACCGAAGCAUUAAUAGCGCCCUUCUUGCAUCCGGAAAUAUGGAUCGAAGAUAUCACUUGACCAUGUUUCCAGGUGCAACCUUGGGAUUUUUAUGUCAAAAUAUUCUCAAGCAAAAUCCAAGAAUAAACUUGCAUGCUCACGUGUGAUGAGGGCAGAUGAAGUAACAUUUCCUCCCCAUGGCCACACAUAGGGCACACACAUAACCCCAUCACAUGCCUUUUUAGUUAUGCAUAUGAAAGGUAGGAUGUUUUUAAUUACUCUCUACCAAAAUACUCUUAACUUGGCUUGUACCCUAAUAUUUCGUUGCCUUUUCAAUUGUUCUUCCCCAUUAGACAAAGUAGACAGUCCAUCUACCACACCGUACCUUGUGUCCAUCAUUGCUCUGUACAACAAUUGAACAGAACAAAUGUCAUUUCUUUACGAUACCCACGACCAAAUGUCCUUUGCUGGAUUGUUUGGUCGUGGCAUAUUAAGGAUGGCCACCUCAUCUCAUGGGGUAAACACCUAAUGAAUGAAAGGAUUGUUCUAGUCGCCCGUGUUUUUCAUCGAUAAGAUCAUCUACAAGUUGGACCGAAGUUUCUCACAUGCAUCAUAGUGGUUUCAUUAGCGGCGUGCCCUGCACCCAUUUAUCACGUCGUAUCUCUGUAGUAUGUGCAUUCCCAAUUUGUCACAGCAUACCCUCCUUCAAACCUUCUUUCCCUUUCAGAUUAGCACGCCAAGUUAGCUAUGCACUAUGCGGGAACCAGCAUUUGAAAAAAAAGAAUCUCAUUUCAUGGUAUCUUCCAUGAAGGACCCUCGUACAUUAGCUAUCUAGGUAGAAAUAGCCAUGUAUGUUUGGCAAACUUUGCAUAAGUGAAUAGAUCAAGGUCGUGGAACCCCAAGCCUCCAAUUACACACGGCCUCUCUACCAAUAAGAUCUCCAAAGACAUCAAGGAUACAGACAGCCAAAAAAGAAAAUAAAAAGAAAAAAAAUAAAAAAUACCCUGCCAUGGUGAUCAAUCACAAGCAUCAGCAGCACUCUAACCACCACCAAAGACAAUGCCCAGAUUACAAAAAAAAAUUAUCCAAAAACAAUGCCCCCAAGAAGGAAACAAUACACAAGCGUUGUCGUUGCCCGAUCGAAGAUCGUGGGUUUUCACCCUGGAAAAUUUUUGAGUUCACCCAAAAACAAUGCCUUCAACAAGGCCAUUGCCAAGUACAACAAAUAUGGUCGAGACCUUGGGUUUUCACCCUAGGAAUUGAGACUCGAUGCUCGAGGAGUACCAGCAAAAAUGCAGUCCACUAGUGUUGCCGCCCCCACUUGGCAAGGCCACUGUUGCAAGUCACCAAACACCUGGCAUAUAGUUGUCAUCGCAUCCAAUACACCCUUCGGCCGAAGCUUCAAGACCUUGAUCCGUCUCCAGCGUAUCUAUAAUUUUUGAUUGUUCCAUGCUAUUAUAUUAUCUGUUUUGGAUGUUUUAUAUGAUUAUUAUGGUAUUUUAUAUGAUUUUUGGGACUAACCUAUUAAACUAGAGCCCAGUGUCAGUUCCUGUUUUUUCCUUGUUUUAGAGUUUCGUAGAAAAGGAGUACCAAACGGAGUCCAAACGGAAUUAAACUUUUGCGAUGAUUUUUCUUAGACCAGAAGACAUCUAGAGGACUUGGAGUGCAUGUUAGGAAAGCCACGAGGCUGCCACAACGACAGAGGUGCGCCCCCACCCUUGUGGGCCCCUCGUGACUCUACCGACAUAUUUCUUCCGCCUAUAUAUUCUCAAAUAUUCCAAAACAUACUAGGAGAGCCACAAAAACACUUUUCCACCGCCGCAACCUUCUGUACCCGUGAGAUCCAAUGUAGGGGCCUUUCCCGGCAUCCUGUCGGCGGGGGAUUCGAUCACUUAGGGCUUCUACAUCAACACCAUUGCCUCUCCGAUGAAGCGUGAGUAGUUUACCACAGACCUAUGGGUCCAUAGCUAGUAUCUAGAUGGCUUCUUCUCUCUCUUUGAUUCUCAAUACCAUGUUCUCCUCGAUGUUCUUGGAGAUCUAUUCGAUGUAAUACUCUUUUUGCGGUGUGUUUGCCAAGAUCCAAUGAAUUGUGGAUUUAUGAUCAGGUUAUCUAUGAGUAUUAUUUGAAUCUCCUAUGAAUUCUUAUAUGCAUGAUUUGAUAUCUUUGCAAGUCUCUUCGAACUAUCGAUUUGGUUUGGCCAACUAGAUUGGUUUUUCUUGCAAUGGGAGAAGUGCUUAACUUUGGGUUCAAUCUUGCGGUGCUCGAUCCCAGUGACAGAAGGGGAUGAUACGUCCCCAACGUAUCUAUAAUUUUUGAUUGUUCCAUGCUAUUAUAUUAUCAACCUUGGAUGUUUUAUAUGCAUUUAUAUGCUAUUUUAUAUGAUUUUUGGGACUAACCUAUUAACCCAGAGCCCAGUGCUAGUGCCAGUUUCUGUUUUUUCCUUGUUUUAGGGUUUCGAAGAAAAGGAAUAUCAAAUGGAGUCCAAACGGAAUGAAACCUUCAGAAAAUUUAUUUUUGGAAAGAAAGUAAUACGGGAGACUUGGAGUGCACGUCCGGGGAUCAACGAGGAAGCCACGAGGCAGGGGGCGCGCCCACCCCUCUUGGGCGCGCCCUCCACCCUCGUGGGCCCCUCGUGGCUCCCCAAAUGUAUUUCUUCCGCCUAUAUAUAUCCAUAUACCCCAAAACGACCGGGGAGCACAAUAGAUCGGGAGUUUCUCCGCCAGAAGCCUCCGUAGCCACCGAAAGCUAAUCUAGACCCGUUCCGGCACCCUGCCGGAGGGGGAAUCCCUCUCCGGUGGCCAUCUUCAUCAUCCCGGUGCUCUCGAUGACGAGGAGGGAGUAGUUCUCCCUCGGGGCUAAGGGUAUGUACCAGUAGCUAUGUGUUUGAUCUCUCUCUCUCUCUCUCUCUCUCUCUCUCGUGUUCUUGAGGUGAUACGAUCUUGAUGUAUCGCGAGCUUUGCUAUUAGAGUUGGAUCUUAUGUUGCUUCUCCCCCUCUACUCUCUUGUAAUGGAUUGAGUUUCCCCUUCGAAGUUAUCUUAUCGGAUUGAGUCUUUAAAAAUUUGAGAACACUUGAUGUAUGUCUUGCCGCGUGUAUCUGUGGUGACAAUGGGAUAUCACGUGAUUCACUUGAUGUAUGUUUUCGUGAUCAACUUGCGGGUUCCGCCCAUGAACCUAUGCAUAGGGGUUGGCACACGUUUUCGUCGUGAUUCUUUGGUAGAAACUUUGGUGCACUCUUUGAGGUUCUAUGUGUUGGUUGAAUAGAUGAACUUGAGAUUGUGUGAUCCAUAUCAUAUAAUCAUACCCACGGAUACUUCAGGUGACAAUGGAGUAUCUAGGUGACAUUAGGGUUUUGGUUGAUUUGUGUCUUAAGGUGUUAUUCUAGUACGAACUCUAGGGCUGUUUGUGACACUUAUAGGAAUAGCCCAACGGAUUGAUUGGAAAGAAUAACUUUGAGGUGGUUUCGUACCCUACCAUAAUCUCUUCGUUCGUUCUCUGCUAUUAGUGACUUUGGAGUGACUCUUUGUUGCAUGUUGAGGGAUAAUUAUGUGAUCCAAAUAUGUUAUUAUUGUCGAGAGAACUUGCACUAGUGAAAGUAUGAACCCUAGGCCUUGUUUCGACGCAUUGCAAUACCGUUUACGCUCACUUUUAUCAUUAGUUACCUUGCUGUUUUUAUAUUUUCAAAUUACAAAAACCUUUAUCUACCAUCCAUAUACCACUUGUAUCACCAUCUCUUCACCUAUACAAUUUACCAUUGUAUUGGGUGUGUUGGGGACACAAGAGACUCUUUGUUAUUUGGUUGCAGGGUUGCUUGAGAGAGACCAUCUUCAUCCUACGCCUCCUACGGAUUGAUAAACCUUAGGUCAUCCACUUGAGGGAAAUUUGCUACUGUCCUACAAACCUCUGUACUUGGAGGCCCAACAACGUCUACAAGAAGAAGGUUGUGUAGUAGACAUCAAGCUCUUUUCUGGCGCAGUUGCCGGGAAGGUGAGUGCUUGAAGUUAUAUCUUUAGAUCUUGCAAUCGAAUCUUUUUGUUUCUUGUUUUAGCACUAGUUUAGUUUAUAAAAGAAAACUACAAAAAAACGGAAUUGAGUUUACCUCACACGCUUCAUCUUUUUAAUAUCUUUCGUGAGUAUGAUGGAAAGAAAAAUUGUGCCAAAGUGUUAGAAGAAGAAUGCAUUAAACUGUUUGGCAUUAAAUAUUUGAAUGAUGAGCAUUAUUGCAAUGUUGUUAGUAUGAAUUCCUUGAAUAUCCAUAGUACUAAUGAUGAUUGCACUAGUUAUGAUGAAAAUGUCUCAUGUAAACAUGUCAAUUUUUGUGGAGUGCAUUGGGUUUGCAAGUACACACCAAUUAGGGAAGAUAGAUUUUGCAAGAGGCAUAAGUACUUAGAAACUAAAUUGUUGCAAGAAAGGCUAGAUGAAUGUGCUGAAAAUUUAAAUUUUCUUGGCCAUACUUGUGAGCUUUGCAAUGAACAUGGUUAUUUAACCAUCCGAUGCAAAUUGUUUCAUGAUCUAAUCGUUUCCAAAAAUUGUGAUGACUUGAUUUCCCUUGCACAUCAUAAUGAACUUAGUUUGCUUAUGGGUUAUGAGGAAAUGAAAUGUAUAACUAACUAUCUUCCAGUAUUUUCCCAUGAUAAACUUCUUGGAUUUGACCUAGAGGAAAUUUAUAUGUAUUGUGCGGUGAAUUGCAUUGAAAACCCCUAUAUUGUCAAUUACAUAAAGAAAAGAAAACAAAUAGAGGAUGAACAGAAUACUAAUGAAAGGGAAGAGACCUCCCAAUAUCCUCCUAUUAUUUCUUAUGAUGAACCAGGUAACGAGGAGGAGCCUCCUAUUCAACCAAUCUCAUUAAUAAGGAGCUCCAAAAAGAGGAUUGAACCCACACACGAUGUAGUGAAGAAGAAGAAAAGAAAGAGGAAGAGAGGUAAAAAGAUAUCUCUCCCAAAUAAUGCUGCUCCUAUUACUAUUGUGCCUCAUGAAAAUAUAAUUGUGGAAAAUAAUGAUACUUCUUAUGAUCUUGAAAAUCCUUUUGUCACUUGCUUGGAAGAAUAUGAUAAUUGCUAUACUAUUGGUGCUAUCCAUACUAUUAAUGAUGAGAGUGAUUAUGCUUAUGAUAUGAAAAGGCCCAAGCUUUGGGAUGCUAUGUUUGAUGAAGAUGAUGUUUUUGAGAAUAUAUUUGCUACAAUUAAUGUUUGUCCCAAGCUUGGGGAUGCUAUGUUUAAUCAAGAUGAUAUUUUUAGUCUCCCAAGUUUUGAUAUGCAAAUUUAUAAUGAUGAUAGCAUGCCUCCUACUUAUGAUGAUUAUUGUGAUGAUACUUAUGCUAUAAAAAGUAAUGAUUAUAUUUAUAAAACUUGUCAUGAUUAUGGUUACCCCUUUUCUGAACAUUACUCUUUUAAUGUGGAAACAAUUUAUAGUAUUCGAGUUUCUUAUGAUACUCCCACUAUUCCGAAUGAGAAGAAUUUUGCUUGUGUAGAGAGUAAUAAAAUUUCUAUGCUUGUAGAUCAUGAAAAGAAUGCUUUAGGUGCUGGUUAUAUUUUUGAAUUCAUUCAUGAUGCUACUGAAAAUUAUUAUGAGGGAGGAACAUAUGCUUGUAGGAAUUGCAAUAAUAUCAAGUUUCCUCUCUAUGUGCUUAAAGUUUUGAAGUUAUGCUUGUUUUGCCCUCCUAUGCUAGUUGAUUAUUGUUCCCAUAAGUUGUUUGCUCACAAAAUUCCUACACAUAGGAAGUGGGUUAGACUUACAUGUUCUAGUCAUAUGCUUCAUGAUGCUCUCUUUAUGUUUCAAUUCUUAUCUUUUAUGUGAGCAUCAUUGAAAUCGUCAUGCCUAGCUAGGGGCGUUAAACGAUAGCGCUUGUUGAGAGGAAACCCAACUUUAUUUUUGUUCCUUGAUUUUUGCUCCUGUCUAGCAAUAAAUAAUUUAUCUAGCAUCUGUUAUGAUUGAGUUUUUAUGUUAGAACCGUUGGGAAGACUUGGGGAAAGUCUUGGCGAUCAUGCUGUAAAAAAACAGAAACUUUAGCGCUCACGAGAAUUGCUGACAUUUUUUAUUGGAGAGUGCUAUUUGGUUAAUUAUUUUUGCAGAUGAUUAAUAGAUAAAUUCCUCACGUCCAGCAAUUUAUUUUAGAAUUUUUGAGGCUCCAGAAGUUUGCGUUAGUUACAGAUUACUACAGACUGUUCUGUUUUUGACAGAUUCUGUUUUUCGUGUGUUGUUUGCUUAUUUUGAUGAAUCUAUGGCUAGUAAAAUAGUUUAUAAACCAUAGAGAAGUUUUAAUACAGUAGGUUUAACACCAAUAUAAAUAAAUAAUGAGUUCAUUACAGUACCUUUAAGUGGUGUUUUAUUUUCUUUCGCUAACGGAGCUCACGAGUUUUCCAUUUUAAGUUUUGUGUUGUGAAGUUUUCAAGUUUUGGGUAAAGAUUUGAUGGAUUAUGGAAUAAGGAGUGGCAAGAGAAUAAGCUUGGGGAUGCCGAAGGCACCCCAAGGUAAUAUUCAAGGACAACCAAAAGCCUAAGCUUGGGGAUGCCCCGGAAGGCAUCCCCUCUUUCGUCUUCGUUCAUCGGUAACUUUACUUGGAGCUAUAUUUUUAUUCACCACAUGUUACGUGUUUUGCUUGGAGCGUCAUUUUAUUUCAUUUUUUUGCUUGCUGUUUGAAUAAAGUAUCAAGAUAUGAAAUUAUUAAGUGGGAGAGUCUUCACAUAGUUGCAUAAGUAUUCGACUACUCAUUGAUCUUCACUUACAUCUUUCAGAGUAGUUUGUCAUUUUCUCUAGUGCUUCACUUAUAUCUUUUGAGAGCACGGUGGUGGUUUUAUUUUGUAGAAAUAGAUGAACUCUCGUGCUUCACUAAUAUUAUUUUGAGAGUCCUCAGAACAGCAUGGUAAUUUGCUUUGGUUAUGAAUUUAGUCCUAAUAAGAUGGGCAUCCAAGAGGGAUAUAAUAAAAACUUUCAUAUAAGUGCAUUGAAUACUAAGAGAAGUUUGAUACUUGAUGAUUGUUUUGAGAUAUGGAGAUAGUGAUAUUAAAGUUGUGCUAUUUGACACUACUAGGAAAAGGCCUACUAAUGGCGCACCAGUUUUGCCUACUAAUGGCGCAUCACUGGUGCGCCAUUACUAGCACGCCAUUAGUAAUUUUUAGUAAUGGCGCACCACUGGUGCGCCAUUAGUAUCGGCCACGGUGCGCCAUUCGUAUAGGCCACUGGUGCGCCAUUAGUAUAGGCCACGGUGCGCCAUUAGUAUUUUUGGAUUUUGAAGGCGGGAAAAUAGUAGUGGCGCACCGUCUAACCCCCACCGUGCGCCAUUACUAUUUUUGAAUUUUGAAUUUGGAUCUGGAUCGUGAUUUUUUUGCCCAUUUUUUGCUCGUUUUUUUGCUCGUUUUUUGGCACAAUAUUAUUUCAAAUUUUGUUCUUGUUUUUGGAUCUUGUACGUUCUUUUGCCGUGUUCUUUUGCCGGAGAGGAGUUCGCCGGAGAGGAGGAGGAGGAGGUCACCGGAGAGGCGCUCGCCUACAUCGCCGGAGAGGAGGAGGAGGUCGCCGGAGAGGAGUUCACCGAAGCAUCGGAGAGGAGGAAGGAGAAACCAUGAGGGAAUGGGAGGAGAGGAGGGAGGAGAAACCAUGAGGGGAGGGGAGGAGAGGAGGGAGNNNNNNNNNNNNNNNNNNNNNNNNNNNNNNNNNNNNNNNNNNNNNNNNNNNNNNNNNNNNNNNNNNNNNNNNNNNNNNNNNNNNNNNNNNNNNNNNNNNNNNNNNNNNNNNNNNNNNNNNNNNNNNNNNNNNNNNNNNNNNNNNNNNNNNNNNNNNNNNNNNNNNNNNNNNNNNNNNNNNNNNNNNNNNNNNNNNNNNNNNNNNNNNNNNNNNNNNNNNNNNNNNNNNNNNNNNNNNNNNNNNNNNNNNNNNNNNNNNNNNNNNNGGAGAGGAGAAGGAGGUCGCCGGAGAGGAGGAGAUGGAGUGGAGGAGAGGAGGAGAUGGAGUGGAGGAGAGGAGAGGAGGAGAUGGAAUGGAGGAGAGGUGGAGUGGAGGAGGUGCGCCCAGCCAUGUAUACGACAUAGUAAUGGCGCACCGUGGGCAGGUGCGCCAUUACUAACUUUUUUUAUUUUUUGAUUUAUUUUGAAUUUUGAAGGCGGGAAGAUACUAAUGGCGCACCGUGGGCAGGUGCGCCAUUAGUAACUUUUUUUUUAUUUUUGACUAAUUUUGAAUUUUGAAGGCGGGAAGAUACUAAUGGCGCACCGUGGGCAGGUGCGCCAUUAGUAACUUUUUUUGACUAAUUUUGAAUUUUGAAGGUGGGAAGAUACUAAUGGCGCACCACGGGGUGGUGCGCCAUUAGUAACUUUUUUUUAUUUUGUUGACUUAUUUUGAAUUUUGAAGGCGGGAAGAUACUAAUGGCGCACCAUGGGCAGGUGCGCCAUUAGUAAGUUUGAAUUAUUUUUAAUUUUUUUGCCUCUCCAGAUCUUAAAAGCCCCAUAUAUUUUUUUCUGUUAGGUUUUUGAGGAUUUUAAAAAUGUUUAACGGAUUCCCCGGUUAAAUUUGGAUGUAACUUUUCGAGUAGAUGAUUUUUCAUAUAAAAAACUUUUUCAUCCGAGUUAGUAUGCAAAAGUUAUGCCCAUUUUUACAAAUUNNNNNNNNNNNNNNNNNNNNNNNNNNNNNNNNNNNNNNNNNNNNNNNNNNNNNNNNNNNNNNNNNNNNNNNNNNNNNNNNNNNNNNNNNNNNNNNNNNNNNNNNNNNNNNNNNNNNNNNNNNNNNNNNNNNNNNNNNNNNNNNNNNNNNNNNNNNNNNNNNNNNNNNNNNNNNNNNNNNNNNNNNNNNNNNNNNNNNNNNNNNNNNNNNNNNNNNNNNNNNNNNNNNNNNNNNNNNNNNNNNNNNNNNNNNNNNNNNNNNNNNNNNNNNNNNNNNNNNNNNNNNNNNNNNNNNNNNNNNNNNNNNNNNNNNNNNNNNNNNNNNNNNNNNNNNNNNNNNNNNNNNNNNNNNNNNNNNNNNNNNNNNNNNNNNNNNNNNNNNNNNNNNNNNNNNNNNNNNNNNNNNNNNNNNNNNNNNNNNNNNNNNNNNNNNNNNNNNNNNNNNNNNNNNNNNNNNNNNNNNNNNNNNNNNNNNNNNNNNNNNNNNNNNNNNNNNNNNNNNNNNNNNNNNNNNNNNNNNNNNNNNNNNNNNNNNNNNNNNNNNNNNNNNNNNNNNNNNNNNNNNNNNNNNNNNNNNNNNNNNNNNNNNNNNNNNNNNNNNNNNNNNNNNNNNNNNNNNNNNNNNNNNNNNNNNNNNNNNNNNNNNNNNNNNNNNNNNNNNNNNNNNNNNNNNNNNNNAAUUUUUUUACUAAUGGCGCACCGUGGAUGUGGUGCGCCAUUACUAGUUCAACUAGUAAUGGCGCACCACCCCCACGGUGCGCCAUUAGUAGUUUUGAAAAAAAUUAAAUUUUUUUACCAAUGGCGCACCGUGGAUGUGGUGCGCCAUUAGUAUUUGGACACUAAUGGCGUACCAACACAUGGUGCGCCAUUAGUAUAUAGUAAUGGCGCACCACAUGUCUGGUGCGCCAUUAGUGUCAAUUCCAUCUAUAGCCCUUUUCCUAGUAGUGUGAGUAGUUGUGAAUUUGAGAAAUACUUGUGUUGAAGUUUGCAAGUCCCGUAGCAUGCACGUAUGGUAAACGUUAUGUAACAAAUUUGAAACAUGAGGUGUUCUUUGAUUGUCCUCCUUAUGAAUGGCGGUCGGGGACGAGCGAUGGUCUUUUCCUACCAAUCUAUCCCCCUAGGAGCAUGCGUGUAGUGCUUGGUUUUUGAUGACUUGUAGAUUUUUGCAAUAAGUAUAUGAGUUCUUUAUGACUAAUAUUGAGUCCAUGGAUUAUAUGCAUUCUCACCCUUCCAUCAUUGCUAGCCUCUUCGGUACCGUGCAUUGCCCUUUCUCACAUUGAGAGUUGGUGCAAACUUCGCUGGUGCAUCCAAACCCCGUGAUAUGAUACACUCUUUCACACAUAAACCUCCUUAUAUCUUCCUCAAAACAGCCACCAUACCUACCUAUUAUGGCAUUUCCGUAGCCAUUCUGAGAUAUAUUGCCAUGCAACUUUCCACCAUUCUGUUUGUCAUGACACAUUCAUCAUUGUCAUAUUGCUUAGCAUGAUCAUGUAGUUGACAUAGUAUUUGUGGCAAAGCCACCGUUCAUAAUUAUUUCAUACAUGUCACUCUUGGUUCAUUGCAUAUCCCGGUACACCGCCGGAGGCAUUCAUAUAGAGUCAUAUCUUGUUCUAGUAUCGAGUUGUAAAUAAAUAGAAGUGUGAUGAUCAUCAUUAAUAGAGCAUUGUCCCAAAAAAAGGAAGAGAACGACCAAAUAAAAAAGGGAAGCCCCCCACCCAAAAAAGAAAAGAAAGGCCAGAUAAAAAAUAAAAAAAAUAAAAAAAAUAAAAGGGACAAUGCUACUAUCCUUUUUCCACACUUGUGCUUCAAAGUAGCACCAUGAUCUUUAUGAUAGAGAGUCUCUUGUUUUGUCACUUUCAUAUACUAGUGGGAAUUUUUUAUUAUAGAACUUGGCUUGUAUAUUCCAACAAUGGGCCUCCUCAAGUGCCCUAGGUCUUUGUGAGCAAGCAAGUUGGAUGCACACCCACUUAGUUUCUUUUGUUGAGCUUUCAUACAUUUAUGGCUCUAGUGCAUCCGUUGCAUGGCAAUCCCUAAUCCUUGCAUUGACAUCAAUUGAUGGGCAUCUCCCUAGCCCAUUGAUUAGCCGCGUCGAUGUGAGACUUUCGCCUUUUGGUCUUCUCCACAUAACCCCCUCAUUAUAUUCUAUUCCACCCAUAGUGCUAUAUCCAUGGCUCACGCUCAUGUAUUGCGUGAAAGUUGAAAAAAGUUUGAGAUUACUAAAGUAUGAAACAAUUACUUGGCUUGUCAUCGGGGUUGUGCACAAUGAGAGCAUUCUUGUGUGACGAAAAUGGAGCAUGGCCAAACUAUAUGAUUUUGUAGGGAUGAACUUUCUUUGGCCAUGUUAUUUUGAGAAGACAUGAUUGCUUAGUUAGUAUACUUGAAGUAUUAUUAUUUUUAUGUCACUAUUAAACUUUUGUCUUGAAUCUUAUGGAUCUGAAUAUUCUUGCCACAAUAAAGAGAACUACAUGGAUAAAUAUGUUAGGUGGCAUUCUACAUCAAAAAUUCUGUUUUUAUCUUUUAGCUACUCCAGGACGAGCAGGAAUUAAGCUUGGGGAUGCUGAUACGCCUCCAACGUAUCUAUAAUUUUUAUUGUUCCAUGCUAUUAUAUUAUCAACCUUGGAUGUUUUAUAUGCAUCUUUAUGCUAUUUUAUAUCAUUUUUGGGACUAACCUAUUAACCUAGAGCCCAGUGCCAGUUUCUGUUUUUUCCUUGUUCUAGGGUUUCGAAGAAAAGGAAUAUCAAAUGGAGUCCAAACGGAAUGAAACCUUCGGAAAAGUUGUUUUUGGAAAGAAAGCAAUACAGGAGACUUGGAGUGCACGUCAGCGGAUCAACGAGGAAGCCACGAGGCAGGGGGCGCGCCCACCCCCUGGGCGCGCCCUCCACCCUCGUAGGCCCCUCGUGGCUCCCCUAAUGUAUUUCUUCCGCCUGUAUGUACCAAUAUACCCUAAAACGAUCGGGGAGCACAAUAGAUUGGGAGUUCCGCCGCCAGAAGCCUCUGUAGCCACUAAAAGUGAAUCUAGACCCGUUCCGGCACCCUGCCGGAGGGUGAAUCCCUCUCCGGUGGCCAUCUUCAUCAUCCCGGUGCUCUCCAUGACGAGGAGGGAGUAGUUCUCCCUUGGGGCUGAGGGUAUGUACCAGUAGCUAUGUGUUUAAUCUCUCUCUCUCUCUCUCUCGUGUUCUUGAGGUGAUACGAUCUUGAUGUAUCGCGAGCUUUGCUAUUAUAGUUGUAUCUUAUGUUUCUUCUCCUCCUCUACUCUCUUGUAAUGGAUUGAGUUUCCCCUUCGAAGUUAUCUUAUCGGAUUGAGUCUUUAAAGAUUUGAGAACACUUGAUGUAUGUCUUGCCGCGUGUAUCUGUGGUGACAAUGGGAUAUCACGUGAUUCACUUGAUGUAUGUUUUCGUGAUCAACUUGCGGGUUCCGCCCAUGAACCUAUGCAUAGGGGUUGGCACACGUUUUCGUCGUGAUUCUUUGGUAGAAACUUUGGUGCACUCUUUGAGGUUCUAUGUGUUGGUUGAAUAGAUGAACUUGAGAUUGUGUGAUGCAUAUCGUAUAAUCAUACCCACAGAUACUUGAGGUGACAAUGGUUUGCUCACAAAAUCCCUAUGCAUAGGAAGUGGGUUAGACUUAAAUGUUCUAGUCAUAUGCUUCAUGAUGCUCUCUUUAUGUUUCAGUUCUUAUCUUUUAUGUGAGCAUCAUUGAAAUCAUCAUGCCUAGCUAGGGGCGUUAAACGAUAGCGCUUGUUGGGAGGAAACCCAACUUUAUUCUUGUUCCUUGCUUUUUGCUCCUGUUUAGCAAUAAAUAACUUAUCUAGCCUCUGUUAUGAUUGAGUUUUUAUGUUUUAAUUAGUGUUUGUGCCAAGUAGAACCGUUGGGAAGACUUGGGGAAAGUCUUUGCGAUCAUACUGUAAAAAACAGAAACUUCAGCGCUCACGAGAAUUGAUGGGCAUCUCCUUAACCCAUUGAUUAGCCGCGUCGAUGUGAGACUUUCUCCUUUUUGUCUUCUCCACAUAACCCCCUCAUUAUAUUCUAUUCCACCCAUAGUGCUAUAUCCAUGGCUCACGCUCAUGUAUUGCGUGAAAGUUGAAAAAAGUUUGAGAUUACUAAAGUAUGAAACAAUUGUUUGGCUUGUCAUCGGGGUUGUGCAUGAUGAGAGCAUUCUUGUGUGACGAAAAUGGAGCAUGACCAAACUAUAUGAUUUUGUAGGGAUGAACUUUCUUUGGCCAUGUUAUUUUGAGAAGACAUGAUUGCUUAGUUAGUAUGCUUGAAGUAUUAUUAUUUUUAUGUCAAUAUUAAACUUUUUUCUUGAAUCUUAUGUAUUUGAAUAUUCUUGCCGGAAUAAAGAGAACUACAUGGAUAAAUAUGUUAGGUAGCAUUCCACAUCAAAAAUUCGGUUUCAUUAGCGGCGUGCCCUGCACCCAUUUAUCACGUCGUAUCUCUGUAGUAUGCGCAUUCCCAAUUUGUCACGGCAUACCCUCCUUCAAACCUUCUUGCCCUUUCAGAUUAGCACGCCAAGCUAGCUAUGCACUAUGCGGGAACCUGCAUUUGAAAAAAAAGAAUCUCAUUUCAUGGUAUCUUCCAUGAAGGACCCUCGUACAUGAGCUAUCUAGAUAGAAAUAGCCAUGUAUGUUUAGCAAACUUUGCAUAAGUGAAUAGAUCAAGGUCGUGGAACCCCAAGCCUCCAAUUACACACGGCCUCUCUACCAAUAAGAUCUCCAAAGACAUCAAGGAUACAGACAGCCAAAAAAGAAAAUAAAAAGGAAAAAAAUAAAAAAUACCCCACCAUGGUGAUCAAUCACAAGCAUCAGCAGCACUCUAACCACCACCUAAGACAACGCCCAGAUUACAAAAAAAAUUCUCCAAAAGCAAUGCCCCCAAGAAGGAAACAAUACACAAGCGUUGUCGUUGCCCGAUCGAAGAUCGUGGGUUUUCACACUGGAAAAUUUUUGAGUUCACCCAAAAACAAUGCCUUCAACAAGGCCAUUGCCAAGUACAACAAAUAUGGCUGAGACCUUGGGUUUUCACCCUAGGAAUUGAGAGUCGAUGCUCGAGGAGUACCACCAAAAAUGCAGUCCACUAGUGUUGCCGCCCCCACUUGGCGAGGCCGCUGUUGCAAGUCACCAAACACCUGGCAUAUAGUUGUCAUCGCAUCCAAUACACCCUUCGGCCGAAGCUUCAAGACCUUGAUCCGUCUCCAACGUAUCUAUAAUUUUUGAUUGUUCCAUGCUAUUAUAUUAUCUGUUUUGGAUGUUUUAUAUGAGUAGGGCGUUUUGGUGCCCAGGCUCAUCUGCACCCGGUUAGAAAAAAUUCAUAAAAAAUUUAAACAAAUUCAAAAAAUUCCAAAUAAAAUUUGUAUGGUAGACAAUUUGAUGCGUGAGGCCCGCCUCAAAUUUCAAGUCAUUUGGAUAUAUGAGAAGCUCUCAGCAAAAAAGACAAAUCGGACUAAAACAGUACAUGAACAGUAAACAUUUUUACAGACCCUCAAUUUGUCUUUUUUGCUGAGAGCUGCUCAUAUGUUCAAAUGACUUGAAAUUUGGAGCGUGCCUCACGCAUCAAAAUUUCUAUCACACAAAUUUUAUUUGGAAUUUUUCGAAUUUUUCUAGUAUUUGUUUUGAUUUUUUUCGUCGGCACAGGUGCAGAUGAGCUCAGGUGCAGAAAUGGAUUUUCGGUUUUAUUUGCACUAUUAUGCUAUUUUAUAUGAUUUUUGCGACUAACCUAUUAAACUAGAGCCCAGUGCCAGUUCCUGUUUUUUCCUUGUUUUAGAGUUUCACAGAAAAGGAAUACCAAACGGAGUCCAAACGGAAUGAAACUUUUGCGAUGAUGUUUCUUAGACCAGAAGACAUCUAGAGGACUUGGAGUGCACGUUAGGAAAGCCAUGAGGUGGCCACAAUGACGGAGGGCACGCCCCCACCCUUGUGGGCUCCUCGUGACUCUACCGACCUAUUUCGUCCGCAUAUAUAUUCUCAAAUAUUCCAAAACCUACUAGGAGAGCCACAAAAAAACUUUUCCACCGUCGCAACCUUCUGUACCCAUGAGUUCCCAUCUAGGGGCCUUUUCCGGCAUCCCGUCGGAGGGGGAUUCGAUCACGGAGGGCUUCUACAUCAACACCAUUGCCUCUCCGAUGAAGCGUGAGUAGUUUACCACAGACCUAUGAGUCCAUAGCUAGUAUCUAAACGGCUUCUUCUCUCUCUUUGAUUCUCAAUACCAUGUUCUCUUCGAUGUUCUUGGAGAUCUAUUCGUUGUAAUACUCUUUUUGCGGUGUGUUUGCCGAGAUCCGGUGAAUUGUGGAUAUAUGAUCAGGUUAUCUAUGAAUAUUAUUUGAAUCUCCUAUGAAUUCUUAUAUGCAUGAUUUGAUAUAUUUGCAAGUCUCUUCGAACUAUCGAUUUGGUUUGGCCAACUAGAUUGGUUUUUCUUGCAAUGGGAGAAGUGCUUAACUUUGGGUUCAAUCUUGCGGUGCUCGAUCCCAGUGACAGAAGGGGAUGAUACGUCUCCAACGUAUCUAUAAUUUUUGAUUGUUCCAUGCUAUUAUAUUAUCAACCUUGGAUGUUUUAUAUGCAUUUAUAUGCUAUUUUAUAUGAUUUUUGGGACUAACCUAUUAACCUAGAGCCCAGUGCCAGUGCCAGUUUCUGUUUUUUCCUUGUUUUAGGGUUUCAAAGAAAAGGAAUAUCAAACAGAGUCCAAACGGAAUGAAACCUUCGGAAAAGUUAUUUUUGGAAAGAAAGCAAUACGAGAGACUUGGAGUGCACGUCAGGGGAUCAACGAGGAAGCCACGAGGCAGGGGCACGCCCUCCACCCUCGUGGCUCCCCUAAUGUAUUUCUUCCGCCUAUAUAUAUCCAUAUACCCUAAAAUGAUCGGGGAGCACAAUAGAUCGGGAGUUCCGCCACCAGAAGCCUCCGUAGCCACCGAAAGCCAAUCUAGACCCGUUCCGGCACCCUGCCGGAGGAGGAAUCCCUCUUCGGUGUCCAUCUUCAUCAUCCCGGUGCUCUCCAUGACGAGGAGGGAGUAGUUCUCCCUCAGGGCUGAGGGUAUGUACCAGUAGCUAUGUGUUUGAUCUCUCUCUCUCUCUCUCUCUCUCUCUCUCGUGUUCUUGAGGUGAUACGAUCUUGAUGUAUCGCGAGCUUUGCUAUUAGAGUUGGAUCUUAUGUUUCUUCUCCCCCUCUACUCUCUUGUAAUGGAUUGAGUUUCCCCUUCGAAGUUAUCUUAUCGGAUUGAGUCUUUAAAGAUUUGAGAACACAUGAUGUAUGUCUUGCCGUGCGUAUCUGUGGUGACAAUGGGAUAUCACGUGAUUCAUUUGAUGUAUGUUUUGGUGAUCAAGUUGCGGGUUCCACCCAUGAACCUAUGCAUAGGGGUUGGCACACAUUUUCGUCAUGAUUCUCCGGCAGAAACUUUGGGGCACUCUUUGAGGUUCUAUGUGUUGGUUGAAUAGAUGAAUCUGAGAUUGUGUGAUGCAUAUCGGAUAAUCAUACCCACGGAUACUUGAGGUGACAAUGGAGUAUCUAGGUGACAUUAGGGUUUUGGUUGAUUUGUGUCUUAAGGUGUUAUUCUAGUACGAACUCUAGGGCUGUUUGUGACACUUAUAGGAAUAGCCCAAUGGAUUGAUUGGAAAGAAUAACUUGGAGGUGGUUUCGUACCCUACCAUAAUCUCUUCGUUCGUUCUCCGCUAUUAGUGACUUUGGAGUGAUUCUUUGUUGCAUGUUGAGGGAUAGUUAUGUGAUCCAAUUAUGUUAUUAUUGUUGAGAGAACUUGCACUAGUGAAAGUAUGAACCCUAGGUCUUGUUUCAACGCAUUGCAAUACCGUUUACGCUCACUUUUAUCAUUAGUUACCUUGCUGUUUUUAUAUUUUCAGAUUACAAAAACCUUUAUCUACCAUCCAUAUACCACUUGUAUCACCAUCUCUUCGCCGAACUAGUGCACCGAUACAAUUUACCAUUGUAUUGGGUGUGUUGGGGACACAAGAGACUCUUUGUUAUUUGGUUGCAGGGUUGGUUGAGAGAGACCAUCUUCAUCCUACGCCUCCUACAGAUUGAUAAACCUUGGGUCAUCCACUUGAGGAAAAUUUGCUACUGUCCUACAAACCUUUGCACUUGGAGGCCCAACAACGUCUACAAGAAGAAGGUUGUGUAGUAGACAUCAGGGGAACCGACACAUAUUGUAGUGUUUCCAUCGAGGAUAACAAGAUGGGGUUUUCGUCAUAUUGCUUGAGUUUAUCCCGCUACAUCAAGUCAUCUUACUUAAUGCGUUAUCCUGUUCUUAUGAACUUAGUACUCUAGGUGCAGGCAGGAGUCAGUGGACGUGUGGAGUAAUAGUAGUAGAUGCAAGCAGGAGUCCGUCUACUUGAUACAAACAUGAUGCUUAUGUUCAUGAUCAUUGCCUUAGAUAUCGUCAUAAGUUUGCACUUUUCUAUCAAUUGCUCAGCAGUAAUUUGUUCACCCACCGUAAGAUUUUCUAUCUUGAGAGAAGCCUCUAGUGAAACCUAUGGCCCCGGGGUCUACUUUCCAUCAUAUAAGUUUCUGAUCUACAAUUGUGUUGGUUGAAUAGAUGAAUCUGAGAUUGUGUGAUGCAUAUCGUAUAAUCAUACCCACGGAUACUUGAGGUGACAAUGGAGUACCUAGGUGACAUUAGUGUUUUGGUUGAUUUGUGUCUUAAGGUGUUAUUCUAGUACGAACUCUAGGGCUGUUUGUGACACUUAUAGGAAUAGCCCAACGGAUUGAUUGGAAAGAAUAACUUUGAGGUGGUUUCGUACCCUACCAUAAUCUCUUCGUUCGUUCUCCGCUAUUAAUGACUUUGGAGUGACUCUUUGUUGCAUGUUGAGGGAUAGUUAUGUGAUCCAAUUAUGUUAUUAUUGUUGAGAGAACUUGCACUAGUGAAAGUAUGAACCCUAGGCCUUGUUUCAACGCAUUACAAUACCGUUUACGCUCAGUUUUAUCAUUAGUUACCUUGCUGUUUUUAUAUUUUCAGAUUACAAAAACCUUUAUCUACCAUCCAUAUACCACUUGUAUCACCAUCUCUUCGCUGAACUAGUGCACCUAUACAAUUUACCAUUGUAUUGGGUGUGUUGGGGACACAAGAGACUCUUUGUUAUUUGGUUGCAGGGUUGCUUGAGAGAGACCAUCUUCAUCCUACACCUCCUACGGAUUGAUAAACCUUAGGUCAUCCACUUGAGGGAAAUUUGCUACUGUCCUACAAACCUCUGCACUUGGAGGCCCAACAACGUCUACAAGAAGAAGGUUGUGUAGUAGACAUCAGGGGAACCGACACAUAUUGUAUUGUUUCCAUCGAGGAUAACAAGAUGGGGUUUUCGUCAUAUUGCUUGAGUUUACCCCGCUACAUCAAGUCAUCUUACUUAAUGCGUUAUCCUGUUCUUAUGAACUUAAUACUCUAGAUGUAGGCAGGAGUCGGUGGACGUGUGGAGUAAUAGUAGUAGAUGCAAGCAGGAGUCAGUCUAGUUGAUACAAACGUGAUGCUUAUGUUCAUGAUCAUUGCCUUAGAUAUCGUCAUAACUUUGCGCUUUUAUAUCAAUUGCUCAACAGUAAUUUGUACACCCACUGUAAGAUUUUCUAUCUUGAGAGAAGCCUCUAGUGAAACUAUGGCCCCGGGGUCUACUUUCCAUCAUAUAAGUUUCCGAUCUACAAUUUUAGUUUCCUAUCACUUCCUUUGCAAUCUUUUACUUUCCAUUCCAUAAACCAAAAAUACCAAAAAUAUUACUUUACCGAUUAUCCAUCUCUAUCAGAUCUCACCUUGCAAAUAACCAUGAAGGAUUGACAACCCCUUUGUCGCAUUAGGUGUAAGUUGCUAUUUGUUUGAGCAUGUAUUCAGUGACUUGUGCAUUGUCUCCUACUGGAUUGAUACCUUGGUUCUCAAAACUGAGGGAAAUACUUACUCUACUUUGCUGCAUCACCCUUUCCACUUCAAGGGAAAAACCAACGCAAGCUCAAGAGGAAGUAGGAAGAAUUUCUGGCACCGUUGCCGGGGACAUCUACGCCAAGUCAAGACAUACCAAGUACCCAUCAUAAACUCUCAUCUCUUGCAUUAUAUUAUUUGCCAUUCGCCUCUCGUUUUCCUCUCCCCCACUUCUAAAAUGAUUUGCCUUUUCUUCGCCCUCUUCCAUUCAUCUUCUUCGCUUGCUUUUUGUGUGCUCAUGUGUUGGAUUGCUUGCUUUGUCACGAUGUCUCAAGAGAAUACCAAAUUGUGUGACUUUUCCAAUACCAACAACAAUGAUUUUAUUAGUACCCCGAUUGCUCCCGCUACUAAUGCGGAAUCUUGUGAAAUUAAUGCUGCUUUGCUGAGUCUUGUUAUGAAAGAUCAAUUUUCCGGCCUUCCCAAUGAAGAUGCCGCAUCCCAUCUAAACAAUUUCGUUGAUUUGUGUGAUAUGAAAAAGAAAAAAGAUAUGGAUAAUGAUAUUGUUAAAUUGAAGCUAUUUCCGUUGUCACUUCGAGAUCGUGCUAAAACUAGGUUUUCAUCUUUGCCUAAAAAUAGCGAGUGUCAUUUUUUAAUGCGAGUGAUUAGUUUUUAAAGAAUGAUUGGCAUUCUUUCUUAAUUGCUCAUCUACUAAUCGUUUGGCGUGUUUUCUUAUCUUGUCAAAAUCAUAUCCCCUGGCUGUAAAUAUCAAAGAAUAAUUUCAUUUGUUGGGCUUGGACUGUACUGUCCGAGAGUCAGAGUAUAAAUACCAUACGAUUUCAAGAGCAAUAGCAACGGGGCAACCAUUAGUCCAUACUCUACACCAUAUGGCUAGAAAUUUUAUAUUAUAUAUAACAAAGUUGUGACAAAUUGGAAAUGGAAAGCAAUAAAAUGAAUAUGUUGCUAUAGGUUAUUAUUAUUACACAUGCACGUGUACCUUGAUCCUUGCUUGGACAUAGGGUCCGAGGAAGUUACAUUGCUUUGACUACUGAUAUUGUUUGUGUUAAAGUGUGCCACAAUGGCAUAAAUAUUGUCGUUGCAUAAUGGGAAACCACGUCAUAUUUAUCGAUGAUAUGUGGAAAUAGGGAUAAGCUACUUUAUGAAGAUAUAUAAGGAUGUAUGGGUUACGUUGGUGGAAAAUGUUGUUAUGAACACAAAUGCAGUUGCAUUUAUCAUGCAUUCGCGGUGAAGUGCGCUAUUGUGGCAUAUAUCUUCCUUUUUGCCACAGAAGCAUGGUAGAAUUAUAAAGAGAGUAUGUUUCUAUAGACAUUUCAAAAAAGAGAUUUGUGUAUACUCUCAUUAUACUGUAAUCACCAUAGAUUAUUCAGAUUAGAAGUUGUUGUCUCUACCACAUAUUUAGAUUUUCUAUACAUACUAAUAUCUAUAUCGCAUAGAAAAUCAUGUAUUUAUAUGAGAUCUUUGUGGUGCAUGAUAAAGCAAGAUUCCUUUUGUUAUUGCAGCAAUUUAUAAGUAUUUAAAUAUAUACUAAUAGCUAGUUUCUUCUGUGUUAUAAGGACAAAAUAAGACAUGCAUAGACAUGCAAAUACGUAUUAGAAAUCUGCUACUCCAAAUGUAUCAUGUUAAUCCAUGUAAGCCACGAAUCGCGUGCAUAUCAGGCAAAGCAGUUUUUUUUGUAAAAACAAUACAUAAUACUAAUCGAUGGUAUAGACGAUUCAAUACAUAUGCAUCAAGACACCGCUACCUUGCACAUAGUGAUAUAGGAUGGAAUUGAAUCUGAUCCGCUCCUUUCCAACUUAAUCGAGUAAUGUGUACUUCUCAUAAAUAGGCAUGUAUAUAGUAAUUGUUCUUUUGACCAAACGCUUGGUAUAUUAAUGAUCACAUUAUACAUUUAUGUAACAUUUCUUACUUGCGAAAUCUUUUACAAAUUGGAAUAUGGGAAUUUUAUUAAUACCUAGAAGAAAUACUACUAUUUAGAACAUAUAAUAACUGGUACUAUACUUUUUCUUAAUAUUGGUACUAUACUUAAUUGGACCAAAAGUUGCACAUAUUUUUGAUUAGUUCAUUUUUUUCUACAGAUUUAUCGGCGCCAUUAUUUCUCUAUGGUUGACAUGUAUAUGAACUACUGUCUGUAUAUAUUGAUCUGCAUUUAGACAAAUAUCAGGGACAAACACACAUACUGUUUAGCAUGUGUAGUUGUAAAGGUAGAAUACUGAUUUGUAGUAUUAAGAAAAUAUAUUUAUAAGAUCUUACUACAAUGUAUAUGGAUUGAGAAUCAGAGAAAUAACCAAGUGUUGUGCAAGGAUCAUUCUGACUAUCCAGUGGCAGAAUAAAAAUAGGAUGCUAAGCGCGGGGAGAAUACUUAUGUCCUAUAAACCUGCAAAUAAGAAGCAUGCAUUCACCAUAUAUUAGAAUUCCAAAUUUUAUAGUUCCUUUGCAUGUUGGAAAUAAGCUUUGCCCCUUGUGAUAUGGAUUAUCACGUAGAAUGGAAAGAGGAGAAAAAAAUUAUGGCUUAGCAGAAUCAAUGAGGAAAAGCACUACAUGUGAAGUAUCAAAACGUUGUGAUAGCACGAACCCCACCAGAUUUGAACUCGUGCUCUUAGUAUGACAUGAAAAGAGGGGCUACUCUCCAAUCGAAGUGAAAAUAGUAGAACUUUGAACUUAUAUAUAUAUACGCUUAAAAAUUCUAAAAGCAAAUGGUCAAAAACUCAGAAUAGCUUGAGCGGGCACUACUUGCUAACUCAAGCACAUGGCAACACAGUAUUAAGUCAAGAUUUUGCAACCGAGAGGGAAAGUCAAAUAAAUAAAUAAAUAAAUAAGGAUUCUCAUCAAACCUGUGAAUCCAAGCUAGUAUCUAACUAUUGUAUUGCUCAUAGUUUUGCAUACACCAUGGAACGUACGAUACAUAGCAUGUUGAAAAAUUAUAACCAAUUAAAUAGAAGAUAAAGGCAUAGUGCUAGGAGAUCAUCUCUCAGAGCAAUCAUCGCUGACAUAAACCUUCGGUUAAAUCACAUGUCUAAUUAGAACCUAGAGGUCUUUUACUUUUCCUUUAUAUGGAACCUUUAUUUUGACCUUUGGGGACUAUAGCCGCCUCAAAUAUGCAACUUUUUUUCGAAAUUUUAGUAUAGUGUAGUUGGAGCUUUUCCUGGUGUUCCAUAAAAAUAGCAAAGGGCAUAUUUCCUUUAGCCUACUUAUAUAUAAAAAAACGGCGUUCCUUAAUUAUUAUUCAAACUGAAAACACAUGCUAUCUUUAAAAGCAAAGAUGUACCUUAUGUGAGAAUCAUGCAUGUGUUAUUUCUAAUUAGUUAGGCAAUAAAAUAAUAGCAUCGUAUCAUUAGAUAAAUUAUUUUUCAACUGAAUCAGACAUGUGGGGUUUGACAAAAUUGAAAGUAUAUGCGAAGAUGUUAAGGAGAAAAUGUCAAUAUAAAAAAACUGUUUCUAUAGGCAGAUGUGAAUUACGUACAAAAAUAGGUCUGUUCGCUUUACAAAAGUUCUGGUGAAACCAAACUCCUGAGUUACUACAUGUAGAGCUCAAAAAUACCAGAUAUAGAGUAUAAAAUGAGAAUGGAAUACUAAGUGCAUCUUACAGAAAUUAUAAGAUCUUUUUAAUAGCUUCCUCAAUAUUACAUAGCAUACACAACAAUGAGGCAUCAAAUGAAUCAGUAUUCUAAAUAUGUAAAGAAGAAUAAGAAACACAAAGUAGCUGCUGCUCGAGCAACUACUACAUGCAAAUACAAUGCUUGAGAAUUUUCAAGCGUUCUGUUCGCUUUUUACCCUGAUUCAGCAUGGAUUAAAAAACCACAGUACUUAAUUCCGUGUAUCCUAAAUUCAAGCGUCAUGUUCGACGAAUUUCACCAUAGAUUUACAUGCCUGUGGACUUGUAGAACCAACAGCGCACUCUACAACAUCCGACAGAUAAAUCGAUCUGCUUUCCGUUCGCUGUAGGUUGUUCAUUGGGAAGCAGCACGAUCCACUUUAGACCACCAUCAGUAGACCUGAUCCUACGCUGCAUCGCAUUGUUAUAUUGCAGUCAGCUCGGAACUUAUGUCAAGGAGAAUAGUUAGACGAUGGAUUUGAUAUUUGGCCUUUUUGAGAUCUGAAACGUGUGUGUACUUCGUAGCUGUCAGCAGGUGGAAGGCCGUCCUGACAAAGAGGCAUAUUGCAUCCUAAAUUCAAGCACCAUGUUCGAAAAAAAAUCAGUAUGGGUUUACUUGCCUGUGGACUUGUAGAACCAACAUCAAACCCGACAAAAUCGGACAGAUAAAUCGAUCUGCUUUCCGUUCGUAGUAGGUUCUCCAAUGGGCAGCAGCACGAUCCACUUUAGACCACCUGAUCCUACGCUGCAUCUUGCAGUCAGCUCCGAACUUAACCCAGAAGAAUAGUUAGACGAUGGAUUUGAUAGUUGGCCUUUUUUUAGAUCAGAAUUGUAGGUGCAGGGUGGCUCGGCGAUCCUGACAAAGAUGAGAUUGAUCGGGGUCGCUAAUAAUCCCUUGUAGCACCUGCCGGGAUCCUUUGUGGUUCGCCGAGUGCACUUGAUGGCGAUGGGAUCAAGGGAAGAGAAGAAUUGAAGGAGGUGGGGUCGAGGGACAUGUUUUUCCUAUUUUAGGGGGAGAUAUCUUUCCUUUCUGUUUUUGCGUGAUUGUUUUCGUUUUUCAAUCGGCCGAAGAUUUUAUUGACAGAUCUAUUUUCUUUUUCUUUUCAUCACGGGAUUUUACAUGAAAGGAGGCUAUCUUUUUUUAGCAUGGAAGGAAGAUAUCUUUUUUAAAGGAACCGAUGGAUGCUUUGUUUGUUUGUUAAGCCAAUCUUGACGGUGUCGCGUUCCUUUAUUUUUUACGGGGCCAUAUAUGCUACCAUUGAUUGCAAUUAGUUUUUUUCUCUUGGAGAUGGAUUAUUUGUUUGUUGAACGUGUCUGCCUUAAUUAUGGAUGGACCAUCUGUGUAACGCAUGUUUACUUUUUAUCUUGGACGUUAAUUCUAUAAUCUAUCGGUGUAAUUAAUUUUGAUGAUGUGGAUUAAUGAGAAGGCCUUAAAAGGUGCCUCCAAUUAGUAAAUAUAUAAGAUAUAAGAUAUUGAUUCAUGGAAUAAGUUUAAGGAUGAAUUUAUUUCCAAGUAUUUUCCUCCCGCUAAGAUCAUCUCUCUUAGGAACGACAUUAUGAAUUUUAACCAACUUGAUCAUGAACAUGUUGCACAAUCUCCGUAGAGGAUGAAAUUGAUGAUAUGAAAUUGCCCUACACAUGGUUUGAAUAUGUGGAUGAUUAUACAAUUUUUUAUGCCGGAUUGAAUUUUGCUUCUAGAAAUCUUUUAGAUUCGGCCGUGGGAGGUACUUUUAUGGAAAUUACUUUAGGAGAAGCUACUAAACUCCUAGAUAAUAUUACGGUUAAUUAUUCUCAAUGGUAUACUGAAAGAUCUUCCACUAGUAAAAAAGUGCAUGCGAUUGAUGAGUUUAAUGUUUUGAGUGGAAAGAUGGAUGACCUUAUGAAAUUAUAUGCUAGCAAGAGUGCUUCUGUUGAUCCUAAUGAUAUGCCUUUGUCUACUUUGAUUGAGAAUAAUAAUGAAUCUAUGUAUGUGAAUUUUGUUGGUAGGAACAAUUUUGGUAAUAACGCUUAUGGAGGUAAUUUUAAUCCUAGACUGCUUCCUAAUAAUUCCCCUAAUAAUUAUGGCAAUUCCUACAACAAUUCUUCACUGGUAGAAAAAGGGCCUGUAGUCCCGGUUCGUAAGGGCCUUUAGUCCCGGUUCCUGAACCGGGACUAAAGUGUCGGUACUAAUACCUCCCACCUUUAGUCCCGGUUCAAUCCAGAACCGGGACUAAAGCCCAUCCACGUGGGCAGUGUGCAGAGCCCAGUCAGGAGACCCUUUGGUCCCGGUUGGUGGCACCAACCGGGACCAAUAGGCAUCCACGCGUCAGCAUUUCUGUGNNNNNNNNNNNNNNNNNNNNNNNNNNNNNNNNNNNNNNNNNNNNNNNNNNNNNNNNNNNNNNNNNNNNNNNNNNNNNNNNNNNNNNNNNNNNNNNNNNNNNNNNNNNNNNNNNNNNNNNNNNNNNNNNNNNNNNNNNNNNNNNNNNNNNNNNNCCGGUUCAAUCCAGAACCGGGACUAAAGCCCAUCCACGUGGGCAGUGCGCAGAGCCCAGUCAGGAGACCCUUUGGUCCCGGUUGGUGGCACCAACCGGGACCAAUAGGCAUCCACGCGUCAGCAUUUCUGUGGCUAGGGUUUUUAUUUUUAUUUUUUGAAAGGGGGGGGGGGUUGGGGGUUUUGGGGGGUUAAUUUAGGUGUUUCAUAUAUUGUGUUAGCUAGCUAUAAUUAAUAUAGAGAAGUGUCCUCUCUUAUGUCCGUGCUUGGUCGACGCUACGUACUAUACAUACGUAUAGAGAGGACUAGACACGCUGGCUAGCUAGUAAAGCAAACGAAGGAAACAGAAGAUCGUCAUGAACAUAUAUGCAUACAGAGAGAAGUGAUAUCGACCACCUCUCCUUCUCCGAGAGAUUGGUCGAACAACAAGUUCUCGUAUAUCUAUCUGACAGUACCGGCUACAUAUAUACAGUAAUUAUCUCUUACAAAUAUAAUCAUACGGACUCAGGUUUAACAUAGAAUUCUCCGUCUUCAGGGAUCACGUGGUCAAAAAAGAAUGCCGCCAAUUCCUCUUGAAUUGCUCGCAUGCGAGCUGGUGCUAGGAGUUCAUCCCGCUUCCGAAACAUCUAAUUUGAAGAAGGGGGUCAAUACAUAUAUAUAUAUAUAUGAAUGAAUGAAACUCAACACAAAUGAUGGUAAUAAAAUAAAAUUGUGAAUAUUGUUAUUUACGUACUUCAUAUUGUUCGUUAGAGUACCCGCCCCGCUCACACGUCGUGUGACGGAUGGACUCGCAGAUGUAGUAUCCACAGAAAUCAUUCCCUUGUUCCUGCCACAACCACUUUACAAGAAAUAGAGGUCAAUCAAACUGAUAAGCAAGAAUGCUAAAUGGUAUUGAUGAAACUAGCGCUUGAAUCACUAGGAGAUGCGCGGAACAUGCUACUAUAGUACUUACUUUCGGGUGUCUAAAUUCUAGCUCCUUCGGCAGUCCCGGAACUUUUUUGGUGAAUUUUCUCCAAACCAUGCCGGACAAAGAAAACAAUUACUUGAUAUCAGGAAAUGAACAAAGUUGCUGAUAUGGUGGAUAAUGAUCGAUUUAACUUACUUCUUGAGGAUUUCAGUCAUGUCUGCAUAGUCCUGCGGAUCUUUUCGUUUUGAGUCUAAGAAGGUUACUAGUCCCUGCUCAAGCUUAAUCUCUAGGAGAAUAUAGUGGAAACUGCACACGCAUGCAUAACUUAUGAAUUACAUUACUAUAACCUUGAGUAAUAUAUAAGGGAAACCGAAUACGCACAAGACAGUAGCACUCACUUGAAGUUGUAAGGAAAGAGUAUUAUAUCUUUGUUUUGAUUUAUUACGAACGAUUGUAGAAAGUUGGCCUCGGUAGCUGUGACAUGAAGUUUAACCUGAAUUGCAUCUAUGAGAUAUGUGUUAAUGAACCCAAUAUCACCGACUUGUCUUUUCUUCAAUUCGACGAUCUUCAAUCUGCAUAAUAUAGUGAGGAUGAUUAUAAAUACAUGCAAUGAAAGAGCUAAGCUAUAUAGAGAAACUUAAUGACAGAAGUAGUACUACUUACAGACAGUAGCAGGCGACCGUUGUUUUAUCGAGGGCCAAUUGAUUGAAAAACUGAUAGAACUCCUCAAAUGGAACAGGCAACAGAUCAAUUCCAACGAGGUCAUGCUCCUUUUUAACUCUCACAUACAAAGUACUCCUCCCCCAGAGUCUCUGCAGAUUUUCAAGUACCAAUCAUGCAAUCUUCGCAUCAUCGUUGAUAGAGAUCUUUCAUCUUUGACGAGAGGCUUCCCGUACUCGUAUCUUUGCAUCUGCAUGUCCAUGGGUUCAUAAUGUACUUCGUCGGGUAGGUAAUCUGCAAGAUUAUUAUAACCGGGCACCAUCCUCGGAUCAUUAGCGACUUUGUGGCUAGGCACCUUGAGCGAGGGGCAUGAUUGCUUCGCUUGUUUGCCGAGCUGGGCAAUUUGUUUCCCAGCUCGUCGUUUUUUCAGCCUUUCAUCACUGACAGUAGUUCCCGACCGCUCCGCUUCGGCAAAUUCCUUUCCAAUAAUGCGGUCAUAGUUUCCUUUCGGCGGAUCAGACUUUGGUGGUUUUGUCAGGGCAGCCAGAGUGCGCUUCACUUUCACCCCAUCUACCUUCUCCUCUGGAGGUGGAUGUUUCUUUGCUUUCACCCCUUCAAAGAAUUUCCUCACUUCUUCUCACGCGAUCUCGGCGUUCUCCUCCUGGGUCCUCUCGUAUGGUAACUUCUCUGGAGUCUUCAGAGAAGGACCGAAUCUGUAUGUCCUCCCGCCUCUGGUUGUACUGCUAGACGCCGACCGAGCAAACGAAGCGGUUGUCUUCUUUACUUGCUUAAGAGGCGGAGGAGAAGGACUACGACCCGCCGGAGCAGCUGGAGCGGCGGCAGGUCUCUUCUGCCCUUGCUGACGAGGCGGAGAAGGAGGAGGUUGGCUGCUCGGGCGCGUCGGCGCAGGCGGAGACGGAGGCGGAGUGCCGCCACGCGCCGGAGAAGGAGCCGGCCGAGGGCCCUGAUCCUCACUCGCCGGAGGAGGAGGUGGUGGAGGAGGCGGAGUGCCCUGACUCGCCGGAGGAGGAGGAGGAGGCGGAGGCGUCCAGUUCGGAAGGUUGAUGAGGUCCUUCCGCCAUAGGCAUGGAGUCUUCAGAGCAGACCCCAGCCGAGUCUCCCCUUCACCGGUAGGGUGGUCAAGCUGGAGGUCCUCAAAUCCCUCCGUUAUCUCAUCCACCAUCACCCUAGCAUAUCCUUCUGGAAUCGGCAUGCAGUGAAAAGUUGCGCCGGGUUCAGUAGGAUAAACAGAGCCAACAGCCGCCUUGACCUUCAAAUUCAUCCAUUGCGUCAUAAGGUGGCAAUUUUGAGACUCCGUUAUAGCAUCCACAGGAUAGCUGGCAGGAGCCGUCAAGGCAUGCUGCAGCUGAAGCUGCUCGGUGGAAGCCACGCUGCUUCUGCGCUGAGAUGGCGGGGUAGCUUCGGGGGAGGCUUCGGCAGUACGUUUGUUGCGAUUUGCUUCUCGUUCCUCUAUCGCUUGUACCCUUGCGUGCAGCGCCUGCAGUUCGGUCUGCUGCACUUUUUUCCUCCUCUCAUGGGAUUUGUAACCGCCUGCGUCCGGAAACCCAACCUUCCACGGAACGGAGCCUGGCGUGCCUCGUGUCCGUCCAGGGUGCUCAGGAUUCCCGAGGGCCAUUGUGAGCUCGUUGUGCUCUCUGUCUGGAAAGAACGUCCCUUCCUGCGCUGCGUCGAUAUAGUGCUUAAGCUUACUGACUGGUAUGUCCAUUUGUUCGUUCGUCCAAAUGCAGUUCCCUAUUUCAGGGUCCAAGGUUCCGCCACCCCCGAAGAACCAAGUCCGGCAACGGUCUGGCCAGUUAUUUGUCUCUGGUCCGAUCCCUUUAUGAACCAGAUCAUUCUCAACCAUGGACCACUUAGGCCGGGCUACGAGGUAGCCACCUGACCCCGUGCGAUGGUGAAGCUUCUUCUUCGCGGCAUUCUGCUUGUUUGUCGCCGACAUCUUCUUACUCUUUUCCGAUGUCUUGUAGGCCACAAAUGCGGGCCAGUGAUCUCUGAUCUUCUCAUAUCUUCCCUUGAAUUCUGGUGUCUCUUUUUUAUCGACAAACCUAUUCAGCUCUUUCUUCCACCUCCUGAAUAGAUCUGCCAUCCUCUUCAGAGAAAAAGACUUGAUUAAUUUCUCUUUAAUUGGGUUCUCUGGAUUAUCCUCUGGCGGUAGGGUGAAAUUUGACUUCAGCUCAGUCCAAAGAUCAUUUUUCUGCAUAUCAUUGACAUAAGACACCUCAGGGUCUUCUGUAGCCGGCUUAAACCAUUGCUGGAUGCUUAUCGGGAUCUUGUCCCUAACCAGAACCCCGCACUGAGCAACAAAUGCCCUCUUUGUCCGGAGGGGUUCAAUAGGUUGGCCGUCGGGCGCGAUUGCUGUGAUCUCAAGCUUUUCAUCCGAGCUCAACUUUUUCUUCGGGCCUCGUCUCUUUACCGAAGUUGUGCUCGAUCCGGAGGGCUAGAAAAAAGAACAAAGACUUAAUUAAUAUGUGUACAUACCAAAACAAUGAAUGCAUCAAUCAGCUAGUCAGCAUAGGCUUAACUAAUAUAUAUACCUGGCCGGACUCGGUUCGGUCACCGGAGCCGUCAUCACGGUCUCCUUCUUGCACCGGCAUUGGGUCACCGGCGCCGUCCUCAUGUUCUUCUUCUUGCACCGGCAUUAGGUCACCGUAGCCAGCUUGUUCACCCUCUCCUUCCGGACCAUCGAUGAUAUCGUUGAGAUAGUACGAGACGGCAUCACUUCCUUGUGCGAUUAUCUCCCUCAACAACGCUUCUUUUGUUGCUUCGUCUAGGGCGGUGUCCAUAGUUUCUACAAAUAUUUACAACAUGGCAAUUAUUAUUCAAACAUGACAGAUGGAUAUAUUAGUGCCAAACGUAGAACUACCUACCUAAUCAUAGUAAGCUAUCGGGAGGGGGUAUAUAUCGACAACGACGACACUACAUCUAUAUAUGUCCCUCGAUGACCCUCGUUCCUGAUAAAAAAAGAGGAAGAAGAAGAAAAAAAAGAGGAGAAGAAAGAAUAGAGGAGAAGAACUCCUCUAUUCUUUCUUCUCCUCUUUUUUCUUCUUCUUCCUCUUCUUUUUUUAUCCUCUUCUUCCUCUCAUGUUCGAGAGGAUCGCCUUGGGGUCGGGAGGUUGCCUAGUGUCAAAGGAUUCAACAAAACCAUGUCUUCAUCAUUAGGCGAAAGUAACAUGUGCAUGAUGGUAGGAAGCUCUUCAAAGUUGUUCUGGAACGGAGUCCCAGAUAGGAUAAUUCGCUUUUUGGUACAAAGUUCAGCAAGAGCCUUCCGAAUAUCGCUAUUUGGAAGGCCUUUGCUGAAUUCGUACCAAAAGGCGGAUUAUUCUAUCCGGGACUCCAUUCCAGAACAACUUUGCAGAACUUCAUACCAACAUGCCCUGGUUACUUCCGGCUAAUGAUGAAGGCAUGGAUUUCUUCAAUACUUUGACACUAGGAAACCUCUCUCGACCCCUCGGCGAUUCUUGACCCCUCGAACCCUCAACGACCCUGAAACCCUCGACGCUUGACCCCUUAACGACCCUCGACCCUCUACCCUAGUUCCCGACCCUCGACCAAUAGAGGAGAAGAAGAAAGGAAUAGCUAGAGGAGAAGAUCGAAGAAAAAAAAGAAGAAACAAAAGAGGAGAAGAAGAAAGGAAUAGUGGAGAAGAAGAGAAAAUAGAAUAUAUAUUCUAUUUUCUCUUCUUCUCCACUAUUCCUUUCUUCUUCUCCUCUUCUUUUUCUUCUGUUUUCUUCUUCUUAUUUAUUUCUCCUCUUCUUUUCGGUAGAGGAAACCCUAAAUAGCUAGCAAGUAUCGUGGGUGUGAGAUACAUGUGGCCUUCGGUGUCGGACACUACAUCCACGUCCCACAAGUGACGUGGGCGUCGAAACCCGCGCCACUUGUGGGAUGUGGAUGUAGUGUCCGACACCGACGGUACAUGUAUCUCACACCGACGAUACUUUCUAUUUAGGGUUUCUCCUCUACCACUCGGCGGCCCUCUCGACGACCCUCGUUCCCGAUAAUAUAAAGAGGAAGAAGAAGAAGAAAAAAGAAGAGAAGAAAGAAUAGAGGAGACGAACCCUCGAACCCUCGAACCCUAGACGACCCUCUUCUUCCUCUCAUGUUCGAGAGGAUCGCCGAGGGGUCGGGAGGUUGCCUAGUGUCAAAGGAAACCCUAAAUAGCUAGCAAGUGUCAUGGGUGUGAGAUACAUGUGGCCUUCGGUGUCGGACACUACAUCCACGUCCCACAAGUGACGUGGGCGUCGAAGCCCGCGCCACUUGUGGGAUGUGGAUGUAAUGUCCGACACCGACGGUACAUGUAUCUCACACCGACGAUACUUUCUAUUUAGGGUUUCUCCUCUACCACUCGGCGGCCCUCUCGACGACCCUCGUUCCCGAUAAAAUAAAGAGGAAGAAGAAGAAGAAAAAAGAAGAGAAGAAAGAAUAGAGGAGAAGUCUCCUCUAUUCUUUCCUCGCCUCUCUCAUGAAUGUCCGGCGUUCUCGACCCCCCCCCCUCCCCACGUGUCGAAGAAAAAAAAGAAGAAAAAAAAGAGGAGAAGAAGAAAGGAAUAGAGGAGAAAAGAGAAAAAUAGAAUAUUCNNNNNNNNNNNNNNNNNNNNNNNNNNNNNNNNNNNNNNNNNNNNNNNNNNNNNNNNNNNNNNNNNNNNNNNNNNNNNNNNNNNNNNNNNNNNNNNNNNNNNNNNNNNNNNNNNNNNNNNNNNNNNNNNNNNNNNNNNNNNNNNNNNNNNNNNNNNNNNNNNNNNNNNNNNNNNNNNNNNNNNNNNNNNNNNNNNNNNNNNNNNNNNNNNNNNNNNNNNNNNNNNNNNNNNNNNNNNNNNNNNNNNNNNNNNNNNNNNNNNNNNNNNNNNNNNNNNNNNNNNNNNNNNNNNNNNNNNNNNNNNNNNNNNNNNNNNNNNNNNNNNNNNNNNNNNNNNNNNNNNNNNNNNNNNNNNNNNNNNNNNNNNNNNNNNNNNNNNNNNNNNNNNNNNNNNNNNNNNNNNNNNNNNNNNNNNNNNNNNNNNNNNNNNNNNNNNNNNNNNNNNNNNNNNNNNNNNNNNNNNNNNNNNNNNNNNNNNNNNNNNNNNNNNNNNNNNNNNNNNNNNNNNNNNNNNNNNNNNNNNNNNNNNNNNNNNNNNNNNNNNNNNNNNNNNNNNNNNNNNNNNNNNNNNNNNNNNNNNNNNNNNNNNNNNNNNNNNNNNNNNNNNNNNNNNNNNNNNNNNNNNNNNNNNNNNNNNNNNNNNNNNNNNNNNNNNNNNNNNNNNNNNNNNNNNNNNNNNNNNNNNNNNNNNNNNNNNNNGGGACUAAAGGGGGGCAAUGGUCACGGUUGGUGCCACGAACCGUGACCAAUGCCACCUUUAGUCCCGGUUGGUGCCACCAACCGGGACCAAUGCCCUUGUGCGCCCCGCGCCCAGAAGUUUAGUCCCACAUCGCUAGCUGAAGGGCGCCGAUACUGGUUUAUAAGCGCUGCUCUGCCUCCCCUUUCGAGCUCCUCUCAAAUGCAGGCUUUCGGGCCUAAACUGCUACUGCCUGUGGGCCUAUUGGGCCUCUGCGGGCCUGAAUCCUGGCCCAUGUAGGGUUUCUAGUCGUAUUCAGGCCGUGGAGGCCCAGUAGGAGGCAUUUUUUUUGGUUUUUUCUUUUUUGUUUCUAUAUUUUUUUGGUUUUUUAUUUUUUUUAUUUCUACUUACAACUAAAUACUUACAGUUUUUUAGUGAUUUCUUUUUGCUUUUAGGUCACAAAAAUUAUAAACUUUCUAUUAGUGCCAUUAGUUUUAAAUUUUAAAUAGUUUAAAUUUGAAUUUUUAAAAAUUUGUGUGAAUCACUAGUUUAUGAAUAACUUUACUAUAAAGUUAGAAUUUGUUUUCUAUUUAUUUUUUAUUUCUACUUACAACUAAAUACUUACAGUUUUUUAGUGAUUUGUUUUUGCUUUUAGGUCACAAAAAUUAUAAACUUUCUGUUAGUGCCUUUAGUUUUAAAUUUUAAAUAGUUUAAAUUUGAAUUUUUAAAAAUUUGUGUGAAUCACUAGUUUAUGAAUUUUUUUCUUCUUUGCUAUUUAUUUUUGAUUUAUACUUACAAUUAAAUACUUAUAGUUUGCUUUUAGGUCACACAAAUUAUAUUCUUUUUGCUAUUGAAGAAUAUUAUAGUUUUAUUUUAGUUGAUCAUAACAUAAUAUUUUAAUUGAUUGUUUUUAUUUUCAUAAAAGUUUUGUAGUUCAUUCUGUUUGCUAUUAAUUCAUUCUUUGAGCUAAAUGACUCUGAAAUUGGAAAGCAUUUCAAAAUGAACUCUGAAAAGGUUGAAAGUUGGCAUGGUAUCAUCAUUUCACCCACAUAGCAUGUUCCAAAAAGUAGAGAGGGUUACGACAAAAACUUGAUGCACUUCGUGUACAAAAUGGACAAUCACUUUCGAAGUAUCAAAGUUUCAAACCAUAAGACAUGAAAGCAUUUCGAAUGAACUCUGAAAAAGUUGAAAGUUGGGAUGCAUGGUAUCAUAAUUUCACCCACAUAGCAUUUUCUUAUUGCGGGAGAAAGUCUUCACUUUUUCUUCGCUUGUGUCAUUUGCUUAUUGCGCCGUAACCAUGGAUAAUCUUCAUUGUUUUUAAGGAUGCUUGGGUCAGCCUUGACAUUGAAGGGAGGAAUUUCAUGAAACUUUUCAUAAUCUUCAGACAUGUCUGUCUUGCCGUCCACUCCCAGGAUGUCCCUUUUUCCUGAAAGAACUAUGUGGCGCUUUGGCUCAUCGUAUGAUGUAUUCGCUUCCUUAUCUUUUCUUUUUCUCGGUUUAGUAGACAUGUCCUUCACAUAGAUAACCUGUGCCACAUCAUUGGCUAGGACGAACGGUUCGUCAGUGUACCCAAGAUUUUUCAGAUCCACUGUUGUCAUUCCGUACUGUGGGUCUACUUGUACCCCACCGCCAAACAGAAUGACCCAUUUGCACUUAAACAAAGGGACCUUAAAAUCAGGUCCGUAGUCAAGUUCCCAUAUGUCCACUAUGUAACCAUAAUAUGUGUCCUUUCCUCUCUCGGUUGCUGCAUCAAAGCGGACACCGCUGUUUUGGUUGGUGCUCUUUUGAUCUUGGGCGAUCGUGUAAAAUGUAUUCCCAUUUAUCUCGUAUCCUUUGUAAGUCAAUACAGUCAAAGAUGGUCCCCUGGACAACAAGUACAACUCAUCACAAACAGUGUUGUCACCUCUGAGACGUGUUUCCAACCAACUCCUGAAAGUCCUGAUGUGUUCACAUGUAAUCCAGUCGUCGCAUUGCUCCGGGUGUUUGGAGCGCAGACUGUUCUUGUGUUCAUCGACAUACGGGGUCCCCAAGGUAGAGUUCUGUAGAACUGUGUAGUGUGCUUGAGACCAAGAAUAUCCGUCCCUGCAUAUUAUUGAGUCUCUUCCAAGAGUGCCUUUUCCAGUCAGUCUCCCCUCAUACCGCGAUUUAGGGAGACCUAUCUUGUUAAGGCCAGGAAUGAAGUCAACACAAAACCCGAUAACAUCCUCUGUUUGAUGGCCCAUGGAGAUGCUUCCUUCUGGCCUAGCGCGGUUACGGACAUAUUUCUUUAGGACUCCCAUGAACCUCUCAAAGGGGAACAUAUUGUGUAGAAAUACGGGCCCCAGGAUGACAAUCUCGUCGACUAGAUGAACUAGGACGUGCGUCAUGAUAUUGAAGAAGGAUUGUGGGAACACCAGCUCGAAACUGACAAGACAUUGCGCCACAUCACUCCUUAGCCUUGGUACCAUUUCUGGAUCGAUCACCUUCUAAGAGAUUGCAUUGAGGAAUGCACAUAGCUUCACAAUGGCUAAUCGGACGUUUUCCGGUAAAAGCCCCCUCAAUGCAACCAGAAGCAGUUGCGUCAUAAUCACGUGGCAGUCAUGAGACUUUAGGUUCUGAAACUUUUUCUCUGGCAUAUUUAUUAUUCCCUUUAUAUUCGAUGAGAAGCCAGUCAUGACCUUCAUACUAAGCAGGCAUUCAAAGAAGAUUUCUUUCUCUUCUUUCGUAAGAGUGUAGCUGGCAGGACCUUUAUACUGCUUCGGAGGCAUGUCAUCUUUUUUGUGCAAACGUUGCAGGUCCUCCCAUGCCUCCGGCGUAUCUUUUGUCUUCCCAUACACGCCCAAGAAGCCUAGCAGGUUCACGCAAAGGUUCUUCGUCACGUGCAUCACGUUGAUUGAGGAGCGGACCUCUAGGUCUUUCCAGUAGGGUAGGUCCCAAAAUAUAGAUUUCUUCUUCCACAUGGGUGUGUGUCCCUCAGCGUCAUUCGGAACAGCUAGUCCACCGGGACCCUUUCCAAAGAUGACGUAGGGUAAAUCAUUGACCAUAGCAAGCACGUGAUCACCGGUGCGCAUGGCGGGCUUCUUUCGGUGAUCUGCCUCGCCUUUGAAAUGCUUGCCUUUCUUUCGACAUUGAUGGUUGGUCGGAAGAAAUCGACGAUGGCCCAGGUGCACAUUCUUCCUGCAUUUGUCCAGGUAUAUACUUUCAGUGUCAUCUAAACAGUGCGUGCAUGCGUGGUAUCCUUUGUUUGUCUGUCCUGAAAGGUUACUGAGAGCGGGCCAAUCGUUGAUGGUCACGAACAGCAACGCCUUAAGGUUAAAUUCCUCCUGUCUGUGCUCAUCCCACGUACGUACACCAUUUUCAUUCCACAGCUGUAAAAGUUCUUCAACUAAUGGACUUAGGUACACAUCAAUUUCGUUGCCGGGUUGCUUAGGGCCUUGGAUGAGAACUGGCAUCAUAAUGAACUUCCGCUUCAUGCACAUCCAAGGAGGAAGGUUAUACAUACAUAGAGUCGCGGGCCAGGUGCUGUGAUUACUGCUCUGCUCCCCGAAAGGAUUAAUGCCAUCCGCGCUUAAAGCAAACCAUACAUUCCUAGGGUCCUUUGCAAACUCAUCCCAGUACUUUCUCUCGAUUUUUCUCCACUGCGACCCGUCAGCGGGUGCUCUCAACUUCCCAUCUUUCUUUCGUUUCUCACUGUGCCAUCGCAUCAACUUGGCAUGCUCUUCGUUUCUGAACAGACGUUUCAACCGUGGUAUUAUAGGAGCAUACCACAUCACCUUUGCAGGGACCCUCUUCCUGAGGGGCUCGCCGUCAACAUCACCGGGGUCAUCUCGUCUGAUCUUAUACCGCAACGCACCGCAUACCGGGCAUGCGUUCAGAUCCUUGUAUGCACCGCGGUAGAGGAUGCAGUCAUUAGGGCAUGCAUGUAUCUUCUCCACCUCCAAUCCUAGAGGGCAUACGACCUUCUUUGCUGCGUAUGUACUGUCGGGCAAUUCGUUAUCCUUUGGAAGCUUCUUCUUCAAUAUUUUCAGUAGCUUCUCAAAUCCUUUGUCAGCCACAGCAUUCUCUGCCUUCCACUGCAGCAAUUCUAGUACGGUACUGAGCUUUGUGUUGCCAUCUUCGCAAUUGGGGUAUAACCCUUUUUUGUGAUCCUCUAACAUGCGAUCGAACUUCAGCUUCUCCUUUUGACUAAUGCAUUGCGUCCUUGCAUCGACAAUGACCCGGCGGAGAUCAUCAUCAUCGGGCACAUCGUCUGGUUCCUCUUGAUCUUCAGCAGCUUCACCUGUGGCAGCAUCAUUGGGCACAUCAUCAUCUGGUUCCUCUUGAUCUUCACCAGCUCCCCCCGUUGCAGCAUCACCGUAUUCAGGGGGCACAUAGUUGUCAUCGUACUCUUCUUCUUCGCCGUCUUCCAUCAUAACCCCUAUUUCUCCGUGCCUCGUCCAAACAUUAUAGUGUGGCAUGAAACCCUUGUAAAGCAGGUGGGAGUGAAGGAUUUUCCGGUUAGAGUAAGACCUCGUAUUCCCACAUUCAGUGCAUGGACAACACAUAAAACCAUUCUGCUUGUUUUCCUCAGCCGCAUCGAGAAACUCAUGCACACCCUUAAUGUACUCGCGGGUGUGUCUGUCACCGUACAUCCAUUGCCGGUUCAUCUGCGUGCAUUAUAUAUAAUUAAGUGUCCAAAUUAAUAGAAGUUCAUCAUCACAUUAAAACCAAAGUGCAUACAUAGUUCUCAUCUAACAACAUAUAGCUCUCCAGAGCAUCUAAUUAAUUAAACCAUACAUUGAAACUAUGUAAAACAUUUCAAUGCGAAAACAAAUGCGAUCAUAAUCGCAACCAAGGUAACAAUUGAUCCAACGGCAUAAUGAUACCAAGCCUCGGUAUGAAUGGCAUAUUUUCUAAUCUUUCUAAUCUUCAAGCGCAUUGCAUCCAUCUUGAUCUUGUGAUCAUCGACGACAUCCGCAACAUGCAACUCCAAUAUCAUCUUCUCCUCCUCAAUUUUUUUUAUUUUUUCCUUCAACAAAUUGUUUUCUUCUUCAACUAAAUUUAACCUCUCGACAAUAGGGUCGGUUGGCAUUUCCGAUUCACAUACAUCCUAGAUAAAUAAAAUCUAUGUCACGUUGGUCAGCAUAAUUUUCAUAAACAAUAAAUGAACCAAUAGUUAUAAAGAUAAUAUACAUACCACAUCCGAAUCAUAGACAGGACGAGGGCCGACGGGGGCGGAUACCAAAACCAUCGCACUAUAUAAGAUGCAAUAAUAAAUGUAAGAAAAUGAUACAAGUAUCUAUCUAAACAUACAAGUAAGAAUAUUUUUCCUUUCAGAAAGAAGAUAAGAACAAGAGGCUCACCACGGUGGUGUCGGUGAUGAGAUCGGCGCGGGUGAUCGACGGCAGUGAAGACGGGGACGGGGCGUGACGGACCGCUAAAUCUAGACAAAUCUCGAGGAAAAUGGAGCUUGGAGGUCGAGCUUCGAGAGGAGAAAGCUUAAGUAGUGUGGCUCGGGCAUUCCAUCGAACACCUCAUGUGCAUAGGAGGUGAGCUAGAGCACCACAAAGCCCUCUCCCCCUCGGCCAGAGAAAACAGAGCACUGGGGUGCUCUGCUCACGAGCGAGGGGUAUAUAUAGGCACCUCAUUGGUCCCGGUUGGUGGCAUGAGCCGGGACUAAAGGGAAGCCUUUGGUCCCGGUUCGGGCCACCAACCGGGACCAAUGAUGGUGGGCCAGGAGGGAGGCCCAUUGGUCCCGGUUCGUCCCACCAACCGGGACCAAAAGGUCCAUACGAACCAGGACCAAUGGCCCACGUGGCCCGGCCGGCCCCCUGGGCUCACGAACCGGGACCAAUUCCCACAUUGGUCCCGGUUCAAGACUGAACCGGGACUAAUGGGCUGAGGCGGCCUGGACCAUAGCCCCUUUUUCUACUAGUGCUUAUGGAAAUUAUAAUAAGAUGCCCUCUAAUUUUGAGAAUAGUGUUAAAUAAUUUAUGAGUUCGCAAAAGAAUUUCAAUGCUUUGAUUGAAGAAAAAUUGCUUAAGAUUGGUGAUUUGGCUAGGAACGUGGAUAGAACUACCCUUGAUGUCGAUUCUUUGAAACUUAGAUCUAUUUCACAUAAGCAUGAUAUCAAUGAGUCUCUCAAGGCUAUGAGAAUUCCCAUUGAUGAGUGCAAGGAAAGAACCGCUAAGAUGCGUGCUAAAAAAGAUUGGUUUAUAAAAGCGUGUUCUUCUAGCUAGUUUCCGUGAAAAUAAUGAUGAAGAUCUUAAAGUGAUUGAUGUGACUCCUAUUGAAUUUUUGUUUUCCAAUAUAAAUCUUGAGAAAGAUGGGACUGGAUAUGAGUCAACUUUAGUUAGAAGGCGUCCCAAUGAUUCGGAGUUUUUAGAUAUUAAUGCAAAAAUUGAUAAAAGUGGGAUUGGAGAGGUUAAAACUUUAGGUAGUAAUGAACCCACUCUUUUGGAUUUCAAGGAAUUUAAUUAUAAUAAUUUCUCUUUAAUAGAUUGUAUUUCCUUGUUGCAAUCCAUGUUGAAUUUUCCUCAUGCUUAUAAUCAAAACAAAGCUUUUACUAAACAUAUCAUUGAUGCUAUGAUGCAAUCCUUUGAAGAAAAGCUUGAAUUGGAAGUUUCUAUUCCUACACUAGUAGACAAAGGGUCAAACAUGAAGCACAUUAGUGCCGGUUUGAAUUUGAGCCGGCACUAAUGUGUGCAUUAGUGCCGGUUCCAACGGCUAGCCGGCCGCUCUCAUUAGUACCGGUUCAUGGCGAACCUUUAGCACCGGUUCGUGCCACGAACCGGUACUAAAGUGAGUGGUGGCAGGAUGUUGUCACUCCGGGGCCCCUCCAGCACCUUUAGUACCGGGUCGUAUCACGAACCGGUCCUAAAGGCCGUCCUACAUAGACCCUUCGUCCACCCGAGCUCGCUCUGUUCUUCCCCUUUCCCCUCUCCUCUUUGUACUUUUCCCUCUUCCUCUCAAUCUCAUCACACAUUUUGCCCAAAAUUUGUCAAGAUUUGAAGGCCCCCAUCCAUUCAAAUGAUCACAAAGGUUAGCAACUUUUUCCUUUCAUCUCUCAUUGCUAGAUUAGCUCGUGCAAUGCUUUAUAUAGUGAUUGAUUUUUGAGUUUAGUAAUUUGGGAGGAAUUAUAUAUAUGUGCUAGUAUUUGAUUUAUAUGCAAUUUUAGGUCAAAAAUAACACUUAGUUUGCAUAUGUAGGUGUGGUUUACGUAGUACCUUCUAAAUCUCCGUCGUAACCACCGUCGAUCGCUCGCAACGUCCCGUCACCAGCACCACCUUUUGGUGAGCCUCUUGUUCAUGAAGUUUUAUAUAAAAAAUUGAUGUUUGUGUGAUUUGGAUAUAUAGUUACUCGUAUAAUUAUCUUACCCAUACGUUGUUUGUUAUACAUAGUGCCAUGGUUUUGAUAUCCGUCCCCGUUGGCCCUCGUCCGGGUUAUGAUUCGGAUGUGGUAUAUUCUAUUUUAAAACUAUUCAUUGCAUUUCGUGUUUAUGACAAAUUAUGCCCAUCAAGUUGACAUAGAUAUUUGUAUGUAGGAGGUAGUUGAAACGGAAAUUCCAACCGACCCUAUUGUCGAGAGGUUAAAUUUAGUUGAAAGAGAAAACGAGGAUUUGAAGGAAAAAUUGAAAAGAAUUGAGGGGGAGAAGAUGGAAUUGGAGUUGCAUGUUGCCGAUGUCGUCGAUGAUCACAAGAUUAAGAUGGAGAAAAUGCGCUUGAAGAUUAGAAAGAUUAGAAAAUAUGCCAUUCAUAGUGAGGCUUGGUAGCAUUAUGCUGUUGGAUCAAUUGUUACCUUAGUUGCGAUCUUGAUCGCAUUUGUUGUUGCAUUUAAAUUCUUUAGCUAGGGACUUAUUUGUUUGUUGCAUUUAAGUGUUGUAUGAUCUUUAUGUAUGAACCUUAUGUAUUGUAUUAAUUUGAUGUUUUCGGUGUUGUGUAUUGAAGAUGAGCCGGCAAUGGAUGUACGAUGACUGAUGCUCUCCCAAGUUCAUUAAUGGCGUGCGUACUUUUCUGCUUGCGGCUGAGGCAAACAAGCGAGCGGAUGGUUGUAUGCCUUGUCCAUGUGCUGGCUGUAAGAAUGGUCACAGUUACUCUACGUCAAGAACCAUUCACGUCCACCUGUUUGAGUCUGGUUUCAUGCCCCACUAUAAUGUUUGGACCAAGCAUGGAGAAAGAGGGGUUAUGAUGGAAGACAAUGAAGAAGAAGAGGACGACGAAAGCUAUCCUGGCCAUGGGUUCCCUGAAUACGGUGAUACAACAAUGAGGGAAGAAGCUGAGCCGGUAAUGCGGGAAGAAGCUGAGCCGGCAAUGCGGGAAGAAGCUGAACAAGAGGCACGGAUGAGCCCGUUGAUGAUCUAGGUCGGGCCAUUGCCGAUGCAAAGAGAAACCGCGCUAGUGAUUUGGAGAAGAAGAAGUUGCAGCGCAUGUUAGAGGAUCACAAAAAUUGUUGUACCCGAAUUGCGUAGGUGACAAGAAAAAGCUAGGCACCACACUGGAAUUGCUGCAAUGGAAGGCAAAGAAUGGUGUAUCUGACAUGGGAUUUGGAAAGUUGCUGGUAAUGAUAAAGGAUAUGCUUCCAAAGGACAACAAAUUGCUCGAGAGUACGUACGAAGCAAAGAAGAUUGUCUGCCCUCUAGGGUUAGAGGUGCAGAUGAUACAUGCAUGCCCUAAUGAUUGCAUCCCCUACCACGGUGAGUAUGAGGAUUUGAAAGCUUGCCCGGUAUGAGGUGCAUUGCGCUAUAAGAUCAGCCACGAUGACCAUGGUGAUGUCGAGGGCGAGCGCCCCAGGAAGAAGAUACCUGCCAAGGUGAUGUGGUAUGCUCCUAUAAUACCAUGGCUGAAACGUUUGUUCCAAAACAAUGAGCAUGCCAAGGCGAUGUGAUGGCACAGAGAAGACCGUAAGAAAGACGGAAAGUUGAGAGUACCCGCUGACGGGUCGCAGUGGAGAAAAAUCGAAAGAAAGUACGGGAAGGAGUUUGCAGAUGACGCAAGGAACGUAUGGUUUGGUCUAAGCGCAGAUGGCAUUAAUCCUUUUGGGGAGCAGAGCAGCAACCAUAGCACCUGGCCUGUGACUCUAUGUUUGUAUAACCUUCCUCCUUGGUUGUGCAUGAAGCGGAAGUUCAUUAUGAUGCCAGUGCUCAUCCAAGGCCCUAAGUGUCAGGACCCCGAUUCCAAGUCACAUCGUUCUAGCCGGUAACACCUCAUAUCACUUUGCGGCCUCAUGCACGGUAUCCCACAGGUGUCGCCUUACCAUGGCCCGGGACCGUUUGCGCCUUUUGGCUCACGUAUAUGAUAGUGUCGCUAGCAUCCAUAUGACAGAGAACCCGGGCCGACAUGGCUAGUCGUGAACCCAAAGCGGCACAGACCUAUGGAGACAGGCAUACAUGAAUCACAUCAAGCAUGUCAGUCAUCAGUGAGUGAAUCCGGGCUGUAGCACUGGGCUAACAGGACUCCGGGGAACCCGGGCUGUAGCAGGCUAGGCAGGACUCCGGAUGUCACCGCGUGACAUUUCCCCGAAGGGACAGACAUAGGAACGACGUGAAACACAUGCCGGCCAGUCAAGUGUCCUGAGCAGUAGUGCUGGGCUAGCAGGACUCCGGUGAACCGGGCUGUAGCGGACUACUAUGGCUCGAGGAACACUAGACUACGUUUCCCCAUAAGAAAGGCUGCCAAGGAUAAACAACUAGAUUGUCGGAUCCCACUCAUACCAAGCAUUUCAAUCAUACACACAAUAUGCCCGAUAUGAGUACAUACAACAUGGCAUCACAAGAAAACUCUACAACUCAAAUACUUUAUUUAAAGGCUCCAGAGAGCCAUACAUAACAUGUUCAUACAGAUAGGGGUCACAUGACCCGACACUCAAGUCAUACAAUCAUACAAGCACAAGCGGAAGCAACUAGUCUGAGUACAGACACUAGAAAGAAAGAAGGCUUCUCGAAGCCUGUCUAUCUACAUAGGUCUCUCCAUGGCCAGGAUCACCACCUGGGUGGCUAGUCACUCGUCGACGUCAAGGUCUACGUAGAACCCAUCGGAGGGGCGGUGUUGUCAUCUGAAAACCGUAAUUAAGCAAACAUGAGUACAAAGGUACUCAGCAAGUCUUACAACAUAACCUACUAUAAAUGCUCAUUCUCAAGAAGGUGGUGGGGUUAUUGCAGCAAGCCAGCUUUGACUCUUGGCUAAGCUAUCCUACGGAACUCCACUAGUAAAAUAGUUUUCGCACACGAGUCCACUACUCACCAACAUAAUACUCCACCGGGGAUCCUCUCUCGUCAUCCUACGAGAGGGCCAUCCUCGGUACUCACACUUAUCUUGAGUCUUUUAGUAAUAACCAUUAACUUGUCUAUGAACUGUAUAGGCAACCAGGUAGUCCUUUACCGCGGACGCGGCUAUUCGAAUAGUUUUAUACCCUGCAGGGGUGUACUUCCUCAUACACGCUUUCACCACUUACCGCCGUUUACACGACAUGUACUCGGCAACCUUCAAGCCUUGGCCCAACGAGGGUGUCGGCCACGGCCUACCUAAACACUCAAAUCUCUAGUCCAGGUGCAUCGCCUAUCCAAGUUCCAUCCGCAGGGAGUCCGGCCGAGGUUUCCACAUACGGCCCCGAACGAUGUGAACAGGGUUCCCGAGACACCAAACAGGUGACUCGGUACACCGUGCCACGGUGUAUCUACCGCAACAUAGCCCACCCCUAGGGUCAGUGCUACGCACGGCCGCCAACACAUAACCUACAAACACCAGAAACUAUUUGCAACUCCUGGACAGAGUACUAGGGUAUUUAAGAAGCCGAGAGGGUCAAUUAAGGAUCCCAAUGCAUGGUAGUAGCUGAAUCUUAAAAUCACACAUACAGAUCUCAGUUCUUAGGGACGGCCUCAAUAAAACAACCCACCAUGUACUCCUACAUGGCCUCUCAUCGAUACCUUUACCAAAUCAUGUUCAUCACAUCCCUCACAUUACCGAUAUAACCAUUUCACUCUAGCCCAUCACCCAGAUGGACCAGACCUGACACAACUCUAAGCAUAGCAGGCAUAGCAAGGUAGGAAACACAUACCUGGCUCAAUCAACUCCUACACAUGCUAGUGGGUUUCAUCUAGUUACUGUGGCAAUGACAGGUCAUGCAGAGGAAAAGGGUUCAACUACCGUAGCACACAACAAUUUGAAUCGCGUUGUCUUAAUGCAGUAAACAAGAGCAGAAGCGAGAACAUGGGUUUGUAUCAGAAUGAUCAAUGGUUGUUUGCCUGUUGUAGUGGUAGUAGGGUACUGCCCUUCAGACGGAUACUCGGGGUUAUCCUCGGAGGCAGAACCUACCACGAAAGAUACACCGAACAUAAUCAACACAUGACAAUAUGCAACGGUAUGAUGCAUGCUAUGACAUGGCAAAAUGAAUGUGUCUUGGCCUAAUGCAAGCUGAAACAGGAUGGAAUGAACUCAUUUGAAUCAAAGAUUCAAAUGUUAGCUCAUUUAACAUGGCCUUAUUAGUGCAUUAUCUUAUUCUGCUUAAAUAGCAAGGUUAACUUGUUUUGUCAUGCAUGAAACCAUUACAGAUGGACAGAUUGAAUUUUUUUGAUCAUUUUUCAUAUAUAAAUCUUUGCAUUUGGAGCUAUGGUUGAUUUUCUAAGAUUUUUAGAAGUUUUGGCUAUUUACUGGAAUUUCCUAUUAAAGAAUAAAUCCAGUAAUUGAAUUAAUGCGUCAGCAUGACAUAGGUGUGAUGUCAGCGGGUCAACUGGGUUGGCCAGGUCAAACCUGACUGGCGGGCCCUGUCUGUCAGUGACUCAGCUAAUUAACAGAGUUAAAUUAACUCUAAUUAACUAAAAGUGGGGCCUGGGCCCACAUGUCAGUGACUGAACUAAUUAAAUUUAGUUAAAACAAAUCCUAAACUAAUCAGCAGGCCGGCCCCACCUGUCAUAGACUAACCUGGGCCCACACGGGGGUCAAACAGGGUAAACUCGCCGGCGUCUAGCCGCCGGCGAGGCCAGACGCGGCGGAGCAGUGCGGGAUUUGCACUCUGGCGACCAAAUGGGCGGCGGAGACUAUCUACGUGAUGCGGGGAGGAAGCCGCCUUUGGAAAUAUGCCCUAGAGGCAAUAAUAAAUUGAUUAUUACUAUAUUUCCUUGUUCAUGAUAAUCGUUUAUUAUCCAUGCUAGAAUUGUAUUGAUAGGAAACUCAGAUACAUGUGUGGAUACAUAGACAACACCAUGUCCCUAGUAAGCCUCUAGUUGACUAGCUCGUUGAUCAAUAGAUGGUUACAGUUUCCUGACCAUGGACAUUGGAUGUCAUUGAUAACGGGAUCACAUCAUUAGGAGAAUGAUGUGAUGGACAAGAACCAAUCCUAAGCCUAGCACAAGAUCAUGUAGUUCGUAUGCUAAAGCUUUUCUAAUGUCAAGUAUCAUUUCCUUAGACCAUGAGAUUGUGCAACUCCCGGAUACCGUGGGAGUGCUUUGAGUGUGCGAAACGUCACAACGUAACUGGGUGGCUAUAAAGGUACACUACAGGUAUCUCCAAAAGUGUCUAUUGGGUUGGCACGAAUCGAGACUGGGAUUUGUCACUCCGUGUAAACGGAGAGGUAUCUCUGGGCCCACUCGGUAGGACAUCAUCAUAAUGUGCACAAUGUGACCAAGGAGUUGAUCACGGGAUGAUGUGUUACGGAACGAGUAAAGAGACUUGCCGGUAACAAGAUUGAACAAGGUAUCGGCAUACCGACGAUCGAAUCUCGGGCAAGUAUCGUACCGAUGGACAAAGGGAAUUGCAUACGGGGUUGAUUAAGUCCUUGACAUCGUGGUUCAUCCGAUGAGAUCAUCGUGGAACAUGUGGGAGCCAACAUGGGUAUCCAGAUCCCGCUGUUGGUUAUUGAUCGGAGAGUCAUCUCGGUCAUGUCUGCAUGUCUCCUGAACCCGUAGGGUCUACACACUUAAGGUUCGAUGACGCUAGGGUUAUAAAGGAAGUUUGUAUGUGGUUACCGAAUGUUGUUCGGAGUCCCGGAUGAGAUCCCGAACGUCAUGAAGAGUUCCGGAAUGGUCCGGAGGUAAAGAUUUAUAUAUGGGAAGUCCUGUUUUGGUCACCGGAAAAGUUUCGGGUUUUAUCGGUAACGUACCGGGACCACCGGGAGGGUCCCGGGGGUCCACCAAGUGGGGCCACAAGCCCCGGAGGGCUGCAUGGGCCAAGUGUGGGAGGGGACCAGCCCCAGGUGGGCUGGUGCGGCCCCCCACCAAGGCCCAAGGCGCAAGGAAGAGGGGAAGGGGGCAAACCCUAGGGCAGAUGGGCCCUAAGGCCCACCCUGGUGCGCCUCCCCCUCUCCCCUCCCCUUGGCCGCCCCUAGAUGGGAUCUAGGGGGCUGCCGCCACCCCUAGGGAGGGAACCCUAGGUGGGGGCGCAACCCAUCCCCUCCCCCUAUAUAUAGUUGAGGUUUGGGCUGCCCAAUACACAUGAGUUCCUCUCUUUCUUGGCACAGCCCUAUCCCUCUCUUUCUCCUCAUAUCUCGCAGUGCUUGGUGAAGCCCUGCUGGAUCACCAUGCUCCGCCAUCACUACCACGCCGUUGUGCUGCUGUUGGAUGGAGUCUUCCUCAACCUCUCCCUCUCUCCUUGCUGGAUCAAGGCAUGGGAGACAUCGUCGGGCUGUACGUGUGUUGAACGCGGAGGUGCCGUCCGUUCGGCACUAGGAUCUCCGGUGAUUUGGAUCACAACGAGUACGACUCCUUCAACCCCGUUCUCUUGAACGCUUCCACUUAGCGAUCUACAAGGGUAUGUAGAUGCACUCUCCUUCCCCUCGUUGCUGGUUUCUCCAUAGAUAGAUCUUGGUGACACGUAGGAAACUUUUGAAUUUCUGCUACGUUCCCCAAUAGUGGCAUCAUGAGCUAGGUCUAUUGCGUAGAUUCUAUGCACGAGUAGAACACAAAGUAGUUGUGGGCGUUGAUUUUGUUCAAUAUGCUUACCGUUACUAGUCCAAUCUUGUUUCGACGGUAUUGUGGGAUGAAGCGGCCCGGACCGACCUUACACGUACUCUUACGUGAGACAGGUUCCACCGACUGACAUGCACUAGUUGCAUAAGGUGACUAGCGGGUGCCAGUCUCUCCCACUUUAGUCAGAACGGAUUCGAUGAAAAGGGUCGUUAUGAAGGGUAAAUAGCAAUUGGCAUAUCACGUUGUAUUUUUGCGUAGGUAAGAAACGUUCUUGCUAGAAACCCAUAGCAGCCACGUAAAACAUGCAAACAACAAUUAGAGGACGUCUAACUUGUUUUUGCAGGGUAUGCUAUGUGAUGUGAUAUGGCCAAGAAGAAUGUGAUGAAUGAUAUGUGAUGUAUGAGAUUGACCAUGUUCUUGUAAUAGGAAUCAUGACUUGCAUGUCGAUGAGUAUGACAACCGGCAGGAGCCAUAGGAGUUGUCUUUAUUUAUUGUAUGACCUACGUGUCAUUGAACAACGCCAUGUAAUUACUUUACUUUAUUGCUAACUGGUAGCCAUAGUGGUAGAAGUAAUAAGUUGGCGAGACAACUUCAUGGAGACACAAUGAUGGAGAUCAUGGUGUCAUGCCGGUGACGAUGAUGAUCAUGGAGCCCCGAAGAUGGAGAUCAAAAGGAGCAAUAUGAUAUUGGCCAUAUCAUGUCACUAUUUGAUUGCAUGUGAUGUUUAUAAUGUUUAUACAUCUUAUUUGCUUAGAAUGACGGUAGUAAAUAAGAUGAUCCCUCAUUAAAAUUUCAAGAAAGUGUUCCCCCUAACUGUGCACCGUUGCGAAAGUUCGUCCUUUUGAAGCACCACGUGAUGAUCGGGUGUGAUAGAUUCUUACGUUCGAAUACAACGGGUGUUGACGAGCCUAGCAUGUACAGACAUGGCCUCGGAACACAUGCAAAACACUUAGGUUGACUUGACGAGCCUAGCAUGUACAGACAUGGCCUCGGAACACAAGAGACCGAAAGGUCGAGCAUGAGUCGUAUGGUAGAUACGAUCAACAUGAAGAUGUUCACCGAUGUUGACUAGUCCGUCUCACGUGAUGAUCGGACACGGCCUAGUUGACUCGGAUCAUGUAAUCACUUAGAUGACUAGAGGGAUGUCUAUCUGAGUGGGAGUUCAUAAGAUGAACUUAAUUAUCCUGAACAUAGUCAAAAGGACUUUGCAAAUUAUGUCGUAGCUCACGCUAUAGUUCUACUGUUUAGAUAUGUUCCUAGAGAAAAUUUAGUUGAAAGUUGAUAGUAGCAAUUAUGCGGACUAGGUCCGUAAACUGAGGAUUGUCCUCAUUGCUUCAUAGAAGGUUUAUGUCCUUAAUGCACCGCUCAGUGUGCUGAACCUCGAACGUCGUCUGUGGAUGUUGCGAACAUCUGACAUACACAUUUUGAUAACUACGUGAUAGUUCAGUUAAACGGUUUAGAGUUGAGGCACCGAAGACGUUUUGAAACGUCACGAAACAUAUGAGAUGUUUCGAGGGCUGAAAUUGGGAUUUCAGGAUCGUGCCCACAUCAAGAGGUAUAAGACCUCCGACGAUUUUUCUUAGCCUGCAAACUAAGGGAGAAAAGCUCAACUGUUGAGCUUGUGCUCAGAUUGUCUGAGUACAACAAUCAUUUGAAUCGAGUGGGAGUUGAUCUUCCAGAUGAGAUAGUGAUGUUUCUCCGAAGUCAUUACCACCAAGCUGCUAGAGCUUCGUGAUGAACUAUAAUAUAUCAGGGACAUAUAUGAUGAUCCUUGAGAUAUUCGCGAUGUUUGACACCACAAAAGUAGAAAUCAAGAAGGAGCAUCAAUUGUUGAUGGUUGGUGAAACCACUAGUUUCAAGAAGGGCAAGGGCAAGAAGGGAUACUUCAUGAAAUGGCAAUUCAGCUGCUGCUCUAGUGAAGAAACCCAAGGUUGAACCCAAACCCGAGACUAAGUGCUUCUGUAAUAAGGGAAACAACCACUGGAGCAGAAUUACCCUAGAUACUUGGUAGAUGAGAAGGCUGGCAAAGUCGAUAGAAGUAUAUUGGAUAUACAUUGUGUUAAUGUGUACUUUACUAGUACUCCUAGUAGCACCAUGGUAUUAGAUACCGGUUCGGAUGCUAAAUGUUAGUAAACUCGAAAUAAAAGGCUGCAGAGUAAACGGAGACUAGCCAAAGGUGAGCUGGCAAAAUGUGUUGGAAGUUUUUCCAAGCUUGAUGUCAUCAAGCAUCGCACGCUCCCUCUACCAUCGAGAUCGGUGUUUGCGUUGAGCAUAGACAUGAUUGGAUUAUGUCUAUCGCAAUACGGUUAUUCAUUUAAGGAGAAUAAUGGUUACUCUGUUUAUUUGAAUAAUACCUUCAAUGGUCUUGCACCUAAAAUGAAUGGUUUAUUGAAUCUCGAUCGUAGUGAUACACAUGUUCAUGCCAGAAGAUAUAAGAUAGUAAUGAUAGUACCACCUACUUGUGGCACUGCCAUGUAAGUCAUAUCGGUAUAAAACGCAUGAAGAAGCUCCAUGUUGAUGGAUCUUUGGGCUCACUCGUUUUUGAAAAGUUUGAGACAUGCGAACCAUGUCUAUUGGUGUAUAUGCAUGAAGAAACUCCAUGCAAAUGGACCGUUUGGACUCACUCGAUUUUGAAUCACUUGAGACAUGCAAAUCAUACCACAUGGGCAAGAUGACUGAAAGCCUCGUUUUCAGUAAAAUGGAACUAGAAAGAAACUUGUUGGAAGUAAUACAUUUUGAUGUGUGCAGUCCAAUGAGUGCUGAGGCAUGUAGUGGAUUUCAUUAUGUUCUUACUUCACAGAUGAUUUGAGUAGAUACUGAGUAUAUUUACUUGAUGAAACAUAAGUCUGAAUUAUUGAAAGGUUCAAGUAAUUUCAGAGUGAAGUUGAACAUCGUCGUGACAAGAGGAUAAAAUGUCUAUGAUAUGAUCGUAGAGAUGAAUAUCUGAAUUACGAGUUUGGCACAAAAUUAAGACAUUAUGGAAAUUGUUUCACAACUAAUACAGUCUGGAACACCACAGUGUGAUGGUGUGUCCGAAUAUCAUAACUGCACCCUAUUGGAUAUGAUGCAUACCAUGAUGUCUCUUAUCAAAUUACCACGAUAGUUUAUGGGUUAGGCAUUAGAGACAACCACAUUCACUUUAAAUAGGGCACCACGUAAUUCCGAUGAGAUGACACCGUAUGAACUAUGGUUUAGAGAAACCUAAGCUGUCAUUUCUUAAAAGUUUGGGGCUGCGACGCUUAUGUGAAAAAGUUUUAGGCUGAUAAGCUCGAACCCAAAGCGGAUAAAUGCAUCUUCAUAGGACACCCAAAAUAGUUGGGUAUACCUCCUGUCUCAGAUCCGAAAGCAAUAAGGGAUUGUUUCUAGAAUCGAGUCCUUUCUCGAGGAAAGGUUUCUCUCGAAAGAAUUGAGUGUGAUGAUGGUGGAGAUUUGAUGAGGUUAUUGAACUGUCUCUUCAACUAGUGUGUGGCAGGGCACAGGGAGUUGUUCCUGUGGCACCUACACCAAUUGAAGUGGAAGCUUAUGAUAGUGAUCAUGAAACUUCAGAUCAAGUCACUACCAAACCUCGUGGGAUGACAAGGAUGCGUACUACUUCAGAGUGGUACGUAAUCCUAUCUUGGAAGUCAUGUUGCUAGACAACAAUGAACCUACAAGCUAUGGAGAAGCAAUGGUGGGCCUGGAUUCCAAAAUGGCUCGAAGCCAUAUAAUCCGAGAGAGGAUCCAUCUAUGAAAACAAAGUGUAGACUUUGGAAGAACUACUUGAUGGUCGUAAGGCUGUUAGGUACAUAGGGAUUUUAAAAGGAAGACGGACAAUGAUAGUAAGUAUCACCAUUAAGAAAGCUUGACUUGUCGUUAAGAUGUUUUCCGACAAGUUCAAGGAGUUGACUACGAUGAGACUUUCUCACUCGUAGCGAUGCUAAGAGUCUGUUGGAAUUAUAUUAGCGAUUACUGCAUUAUUUAUGAAAUCUUGCAGAUAGGAUAUCAAAACAUUGUUUCCUCGAUGUUUUUUUGAGGAAAGGUUGUAUGUGAUACAACCAGAAGGUUUUGUCAAUCCUGAAAGAUGCUAACAAGUAUGCAAAGCUCCAGCAAUCCUUCUAAGGACUGGAGUAAGCAUCUCGGAGUUGGAAUGUAUGCUUUGAUGAGAUGAUCAAAGUUUUGGGUGUAUACAAAGUUUAUGAGAAACUUGUAUUUCCAAAGAAGUGAGUGGGAGCACUAUAGAAUUUCUGAUGAGUAUAUGUUGUUAACAUAUUGUUGAUCGGAAAUGAUGUAGAAUUUCUGGAAAGCAUGCAGAGUUAUUUGAAAAGUGUUUUUCAAUGGAAAGCCUGGAUUAAGCUACUUGAACAUUGAGCAUGAAGAUCUAUAAGGAUAGAUCAAAACGCUUAAUGGUAAUUUCAAAUGAGCACAUACCUUGACAUGAUCUUGAAGGUGUUCAAGAUGGAUCAGUCAAAGAAGGAGUUCUUGCCUGAGUUGUAAGGUAUGAAGUUAAGACUUAAAGCUCGACCACGGAAGAAGAAAGAGGAAGGACGAAGGUCGUCCCCUAUGCUUUUGUCAUAGGCUCUCUACAGUAUGCUAUGUUGUGUGCCGCACUUGAAGUGUGCCUUGCCAUGAGUCAGUCAAGGGGUACAAGAGUGAUCCAAGAAUGGAUCACAAGACAACGGUCAAAGUUAUCCUUAGUAACUAGUGGACUAAGGAAUUUUCUCGAUUAUGGAGGUGGUAAAAGAGUUCGUCGUAAAGGGUUACGCCGAUGCAAACUUUGACACUAAUCUAGAUUAUUCUGAGUAGUAGACUGGAUUCGUAUAGUAGAACAGUUAUUUGGAAUAGCUCCAAAUAGAACGUGGUAGCUGCAUCUAGGAGAUGACAUAGAGAUUUGUAAAGCACACACGGAUCUGAAAGAUUCAGACCCGUUGACUAUAACAUCUCUCACAAGCAUAACAUGAUCAAACCCAGAACUCAUCGAGUGUUAAUCACAUGGUAAUGUGAACUAGAUUAUUGACUCUAGUAAACUCUUUGGGUGUUAGUCACAUGGGGAUGUGACCUUGAGUGUUUAUCACAUAUCGAUGUGAACUGGAUUAUUGACUCUAGUGCAAGUGGGAGACUGUUGGAAAUAUGCCCUAGAGGAAAUAAUAAAUUUAUUAUUAUUAUAUUUCCUUGUUCAUGAUAAUCGUUUAUUAUCCAUGCUAGAAUUGUAUUGAUAGGAAACUCAGAUACAUGUGUGGAUACAUAGACAACACCAUGUCCCUAGUAAGCCUCUAGUUGACUAGCUCGUUGAUCAAUAGAUGGUUACAGUUUCCUAACCAUGGACAUUGGAUGUCAUUGAUAACGGGAUCACAUCAUUAGGAGAAUGAUGUGAUGGACAAGACCCAAUCCUAAGCCUAGCACAAGAUCAUGUAGUUCGUAUGCUAAAGCUUUUCUAAUGUCAAGUAUCAUUUCCUUAGACCAUGAGAUUGUGCAACUCUCGGAUACCGUAGGAGUGCUUUGGGUGUGCCAAAUGUCACAACGUAACUGGGUGGCUAUGAAGGUACACUACAAGUAUCUCCAAAAGUGUCUGUUGGGUUGGCACGAAUCGAGACUGGGAUUUGUCACUCCGUGUAAACGGAGAGGUAUCUCUGGGCCCACUCGAUAGGACAUCAUCAUAAUGUGCACAAUGUGACCAAGGAGUUGAUCACGGGAUGAUGUGUUACGGAACGAGUAAAGAGACUUGCCGGUAACGAGAUUGAACAAGGUAUCGGCAUACCGACGAUCGAAUCUCGGGCAAGUAUCGUACCGAUGGACAAAGGGAAUUGCAUACGGGAUUAAUUAAGUCCUUGACAUCGUGGUUCAUCCGAUGAGAUCAUCGUGGAACAUGUGGGAGCCAACAUGGGUAUCCAGAUCCCGCUGUUGGUUAUUGACCGGAGAGUCAUCUCGGUCAUGUUUGCAUGUCUCCCGAACCCGUAGGGUCUACACACUUAAGGUUCGAUGACGCUAGGGUUAUAAAGGAAGUUUGUAUGUGGUUACCGAAUGUUGUUCGGAGUCCCGGAUGAGAUCCCGGACGUCAUGAGGAGUUCCGGAAUGGUCCGGAGGUAAAGAUUUAUAUAUAGGAAGUCCUGUUUUGGUCACCGGAAAAGUUUCGGGUUUUAUUGGUAACGUACCGGGACCACCGACAGGGUCCCGGGGGUCCACCAAGUGGGGCCACAAGCCCCGGAGGGCUGCAUGGGCCAAGUGUGGGAGGGGACCAGCCCCAGGUGGGCUGGUGCGCCCCCCCACCAAGGCCCAAGGCGCAAGGAAGAGGGGAAGGGGGCAAACCCUAGGGCAGAUGGGCCCUAAGGCCCACCCUAGUGCGCCUCCCCCUCUCCCCUCCCCUUGGCCGCCCCUAGAUGGGAUCUAGGGGGCUGCCGCCACCCCUAGGGAGGGAACCCUAGGUGGGGGCGCAGCCCCUCCCCUCCCCCUAUAUAUAGUUGAGGUUUGGGCUGCCCAAUACACAUGAGUUCCUCUCUUUCUUGGCGCAGCCCUAUCCCUCUCUUUCUCCUCAUAUCUCGUAGUGCUUGGCGAAGCCCUGCUGGAUCACCAUGCUCCUCCAUCACCACCACGCCAUUGUGCUACUGCUGGAUGGAGUCUUCCUCAACCUCUCCCUCUCUCCUUGCUGGAUCAAGGCAUGGGAGACGUCAUCGGGCUGUACGUGUGUUGAACGCGGAGGUGCCGUCCGUUCGGCACUAGGAUCUCCGGUGAUUUGGAUCACGAUGAGUACGACUCCUUCAACCCCGCACUACUAGGAAAAGGCCUACUAAUGGCGCACCAGUUUUGCCUACUAAUGGCGCAUCACUGGUGCGCCAUUACUAGCACGCCAUUAGUAAUUUUUACUAAUGGCGCACCACUGGUGCGCCAUUAGUAUCUGGUAUACUAAUGGCGCACCACUGGUGCGCCAUUAGUAUAGGCCACAGGUGCACCAUUAGUAUACCAGAUACUAAUGGCGCACCGCGUGGUGCGCCAUUAGUAUACCAUUCGGUGCUCCACUGGUAUUCCCUCCAGGUGCGCCACUAAUAACCUUAUAGGUGCGCCACUAGUAAUAAAGGAAGGUGCGCCACUAAUAAGGGCUUAAAUGCGCCACUACUAAUGUAUUUGGAAAACAAAAAAAAAUCUAAAUUUACAGAAAAAAACCUAUAAGGAAAAAUAAUUUAAAAACAAAAAAUGAAAUAGAAUCAUAAUUUUUAUUAUAGUAAGAAUAUUACAAUGUCUUUACAAGUUUCCAAUAAAAGGGAAAUUGCAAGGAAAUAAAAAAAAUCCUAAAGCUAAUCUUCUAGUAAUCUUCUCUUCUUUUUCUUCACUUUAUCCCUGCAAAAUGUAACAAAAUAAACACAAACACAAACAAACUAUUUAUAACAUGUCAAUACUGUCAUUUUUUCAGACCAAGUAACUAACAACUUCAGUGAGACAGGCACAGUGCAGUGUGAAUUUCAAUUGGCUAAAUCAUAUAUAGAAAUCAGUAUCUUCUCUAUGAACCUGAAACUGAGAUGACUGGACUAAUUUUGCACAUUUGAUUUAUGAAUUUAUUCUUCUUCGACAACCAACUAAACUUCGGAUCACCUACUAAGCAUCUGUACAUACUACAUAGGCUGAUUAAUCCAACAGCCACAAUGCAAAUAUUGACUAUUUCCAUUCAACUUCUUCACUUACUCAUUAUUAUCUAAUGAAACCAUUCGUAACUAAUGAAGCAGAUUGGCUAAAGUUAUUAUCAAGUCCUAAGUCCUAAUUGAAGCAGAUCUGCUAGGGUUCUUCUCGCUAGCCCCUCAUGGCCAACCGUUUCGGAACAGGCAGGCAGAGCUGCUUGGCCGGUGGCUAGGGAGUCGCUGGUGAUGUUGGGCAUCUCACACGAGCACCUGGCUAUUUGAGGAAACCGAAAUAGUAGCAUAAACAAGAUUGAUUCCGAGGAAAUGAUAGAACCUAUUCUAUCAAAGUGCUACUCCCCCCGUUCCAUAAUUCCAGUCGUGGUUUUUUAACUAAAACCAUGAAGAGAACUAUGGAAUGGAGGGAGUAGAAAACAAUAGCAUGCUUAAAAUUCUACCAUACACAGCAGCAACAGACAUUACACAAGCAUUUAUUUAUUUAUUGCAUUUGGCACAAGUUAAAAAUUCUCACAAGCAGAGGCGGUCCUAUCAGACAAAAAGAACAUGGACCGCUCAUUACAAAGCACUUCUACUGCAGUAUCAUGGAGUAGGAAAAGGGGCUUAAGCAGCAAAGAAGUAUAAUAAGAGAAAAAAACACUAUGGCGGCUGGAACUAGAAGAGCACCAUCACAGGUUCGAAACAUCACCAUGGAGUCGAUGGCCGGCAUAGCCCAUGGCAGGGCUGGAUGGGCAGCAUAAUAACACAAUAAAAGUUUGAUGUAUACUUAUUCGUUUGAAAAGAUGCAAGCUUAUUUACACCCUAGGACUGUUGAUUAGGGUCUGGAUGGUAUUUUUGUUCCUUGCGUAAGUAAGAGAAGGACUAGCAUCCAUAGUAGAAAGAAGGGUAAACAUACAUAAAGGAAAGUUUUUAUAGCGUCACGACCGAAAGAGGCUACGUGCGGCUGGGUGAAAUGGACAAGGUUUCAUGUAUGCAAUAUAUUAUAGAAAAAUAAGUGUUGACAGAAAAUGAAAGAUUUCCUGUCAAACAAACAGAGCUUCAUUUUGUAACAUUUCUGACCCACAUGAUAAUUGUACAACAUAGUAGAGGAGACCACUGUACAUACAUGUGUUGAAUGAAGCAGACUAAGAAAUAUUGGGUGGGUAUAAAGAAUACAAUAGUACGGUAGCUGAUGUAAACAAGUGCAGAGUUGCAUCCACAGAAUAGGUAACAAAUUAAAUAGCCCUGGUGCCAACAGUAGAGUUCGUGUAUCCAAUCCAUCCUUUGUUUAACACAGCAGCUCCAACUCUUGUGUAACAAAUUAAGUUUGGCAUGGGCACACAUAAAGCACUGACAUUUUCAUGGCUCGAUGGCCGUGGGCUAAGGGAGCAGAGGAGGAGGUGCGGCUCACCUCACAUGGCGGCGGAACCGAGGGAUGAAGGUGCGGCGCACCGGAGCAGGCAGAGGUGCCUUGUGUUGGCCAAACACGUGGCCAGCAGCAGAGAAGCGCUUCUCUUGCUCGACGGAUGUUGGGUGUGUGUGAGGCGUGCUCCUGCCUGCCUGCCUGCGUGAGGAACGGGAGGACCAUUAGAGAAGAGAAGGGAAGGGAAGAAGAGCAGGUAGAGGAUGGCAAGGGGAGAGGAGGGAAUCAAAAUCAAAGAUGAGAAGAUGACCUUGAGGAGGAGCAGGGGAAGAGCGGAGCAGCAGAAACAGAGGCCUUCCUCUCCCGGUGGUGAGGACCGAGGCGACCUCCGUCACGGCCUAGCCAGGUCGACGACUCUGGCGACCGUGGCUGCCAGAUCCGGUGUCACCAUGGCCGGCCUCCUCCUGUGGUGCCUGCUAGGUCGCCAUGGCCGCGGGCUCCUUGUCCGUGGCGGCUGGAUCUGGGGCCUUGGGGUGGCGGGGAGCUCCUCCUCCUGCAGCUCGGCGGCCUCCACACCCCGGAGCAACGCCGUCGCCGGAGGACGUGGUCACCUGCUCUCCUCUGGAUCCGGUGAGGAGGGUUGGGGAAGGAGCUCACCACGGCUCCAUGCCCUGGAUCUGGUGUGAGGGAGGGGGAAGGGAGCUCGCCGUGGUCAGGAGGGAGAGGAAGAGGCGGGCGGCCGGGGCUUCCCGAUCUAAAUCAAAGUCGAGGGAGGUGGGUGGGUGUGUCAGGAGGAAGGUGAGGGGGAGAGAACGUGACAAGAUGGAGGGGAUAAGGGGUGAUAGCAAUGGCGCACUGGUAGGGGUGCGCCAUACGUAUAGAUAGCAAUGGCGCAUCUCUUACUGGUGCGCCAUUACUAGUUUAAACUAGUAAUGGUGCACGGUGGAACAGUGCGCUAUUAGUAGUUUUGCAAAAAAAAGUAAUAAAAAUAUAAUAAAAAAACAACAUUAGUGGCGCACUUUUCGACAGGUGCGCCAUUACUAGUUACAACUAGUAAUGGCGCACUGUGUCUGGAUGCGCCAUUAGUAUGUUUGGACAGGCGCACUAGUUCAAAAAAAAUUGAUACUAAUGGCGCACCCUGGGCCAGGUGCGCCAUUAGUAGUUUCAACUCUAAUGGCGUAUCAGAAGGUGGUGCGCCAUUAGUAUAUACCCUUGUAGAGGACUUAGGACUUGAUAAUAACUUUAGCCAAUCUGCUUCAUUAGUUACGAAUGGUUUCAUUAGAUAAUAAUGAGUAAGUGAAGAAGUUGAAUGGAAAUAGUCAAUAUUUGCAUUGUGGCUGUUGGAUUAAUCAGCCUAUGUAGUAUGUACAGAUGCUUAGAAGGUGAUCCGAAGUUGGAGAGGUCGGGGAUGAGCUGAUGCGGCGGGGGUGGUGAAGGGGAUCUCUGGUGGCCGGAGUUGAGGACGAGCUCGGUGCAGCGUCUCCGAGGCGAGCAAGCGCUCGGGCGCGGCCUACUCGAUGUAGUCGAUGGCGGCGGAGCUCGUGGACACGAUGGCGCGGCGCGAGGACGACGGAAGGCACGGCUACGACGACGGUGCGGCGACAGAAGUGUCGGCCAUGGUGGGGAACGGCGAAGGGAUAGAGACAGGGGGGAAAUGGCGUGUCCAGGGGCUUCGGGGUGCGACGUGGAGGCGUCCAGGCGUCUAGGGGCGCGGGCGGCAAGCAGGUGACGCCGUGGUGAGCUCGGGCACGCCGGAGUCACCUCCCUGCCUGCGUGGCGGGGAAGAAGCAGCUGGCUGGCGCGAGCCAGCACAGUGCUGGGCCGCCUGGUGGGCCGGCGGGUGAGAUAGCUGGGCCGCGCCAGGUAAGCUUCUCUCUCUCUCUCUCUUUCUUAUUUGUUUUCUUUUUCUAUUUUUCUGCAACUGUUGGGCUUUAUUAAAAAUACCUAGACAUCUUUAAAAAUCCUGAAAAUAAUCAGGGGCUCUGUUUAGAUUAUUCCCAACAGCCCACACUUAUUUCUAGAAUUAUUUGAGCAUUUAAAUUAUUUUAUAGCAUUUAAAUGCCCAAAUUCAAAUACUUAUGAUUUAAUUCAAGAAAAUCCAGAAUGUCCUAGAAAAGAGUGCACCAUUUUUGCCAGGGGUUUUAGCCCAAUCCAGAAAUGAUGAACAUUUUGUGAAAGGCAUUUUGGGUUCAUUGAAAAUAAUUUUAGUAAACCCUAGUUGUUUCCAGGGGGUGCUGGGGGUUCUGUCAUCCCCAUUUCAAAUUUAAAAGGAAUUUAAACAUGAUGCACACUCUAAUGCUUGAACUAGCUAGGGUGUGACACUAAGCAACCCGGCAACGACAUAGAUGUGUACCUAAGGCCAUUAGUUGAAGAACUCUUACAACUGUGGAAUGGAACAGGUGUACGUGCGUGGGAUGAGCACAUGGGGAAAGAAUUUGACCUAAAGGCGUUGUUGUUCGUGACCAUCAAUGAUUGGCCUGCUCUCACUAACCUUUUAGGACAGACAAACAAGGGAUACCGCGCAUGCACGCACUGUUUGGACGAUGCCGACAGUAUAUAUUUGGCUAAAUGUAAGAAGAAUGUGUACCUGGGACAUCAUCGAUUUCUUCCGAGCAGGCAUCCCGUAAGAAAGAAAGGCAAGCAUUUCAAAGGUGAGGCGGAUCACCGGACGAAGCCUCGCCACCGUACUGGUGCUGAUGUACAUGAUAUGGUCAACGAUUUGAAGGUGGUCUUUGGAAAGGGUCCUGGUGGACAACCUAUUCCGAAUGACGCUGACGGACGCGCACCCAUGUGGAAGAAGAAAUCUAUAUUUUGGGACCUGCCCUAUUGGAAAGACCUAGAGGUCCGCUCCGCAAUCGACGUGAUGCACGUGACGAAAAUCUUUGUGUGACCCUGCUUGGCUUCUUGGGCGUGUAUGGGAAGACAAAAGAUACACCUGAGGCACGGGAGGACCAACAAUGUAUGCACGGAAAAGAUGGCAUACAUCAGGGUCAUGCAAGCUACGCUCUUACCAAAGAAGAGAAGGAAAUCUUCUUUGAAUGCCUGCUCAGUAUUAAGGUACCGUCUGGCUUCUCGUCUAAUAUAAAGGGAAUAAUAAACAUGGCAGACAAAAGUUCCAGAACCUAAAGUCUCAUGACUGCCACGUGAUUAUGGCGCAACUGCUUCCGGUUGCAUUGAGGGGGCUUCUACCAGAAAACGUUCGAUUAGCCAUUGUGAAGCUAUGUGCAUUUCUCAAUGCAAUCUCUCAGAAGGUAAUCGAUCCAGAAAUAAUACCAAGGUUAGAGAAUUAUUUGGUGCAAUGUCUUGUCAGUUUCGAGUUGGUGUUCCCACCAUCCUUCUUCAACAUCAUGACGCACGUCCUAGUUCACCUAUGCGAAGAGAUUAACGUUUUGGGUCAUGUAUUUCUACACAAUAUGUUCCCCUUUGAGAGGUUCAUGGGAGUCUUAAAGAAAUAUGUUCAUAACCGUGCUAGGCCAGAAGGAAGCAUCUCCAAGGCCAUGAAAAUGAGGAGGUCAUUGAGUUUUGUAUUGACUUUAUUCCUGACCUUAAGCCGAUUGGUGUUCCUGAAUCGCGGCAUAAGGGCAGACUGGAUGGAAAAGGCACGCUAGGAGGGGAACAAAUAAUAUGUAUGUACGGACAUUCUCUCACUGAAGCACACUACACAGUUCUACAGAAUUCCGCCUUGGUGGCUCCAUAUAUGGAUGAACACAAGAAUUUGCUACGCUCCAAACACCCGGAGCGGUCUGAUGACUGGAUUACACGUGAACAAACCAGAAGUUUCGCCAGCUGGUUGCAGACACGUACCAUGCAUGACACCUCUAUUGAAGAUGACCUGUACUUGCUGUCCCAGUUACCAUCUUCGAAUAUAAUGACUUUCAAAGGGUACCAGAUAAAUGGUAAUACAUUUUACACGAUCGCCCAAGAUAAGAAGAGCACCAACCAAAACAGUGGUGUCUACUUUGAUGCAGAAACCAAGACGGGAAAGGAAACAUAUUAUGGUUAUAUACCGGACAUAUGGGAACUUGACUAUCGACGUGGUUUAAAGGUCCCUUUGUUUCGGUGCAAAUGGGUCAAUAUGACACGAGGCGGGGUAACGGAAGACCCGCAGUACGGAAUGACAACAGUGGAUCUCAACAAUCUUGCGUAUGCAGACGAACCAUUCGUCCUAGCCAAUGAUGUGGCACAGGUUUUCUAUGUGAAGGACAUGUCUACCAAGCCAAGAAAAAGAAAAGAUAAGGAAGCGAAUGCAUCGUACGAUGAGCCAAAGCGGCACAUAGUUCUUUCUAGGAAGAGAAACAUCGUGGGAGUGGAUGACAAGACAGACAUGUCAGAAGAUUAUGAAAAGUUUGAUGAAAUUGCUCCAUUCACAGUGAAUAUUGACCCGAGCAUCCCGUUAAAUGAUGAAGAUUUUCCAUGGUUACGGCGCAAAGGGACGCACGCGAAGAAAAAGUUUCACACCCAAAGAUCUGGGAUGUGAUCGGCUUCACUAUCAUCACUUUCUUCUGUGUUUCACACCCAGGAGGGAAUCUCUGUAAUAGUUAGGGUAGUUAUGUGUUUUGGCAUUUGAAACGCGAAGAAAUUUUAUGUGCAAACAAAUUCUUUCAUGCCUUUACUGAUUUUUAAAGUUAAGUUAUUCACAAACUAGUGAUUCACACUAAUUUCAAAUAAUUCAAAAUUUAAACUAUUCAAAUUUGAAAACUACAGGCACUAACAGAAAGUUUGUAAUUUUUUGUACCUAAAGCAAAAAUUGAAGGAAAUAUGCCCUAGAGGCAAUAAUAAAGUUAUUAUUUAUUUCCUUAUAUCAUGAUAAAUGUUUAUUAUUCAUGCUAGAAUUGUAUUAACCGGAAACAUAAUACAUGUGUGAAUACAUAGACAAACAGAGUGUCACUAGUAUGCCUCUACUUGACUAGCUCGUUAAUCAAAGAUGGUUAUGUUUCCUAACCAUGGACAAAGAGUUGUUAUUUGAUUAACGGGAUCACAUCAUUAGGUGAAUGAUCUGAUUGACAUGACCCAUUCCAUUAGCUUAGCACCCGAUCGUUUAGUAUGUUGCUAUUGCUUUCUUCAUGACUUAUACAUGUUCCUAUGACUAUGAGAUUAUGCAACUCCCGUUUGCCGGAGGAACACUUUGUGUGCUACCAAACGUCACAACAUAACUGGGUGAUUAUAAAGGUGCUCUACAGGUGUCUCCAAAGGUACAUGUUGGGUUGGCGUAUUUCGAGAUUAGGAUUUGUCACUCCGAUCGUCGGAGAGGUAUCUCUGGGCCCUCUAAUGCACAUCACUUAAGCCUUGCAAGCAUUGCAGCUAAUGAGUUAGUUGCGGGAUGAUGUAUUACGGAACGAGUAAAGAGACUUGCCGGUAAUGAGAUUGAACUAGGUAUUGGAUACCGACGAUCGAAUCUCGGGCAAGUAACAUACCGAUGACAAAGGGAACAACGUAUGUUGUUAUGCGGUCUGACCGAUAAAAGAUCUUCGUAGAAUAUGUAGGAACCAAUAUGGGCAUCAAGGUCCCGCUAUUGGUUAUUGACCGGAGACGUGUCUCGGUCAUGUCUACAUUGUUCUCGAACCCGUAGGGUCCGCACGCUUAAGGUUUCGAUGACAGUUAUAUUAUGAGUUUAUGAGUUUUGAUGUACCAAAGGAGUUCGGAGUCCCGGCUGAGAUUGGGGACAUGACGAGGAGUCUCGAAAUGGUCGAGACGUAAAAAUCGAUAUAUUGGACGACUAUAUUCGGACAUCGGAAAGGUUCCGAGUGAUUCGAGUAUUUUUCGGAGUACCGGAGAGUUACGGGAAUUCGCCGGGAGAAGUAUUGGGCCUUAUUGGGCCAUACGGGAAAGAGAGAGGGGCUGCCUAGGGUAGGCCGCGCGCCCCCCAAGGCCUAGUCCGAAUUGGACUAGGGGGAGGGGCUGCGCCCCUUCCUUGUUUCCUACUCCUACUACAUGGAAGGACUCCUACUUGGACUAGGAAAGGGGGAAUCCUACUCCCGGUGAGAGUAGGACUUCUCUAGGCGCGCCAUAGAGAGGGCCGGCCCUCCCCUCCUGCACUCCUUGAUAUACGGGGGCAGGGGGCACCCCAUAGACACACAAGUUGAUCCACGUGAUCAUAUUCUUAGCCGUGUGCGGUGCCCCCUUCCACUAUAGUCCUCGAUAAUAUUGUAGCAGUGCUUAGGCGAAGCCCUGCGACAGUAGUACAUCAAGAUCGUCACCACGCCGUCGUGCUGACGGAACUCUUGCCCGACACUUUGCUGGAUCGGAGUCCGGGGAUCGUCAUCGAGCUGAACGUGUGCUAGAACUCGGAGGUGCCGUAGUUUCAGUGCUUGAUCGUCGGGCCGUGAAGACGUACGACUACAUCAACCGCGUUGUCAUAACGCUUUUGCUAUCGGUCUACAAGGGUACGUAGAUCACACUCUCCCCUCUCGUUGCUAUGCAUCACCAUGAUCUUGCGUGUGCGUAGGAAAUUUUUUGAAAUUACUACGUUCCCCAACAGUGGCAUCCGAGCCUAGGUUUUAUGCGUUGAUGUAAUAUGCACGAGUAGAACACAAGUGAGUUGUGGGCGAUAUAAGUCAUACUGCUUACCAGCAUGUCACAGUUUGGUUCGGCGGUAUUGUUGGAUGAAGCGGCCCGGACCGACAUUACGCGUACGCUUAUGCGAGACUGGUUCUACCGACGUGCUUUGCACACAGGUGGCUGGCGGGUGUCAGUUUCUCCAACUUUAGUUGAACCGAGUGUGGCUACGCCCGGUCCUUGCGAAGGUUAAAACAACACCAACUUGACAAACUAUCGUUGUGGUUUUUGAUGCGUAGGUAAGAACGGUUCUUGCUAAGCCCGUAGCAGCCACGUAAAACUUGCAACAACAAAGUAGAGGAUGUCUAACUUGUUUUUGCAGGGCAUGUUGUGAUGUGAUCUGGUCAAGACAUGAUGCUAAAUUUUAUUGUAUGAGAUGAUCAUCUUUUGUAACCGAGUUAUCGGCAACUGGCAGGAGCCAUAUAGUUAUCGCUUUAUUGUAUGCAAUGCAAUCGCACUGUAAUGCUUUACUUUAUCACUAAGAGGUAGCGAUAGUCGUGGAAGCAUAAAAGUGGCGAGACGACAACGAUGCUGCGAUGGAGAUCAAGGUGUCACGCCGGUGACGAUGGUGAUCAUGACGGUGCUUCGGAGAUGGAGAUCACAGGCACAAGAUGAUGAUGGCCAUAUCAUAUCACUUAUAUUGAUUGCAUGUGAUGUUUAUCUUCUAUGCAUCUUAUCUUGCUUUGAUUGACGGUAGCAUUAUAAGAUGAUCUCUCACUGAAUUAUCCAGAAGUGUUCUCCCUGAGUAUGCACCGUUGCGAAAGUUCUUCGUGCCGAGACACCACAUGAUGAUCGGGUGUGAUAGGCUCUACGUUCAAAUACAACAGGUGCAAAACAGUUGCACACGCGGAAUACUCAGGUUAUACUUGACGAGCCAAGCAUAUGCAGAUAUGGCCUCGGAACACGGAGACCGAAAGGUCGAGCGUGAAUCAUAUAGUAGAUAUGAUCAACAUAGUGAUGUUCACCAAUGAAACUACAUCUCACGUGAUGAUCGGACAUGGUUUAGUUGAUUGGGAUCAUGUGAUCGCUUAGAGGAUUAGAGGGAUGUCUAUCUAAGUGGGAGUUCUUAAGUAAUAUGAUUAAUUGAACUUAAAUUUAUCAUGAACUUAGUCCUUAUAGUAUUUUGCAAAUUAUGUUGUAGAUUAAUAGCUCGUGUUGUUGCUUCCUUGUGUUUUUUAUAUGUUCCUAGAGAAAAUUGUGUUGAAAGAUGUUAGUAGCAAUGAUGCGGAUUGGAUCCGUCAUCUGAGGUUUAUCCUCAUUGCUGCACAGAGGAAUUAUGUCCUUGAUGCACCGCUAGGUGACAGACCUAUUGCAGGAUCAGAUACUAACGUUAUGAACGUUUGGCUAGCUAAAUAUGAUGACUACUUGAUAGUUUAGUGCACCAUGCUUAACGGCUUAGAAUCGGGACUUCAAAGACGUUUUGAACGUCAUGGACCAUAUGAGAUGUUCCAGGAGUUGAAGUUAAUAUUUCAAGCAAAUACCCGAGUUGAGAGAUAUGAAGUCUCCAACAAGUUCUAUAGCUAAAAGAUGGAGGAGAAUCGCUCAACUAGUGAGCAUGUGCCCAAAUUGUCUGAGUACUACAAUCACUUGAAUCAAGUGGGAGUUAAUCUUCUAGAUAAGAUAGUGAUUGACAGAAUUCUCUAGUCACCAUCACCAAGUUAGUAGAACUUCGUGAUGAACUAUGAUAUGCAAGGGAUAACGGAAACGAUUCCCAUGCUCUUCGUAAUGCGGAAAUUGAUGAAGGUAGAAAUCGAGAAAAACAUCAAGUGUUGAUGGUAGACAAGACCACUACUUUCAAGAAAAAGGAAGAGGGAAGAAGGGGAACUUCAAGAAAAACAGCAAGCAAGUUGCUGCUCAUGUGAAGAAGCCCAAGUCUGGUCCUAAGCCUAUGACUAAGUGCUUCUACUGCAAAGGGACUAGUCACUGGAAGCGGAACUACCCCAAGUGAUUGGCGGAUAAGAAGGAUGGCAAAGUGAACAUAAGUAUAUUUGAUAUACAUGUUAUUGAUGUGUACUUUACUAGUGUUUAUAGCAACCCCUCAGUAUUUGAUGCUAGUUCAGUUGCUAAGAGUAGUAACUCGAAACGGGAGUUGCAGAAUGAACAGAGACUAGUUAAGGGUGAAGUGACGAUGUGUUUUGGAAGUGGUUCCAAGAUUGAUAUGAUCAUCAUCGCACACUCCCUAUACUUUCGGGAUUAGUGUUGAACCUAAAUAAGUGUUAUUUGGUGUUUGCGUUGAGCAUGAAUAUGAUUUGAUCAUGUUUAUUGUAAUACGGUUAUUCAUUUAAGUAAAAGAAUAAAUUGUUGUUCUGUUUACAUGAAUAAAACCUUAUUUGGUUACACACCCAAUGAAAAUAGUUCAUUGGAUGUCGAUCGUAGUGAUACACAUAUUCAUAAUAUUGAAACCAAAAGAUGCGAAGUUAAUAAUGAUAGUGCAACUUAUUUGUGGCACUGCCAUUUAGGUCAUAUUGGUGUAAAGCUCAUGAAGAAACUCCAUGCUGAUGGGAUUUUGGAAUCACUUGGUGCUUGCGAACCAUGCCUUAUGGAUAAAAUGACUAAAGACUCCGUUCUCCGGAACAAUGGAGCGAGCAACUGACUUAUUGGAAAUAAUACAUACUGAUGUAUGCGAUCUGAUGAGUGUUGAAGCUCGCGGCGGGUAUCGUUAUUUUCUGACCUUCACAUAUGAUUUGAGCAGAUAUGGUAUAUCUGCUUGAUGAAACAUAAGUCUGAAACAUUUGAAAAGUUCAAAGAAUUUCAGAGUGAAAUGGAAAAUCAUCGUAACAAGAAAAAUAAGGUUUCUACGAUCUGAUCGCGGAGACAAAUAUUUGAGUUACGAGUUUGGUCUUCAAUUAAAACUAUGUGGAAUAGUUUCACAAAUUCAUGCCACCUGGAACACCACAGCAUAAUAGUGUGUUCGAACAUCAUAACCGUACUUUAUUGGAUAUAGUGCAAUCUAUGAUGUUUCUUACCGAUUUACCACUAUAGUUUUGGGGUUAUGCAUUAGAGACAGCUGCAUUCACGUUAAAAGGGCACCAUCUAAAUCUGUUGAGACGACACCGUAUGAACUGUGGUUUGGCAAGAAACCAAAGUUGUCGUUUCUCAAAGUUUGGGGUUGCAAUGCUUAUGUGAAAAAGUUUCAUCCUGAUAAGCUCAAACCCAAAUCGGAAAAGUGUGUCUUCAUAGGAUACCCAAAAAGUUACUGUUGGGUACACCUUCUAUCACAGAUCCGAAGGCAAGACUUUUGUUGCUAAAUUCAGAAACUUUCUGGAGAAGGAGUUUCUCUCGAAAGAAGUGAGUGGGAGGAAAGUAGAACUUGAUGAGGUAACUGUACCUACUCCCUUAUUGGAAAGUAGUACAUCACAGAAAACUGUUUCUGCGACACCUACCCCAAUUAGUGAGGAAGCUAAUGAUACUGAUCAUGAAACUUCAGGACAAGAUACUAUUGAACCUCAUAGAUCAACCAGAGUGAGAUCCGCGCCAUAGUGGUACGGUAAUCCUAUUCUGGAAAUCAUGCUGCUAGAUCAUGAUGAACCUACGAACUAUGAGGAAGCGAUGAUGAGCCCAGAUUCCGAUAAAUGGCUUGAGGCCAUGAAAUCUGAGAUAGGAUCCAUGUAUGAGAACAAAGUGUGGACUUUGGUGGACUUGCCCGAGGAUCGGCAAGCCAUUGAUAAUAAAUGGAUCUUCAAGAGGAAGACGGACACGGAUAGUAGUGUUACUAUCUACAAAGCUAGAAUUUUCGCAAAAGGUUUUCGACAAGUUCAAGGUGUUGACUACGAUGAGAUUUUCUCACUCGUAUCUAUGCUUAAGUCUGUCCGAAUCAUGUUAGCAAUUGCCGCAUUUUAUGAAAUCUGGCAAAUGGAUAAACAAAACUGCAUUCCUUAAUGGAUUUAUUAAAGAAGAGUUGUAUAUGAUGCAACCAGAAGGUUUUGUCAAUCCUAAAGGUACUAACAAAAUAUGCAAGCUCCAACGAUCCAUCUAUGGACUGGUGCAAACAUCUCGGAGUUGGAAUACACGCUUUGAUAAGUUGAUCAAAGCAUAUAGUUUUAUACAGACUUGUGGUGAAGCCUGUAUUUACAAGAAAGUGAGUGGGAGCACUACAACAUUUCUGAUAAGUAUAUGUGAAAGACAUAUUAUUGAUCGGAGAUAAUGUAGUAUUAUUCUGCAAAUCAUAAAGGAAUAUUUGAAAGGAGUUUUUCAAAGAAAGACCUCGGUGAAGCUGCUUACAUAUUGAGCAUCAAUAUCUAUAGAGAUAGAUCAAGACGCUUGAUAAGUUUUUCAAUGAGGAUAUACCUUGACAAGAUUUUGAAGUAGUUCAAAAUGGAAUAGUCAAAGAAGGAGUCCUUGCCUGUGUUACAUAGGUGUGAAGUUGAGUAAGACUCAAAACCCGACCACGGCAGAAGAUAGAGAGAGAAUGAAAGUCAUUCCCUAUGCCUCAGCCAUAGGUUCUAUAAAGUAUGCCAUGCUGUGUACCAGACCUAUUGUAUACCCUGCCCUGAGUUUGGCAAGGGAGUACAAUAGUGAUCUAGGAGUAGAUCACUGGACAUUGUUCAAAAUUAUCCUUAGUGGAAUAAGGAUAUGUUUCUCGAUUAUGGAGGUGACAAAAGGUUCGUCGUAAAGGGUUACGUCGAUGCAAGUUUUGACACUGAUCCAGAUGACUCUAAGUCUCAAUCUGGAUACAUAUUGAAAGUGUGAGCAAUUAGCUAGAGUAGCUCCAUGCAGAGCAUUGUUGACAUAGAAAUUUGCAAAAUACUUACAGAUCUGAAUGUGGCAGACCCGUUGACUAAACUUCUCUCACAAGAAAAACAUGAUCACACCUCAGUACUCUUUGGGUGUUAAUCACAUAGCGAUGUGAACUAGAUUAUUGACUCUAGUAAACCCUUUGGGUGUUGGUCACAAGUUGAUGUGAACUAUGGGUGUUAAUCACAUGGUGAUGUGAACUAUUGAUGUUAAAUCACAUGGCGAUGUGAACUAGAUUAUUGACUCUAGUGCAAGUGGGAAACUAAAGGAAAUAUGCCCUAGAGGCAAUAAUAAAGUUAUUAUUUAUUUCCUUAUACCAUGAUAAAUGUUUAUUAUUCAUGCUAGAAUUGUAUUAACCGGAAACAUUAUACCUGUGUGAAUACAUAGACAAACAGAGUGUCACUAGUAUGCCUCUACUUGACUAGCUCGUUAAUCAAAGAUGGUUAUGUUUCCUAACCAUGGACAAAGAGUUGUUAUUUGAUUAACGGGAUCACAUCAUUAGGUGAAUGAUCUGAUUGACAUGACCCAUUCCAUUAGCUUAGCACCAGAUCGUUUAGUAUGUUGCUAUUGCUUUCUUCAUGACUUAUACAUGUUCCUAUGACUAUGAGAUUAUGCAACUCCCGUUUGCCGGAGGAACACUUUGUGUGCUACCAAACGUCACAACGUAACUGGGUGAUUAUAAAGGAGCUCUACAGGUGUCUCCAAAGGUACAUGUUGGGUUGGCGUAUUUCGAGAUUAGGAUUUGUCACUUCGAUCAUCGGAGAGGUAUCUCUGGGCCCUCUCGGUAAUGCACAUCACUUAAGCCUUGCAAGCAUUGCAGCUAAUGAGUUAGUUGCGGGAUGAUGUAUUACGGAACGAGUAAAGAGACUUGCCGGUAACGAGAUUGAACUAGGUAUUGGAUACCGACGAUCGAAUCUCGGGCAAGUAACAUACCGAUGACAAAGGGAACAACGUAUGUUGUUAUGCGGUCUGACCGAUAAAAGAUCUUUGUAGAAUAUGUAGGAACCAAUAUGGGCAUCCAGGUCCCGCUAUUGGUUAUUGACCGGAGACGUGUCUCGGUCAUGUCUACAUUGUUCUCGAACCCGUAGGGUCUGCACGCUUAAGGUUUCGAUGACAGUUAUAUUAUGAGUUUAUGAGUUUUAAUGUACCGAAGGAGUUCAGAGUCCCGGAUGAGAUCGGGGACAUGACGAGGAGUCUCAAAAUGGCCGAGACAUAAAAAUCGAUAUAUUGGACGACUAUAUUCGGACAUCGGAAAGGUUCCGAGUGAUUCGAGUAUUUUUCGGAGUACCGGAGAGUUACGGGAAUUCGCCGAGAGAAGUAUUGGGCCUUAUUGGGCCAUACGGGAAAGAGAGAGGGGCUGCCUAGGGCAGGCCGCGCGCCCCCAAGGCUUAGUCCGAAUUGGACUAGGGGGAGGGGCUGCGCCCCUUCCUUGUUUCCUACUCCUACUACAUGGAAGGACUCCUACUUGGACUAGGAAAGGGGGAAUCCUACUCCCGGUGAGAGUAGGACUUCUCUAGGCGCGCCAUAGAGAGGGCCGGCCCUCCCCUCCUGCACUCCUUGAUAUACGGGGGCAGGGGGCACCCCAUAGACACACAAGUUGAUCCACGUGAUUAUAUUCUUAGCCGUGUGCGGUGCCCCCUUCCACCAUAGUCCUCGAUAAUAUUGUAGUAGUGCUUAGGCGAAGCCCUGCGACAGUAGUACAUCAAGAUCGUCACCACGCCGUCGUGCUGACGGAACUCUUCCCCGACACUUUGCUGGAUCGGAGUCCGGGGAUCGUCAUCGAGCUGAACGUGUGCUAGAACUCGGAGGUGCCGUAGUUUCGGUACUUGAUCGAUCGGGCCGUGAAGACGUACGACUACAUCAACCGCGUUGUCAUAACGCUUCCGCUAUCAGUCUACAAGGAUACGUACAUCACACUCUCCUCUCUCGUUGCUAUGCAUCAUCAUGAUCUUGCGUGUGCGUAGGAAAUUUUUUGAAAUUACUAUGUUCCCCAACAAAAAUAUUCACAAAGAAACUCUAAAUACACAAAAAAAACAACUCAAAAAUAAAUAAAGCAAAAAAAAUAAAAAAAGCCCGCCUACUGGGCCAGAGCGGCCUGCAUACGACUAGAAACUCAACCUGUUGUUGGGCCAGGAUGCAGGCCCGCAAAGGUCGAGUAGGCCCACAGGGCAGCACAGAACAUGUAGGCCCAGUAGGCCUGCUUUGGAGAGGAGCUCGAGACAGCUACCGCACGGGGGGUUAUAAACCAGUGCAGACGCCCUUCGGCUAGCGAGGUGGGACUAAACUUGCUGCACCGCACCUGCGCCAAUGCACCCCCUUUAGUACCGGGUGGUGGCACCAACCGGUACUAAAGGCGGGGGUGCCUUUAGUACCGGUUGGAGCCACCACCCGGUACUAAAGGGGGUGCGCUUCCCGCCGCUUGGACUGGCCAAAACAGGCCUUUAGUACCGGUUGGUGGCUCCAACCGGUACUAAAGGUCCAUCCUAUAUAUCCAAACACUUCAAAAAUUUCAGUUUUUCAUCUGCUUCUUCUCCUCUGCCCCGUCGCCCGCCGCCCCCGUCUCCAUAUCCCUCGUCGCCGCCCCCGUCGCCGCCCCGUCCCCGUCGUCGNNNNNNNNNNNNNNNNNNNNNNNNNNNNNNNNNNNNNNNNNNNNNNNNNNNNNNNNNNNNNNNNNNNNNNNNNNNNNNNNNNNNNNNNNNNNNNNNNNNNNNNNNNNNNNNNNNNNNNNNNNNNNNNNNNNNNNNNNNNNNNNNNNNNNNNNNNNNNNNNNNNNNNNNNNNNNNNNNNNNNNNNNNNNNNNNNNNNNNNNNNNNNNNNNNNNNNNNNNNNNNNNNNNNNNNNNNNNNNNNNNNNNNNNNNNNNNNNNNNNNNNNNNNNNNNNNNNNNNNNNNNNNNNNNNNNNNNNNNNNNNNNNNNNNNNNNNNNNNNNNNNNNNNNNNNNNNNNNNNNNNNNNNNNNNNNNNNNNNNNNNNNNNNNNNCUCGCCGAUGAGCACACACGCACAUACAUUUUUUUAGUUUUUUAGUUAUAGAAAUAGUUAUAAAAAUGUUAGAAAAUUUUCUUUUCUUAGUUAUAGAAAUAGUUACUUAUAUAUCAUUAUUAGAAAUGUUAGAAUUGUUAGAAAUUUUUUCUGUUUUUUAGUUAUAGAAAUAGUUAUAAAAAAGUUAGAAUUGUUAGAAAUUUUUCUGUUUUUUAGUUAUAGAAAUAGUUAUAAAAAAGUUAGAAAUUUUUCUUUUUUUAGUUAUAGAAAUAUUAGAAAUGUUAUACAAAUGUUAGUUAUACAGAUAGAAAUGUUAUAAUUUUUUUUGUUUUUUAGUUAUAGAAAUAUUAGAAAUGUUAUAGAAAUGUUAGUUAUAUAGCAUUGUUAGAAAUGUUAUAGGAAUGUUAGUUAUAUAGAAAUGUUAGAACUUUGAGUUAUCAAAAUCCAAUUAUUAAAAAAAUGUUACUUUUUGCGGGCAUAUAGCUAGUACUUGUUCUCGACGAUGCCCGGCCCGCAUCCUCGCCGUCGACCCGUCCGCGACGACGUCCGGCUGACCCAUGUCCGAGACUGGGCUCCGCCGGGCUGGCACUGGGGGGGCGCGCCGCUUGAUGAGGAACAUGGCCCCGGGUCCCGUCGUCGACCCUGAUCUAGUUUGGAGGCGUUCGCGUCGGCCAGUUUCGGUGCGGAGGGAGCCGGCCCCGCCGGAGGUGGUACGUCGCCGUGUUAGGGAGGAGGACGAGCACGUCCAUCGCUACAUGGUUGCGUUAGAGGGCGGCAGGUUCUCCAAUACCUGGCAGUUUCUUCAGGGAUCUCACUUCAGCUAUGAUCCUGUGAGGGUUCCUUCUCUUUGGGUGUCCACCGCCCGCGCCGCAGGAACUGCGAGUGUCCUAGAUUCUUCUGUAGUCAGUGAUGUAUUCGAUAUAUAAUAUUCGAGACGAUGUAUUCGAGAUUAUAUAUUAUUCGAGACGAUGUAUUCGAGAUUAUAUCUAUUAUUCGAGACGAUGUAUUCGAGAUUAUAUCUAUUAUUCAAGACGAUGUAUUCGAGAUUAUAUCUAUUAUUUGAGACGAUGUAUUCGAGAUUAUAUCUAUUAUUCGAGACGACGUAUUCGAGAUUAUAUUUGAUGAUGCUUAUAUGUACUAUGAUUGAUUCAGUUUUUCCUUAUUAAUUGAUUGCAUCCAUGCAUUGUAAUUUGAAUAUAUUUCUUUUGGAUUAGUUAAACAAAACCUAUGGCGGACAAUACCGGUAGAGAGGGAGAAGAGGCCCUGUUCAAUAUCAUAUGCAAUCCUCGCGGGCCAGAUGAUGAUCAGAAUGAAGAAGAUUAUGACGGCUCCGAAUAUGUAAACAACACCGGGGAGGGUGAUAUGAUAUUCGAUCGCGACGACUGAAUUGAUGAAGUCAUGAACUAUGAACAUGACAAAGAAAAUGUUGAUCUUGAAACAACAAAGACCGGCGAGGUAUAUAUAUUUAUAUAAGCAGGCAUCUGGUGAUCAUCACAUGUUUUAAAUGACUCGAAGAUAUAUUAACGAAUCGAUCUUUCUUCUUUCAGCUAUCUGGAUCGAGCAAAUCUUCAGGCAACAGGAUGAAAUGAGGCCCAAACAAAAAGUUGAAGGAGGGCGUAAAGUACAAUAUCGAGGCAAUCAGACCUAAUGGCGAACCAUUAGCGCCUAAGAAGAUUGCGGACAAGUUCGUUCGUCAGUGCGGAGUUCUUGUGAAGGACCUACUCCCGAUCUCCCUUCAAGAAUGGAGAGAGCCAGCAAACCAACGUCCAGAUCUUACUUUUGUCGAUGACAGACAAAAAGGUCUGCUUUGGGAUACUCUCAUGGAACAUUUCACCCUACCAGAUCAUUUCACAGAAGCAGAUGUGCAGAAAGUAAAGGACGCUGCUCUUAGGAAGAUGGCGGUUGCAUUCAAGAACCAUAAGAAUCAUGAAUGGGACAAGUACAUCAAGGGAGGAAGGAAGACUCCAGUAUUCGAGGGAACACUAGAGAAGCAAAGUGCUCAUUGGGACGAUUGCGUGAAAUUCAAGGAUUCGGAAUUAGCUAAGGAGCGGUCGAGAAUAAACAAGAAGAAUGUCGAAAAAAGGAUAAGUUCCAUAAGCUGGGGCCAGGUGGCUACGCGAUGGCAAUGCCUAAGUGGGAUAAGUUUGAGAAAGAGAUGGAGGAUGCAAGUGUCACUCCGGUUACUAGGAGCUGGCCCCCCAGGUGCAGGACUUGGUUCUAUGCGCAUGGGGGGAGUUGGACCCGAAGACAGGCAAAGUUUCGACGAAGGCAUGUCUGAACGGAGCCAACGAUGCGCUAAUUGUUGCAAUAGAAGAGGCUCGAACGGGGGUAUUCCAGCCCAACAGAGAGAACGACGAGCUUACGCGUGCCCUGGGAAAUCCUGAACACCCGGGAAUAACACGAGGCAAGGGCGCUAUUCCGUGGUAUGAGUGGUUUUCGGACUGGAACCGACUACAGAAACCGUGUGAGAAGGAAGAUUGCGGAGGAGAAGAAGAGGAAGAUGGAGGAGGAGCAGAGGAAGUUGGACUAUGAACGCCUUCAAGGCCUAGAAUCAAAGCACGCAGACUUGGCAGUCAAAUUCCAGCGGCAGCAGGAGCAGAUCGACUCACUUAGCCAGCAAAGGGGGUCUCAGCAGCUGCAGCGGCAAGCGGAUGAUCCAGCAUUGGAUAGCACCGCCCUAUCCAUGCCGAGAAGCAGCGUGGGUUCCGCCCCGGGCGACGCAAUGCUGGAUAGAUACCCCGUGGAUGACGUCACGGAGAACACUAACUGCGAGCUACACUUCAAAAUGAAGAACAUAUCCAUGAAGGUGGCGGAUGCCGUUGCUUUUACAAAUCCCCCCGAGGCAACCUUCCAUUGCAACCCGAUUCCAGCAGGCUAUGCUCGUGUCUUGGUUGAUGAGGUGGUGGACCCAUAUUCGGGGCUACAUCUUGACAUUCCUGGAGGUGAUGACGAGCACACAUUGGGAGAGGCCAUACAUCGUGUCAUCCUAUGGAGAAAGGAUUGCAUCGUCUUUCGAAGGCCACCGGCACCGCGUCACCCGACUCCUCGUCGAAGUCCGCCACCGAGUCAGCAAACUCCUGCUCCUCCAAGUCCACCAAUGUGUGAGGCCAUUACUCCUCCUCCAAGUCUGGCAAAGUGUCAGGCCACUCCUCCUCCAAGUCCGACACAGCGUCAGACGUCCACUCCUCCUCCAUGUCCGGCACAACUUCAGGCCACUCCUCCUCCAAGUCCGGCACAGCUUCAGGCCACUCCUCCUCAUCCAACUCAGCCCCGUCAGCCUUCUCCGCCGCCUCAGCAAUCGCAGAAGAGACACCCCGCAGCUAUGGUGCAUAGCGGUACGAGUCGAGGUAGUACAGGAAGUACAGGCGGAGGCAAGCUAUAUAAAUAUGGUCCAAGCCUCACUACUCCUCUUCCUCAGAGGGCUUAUGACAUGACCGAGGAGCAAACCAAUGCCAUAGAGCAGGCAGAAGUGGACGCCCAUUUUGGACCGAAACCGCCACCGCCGCCAAGGGAGAAACUGCCUGUGGAAAAGAUUGACCACUUCAUUCGUAUGGCCCAACCACCAGCUCCCAAGCCCGAUGACACAGACUAUGAGCGCCACAUCAGGAAGUUAAAUCGAGCACGUCUACAGAAGGAGGCGAGCUCGAGCUCGAGCAAACAACAAGCAGCUGUCAAAAAAUGCAGGAAAACCGUUCCCCAGCAGGGAGAACAGGCGACGCAAUCGAUCCCCUCGCUUGUUGUGCCAACAACACGUGAUAGUACGCGCGCCCAAUAUUAUUGUGGCCAAACAGUUUAUGUUCCCGAGGUGGGCAAUGUGGUAAUAACCGAGGAGCAUAUAAUGCAGGCUAAAAUUCUCAACAUCACUGUUGGACAACUCCUCAAGAUCGAGCCCAUGCCUGUGCUUACAGAGGAGGAAAUAAAAUGGAAAUAUGUCCGGGGCGAACCUUUGGUCAAGCCAGACGAGGUCAAGAAGCUCCUAACGCGAAUGUAUGAAUUGCAUCAAUGGUACAUGGACAUUACCAAGAGUUCCAAUCGAGAGUCCCUCAUGGUGGAAGUCAAGAAGGAUCAUUACUACCAUCAGAAAGCUGUGGCCGUUGAGUAUAAUGAACUGUUUGAGUUAUACAAUCAAGAUGCACUCGACAAAUCUAUCGUCAGUUGCUAUUGUCUGUAAGUGAUUUCUUUCUGUAAUUUAAGUCUCAAGCUAGCUGUAGUGAUCCUUUUGAUCAAUCAUUACCUGUAAUUAUCCUCACUAUAUUCUUUUCUGUGGUAUUAUGCAUGAUGAAGAUGUAUGUAAUGAAAAAAAGUGGACGCUACGGCAUUGGGUUCAUUGACCCAAACACCGUUAAUGAAUACACAUGGAAAAUAGAUCCAUAUCAUGAAAAGCAUGUAGAGGACAGCAUGCUAGAGUUCUUGAAGCGCCUCAAAUACAAUGAAGAUAUACUACUUCCUUACAACUUCCAGUGAGUCACACUGUCUUGUACUAUACAAAUUCUCUGUUUUUGCCUACUAGCUAGCUACAUGUUUUUGCUUAUGUAUGCCCGCUUAAUUAAGACAUGCAAACGUGUGUGCAUGCAGAUUUCACUGGAUCUUGUGUAUCAUUAAAGUUGACGCUGGAACAAUUGAAAUACUGGACUCACUACUCAAAGCAAAUAGUGACUAUAACAUCUUGUUUGGGAUAGUCAACAGGUAAUUUCAAUCAUUAUUAACUAUAUAUCUCGACCUAUUUAGUUCGUCAUUUCAUGAUAUGAACUAUUUAAUAACCCAUUUAUUCAUUUUCUUUGUCAGCGGGCAGGGCUUGGGCAAGGUUCAUCAGCGUCACUCCAGGCGAAUGGAAACAAAAGCUGAAAUGGUUUCGACCCAAGGUAAGUAAUUAAGUAGUACUAGCUAGCUAGCUAGCUGCCAUCUCUUUAAUUAUCAUGCUUGCUUAAUUAUUAUCUGAUCAACUUCCAUUCUCGUAAAGGCCCUGAAGGAGGCGCAGGGGACUGAUCUGUGUGCAUACUGCGUUUGCGAGAACAUUCACAUGAUGGCAUCCGAAAGGAGCAGAUCUCAAAGACAGGAAUGGCACUAGUAGAAAAAGGGUCCAAUCGUGAAGCACAUUAGUGCCGGUUUGAAUUUGAGCUGGCACUAAUGUGUGCAUUAGUGCCGGUUCCAACGGCUAGCCGGCCGCUCUCAUUAGUACCGGUCCGUGGUGAACCUUUAGCACCGGUUCGUGCCAUGAACCGGUACUAAAGUGAGUGGUGGCAGGAUGUUGUCAGUCCGGGGCCCCUCCAGCACCUUUAGUACCGGGUCGUUUCAUGAACCGGUACUAAAGGUCGUCCUACAUAGACCCUUCGUCCACCCGAGCUCGCUUUGUUCUUCCCCUUUCCCCUCUCCUCUCUGUUCUUUUCCCUCUUCCUCUCAAGCUCAUCACACAUUUUGCCCAAAAUUUGUCAAGAUUUGAAGGCCCCCAUCCAUUCAAAUGAUCACAAAGGUUAACAACUUUUUCCUUUCAUCUCUCAUUGCUAGAUUAGCUUGUGCAAUGCUUUAUAUAGUGAUUGAUUUUUGAGUUUAGUAAUUUGGGAGGAAUUAUAUAGAUGUGCUAGUAUUUGAUUUAUAUGCAAUUUGAGGUCAAAAAUAACACUUAGUUUGCAUAUGUAGGUGUGGUUUACGUAGUACCUUCUAAAUCUCCGUCGUAACCACCGUCGAUCGCUCGCAACGUCCCGUCGCCAGCACCACCUUGUGGUGAGCCUCUUGUUCUUGAACUUUUAUAUAAAAAAUUGAUGUUUGUGUGAUUUGGAUAUAUAGUUACUCGUAUAAUUAUCUUACCCAUACGUUGUUUGUUAUACAUAGUGCCAUGGUUUUGAUAUCCGUCCCCGUUGGCCCUCGUCCGGGUUAUGAUUCGGAUGUGGUAUAUUCUCUUUUAAAACUAUUCAUUGCAUUUCGUGUUUAUGACAAAUUAUGCCCAUCAAGUUGACAUAGAUAUUUGUAUGUAGGAGGUAGUUGAACCGGAAAUUCCAACCGACCCUAUUGUCGAGAGGUUAAAUUUAGUUGAAAGAGAAAACGAGGAUUUGAAGGAAAAAUUGAAAAGAAUUGAGGGGGAGAAGAUGGAAUUGGAGUUGCAUGUUGCCGAUGUCGUCGAUAAUCACAAGAUUAAGAUGGAGAAAAUGCGCUUGAAGAUUAGAAAGAUUAGAAAAUAUGCUAUUCAUAGUGAGGCUUGGUAUCAUUAUGCUGUUGGAUCAAUUGUUACCUUAGUUGCGAUCUUGAUCGCAUUUGUUGUUGCAUUUAAAUUCUUUAGCUAGAGAGUUAUUUGUUUGUUGCAUUUAAGUGUUGUAUGAUCUUUAUGUAUGAACUUUAUGUAUUGUAUUAAUUUGACGUUUUCGGUGCUGUCUAUUGAAGAUGAGCCGGCAAUGGAUGUACGAUGACCGAUGCUCUCCCGAAUUCAUUAAUGGUGUGCGUACUUUUCUGCUUGCGGCUGAGGCAAACAAGCGAGCGGAUGGUUUUAUGCCUUGUCCAUGUGCUGGCUGUAAGAAUGGUCACAAUUACUCUACGUCAAGAACCAUUCACGUCCACCUGUUUGAGUCCGGUUUCAUGCCCCACUAUAAUGUUUGGACCAAGCAUGGAGAAAGAGGGGUUAUGAUGGAAGACAAUGAAGAAGAAGAGGACGACGACAGCUAUCCUGGCCAUGGGUUCCCUGAAUACGAUGAUACAACAAUGAGGGAAGAAGCUGAGCCGGUAAUGCGGGAAGAAGCUAAAGAAGAGGCAUCGGAUGAGCCCGUUGAUGAUCUAGGUCAGGCCAUUGCCGAUGCAAAGAGAAACUGCGCAAGUGAUUUGGAGAAGAAGAAGUUGCAGCGCAUGUUAGAGGAUCACAAAAAAUUGUUGUACCCGAAUUGCGUAGGUGACAAGAAAAAGCUGGGCACCACACUGGAAUUGCUGCAAUGGAAGGCAGAGAAUGGUGUAUCUGACAAGGGAUUUGGAAAGUUGCUGGUAAUGAUAAAGGAUAUGCUUCCACAGGACAACGAAUUGCCCGAGAGUACGUACGAAGCAAAGAAGGUUGUCUGCCCUCUAGGGUUAGAGGUGCAGAAGAUACAUGCAUGCCCUAAUGGUUGCAUCCUCUACCGCGAUGAGUACGAGGAUUUGAACGCUUGCCUGGUAUGCGGUGCAUUGCGCUAUAAGAUCAGCCGCGAUGACCCUGGUGAUGUUGAGGGCGAGCGCCCCAGGAAGAAGAUUCCUGCCAAGGUGAUGUGGUAUGCUCCUAUAAUACCCCGGUUGAAACGUUUGUUCCAAAACAAAGAGCAUGCCAAUGCGAUGCGAUGGCACAGAGAAGACCGUAAGAAAGACGGAAAGUUGAGAGUACCCGCUGAUGGGUCGCAGUGGAGAAAAAUCGAAAGAAAGUACGGAAAGGAGUUUGUAGAUGACGCAAGGAACGUAUGGUUUGGUCUAAGCGCAGAUGGCAUUAAUCCUUUUGGGGAGCAGAGCAGCAACCAUAGAACCUGGCAUGUGACUCUAUGUUUGUAUAAUCUUCCUCAUUGGUUGUGCAUGAAGCGGAAGUUCAUUAUGAUGACAGUGCUCAUCCAAGGCCCUAAGCAACCCGGCAACGACAUUGAUGUGUACCUAAGGCCAUUAGUUGAAGAACUCUUACAACUGUGGAAUGGAACAGGUGUACGUGCGUGGGAUGAGCACAUGGGGAAGAAUUUGACCUAAAGGCGUUGCUGUUCGUGACCAUCAAUGAAUGGCUGUUCUCAGUAACCUUUCAGGACAGACAAACAAGGGAUACCGCGCAUGAACGCACUGUUUGGAUGAUACGGACAGUAUAUAUUUGGCUAAUUGUAAGAAGAAUGUGUACCUGGGACAUCGUCGAUUUCUUCCGAGCAGGCAUCCCGUAAGAAAGAAAGGCAAGCAUUUCAAAGGUGAGGCGGAUCACCGGACGAAGCCUCGCCACUGUACUGGUGUUGAUGUACAUGAUAUGGUCAAGGAUUUGAAGGUGGUCUUUGGAAAGGGUCCUGGUGGACAACCUGUUCCGAAUGACGCUGACGGACGCGCACCCAUGUGGAAGAAGAAAUCUAUAUUUUGGGACCUGCCCUAUUGGAAAGACCUAGAGGUCUGCUCCGCAAUCGACGUGAUGCAUGUGACGAAGAAUCUUUGUGUGACCCUGCUUGGCUUCUUGGGCGUGUAUGGGAAGACAAAAGAUACACCUGAGGCACGGGAGGACCAGCAAUGUAUGCACGGAAAAGACGGCAUACAUUAGGGUCAUGCAAGCUAUGCUCUUACAAAAGAAGAGAAGGAAAUCUUCUUUGAAUGCAUGCUCAGUAUUAAGGUACCGUCUGGCUUCUCGACGAAUAUAAAGGGAAUAAUAAACAUGGCAGAGAAAAAGUUCCAGAACCUAAAGUCUCAUGACUGCCACAUGAUUAUGACGCAACUUCUUCCGGUUGCAUUGAGGGUGCUUCUACCAGAAAAUGUUCGAUUAGCCAUUGUGAAGCUAUGUGCAUUUCUCAAUGUAAUCCCUCAGAAGGUAAUCGAUCCAGAAAUCAUACCAAGGUUAGAGAAUGAUUUGGUGCAAUGGCUUGUCAGUUUCGAGUUGGUGUUCCCACCAUCCUUCUUCAACAUCAUGACGCACGUCCUAGUUCACUUAUGCGAAGAGAUUAACGUUUUUGGUCCUGUAUUUCUACACAAUAUGUUCCCCUUUGAGAGGUUCAUGGGAGUCUUAAAGAAAUAUGUUCAUAACCAUGCUAGGCCAGAAGGAAGCAUCUCCAAGGGCCAUGAAAAUGAGGAGGUCAUUGAGUUUUGUAUUGACUUUAUUCCUGACCUUAAGCCGAUUGGUGUUCCUAAAUCGCGGCAUAAGGGCAGACUGGAUGGAAAAGGCAUGCUAGGAGGGGAACAAAUAAUAUGUAUGGACGAACAUUCUCUCACUGAAGCACACUACACAGUUUUACAGAAUUCCGCCUUGGUGGCUCCGUAUAUGUAUGAACACAAGAAUUUGCUACGCUCCAAACACCCGAGCGGUCUGAUGACUGGAUUACACGUGAACUAACUAGGAGUUUCGCCAGCUGGUUGCAGACACGUACCAUGCAUGACACCUCUAUUGAAGAUGACAUGUACUUGCUGUCCCAGUUACCAUCUUCGAAUAUAAUGACUUUCAAAGGGGACGAGAUAAAUGGUAAUACAUUUUACACGAUCGCCCAAGAUAAGAAGAGCACCAACCAAAACAGUGGUGUCUGCUUUGAUGCAGAAACCAAGACGGGAAAGGAAACAUAUUAUGGUUAUAUACAGGACAUAUGGGAACUUGACUAUCGACGUGGUUUGAAGGUCCCUUUGUUUCGGUGCAAAUGGGUCAAUAUGACACGAGGCGGGGUAACGGAAGACCCGCAGUACGGAAUGACAACAGUGGAUCUCAACAAUCUUGCGUAUGCAGACGAACCAUUCGUCCUAGACAAUGAUGUGGCACAGGUUUUCUAUGUGAAAGACAUGUCUACCAAGCCAAGAAAAAGAAAAGAUAAGGAAGCGAAUGCAUUGUACGAUGAGCCAAAGCGGCACAUAGUUCUUUCUGGGAAGAGAAACAUCGUGGGAGUGGAUGACAAGACAGACAUGUCAGAAGAUUAUGAAAAGUUUGAUGAAAUUGCUCCAUUCACGGUGAAUAUUGACCCGAGCAUCCCGUUAAAUGAUGAAGAUUUUCCAUGGUUACGGCGCAAAGGGACACACGCGAAGAAAAAGUUUCACACCCAAAGAUCUGGGAUGUGAUCGGCUUCACUAUCAUCACUUUGUUCUGUGUUUCACACCCAGGAGGGAAUCUCUCUAAUAGUUAGGGUAGUUAUGUGUUUUGGCAUUUGAAAUGCGCAGAAAUUUUAUGUGCAAACAAAUUCUUUCAUGCCUUUACUGAUUUUUAAAGUUAAGUUAUUCACAAACUAGUGAUUCACACUAAUUUCAAAUAAUUCAAAAUUUAAACUAUUAAAAUUUGAAAACUACGGGCACUAAAGAAAGUUUGUAAUUUUUUGUACCUAAAGAAAAAUAUUCACAAAGAAACUCUAAAUACACAAAAAAACAACUCAAAAAUAAAUAAAGCAAAAAAAAUAAAAAUAAAGCCCGCCUACUGGUCCAGAGCGGCCUGCAUACGACUAGAAACCCAACAUGUUGUUGGGCCAGGAUGCAGGCCCGCAAAGGCACAGUAGGCCCACAGGGCAGCACAAAACAUGUAGGCCCAGUAGGCCUGCUUUGGAGAGGAGCUCGAGAGAGCUACCGCACGGGGGGAUAUAAACCAGUGCGGACGCCCCUCGGCUAGCGAGGUGGGACUAAACUUGCCACACCGCACAUGCGCCAGCGCACCCCCUUUAGUACCGGGUGGUGGCACCAACCGGUACUAAAGGGGGGCCUUUAGUACCGGUUGGAGCCACCACCCGGUACUAAAGGGGGUGCGCUUCCCGCCGCUUGGCCUGGCCAAAACAAGCCUUUAGUACCGGUUGGUGGCUCCAACCGGUACUAAAGGUCCAUCCUAUAUAACUAAACACUUCAAAAAUUUCAGUUUCUCAUCUGCUUCUUCUCCUCUGCCCCGUCGCCCGUCGCCCCCGUCUCCAUAUCCCUCGUCGANNNNNNNNNNNNNNNNNNNNNNNNNNNNNNNNNNNNNNNNNNNNNNNNNNNNNNNNNNNNNNNNNNNNNNNNNNNNNNNNNNNNNNNNNNUUUUUCUGUUUUUCAGAAAUAGUUAGAAAUGUUAGAAUUGUUAAAAUAGUUAGAAAUGUUAGAAUUGUUAGAAUUGUUAGAAAUGUUAGAAUUGUAAGAAAUUUUUCUGUUUUUUAGUUAUAGAAAUAGUUAUAAAAAAGUUAGAAUUGUUAGAAAUUUUUCUGUCUUUUAGUUAUAGAAAUAGUUAUAAAAAUGUUAGUUAUAUAUAUAGUAAUGUUAUAAUUUUUUCUGUUUUUUAUUUAUAGAAAUAUUAGAAAUGUUAUAGAAAUGUUAGUUAUAUAUAGCAUUGUUAGAAAUGUUAUAGAAAUGUUAGUUAUAUAGAAAUGUUAGAAAUUUUAGUUAUCAAAAUCCAAUCAUUAAAAAAAUGUUACUUUUUGCGGGCAUAUAGCUAGUAUUUGUUCUCGACGAUGCCCGACCCGCAUCCUCGNNNNNNNNNNNNNNNNNNNNNNNNNNNNNNNNNNNNNNNNNNNNNNNNNNNNNNNNNNNNNNNNNNNNNNNNNNNNNNNNNNNNNNNNNNNNNNNNNNNNNNNNNNNNNNNNNNNNNNNNNNNNNNNNNNNNNNNNNNNNNNNNNNNNNNNNNNNNNNNNNNNNNNNNNNNNNNNNNNNNNNNNNNNNNNNNNNNNNNNNNNNNNNNNNNNNNNNNNNNNNNNNNNNNNNNNNNNNNNNNNNNNNNNNNNNNNNNNNNNNNNNNNNNNNNNNNNNNNNNNNNNNNNNNNNNNNNNNNNNNNNNNNNNNNNNNNNNNNNNNNNNNNUAUAUUAGAAAUGUUAUAGAAAUGUUAGUUAUAUAGCAUUGUUAGAAAUGUUAUAGGAAUGUUAGUUAUAUAGAAAUGAUAGAAAUUUUAGUUAUCAAAAUCCAAUCAUUAAAAAAAUGUUACUUUUUGCGGGCAUAUAGCUAGUAUUUGUUCUCGACGAUGCCCGGCCCGCAUCCUCGCCGUCGACCCGUCCGCGACGACGUCCGACUGACCCAUGUCCGGGACUGGGCUCCACCGGGCUGGCACUGGGAGGUGCUGCCUAGAGGGACGCACCGCUUGAUGAGGAACCCGGCCCCGGGUCACGUCGUCGACCCUGAUCUCGUUUGGUGGCGUUCGCGUGGGCCAGUUUCGGUGUGGAGGGAGCCGGCCCCGCCGGAGGUGGUACGUCGCCGUGUCAGGGAGGAGGACGAGCACGUCCAUUGCUACAUGGUUGCGUUAGAGGGCGGCAGGUUCUCCAAUACCUGGCAGUUUCUUCAGGGAUCUCACUUCAGCUAUGAUCCUGUGAGGGUUCCUUCUCUUUGGGUGUCCACCGCCCGCGUCGCAGGAACUGCGAGUGUCCUAGAUUCUUCGGUAGUCAGUGAUGUAUUCGAUAUAUAAUAUUCGAGACGAUGUAUUCGGAUUAUAUAUUAUUCGAGAUGAUGUAUUCGAGAUUAUAUCUAUUAUUCGAGACAAUGUAUUCGAGAUUAUAUCUAUUAUUCAAGACGAUGUAUUCGAGAUUAUAUCUAUUAUUCGAGACGAUGUAUUCGAGAUUAUAUCUAUUAUUCAAGACGACGUAUUUGAGAUUAUAUUCGAUGAUGCUUAUUAUGUACUAUGAUUGAUUCAGUUUUUCCUUAUUAAUUGAUUGCAUCCAUGCAUUGUAAUUUGAAUAUAUUUCUUUUGGAUUAGUUAAACAAAACCUAUGGCGGACAAUACCGGCAGAGAGGGAGAAGAGGCCCUGUUCAAUAUCAUACGCAAUCCUCGCGGGCCAGAUGAUGAUCAGAAUGAAGAAGAUUAUGACGGCUCCGAAUAUGUAAACAACACCGGGGAGGGUGAUAUGAUAUUCGAUCGCGACGACCGAAUUGAUGAAGUCAUGAACUAUGAACAUGACGAAGAAAAUGUUGAUCUUGAAACAACAAAGACCGGUGAGGUAUAUAUAUUUAUAUAAGCAGGCAUCUGGUGAUCAUCACAUGUUUUAAAUGACUUGAAGAUAUAUUAACGAAACGAUCUUUCUUCUUUCAGCCAUCCAGAUCGAGCAAAUCUUCAGGCAACAGGAUGAAACGAGGCCCAAACAAAAAGUUGAAGGAGGGCAUAAAGUACAAUAUCGAGGCAAUCAGACCUAAUGGCGAACCAUUAGCGCCUAAGAAGAUUGCGGACAAGUUCGUUCGUCAGUGCGGAGUUCUUGUGAAGGACCUACUCCCGAUCUCCCUUCAAGAAUGGAGAGAGCCAGCAAAGCCACGUCCAGGUCUUACUUUUGCCGACGACAGACAAAAAGGUCUGCUUUGGGAUACUCUCAUGGAACAUUUCACCCUACCAGAUCAUUUCACAGAAGCAGAUGUGCAGAAAGUCAAGGACGCUGCUCUUAGGAAGAUGGCGGUUGCAUUCAAGAACCACAAGAAUCAUGAAUGGGACAAGUACGUCAAGGAAGGAAGGAAGACUCCUGUAUUCGAGGGAACACUAGAGAAGCGAAUUGCUCAUUGGGACGAUUUCGUGAAAUUCAAGGAUUCGGAAUUAGCUAAGGAACGGUCGAGAAUAAACAAGAAGAAUGUCGAAAAAAGGAUAAGUUCCAUAAGCUGGGGCCAGGUGGCUAAGCGGUGGCAAUGCCUAAGUGGGAUAAGUUUGAGAAAGAGAUGGAUGAUGCAGGUAUCAUUCCGGUUACUAGGAGCUGGCCCACCAGGUGCAGGACUUGGUUCUAUGCGCAUGGGGGGAGUUGGACCCGAAGACAGGCAAAGUUUUGACGAAGGCAUGUCUGAACGGAGCCGACGAUGCGCUAAUUGUUGCAAUAGAAGAGGCUCGAAUGGGGGUAUUCUAGCCCAACAGAGAGAACGACAAGCUUACGUGUGCCCUAGGAAAUCCUGAACACCUGGGAAGAACACGAGGCAAGGGCGCUAUUCCGUGGUAUGAGGGGUUUUCGGACUGGAACGCCGACUACAGAACCCGUGCGAGAAGGAAGCUUGCGGAGGAGAAGAAGAGGAAGAUGGAGGGGGAGCAGAGGAAGCUGGACUAUGAACGCCUUCAAGGCCUAGAAUCAAAGCACGCGGACUUGGCAGUCAAAUUCUAGCGGCAGCAGGAGCAGAUCGACUCACUUAGCCAGCAAAGGGGGUCUCAGCAGCUGCAGCGGCAAGCGGAUGAUCCCGCAUUGGAUAGCACCACCCCAUCCAUGCCGAGAAGCAGCGUGGGUUCCGCCCCGGGCGACGCAAUGCUGGAUAGAUACCCCAUGGAUGACGUCACGGAGAACACUAACUGUGAGCUACACUUCAAAAUGAAGAACAUAUCCAUGAAGGUGGCGGACGCCGUUGCUUUUACAAAUCCCCCCGAGGCAACCUUCCAUUGCAACCCGAUUCCAGCAGGCUAUGCUCGUGUCUUGGUUGAUGAGGUGGUGGACCCAUAUUCGGGGCUACAUCUUGACAUUCCUGGAGGUGACGACGAGCACACAUUGGGAGAGGCCAUACAUCGUGUCAUCCUAUAGAGAAAGGAUUGCAUCGUCUUUCGAAGGCCACCGGCACCGCGUCACCCGACUCCUCGUCGAAGUCCGCCACCGAGUCAGCAGACUCCCGCUCCUCCAAGUCCACCAAUGCGUGAGGCCACUCCUCCUCCUCCAAGUCCGGCAAAGUGUCAGGCCACUCCUCCUCCAAGUCCGACACAGCGUCAGACGUCCACUCCUCCUCCAAGUCCGGCACAAGUUCAGGCCACUCCUCCUCCAAGUCCGGCACAGCUUCAGGCCACUCCUCCUCGUCCAACUCAGCCCCGUCAGUCGUCUCCGCCGCCUCAGCAAUCGCAGAAGAGACACCCCGCAGCUAUGGUGCGUAGCGGUACGAGUCGAGGUAGUACAGGAAGUACAGGCGGAGGCAAGCGAUAUAAAUAUGGUCCAAGCCUCACUACUCCUCUUCCUCAGAGGGCUUACGAUAGGACCGAGGAGCAAACCAAUGACAUAGUGCGGGCAGAAGUGGACGCCCAUUUUGGACCGAAACCGCCACCGCCGCCAAGGGAGAAAGUGCCUGCGGAAAAGAUUGACCACUUCAUUCGUAUGGCUCAACCACCAGCUCCCAAGCCUGUUGACACAGACUAUGAGCGCCACAUCAGGAAGUUAAAUCGAGCACGUCUACAGAAGGAGGCGAGCUCGAGCAAACAAUAAGCAGCUGCCAAAAAUGCAGGAAAACCGUUCCCCAGCUGGGAGAACAGGCGGCGCAAUCGAUCCCCUCGCUUGUUGUGCCAACAACACGUGACAAUACGCGCGCCCAAUAUUAUUGUGGGCAAACUGUUUACGUUCCCGAGGUGGGCAAUGUGGUAAUAACCGAGGAGCAUAUAAUGCAGGCUGAAAUUCUCAACAUCACUGUUGGACAACUCCUCAAGAUCGAGCCCAUGCCUGUGCUUACAGAGGAGGAAAUAAAACGGAAAUAUGUCCGGGGCGAACCUUUGGUCAAGCCAGACGAGGUCAAGAAGCUCCCAACGAGAAUGUAUGAAUUGCAUCAAUGGUACAUGGACAUUACCAAGAGUUCCAAUCUAGAGUCCCUCAUGGUGGAAGUCAAGAAGUAUCAUUACUACCAUCAGAAAGCUGUGGCCGUUGAGUAUAAUGAACUGUUUCAGUUAUACAAUCAAGACGCACUCGACAAAUCUAUCGUUAGUUGCUAUUGUUUGUAAGUGAUUUCUUUCUGUAAUUUGAGUCUCAAGCUAGCUGUAGUGAUCCUUUUGAUCAAUCAUUACCUGUAAUUAUCCUCACUAUAUUCUUUUCUGUGGUAUUAUGCGGGAUGAAGAUGUAUGAAAUGAAAAAAGGUGGACGCUAUGGCAUUGGGUUCAUUGACCCAAACACCGUUAAUGAAUGCACAUGGAAAAUAGAUCCAUAUCAUGAAAAUCAUGUAGAGGACAGCAUGCUAGAGUUCUUGAAGCGCCUCAAAUACAAUGAAGAUAUACUACUUCCUUACAACUUCCAGUGAGUCACACUGUCUUGUACUAUACAAAUUCUCUAUUUUUGCCUACUAGCUAGCUACAUGUUUUUGCUUACGUAUGCCCAUUUAAUUAAGACAUGCAAAUGUGUGUGCAUGUAGAUUUCACUAGAUCUUGUGUAUCAUUAAAGUUGACGCCGGAACAGUUGAAAUACUGGACUCACUACUCAAAGCAAAUAAUGACUAUAACAUCUUGUUUGGGAUAGUCAACAGGUAAUUUCAAUCAUUAUUAACUAUAUAUCUCGGCCUAUUUAGUUCGUCAUUUCAUGAUAUGAACUAUUUAAUAACCCCUUUAUUCAUUUUCUUUGUUGGCGGGUAGGGCUUGGGCAAGGUUCAUCAGCGUCUCUCCAGGCGAAUGGAAACAAAAGCUGAAAUGGUUUCGACCCAAGGUAAGUAAUUAAGUAGUACUAGCUAGCUAGCUAGCUGCCAUCUCUUUAAUUAUCAUGCUUGAUUAAUUAUUAUCUGACCAAAUUCCAUUCUCGUAAAGGCCCUGAAGCAGGCGUAGGGGACUGAUAUGUGUGCAUACUGCGUUUGCGAGAACAUUUGCAUGAUGGCGUCCGAAAGGAGCAGAUCUCAAAGACAGGAAUGGCACUAGUAGAAAAAGGGUCAAACGUGAAGCACAUUAGUGCCGGUUUGAAUUUGAGCCGGCACUAAUGUGUGCAUUAGUGCCGGUUCCAACGGCUAGCCGGCCGCUCUCAUUAGUACCGGUUCGUGGAGAACCUUUAGCACCGGUUCGUGCCACGAACCGGUACUAAAGUGAGUGGUGGCAGGAUGUUGUCAGUCCGGGGCCCCUCCAGCACCUUUAGUACCGGGUCGUAUCACGAACCGGUCCUAAAGGUCGUCCUACAUAGACCCUUCGUCCACCCGAGCUCGCUCUGUUCUUCCCCUUUCCCCUCUCCUCUUUGUACUUUUCCCUCUUCCUCUCAAUCUCAUCACACAUUUUGCCCAAAAUUUGUUAAGAUUUGAAGGCCCCCAUCCAUUCAAAUGAUCACAAAGGUUAGCAACUUUUUCCUUUCAUCUCUCAUUGCUAGAUUAGCUCGUGCAAUGCUUUAUAUAGUGAUUGAUUUUUGAGUUUAGUAAUUUGGGAGGAAUUAUAUAUAUGUGCUACUAUUUGAUUUAUAUGCAAUUUGAGGUCAAAAAUAACACUUAGAACCAUUCACGUCCACCUGUUUGAGUCCGGUUUCAUGCCCCACUAUAAUGUUUGGACCAAGCAUGGAGAAAGAGGGGUUAUUGUGGAAGACAAUGAAGAAGAAGAGGACGACGACAGCUAUCCUGGCCAGGGGUUCCCUGAAUACGAUGAUACAACAAUGAGGGAAGAAGCUGAGCCGGUAAUGCGGAAAGAAGCUGAGCCGGCAAUGCAGGAAGAAGCUGAAGAAGAGGCAUCGGAUGAGCCGUUGAUGAUCUAGGUCGGGCCAUUGCCGAUGCAAAGAGAAACUGCGCUAGUGAUUUGGAGAAGAAGAAGUUGCAGCGCAUGUUAGAGGAUCACAAAAAAAUGUUGUACCCGAAUUGCGUAGGUGACAAGAAAAAGCUGGGCACCACACUGGAAUUGCUGCAAUGGAAGGCAGAGAAUGGUGUAUCUGACAAGGGAUUUGGAAAGUUGCUGGUAAUGAUAAAGGAUAUGCUUCCAAAGGACAACGAAUUGCCCGAGAGUACGUACGAAGCAAAGAAGGCUGUCUGCCCUCUAGGGUUAGAGGUGCAGAAGAUACAUGCAUGCCCUAAUGAUUGCAUCCUCUACCGCGGUGAGUACGAGGAUUUGAACGCUUGCCCGGUAUGCGGUGCAUUGCGCUAUAAGAUCAGCCGCGAUGACCCUGGUGAUGUCGAGGGCGAGCGCCCCAGGAAAAAGAUUCCUGCCAAGGUGAUGUGGUAUGCUCCUAUAAUACCACGGUUGAAACGUUUGUUCCAAAACAAAGAGCAUGCCAAGGCGAUGCGAUGGCACAGAGAAGACCGUAAGAAAGACGGAAAGUUGAGAGUACCCGCUGACGGGUCGUAGUGGAGAAAAAUCGAAAGAAAGUACGGGAAGGAGUUUGCAGAUGACGCAAGGAACGUAUGGUUUGGUCUAAGCGCAGAUGGCAUUAAUCCUUUUGGGGAGCACAGCAGCAACCAUAGCACCUGUCCUAUGACUCUAUGUUUGUAUAACCUUCCUCUUUGGUUGUGCAUGAAGCAGAAGUUCAUUAUGAUGCCAGUGCUCAUCCAAGGCGCUAUGAAAAAAAUUCUUAUUUUUAACAGAAGCGCGAUAAAAUACUGAUUAUUUUUGCAGAAGAUUAAUAAAUAAAUUGUUUAGGUCGUCCUAAAUAUUCAGAAUUUUUGAAGUUAAAGAAGUAUUCAUAAUAUCCAGAUUGCUACAGACUGUUCUGUUUUUGACAAAUUCUGUUUUCUAUGUGUUGUUUGCUUAUUUUGAUGAAUCUAUGGCUCGUAUCGGGGCGGGGGGUAUGAACCAUGGAAGAGUUAAAAUACAGUAGAUAUUACACCAAUAUAAAUAAAAAAUGAGUUCACAACAGUAUCAAAAGUGGUGAUUUAUUUUCUUAUAACGGGGCUUAUGAUAUUUUCUGUCGAGUUUUGUGUUGUGAAGUUUUCAAGUUUUGGGUAAGGAAUUGAUGGACUAUGGAAUAAAGAGUGGCAAGAGCCUAAGCUUGGGGAUGCCCAAGGCACCCCAAGGUAAUAUUCAGGGAUAACCAAGAGCCUAAGCUUCCGGGGCAUCCCCUCUUUCGUCUUCAUUUAUCGGUAACUUUACUUGAGGCUAUAUUUUUAUUCACCACAUGAUAUGUGUUUUGCUUGGAGCAUCGUGUAUGAUUUGAGUCUUUGCUUUUCAGUUUGCCACAAUCAUCCUUGUUGUACACACCUUUUGAGAGAGACACACAUGAAUCAUGAUUUAUUAGAAUACUCUAUAUGCUUCACUUAUAUCUUUUGAGGUAGGCAAUUUUGCUCUAGUGCUUCACUUAUAUCUUUUUAGAGCACAGCGGUGGUUUUAUUUUAUAUAAAUUGAUGAACUCUCAUACUUCACUUAUAUUAUUUUGAGUGUCUCUAAACAGCAUGGUAAUUAGCUUUGGUUAUAAAUUUAGUUCUAAUAUGAUAGGCAUCCAAGAGAGAUAUAAUAAAAACUUUCAUAUAAAGUGCAUUGAAUACUAUGAGAAGUUUGAUUCCUUAUGAUUGUUUUGAGAUAUGAAGAUGGCGAUAUUAGAGUCAUGCUAGUGAAGUAGUUGUGAAUUUGAGAAAUACUUGUGUUAAGGUUUGAGAGUCCCGUAGCAUGCACGUAUGGUGAAUCGUUAUGUAACGAAGUUGGAGCAUGAGAUAUUUUUGAUUGUCUUCCUUAUGAGUGGCAUCUGGGGACGAGCGAUGGUUUUUUCCUACCAAUCUACCCCCUAAGAGCAUGCGCGUAGUACUUUUGAUGACUAGUAGGUUUUUGCAAUAAGUAUGUGAGUUCUUUAUGACUAAUGUUGAGUCCAUGGAUUAUAUGCAGUCUCACCCUUCCGCCAUUGCUAGCCUCUCUUGUACAGCACAACUUUCACCGCUAUCAUAAACCCACCAUAUACCUUCCUCAAAACAGCCACCAUACCUACCUAUUAUGGCAUUUCCAUAGCCAUUCCGAGAUAUAUUGCCAUGCAACUUUCCACCGUUCUGCUUAUUAUGAAAUGCAUCAUCAUUGUCAUAUUGCUUUGCAUGAUCAUGUAGUUGACAUUGUAUUUGUCGCAAAGCCACCGUUCAUUAGUUUUUUAUACAUGUCGCUCUUAAUUCAUUGCACAUCCCGGUACACCGUCGGGGGCAUUCAUAUAGAGUCAUAUCUUGUUCUAGUAUCGAAUUGUAAUUUUUGAGUUGUAAGUAAAUAGAAGUAUGAUGAUCUUCCUUUUUAGAACAUUGUCCCAUGUGAGGAAAUAAAAUAAAAAAGAGGAAAAGAAAAAAAGAGCAAAAAAAGAAAAAAAGAGAAGAAGAAAAAAAAAGGAGGGAAAGAAAGAAAAAACGAGAGAAAAAGAGAGAAGGGGCAAUGUUAUUGUCCUUUUCCAUACUUGUGCUUCAAAGUAGGACCUUGAUCUUCAUGAUAGAGAGUCUCCUAUGUUCUUACUUUCAUAUACUAGUGGGAAUUUUUCAUUAUAGAACUUGGCUUGUAUAUUCCAACGAUGGGAUUCCUCAAAAUGCCCUAGGUCUUCAUGAGCAAGCAAGUUGGAUGCACACUCACUUAGUUUUCUUUUCGAACUUUCAUAAACUUAUAGCUCUAGUGCAUCUGUUGCAUGGCAAUUCCUACUCACUCACAUUGAUAUCUAUUAAUGGGCCUCUCCAUAGCCCGUUAAUACCCCUAGUUGAUGUGAGACUAUCUCCCUCUUUUUGUCUUCUCCACAACCACCGUCUAUUCCACCUAUAGUGCUAUGUCCAUGGCUCAUGCUCAUGUAUUGCGUGAAAGUUGAAAAGGUUUGAGAACAUCAAAAGUAUGAAACAAUUGCUUGGCUUGUCAUCUGGGUUGUGCAUGAUUUGAAUAUUUGUGUGAUAAAGAUGGAGCAUAGCCAGACUAUAUGAUUUUGUUAGGAUGAGAUUUCUUUGGCCAUGUUAUUUUGAGAAGACAUAAUUAUCUUGUUAGUAUGCUUGAAGUAUUAUUGGUUUAUGUCAAUAUUAAACUUUUGUUUUGAAUCAUACGGAUCUGAACAUUCAUGCCACAAUAGAGAAAAUUACAUGGAUAAAUAUGUUAGGUAGCAUUCCACAUCAAAAAUUAUGUUUCUAUCAUUUACCUACUCGAGGACGAGCAGGAAUUUUCCGGAGUACCGGGGGCUACCGGAACCCCCCGGGAGUUAAUGAGCCUUCAUGGGCCCUAGUGGAGAGAGGAGGCGGCAGCCAGGUGGUGGCGCACGCCCCCCCAAGCCUGAACCGAAUUGGACUAGGGUUGGGGGGCCGGCCCCCCUUUCCUUCUCUCCUUCUCCUCCUUCCCUCCUUCUCCUAGUGGGAAUAGGAAGGGGGGCGAAUCCUACUUGGACUGGGAGUCCAAGUAGGACUCCUCCCAUGGCGCAUCCCCCCUUGGGCCGGCCACCUCUCCCUUCCCCUUUGUAUACGUGGGAGGGGGGCACCCCAAAGGCACACCAAGCCUUCUCUUAGCCGUGUGCGGUGCCCCCCUCCACAGUUUCACACCUCGGUCAUAUCGUCGUAGUGCUUAGGCGAAGCUCUGGGCCGGUAGCUUCAUCAUCACCGUCGACACGCCGUCGUGCUGACGAAACUCUCCCUCAUCCUCAAUUGGAUAAAGAGAUCGAGGGACGUCAUCGAGCUGAACCGCUAGGGGUACGAAGGAGGAGGAGACCGGAUGCGUUAAGCUAGUUGGUAAGAGUUCUUGUCAUUAUUGAUAGUGGCCCUAGAGAAAGAGAUUACGCUGAUUGUUCUAACUUCAUUCAUAUUUGAUUCCGCAACUGAGACCUUUUCCCACAUCUGUGCCAGGAGGGCAAGUGGUCAAAGCAGAAAGGGUUCUCGCUUCUCCUUCUGGAAGGGUGUGCUGAACACGGAGGUCCCGUAUGUUCGGUGCUUGGAUCGGUUGGAUCGCGAAAACGUUCGACUACAUCAACCACGUUACUAAACGCUUCCGCUUUCGGUCUACGAGGGUACGUAGACAAACUCUCCGCUCUCGUUGCUAUGCAUCUCCUAGAUAGAUCUUGCGUGAUCAUAGGUAAAAAUUUUGAAAUACUGCGUUCCCCAACAUGCUUGCGUUUAUUUCACUACAUCAUGUCAUCUUACUUAAUGCGUUACUCUGUUCUUAUGAACUUAAUACUCUAGAUGCAGGCAAGAGUCGGUCGAUGUGUGGAGUAAUAGUAGUAGAUGCAGGCAGGAGUCGGUCUACUUGAUACGGACGUGAUGCCUAUGUUCAUGAUCAGUGCCUUAGAUAUCGUCAUAACUUUGCGCUUUUCUAUCAAUUGUUAGGCAGUAAUUUGUUCACCCACCGUAAUAUUUUCUAUCUUGAGAGAAGCCUCUAGUGAAACCUAUGACCUCUAGGUCUACUUUCCAUCAUAUAAGUUUCCAAUCUACAAUUUUAGUUUCCUAUUUACUUCCUUUGCAACCUUUUACUUUCCGUUUCAUAAACCAAAAAUAUCAAAAAUAUUACUUUACCGAUUAUCCAUCUCUAUCAUAUCUCACUUUGCAAAUAAUCCCAAAGGGAUUGACAACCCGUUUAGCGCCUUGGGUGCAAGUAGGUGUUUGUUUGUGCAGGUACUCAAUGACUUGUGUGUCGUCUCCUACUGAAUUGAUACCUUAGUUCUCAAAACUGAGGGAAAUACUUACUCUACUUUGCUUCAUCACCAUUUCCUCUUCAAGGGAAAAACCAACGCAAGCUCAAAAGGUAGCAGACCUCCAGUCGUAGCCGCCAUGAUUUUCUUCACGUCUAUCAAUGCCUUGAGAAUUUUGACUUGGACAUGUCCUAUGGCAUGAAUAAGAAAUCGAAGCUUCGCGCCGCGUCCUCUUGAGGCCGUGUUGGCUGAUAAUAUUAGUGCGCAUGACCAGAGCCUUUCUGAUCAAGAUAUCCAAGGACGACAUACACCAAUUCAUAUAGAUCUCCGCUCGGAAAGACCGAAACUCAUCAACGGCCAGAUCCAAGUUGUCGACAUCUGACAGAAAGACGACUUGGCGGAAGAAAAGCAUCAGGGCCAAACCACCAUUAUUAGUCCAAAGCUAAUAGCCUCCACGCCGCCCUCCUCUCGAUCCAGACAGGAAGAAAAAGAUCAACGACGUCGCAUCAUGCCACUCGCAUUCGUGGAGGCUUGAACAUGGCAAGACGCCAACCAUGGCUAGAGACGGGGACCAGCCACUCUGGCCAGAUCCGGCGACUCCUAGUCCCACCGCUCCCGCUACGGCGGCACCGCAUGUAGCCUACAAGCCCAUCCACGAUGAUGUCUGAUUAGAAGGAUAUAUGGAUAUACAGAUGAAAAGGCCCUUGUUAUCCCUCCAACAAUAUAUAUAAAGCUUAUUGGGACAUGAGAAAGCUUGCACAAGGCUAUGGAAAUGUAUUGCCAGACAGAGAUAUACGAUUUUCGUUCGGCAUCCAAACCGCUUGUGUCACGCUUAAUCGAUGGUCACUCUAAUUUUUCCGGCGGGCCUUCCCUGUGGUACUGCAGCCUUACAUGUGUAUUAGUGGUUAGGGCGUCAUCCGUGGCGCCGCUUAAGAGGAAGUUGUUUGCACGCUUUUAUUUUUUUUAAAUCAUGUACUCCUCAUCUCUAUCUAAAAAAAUAUUUAUAGAAAAUCCUCAUCUCCAUCUAGAAAAAGAAGUAAAAAAGAAAAAAAAAAUCACCAACGCAACCUUACAGCGAGCGCCACUUAGCGUAGUCCUCCAUUUAAAAAAAUAUGAAGUCAUCACCUUCAUAUAAAAAGAAAAAAACAUUUUAAAAACGUUUUCAUCUCCAUCUAAAAAUAAUAUCCCAAAAGCUUUUUCACUACGGCCAACCAGCUUGUACCAUGUGCCAUAACUGAUUGGCCGCUCUUCAUGCAUAGCUUAAUGGGUUUAAUGAGUUUCAUAUAGCUAUUCAUUAAGAAGAAAACCAAAAUUACUUGGAGUUAAUAACUAAUACGUUUCCUUUAACUAACACGUGCACGGCGAGGAUUUACGUGCAUGAUGUUUUUUCCUCUCCCCACGUCGUAUUGGGCCGGCCCAUUCGUGCACAUCUCUAUUUCUAAUGCAGCAGUUGGUAGUCUCAUUUUCAGGGUUUUUUUGUCCCACCUUUCAUGGUUUUUUUAUACCUCCUUCCACCUUCGCUGGUUUUUUUCAUAAAUUUUUUGUCCCCUCCCCCUAUUUCAUCGGUUUAUUUUCGCGUCACCCUCUCACACAAUGAAAGAAAUCUGAACAGAUUAGAACUUUCCAUGCUGGCGCAAGUUAUUUAGUAAUGUAGAAUCAAUCACGAACAAUCGCUAAAGAUCAAAUCCAAGUUAAUUAACCUUACCUUAAAUCACUCAAUCACAUUAAUUAGAAAACAAAUAAUUGAUUUUCAGAAAAAUUGCUCAAUCACAUUAACCUUACCUUAACUCACGGAUGGUAAUCAAUCUUCAAACAAAGGAAACAAUACAUCAAGGGAGCAGUAAAUAAACUCCCUUUCUUAUGACAUGUAUAUGAUCUUUCCUUCCCUCUCCGUUGUCGAGCGUUCUUGAUUCUCAAGGCCGAUUCUUGGGCUGCGUCACUGGGUCGCGACGGUGCCGAAGGACGAGGAUGGCGAGGCCGGGUGUCGCGGCACCGCGUUGGCCGUGGCUGAUGAAGGGGGUGAAGAAGGGCGGCUUCCCUGGCCGUGGCCCUGGGAGUUGGUGCGGUGGAAACGUCACUUGAAGGACCCGACGUGGGUGGCCGACGCGCAGACGCACUUGGAAGCGGGCCCAUGGCCCGCGCCGGACGGCGCCGACGCCGACCUGGACCACCUCCUCCGUGUAUCCUUGGAGCUAUGGCUGGCCAAUUUAUAUGAAAUUAAUUCCCUCAGUUGUGGUGGCAAAUAUAAUACACAUAAUCCAUAUUGUUAUGCACUAGUGUGUGUGUGUGUGAAAUAGAUGGAUUAUGGUCCCGUACCAAUAAGAUGGAUAUAUGUGUGUGUUAGAGAGAGAGAGAGAGAGAGAGACAGAGAGGGAGAGGGGGAGAGAGAGUGAGGAAAAGGGAGGGAGAGUGUGUGUAUGAGGAUUUGAUGGUAAAAAAAGUCGCCAAUGUCAUUUGAUAUGUAUGAAAAUAUUAAUAUUAAACUUUUAAAGUUAAUGUGGCCCCGUUAAAAUACACAAGCGUUCUUAUAGUAUAGUUAGAGAAAGACAUGAGGAAAAGGAAGAACCGGGAUCGAUUCCUAGUCUUCUCAAGGUGGCCGCGUGGGUUUGUCUCAAAAAAAAAAGGUGACAGCGUGGGUGCUACUACCGGUCCGCCCAAGUCCGGUUCGUGAUAAGUUGUAGGUGCGCGUCGUACUUGAGGCGAUUGAGGCCUGUUUUAUUUGAGUUUUUCCUCUCUUUUUUCUUCUUCAUUUUUUUCAUUCUUUUUUGCACUCCGUUUCUUUGUUUUGUCAUUCUUUUUUUCUUUUGUUUAUUUUCUUUUUUUCCGGUUUUCUUUGUUCUAUUGGUUAUUAUUGUACAUUUUUUGUAUACGUCUACAACAUUUUUUUCUAAUACACAUCUAACAUUUUUCAAAUACAAACCAACCAUUUUUGUAAUACAUUGUCAAGAUUUUUUUGUACACAUUUUUAAAUGCUUGUUUGUCAUUUUUCAAAUACAAGAUUAACAUUUUUUCAAUACAUGGUCAACAAUUGUUUUUGCCAUUUUUACAAAAAAAUUAAAUGCUUGAUUAACAUUUUCUUAAUGCAUGGUCAUUUAUUUUUCUAUACACAUUUAACAUUGUCCAAAUGCUUAAUUAACAUUUUCAAACCCUUGUUCAACAUCUCUUUUAAAAUGCUUGAUUCACAUUUCUGUAUACAUGAUCAAACAUUUUUAUCAUUUUUAAUACAUGGUCGACGGUAUUACCCAUACACAUUUAACAAUUUCCCAAUUCUUGAUUAACAUUGUUUAAGUACUCGUUCAACAUUUUCUCAAAUGCAUAACGUUGACAUUGUUGAAAAGUGGCAUCACAAGUUCCAGGGAGUAGAAAAGAGAUUAAUCAACGAAACCGCGCGAACUUUGUGGUGCUAUUGUGUUAUAUCAACUACUCCUUUCGUUCCGAAUUACUUGUCACAAGUAUGUAUGUAUAUCUAGAUAUAUUUUAAUUUUAGAUACAUCCAUUUAUGCGACGAGUAAUUUGGAACGGAGGGAGUAUGUGUCUGUUAUGUCACCAAAUUCAGUAUAUAUAGAACAUGGAAAUACAGUAAUAGUGAGCUCACUCGGUGGGAGCCCGUCACGGCCAUGGGAAUAGGAUCCUCCUCGUACUGCUCCUCUCCUGCCCUGCCCUGAGGAGCAGUAUCGUCCGUCGUCGCCGAGCGGCGCAGCAGCCGGUGGCCGAGGGGAGACCGAGAUUUAUUCUCCGGAGGCGCCGAAUCCGGCUCGUAAGUCGAAAUCCCUCUCUGUCCCGCCUCUCGGAUCCUCCCACCGAUCUCCUACUUCCCUGCCGCCAAUGCCCGCCUUUUCUUUGGACUCCGAGCGAGGAAUCGGAGGGAAAGCUGUGUACUUCCUGUGGCUUCAUACCCCGGUAAUGGCGGCCCUGCUUGCCGUUGCCGCUUGGUCCACUCUCUGCGUGCCCGUCUGCAAGGUGUUCGAUGGAUUGUGCGCAGGGUGUCGGCCCGGCUGGCCUCGUUUCACUUCUUCCAGGUUUCAGUCCGUUUACCGCCGGUUGCUGAAAAUGUGCACGAGAAGCAUAAGAAUGCUGGGAUAUGCGCUCUUUGUUUACCGUUUACUGUCAUUUGUUUGGUUGCAGGAAGCACCCGGCCUUAAGCAUAGUACUACAUAUAAAGUUGUAUGUUCUGUUCCGUUUGUUUGUUUGCUGUCUGAUGAUUGAGACAAGUGCAUAAUCUAAAGUUUGGCACCUGCACUUGCACCUGCUCCUGCACAUUUAUGUGUUGGAAACUGGAAUCUGUUCAGUGUAGUAUGGCCAUGCCACAUGUUUUGGCUUUAGCCUAAGGACCAAUUGCUUCUUGACUUUCUUGGAUGCUUGCUGGCCCAACCUUGGAUCUGUAUCUUUCUAAUAGUCUUCUAAAUCAGAAACAUAACGAUUUUUUGUGCUGCUUACUAGAUUCGGUGUGUUUACUUAGCGUGUUUAGUCGAAUCAUCUGUCAUUGUUCUCUCAAGUUACUUUUCCUUGCGAUAUUCAACCCAGCGGUUUAAAAUUCCUGCAAUUGCUUCAUUCAGAUUGAUUUUUCGCUUCUUUGUUGCUGAUUUCCUUUCAACGUUUGGGCUGAGGCUCCAAAUGUUGGUACUCUUUUAACCGGAGUAUGUUACUUUGGAGAAUAGAAGAAUUAUGCAUUGGUAUCAUGAUAACAUAUGCCUAAUGGUUUUUCUUACAGGAGGGCGUUUCCAACACAUAAAUAGUUUGCUAGCAUGCAGACAGUGUCCAGUAGCCUUUGCGCCAUUUGAGGCAUAAUGGACAUAGCUUUUAUCAUGUUGUUGGUUCUUUCUCUGCUCCUGUUCCCUAAUGGCAUCUGCAAGAGUUUAGCUACAGGACCUCCUGUUGUGAAUAUUGGGUCUAUUCUUCAGUUUGACUCCACCACCGGGGGUGUUGCGGCAGUUGCCAUCCAUACAGCCGUGGAAGAUAUCAACUCUGAUCCAACAGUUCUAAAUGGAACUACACUAAAGGUUCAAAUCAAGGAUACAAAUUGCUUUGAUGGUUUCCUUGGCAUGGUUCAAGGUAGGCUAGCUUUAAUGCCACUCAUUCAUUUCACAACCUUCAAAUAGUUAUUACUUCUGUUGUGGAGUUGUGGCAAUGAUGCCGUGUUCCUUGUAUCAGCUUUGCAGUUCAUGGAGACUGAUGUUAUUGCACUCAUUGGCCCUCAGUGCUCCACAAUUUCUCAUAUCAUUUCAUAUGUAGCAAAUGAGCUUCGAGUCCCUUUGAUGUCCUUUGCUUCUGAUGCAACUCUUUCAUCAAUACAGUUCCCGUUCUUUGUCAGGACGGGUCCCAGUGAUCUCUAUCAAAUGGCGGCUGUGGCAGAAGUUGUUGACUACAACCACUGGAAGAUAGUGACUGCCAUAUACAUUGAUAAUGUUUAUGGUAGAAAUGGCAUUGCUGCUUUGGAUGAUGCACUCACUUUAAAGCGCUGCAAAAUAUCCUACAAGGUUGGGUUUCCUUCCAACGCUAAAAGGAGUGACCUCAUAAAUUUGUUGGUUAGUGUCAGUUCUAUGGAGUCUCGUGUUAUCAUUCUCCAUACUGGAACUGAACCUGGACUCAAGCUUUUCUCUAUGGCACACCAACUGAACAUGAUGGGCAACGGCUAUGUGUGGAUUGCAACUGACUGGCUGUCUGCAUAUCUUGAUGCUAAUUCAUCAGUUCCUGUUGAGACUAUAUCUGGCCUGCAAGGUGUUCUUACUUUACGGCCACAUAUUCCCAACUCAAAGAUGAAGAGUAAUUUGGUCUCCAAAUGGAGCACGCAAAGUAAAAAGUACAACUACAGUGAUGUUUGUAUAAAUACUUAUGGUUUUUAUGUUUAUGAUAGUGUCUGGGCAGUAGCUCAUGCUCUGGAUGCCUUCUUUGAUGAUGGUGGUAGGAUUUCCUUUUCAAAUGACUUGCAUGAUGGAACUGGAGGAACUCUUCACCUUGAAGCAAUGAGCAUUUUUGACAUGGGAAAUAAAUUACUGGAGAAGAUUAGAAAGGUAAACUUCAGUGGGUUAUCUGGGCAAGUGCAAUUCGAUGCUGUAGGCAACCUCCUUCACCCUGCGUAUGACAUCAUAAAUGUCAUCGGAAAUGGCAUGCGGACCAUUGGUUUUUGGUCAAACUAUUCUGGCUUGUUGUCGACUGUCUCUCCAGAGGCUCUAGAUUCAAAGCCUCCUAAUACUUCUCUAGCCAAUCAGCAUCUCUAUGAUGUUAUUUGGCCUGGGGAGACUGCACAGAGGCCUCGAGGAUGGGUUUUUCCUUCUAAUGCCAAGCAGUUGAAAAUUGGUGUUCCCAACAGAUUUAGCUUCAAAGAGAUCGUCACGGUAGACAAUGCUACUGGGUCAAUGAAGGGUUAUUGCAUCGAUGUCUUUACUCAGGCAUUGGCUUUGCUUCCUUAUCCUGUUAGUUACAAGUUUGUACCUUUUGGGAAUGGUACUGAAAAUCCUAAUUAUGACAAACUCGUACAGAUGAUUGAAUCAAAUGUAAGUACGGAAUGCCUCUUUUUUCUUCCUCGAACCAUUUCAUCAUAUACCAUGCUGACCAGGGGCAUCUUAUCCUGCAGGAGUUUGAUGCAGCUAUAGGGGAUAUUGCAAUUACAAUGAGGCGGACAGUAACUUUUGAUUUCACCCAGCCAUUCAUUGAAACAGGCUUGGUUAUCUUGGCUCCGGUUAAAGAGCAUAUAACAUCGUCCUGGGCAUUCUUGCAGCCAUUUAGUUUGGAGAUGUGGUGUGUUACAGGGCUAUUCUUUCUUAUUGUGGGUGUGGUUAUUUGGAUUCUUGAACAUCGGAUCAAUGACGAUUUCCGUGGUUCAGUAUGUCAACAAAUAAUAACUAUUUUCUGGUAAGGAGCUGACCUGCACCUUUUGUACCGUCUUCUUGUAUAUCAUUCCUGUUUUCGAAGUGUUGAUGUUUUAACAAGUCUUGUGCAAUAUGUUGCAUACAGCGAGUACCUUAGAGCAGUGGCCAGUUAACAUACCUAAAUGAAGCAUCUAGUGAUUACCAAUGAACUACUCCCUCCGCCCCAUAAUAUAAGGGCGUUUUUGACACUACACUAGUGUCAAAACGCUCUUAUAUUAUGGGACGGAGGGAGUAUUAUCUUAAUAAUCUUGUGAGACAUAUAUACAUGCACAGCAUAUAUAUUCGCUUAAUGAUAUUUAUGAUGCAUUGCUCUAUUUUUCCUGUUUUCACAUACUUCUCUUCUCCACAUGUAUUUGCCAAAUGCUCUUAUAAUGGCGUGAUUCCUUGCUGUGAUUAUAAUUUCAAUUUUUAUUGCCUGCAGGUUCAGCUUUUCGACUUUGUUCUUCGCACACAGUAAGUAAACCAACCUUCUCUCUUAUGUGUUUUUUUUUUUGGCUAUAACAUUUUGUUCUGAGGCAUGAGGCAUGACUCGUGAUUUCAUAUGUAUCUGCGCGCAGGAGAAAAUACUAUGAGCACCUUAGGGCGUGGUGUCCUGAUCAUAUGGCUGUUUGUUGUUUUGAUAAUUGUAUCCAGCUAUACCGCGAGUCUUACUUCCAUCCUGACCGUGCAACAACUCGAUACUUCUAUAAAAGGAAUCGAGGACCUGAAAAAUAGCAAUGAUCCUAUUGGUUUCCAAGUUGGUUCUUUUGCACAAGACUACAUGGUCAAGGAGCUCAACAUCUCACGGUCAAGGCUAAGAGCUCUUGGUUCACCACAAGAAUACGCUGAAGCCCUCAAGAUAGGCCCUAAGGAAGGAGGUGUUAUGGCCAUUGUCGACGAGCGCCCCUAUGUUGAACUGUUUUUGUCAUCCUACUGCAAGAUUGCGGUAGCUGGCACAGAUUUCACCAGCAGAGGAUGGGGCUUUGUAAGUACAGUUCAACCAUAUUCUUUUAUAUAAAUUAGAAUAUAAGAACAAAAAUUGCUGUUAAUGUCCUGGAAUAGAGGUUUUAACUUUGAAUAGUUGUGUCUAGUCUUUAGUUUAUGCAACUUUUAUUGCACUUACCUGCGGCUACUUUGUUUCACAAAUCGAAAUGUAGCACCUUACAAAUUCAUUCUGCCAGGCAUUUCCAAGGGACUCCCCUUUGCAAGUAGACCUCUCCACCGCAAUCCUGUCUCUGUCAGAGAAUGGGGAGCUGCAGCGGAUCCAUGCCAAAUGGCUCAAUACAGGGGAGUGCACAACUGACAACAGUGAGCUUGUCGACUCGAACCAGCUCCGCCUUGAGAGCUUCCUUGGUCUGUUCCUAAUCUGUGGUGUGGCAUGUGUUCUCGCGCUGCUACUCUACUUUGGUAUCAUGCUAUGCAAAUAUCUGAGGCAUGAACCGUGGAAGAGCCUCAGAAGAUUCAUCUCGUUCGUCCAUGGGAAGGAGCCGCCGAAGAACAAGGAGAGGCGGUCCAUGAGCCUGCCUGGAAGCUCAACGCCAACAACGCCGAUGAGCAGCCAUAGUUCCCUUGACAUGGAAAGGCCGGCCAGGCCAGUCAGAAACGGUAGCAUUAUUGACAUGGAAAGCUAAUUCAUGUGUAGAAAGCUAGUUAACAAUGCGGUCGACUAACCUAGGUUCUGGUAGUCGGACAGCAGGGCUGUAUAGGAGGAUUCGAAAUACUUCUUAAGUACUCCCUCCGAUUCAACUUAAUUAACUUUGACUUGGUACAACCUUAGUACAAAGUUGUACUAAGUCGGCGCAAUUAAUUUUGAUCUGAGGGAGUACUAAAGUUUAUGAAAUAACAGAAGGAAGGAUUAAUAAGAAAUAGAAAUAUUGAAAUGCUCCUCCUGUCCUACAUAUAUUGUUUUUACCUUUGCAUGUGUUUGAUAGGGCGUAGUAGUAGUGUGUGGGUACUUCAGUUAGAAGGUAUGCAGUGGACCAGUCUAUCGACCGUGUGGCAAUGCCUGUAGUUUGUAGCACUAAACUUUGAUGCCCAUUCAUAAACUAAUUUAGAUGGAGCCGCACAAAAAUUGUGUUUUUUUUUUUGCUCACACACUCUGUUUUGUCUCAGUUUUAGUCCAGCGCAACUUUGAAGCUUAUCCAGGGCAACUUUGAAGCUUAUCCAGGGCAACUUUAACUAUUUACAGGAGAAAUUGUUAAAGACCUUAUUAAGUGAAGAAGAAUAGACGUCUCCAGUUUUUGUUUCUCCAACUCUAUGCCUACACUGUAAAUUAUUUAUGAAUUAGCUCCAGUUGAUGCAACUGUACUCUUUCUGGUAGGUCUGAGAUGGACUGAGCAUCCUAAGCUAGCUACUUGUCUCCCUUAGGUUUUACAGCAAGACAAAUGCACUGGACUACAAAGAGGAAAAUUCUUGCAGGUUCGUAAUGAAUCUGUUUUGGUUCUGGCAUUCACACCAAUCAUAAAGCAGUGUUUGUUAGUAGCGGAGUGGUAGGCAGACGCAAAUCAAACCAUCAUUUUUCUUCUAAAUACACUUGUAAAAGCAUCGAUGCAUCUCCGUCGCUUAAUUUUAUUUGUCAUUCUGUUCAGUACCUGGUUUGGUUUAGGAAGAGCUCUUUUUCCUAUGCAAAAUGUAUAACGUGUAUGUUUCUAAUUCCGAUUGCAGGCAUAUUCAUCGCGCUUGUGUUUUGACGUGUUGCGGGCAACCAAGAGUCGUUCAACAGUGUGUUGCUGGGGUACGCCACCGGUCUGACAGUAAAAGGUAGCGCUGAUGAACUGGUUUCAAGCCGAGCUGAUCAGUUCUGCUGUUACUAAUAUAUCAUGGCAUCUUGCGGCUCUCGGUCGAUGUUCUGUCAUCUAUGAGGAGAGAGUUUCCAUUUAAUCUAGUUGCUAAUGCUUUGUAUACAAAAUUAUAGAUGCCUACACAAUACAAAAUCAAAAGUUAUUUUCUUAGUCAAACUGGAAAAUUCAUAGAUUUGCAGGAACAUCUGUACAUAAAGCCUUUUCCAUCAAAGUAUGUACAUACAUUGUCUAUUUUAACAUAAGAAUGUAGGACUCGUUCAAAACUAUUUGACUAUUCAUACAAAAAAAAUAGAAUUUCUUAAAAUAAGGGAGCACAUCUUCUCUGGUUUGAUCACUGAAGUCAUCAAUUGAGCAGUCCAGGUUCACCUAGUUAUCUAUUUCAAAACUUAGGGAGAACAAUUUGGGUGAUACUUUUUCAAAGUACAAGGCACAUAUUUAUAGUUCAUUGAAAUGCACCUAUAUUUUGACCUCAUUAAUAUCUCAUCCUUCAUAAUAAAGUAUGGCCAAACAAACAGAGAAACCGCUAGUUUCUUUCAUGUUCCCCAGACAAUAACACCAUAGCUAUUACUGUCAUUCCCCUUCUCUCUUAAUACCUUCCAUCCUUUCCAUUAUAAUUAAUGAAACUGAAACAUAUCAUUCUCUUGGUUGUAUUUUUUUCCUAAAAUGUUUAAGGUGUAUGUGUCAUUGAGUGAAUAUAUUAUGUUGCAAAGUUUCACGAAAUUUAGUAUGCAACCAGUAUGCAAGAGAAAUAAAGAUUAAAGUAAAUUUAGUUAUUUUUAUUAGCCAUUAUUGUUUUUAGAGAAAACAAUAGGCAAGUCACUUUUUCAUGAAAGCUGGAGACAAAUAGUGUAUUCUAACAUAAAAAUGGUCAAUUUUCCUCACACACACACACACACACAUACACAUAAACUUAGAAUUUUUGGAAAUAAUGGGAGCAAUGGCCAUGUGAAAAUAUGAGGUUUAUAUCUUGUGGAUUUCCUUUCAGUGUACAAGGCCUGCAUGUAGAAUGGAUAUUUUUUUUUCUAUAUUUGCUUCCCUAAUUUAAAUCUUAUCCUUCAUCAUCAAUUAUGACUAAACAUAAAUAGUAACUGCUAGUUUCUCUUAUGCUUAUGAGGAGAUAAGACCAUGGAUAUUUUAGUCAUUCCACUUUGCUAUUGAUUGUUUCUGUUCUUUUGCGCUAAAUAGUAGUCAAACAUGUUAUUCAUGUAUUUCGUAAGGAUAAGGUCAAGCCUCAUGAUAAGGAUAGGGUCGCGCUAUUCGUCACCCUGGGUGAGGCAUUGUUAUUUUUCACCCACUUCUAUUUUAUCAUCAAUGCACCGUAAAUUUACGUUUCAUAAGUUUUGUCUUAUUUCCGACGCAAAAAGGGACCGUAAGAAAAUAUAUAAUCGCCAUAAAAAAUAUUUUAUGUUAUAUAAAAUUACAAACAUAAAAACAUAGUCUAAAAUACACACAAACUGCAAAUUUUCUUGUCUUAUAACCUAUAUUUUUAUUUUUUUAUGUCAAAUUUUACGUAGUGAAUCAAUAGAAAUAUAACUAUUUGAAUUCGAAAUGUAAUUUAAUUAUGAAAUGAUCGUAAGAUUACCUCGGGUGAAGAAUAACUUAUUCUGCACCCUGAUUGAUGAAUAAUAAAUUUAAUUAUAUUAUAUACAUAUAGGAUAACACUAUUCUAAUCCUAGAAUUAGAAUAGCUAUUUGGAUCACAGCCAGCCCGACCACAUCUUAGUGAGAUCGCGCGAGCAAAAGAAAAAACCCAAAACGCCCCGCCCCGUUUAUCCCCUUGUCGCUCCACCACCACCCCCCGACCUCUGGCCGCCGCCCACCCUGCUCCGGCGCGCCUCCCACCCUCGCCUCCUUCCGAGCGCUCCGCCGGCCCCGCCUUCUUCCAGGCGCGCCGCCGGCCCCGCCUCCUCCUGGCGUGCUGCCACCCCCACCUCUUGCAGCGCGAGGUCGCCGCCACCGCCUACUUCCCGGCGUGCCGCCAGCCCCGCCCCCUUCGGCGCGAGGCCGCCGCCCCCACCUCCUCCUGGCGCGCCGUCGUCCCCUGUACCUGACGCGCCCCCCGGUGCCGCCGGCCCGCAACCCGCCGCCCAGCACCUUCCCGUCGCGCGCCUCCCAACACCGAGGCGCCGCCGCCCACAGGUUCUGUAGAUGCUGACCUGCCACUGCACCGCCGCUGCAACCUGCUGCUCACUCUUCCUCGCACAUGUGUCAGCAACACAAAAGUGGGUCGCUGCAGUCCACCUCCUGCUACAGCAGCAGGACGACUCCUUCAGGACGCAUCUCACACUCAUGGAGGCGGUGCUAUCUCUGGCGAGCUCCUCCAUCCCCGAGCGCGAUGCUUCCACUACUGCGUCCUCCUCACGUUCCCUUCCCCAUCCUUGUGUAUGCUUAUUUCGAUGUGGAAAACUCCAUCAACUAGUUCGCAUCACGUAUCAGGGCACGGCCAUAACAUGCUAGCAAUAUUAUGCUUUGGCUGCUAGUAAUGUGUUUGUGCUAAUGUCUAGUAGGAACUCUAGUUGUACUGAUAAAAGAGAACCAAACCAUCAUAUAAGGGAAAAGUCGCAUCUCUCUAUCUUUGAUCUCUCUAUGAUACAGAUAUGGACGUAUAUGGAAUUAGUAAAAUUCCUCUUUUAUAUUGCUUGUUCAUUAAUCAUUCAUGCAUCGUGUCCUAAAAGAAAUAUAGUGUGCUCUGUUUGAAAAAGCAUGUGGUCAGCACAUGUUUGUUAUUAUAUGGAUCUAAAGGUUUAACAAACAAACACAUUCAGAUUUCUCUUUAUUCGUAUAAAGGUUGGAGUGAGGUAGCGCUUAUUUCCUAUAUAGCUGCUCAUUUUGGAUGCAGUUUGAACAAUCAGGCUAGGGAGCGGUGAGCGUGGGUAGGCUGGCCAAACCUUCCCUCCACUGGGUCAACCGGCAGCGUCGCCCACCACCGUACUGUCCUACGGCAACGGCCCCAACCUGGGCAGGCGUGCUUUCUGCGACAUGCUCCUGCUCAUGGAUGUCUUGGUGAGGUAAAAACUUCUGUUAACUUAACUUAGCUACCUCAACUGAUUGAACUGCAGGGGUUGUGUGCAGUCUGAUGUGGUUCUAGUGUUUGAUUAAUGCAAUUUGGAAGAACUUGCGUCUCUAAAAUUCAAACUCUGCAUUUUGGUGUAUUUUUAUUUAGAAGUUCAGGUCAUCAUAAGUUGCUUCGGUUUAGCUAGUUACUGUUGUGAAAAAGUUCAGCUCGUCAUAUUUGAACAUCGGAAGAAGAGCUGCUAUAGUCUCCUGCUAUAUGCUUGUUAUAUUCCUAAAUAGUACAGGCUCAACCAAAGCAAGUAGUUAUAGUCUCCUGCUAUAUGCUUAAAUAGUACAUUUUUUCUGUAUUCUUGUUCGGAAGUUCAGGUCAUUCAAAGAGACCAAAUAGUACAGGCUCAACCAAAUAGUGAAAAGUCUACUAGAGUCGAAAAAAUAUAAUGAUACAAAAAUGCAACUCUGCACUUUCCUCAAAAUGGUCAUCAUAUUCUUAAGAAGAUUGGGAUUGCACUAUUUGUUUGAGCUAGUACUACCAGACUGAACAAAUUGCAGAGUUGGAUUUUAGAGCCUGGACAUUUUCAGACAUUUUCAAAAGUGGUCAAUUGAACCUGAACCAAAAAGAUUGACCUGAAAUUCGUUUGGGCUAGUUACUACCAGACUGAAAAAAUUGUAAUAGGUGGAUAAGUGGUAUUGUACUAUUUUCUAUUGUGUGGUAAUGCUCGUACCCCAUGGCCAUGGAAGGUUCAGAUGUUGUGCUCUUCUUUUCUAGCUGAUUCAUGUUCUAUUUGGUAGCUUUAAUGAUAUUCUAUACACUGAUGGCGAGAGUUCAACCAUGGCUAUACGCCAAGUUCUACUAUGGCUAUAUGUCGGCCAUCGUGAAGUCCUACUAUAGCUAUAUGCCAAGUUUAAUUAUGGCUGUAUGCUUGUGCUUCCAGGCUACUAUUGAACGUGUCUUGGCCUUCAUUUUUACGGGUUAUAGUCUCCUGCUAUAUGCUUGCUUUUGCUAUCAGCAUGUUCAUGCAAGUGCCUCUGAAUAAUCUGAAAUUUAAACUUGUACCUAAAACUGAACUUCUACCUCUUUGCUACAGGUGCGGUCGUCGGAGUCCUUUAAGUGCUUGCACUAGUGCUUCUAACUUGUCCAUGAAGGCACUGCAUGGUGUGCCACCUCCCGUCUGCCGCCGCAGCUGCCAUGUGUCCUUGCGACCUCUGCGGCCAGUCACCAACGCCCUAUGAGUGCGCCCUAAGUGUGGCAUGGGGAACAUGCUAAUGUGUGUGUUUCUGCACUGGUGUGUGCGUGCAUGCUCACGUUUAUGCGUGACUGAGUGUGCUGCUUGUGUGCUGUGAUGUAUGUUGUAUAGAUUUUUAUGAAGUUCAUGUUGUGAACCCAACUUAAUUAGAACACAAAAGUUUAGAUCGCAGCUGCUUUGAAUUAUGUAGUGUUUCUAAAUAGCUUCUUGUCUGAAGUUCAGUCGUACAUGUGGGUGCAAGAAAGUUAGUGUCGGAGCCAGAAAAACUGACUUUGAGCAACUGUUGGGUAUUUAUAUAAAAACAUUGUGUGUAGCAAUUCGUUGUGUUUAUUGAAAAAUGAAAAGACAGAAGUUCACCAUGCAAAACUUUCACAGUCCAAUUGGUAUUAAGAAGGCAGAAAUAUAAAACAACAGUGAAGUUCACUAAAAAUGCAACUUUUCACAUUGCGAAGAAACAAUAAUUAACUUCUCAGUGUACAAUUUAGUUUUUGUUUCUCUUUUCCAAAAAAUAAGAAUAGAAGUAAUAUGUGGAAGCUAUUUGUGUUUAUGUCUCAAAUUAGAAUAAUUAUAAGAAUUGCCUCUAUAUGUGCUAUGUGUUACACACCUUUCCGAAUCAAAAGAGAUUAGAUUCAUCCAUGAGUAAGGUAGGUACAAUUAUUUUUAAACAGUUCAAUUGCUCGAUAGAUGUAUGUCCAGAAAAAUAAAAGAUAGUUCAACACAAUAUAAACCCAUGAGAUUGCAAAAAAUCUUUGGAUUAAGUGGAUGAGAACCAAUAAGUUCAUAUAUGAAACCUUGGGGAGUUCAAAAAAAGUUAAAAAGGUUCGAUGUUUGUUGCGAAGCUAGGAUUUUCUUCAUUACUAAUGAAUAAAUCAAGAAGUUCAAAUUAAAAAAGGAUGAGCGGUUCGAUGUUUAUUACGAACCUAGAAUUUUUUCCGUUACUAAAAGAAAUAAUACCAACAAGUUCAAAUUAAAAAAAUCGAGUAGUUUGAUAUUUCUUUGAAAACUCAAAUUUUUCCGGUUAGUAAAUAAUAAAACCAAUAAGUUCAAUUCAAAAUAACGAAGAAGUUCAACUUUUAAAAGCAAAGCAAUUUGAUAUUCAUUUAAAAACUCAAUUUUUUCGGUUACUAAAGAAUAAGACCAACAAGUUCAAUUCAAAGUAACGAAGAAGUUCGAUGUUUCUAACAAAACUCCAAUUUUCACAUUUCUAAAAACUCCAAUUUUAGGUGAGCCCAAUUUUUGUGUGGAUGUGUUGUGCAUGUGCUUGUGCGUAGUACAUUUAAUAGAACAAAAACACUAUUAUGGGUGCCCUCUAAAUGUUUGUCCUAUUGCUUAUGAGAAUUGACCCGAAUUUUCCUAUUGUUUUUGCACAUGUUGGAUUCAAGGGAAAAUGUGUAUAAAACAGGUGUGAUUUCAGAAGUUCAGGUGUAACGAACAUCGAAGUCCAAACCAAAAGAAUGUAAACAAAAAAAUCAUGGAAUUCAAAAGAAUAAAUACUAUCGAGUUUCAUGAAAGAAAAUAGCAUGCGAAGUUCAUGUUUCAGAAAGUUUGAAGUUCACGUGUACCACAUACAGAAGAAAAAUGAUCAAAUGAAAAAAGGGACCGCCUAGGCCAUUUCACCGAAAAGCAAAAAAUGCAUAAAAUGUCACGACAAAAUUCUAUAAGAAGUUCCAAUUUAAAAGCCGAAGUAGGUCAACGUUAAAGAAAAUGAAGUUUUUAAUAUCUAAAAGAAAAUUUUGGAAGCUCAACAAAUUUGUGCAAGGAGUUAAAAAAAUUAGUUGAAAAAUAUUUAUAACGGAUUUUCCCCGUGUAUAAAAAAAUCAGAGAAGUUCAAAUUAAAAAGAGGAGCAUUUCAAAAGAUUGUAUAAAAACUGAUUUACUCAAAAUAGAUAAAGGUGAAGUUCAAAUUGAAAUAACGGAGAUGUUCGGAGUUUAUUAAAACCUAGAAUUUACCUGUUCGAAAAAUAAAAAACACAACACCAUUUUUUUGCACUUUUAGAGACAACUCAUAAACGAAAAAAUGGUUGCUGGAAGUUCAAGUGCUCGGUGAGGAAAAGUUCAAAAAAUUCUUGUAAGAGAGGUUCACCGUGUAUUUAGAUGUCCAAAAUACAUAAAAAAUAUGUUGUUUUUUGUGUUUUAAAAUAAUUCUCUCAAACCAGAGAGAAGUUCAAAGUGAUAAUAGCCGGAAGUUCACGUACUACAUGGUGUGUAUUUCAUAUAAGAAAAAUAGAAUAAAGUGAAACAGAGUAAAGUUCAAACGGACAUGCCCUAGAAGUUCAACUACUUCACGUAGUGCAAAAAAAUAUCACAUCAAAAAUAGAGUGAGGACAGACAUGCCUGAGAAGUUCAACUACUUCACACAGUGUGUUUCCAUUCGCAAUGAAGGCAGAAAUCAUGAUCUCGUCAUUUCUCUAAUUUACUUCAAAACGAUAGGAAUAUCAUUUGUGUAAGUUCAAGUCCUCGGUCGGAGAAAGUUAAAAAAAUAUUGUGAGAGAGGUUUGUACAAAAAGAAUAUCAUUUGUGUAACACUGACGAAAUGGAUGAGAAAAUUACAAACAAAAAACGUCACAGAAGUUCAACGUGAAAACAACAGGAAGUUCGACUACUAUAGUGAAUGAAUUUGAGAUGAAAAACUUUUAAAAUCAUCGCGAGUAUGAAAAAACGAUCAACACGGGAAAGUUAUGUGCUUACAGCAGCUUUCCACCGGUAUAUCACUUUCUCAAUUCCGGUGAGUGGAUGGAGAGUUACGAGCAGUGGAUGGAGACCUACGAGCAAAAAAAUCACGUGAAAAACAGAGUGAAGUUCAGGUACACGCGCCGAGAAGUUCAGGUUCUUCACGCGGUGCAUUUUCGAAGAAUCUGUUUGACGAUAAAGGCAGAACGCAUGAUCUCGCCAUUUUCGAAAUUACUUGAAAAUGGCUAGGAAUCAGAGAAAACCAUCAACAUGAAAAAGUUUUGCAAUUUCCGUAGCUUUUCAGCGGUAUAUUAUUUGCCCCAUUCCGAUAAAGUUUGUAGAAAUUACGGCGAAAAUACGUUUUUCGCCAUUUUCGAAACUGACUUAAAACUGUAAAGAAUUGGGAGAAACAAUACAUACCAAAAAGUUUCACAUUUGUUCAAGAUUUCCAAAGCCAUAACAUUUGCUGCAUUCGGACAGACGGUUAAAAAAUUAGAUCAAAAAUACGAACUCGGUAGGACUAGGACCAUUUUCUAAAUUACUCUUAAACCAUUCAAAAUUAGAAAAAAACUUUCAAGAUGAAAAAGUAGCGCAUUUUCAUAAGCUUUACAAUGCCGUAUCAUAUGCCUCUAUUGGAUUAGCCGUUUAGAAAUGACAUCGAAAAUACGAACUCAGCUGUUCGAUUUACGAAAUUUUACGUUUUUUCAAAUUACUCUUUAACUAUAGGGAAUUAAAGAAAACUUUCAACAUGUGGAAGGAGCGGUUUUGCAGCAGCUUUCCAACGCCAUAUUAUAUGCCUCAUUAAGAUAAACGGUUUAGAAAUGCGGUCGAAAAUACGAUUCACGUUUUUUGUGCGAAGAAAAAACGGUUUUCAAAACUGCUCUUAAACCGCUUAUAUUUUGCCAAAAAUUUAAGUUGGAUAAUGAUACUGAUGUUCAAAACUUUCCAACGGUAUAUAGCAAGCCUCAUUUGGGCAAUGUUGGCGGAAGUUCAACCUAGUUCAUAGGGAAGUUCAGCGUACUACUAGCGGGGCAGGUCAGGUUGUGAUCAGAAUAUUAUUCUGAUCCCGUGAUUAGAAUAGUGUUUAUAUAUAUAUAUAUAUAUAUAUAUAUAUAUAUAUAUUAUAUUUGCCACAUUAACUUUAAGAGUUCAAUAUUAAUAUUUUCAUACAUAUCAAGUGAUAUUGGCGACCUUUUUUACCAUCAAAUCCUCGCGCACACACGCUAGUGCAUAACAAUAUGAAUUAUAUGUAUUAUAUUUGCCACCACAGCUGUGGGUAUUAAUUUCAUGUAAAUCGGUCAAUCACAGCUCCCAGAAUAUGCGAAGGAGGUGGCCUGAAUCGGCGUCGACGCCGUCCAGUGCGGGCCACGGGCCCGCUUCACUAGUAGAAAAAGGGCCUAUUGUCCCGGUUCGUAAGGGCCUUUUGUCCCGGUUCCUGAACCGGGACUAAAGGAUCGGUACUAAUUCCCUGUCCCUUUAGUCCUAGUUCAAUCCAGAACCGGGACAAAUGGGCCUCCACGUGGCCUGUGCGCGGAGCCCAGGCAGGAGGGCCUUUGGUCCUGGUUGGUGGCACCAACCGGGACCAAUAGGCAUCCACGCAUCAGCAUUUCUGUGGCUGGGGUUUNNNNNNNNNNNNNNNNNNNNNNNNNNNNNNNNNNNNNNNNNNNNNNNNNNNNNNNNNNNNNNNNNNNNNNNNNNNNNNNNNNNNNNNNNNNNNNNNNNNNNNNNNNNNNNNNNNNNNNNNNNNNNNNNNNNNNNNNNNNNNNNNNNNNNNNNNNNNNNNNNNNNNNNNNNNNNNNNNNNNNNNNNNNNNNNNNNNNNNNNNNNNNNNNNNNNNNNNNNNNNNNNNNNNNNNNNNNNNNNNNNNNNNNNNNNNNNNNNNNNNNNNNNNNUAGGUGUUUCAUAUAUUGUGUUAGCUAGCUAUAAUUAAUAGAGAGAAGUGUCCUCUCUUAUGUCCAUGCUUGGUCGGCGCUACGUACUAUACAUACGUAUAGAGAGGACUAGACAGGCUAGCUAGCUAGUUAGAAAACGAAGGAAACAGAAGAUCGUCAUGAACAUAUAUGCAUAGAGAGAGAAGUGAUAUCGACCACCUCUCCUUCUCCGAGAGAUUGGUCGAACAACAAGUUCUCGUAUAUCUAUCCGACACUACCGGCUACAUAUAUACAAUAAUUAUCUCUUACAAAUAUAAUCUCCUAACAUACGGACUCAUGGUCCACAUAGUAUUCUCCGUCUUCAGCGAUCACGUGGUCAAGAAAGAAUGCCGACAAUUCCUUUUGAAUUGCUCGCAUGCGAGCUGGUGCUAGGAGUUCAUCUCGCUUCCGAAACAUCUAAUUUGAAGAAGGGGCCGGGGUCAAUACAUAUAUAUAUGAAUGAAUGAAACUAAACACAAAUGAUGGUAAUAAAAUAAAAUUGUGAAUGUUGUUAUUUGCGCACUUCAUAUUGUUCAUCAGAGUAGCCCCGCUCACAGGCCGUGUGGUAGAUGGACUCGCAAACGUAGUAUCCACAGAAAUCAUUCCCUUGUAACUGCCACAACCCCUUUACAAGAAAUAGAGGUCAAUCAAACUGAUAAGCAAGAAUGCCAAAUGGUAUUGAUGAAACUAGCGCUUGAAUCAAUAGGAGAUGCGCGGAACAUGCUACUAUAGUACUUACUUUGGGGUGUCUAAAUUGCAGCUUCUCCGGGAGUCCCGGAGCUUUUUUGGUGAAUUUUUUCCAAACCCUGCCAGACAAAGAAAACAGUUACUUGAUAUAUCAGGAAAUGAACAAAGUUGCUGAUAUGGUGGAUAAUGAUCGAUUUAACUUACUUCUCGAGCAUUUGAGUCAUGUCCGCAUAGUCCUGGGGAUCUUUUCGUCUUGAGUCUAAGACGGUUACUAGUCCCUGCUCAAGCUUAAUCUCUAGGAGAAUAUAGUGGAAACUGCACACGCAUGCAUAACUCAUCAAUUACAUUACUAUAACCUUGACUAAUAUAUAAGGGAAACCGAAUAUGCACAAGACAGUAACACUCACUUGAAGUUGUAAGGAAAAAGUAUUAUAUCUUUGUUUUCAUUUAUUACCAACGAUCGUAGCAAGUUGGCCUCGGUAUCCGCGACAUGAAAUUUAACCUCAGUUGCAUCUAUGAUAUUUGUGUUAAUGAACCCAAUAUCACCGAUUUGUCUUUUCUUCAAUUCGACGAUCUUCAAUCUGCAUAAUAUAGUGAGGAUAAUUAUAAAUACAUGCAAUGAAAGAGCUGAGCUAUAUAGAGAGACUUAAUGACAGAAGUAGUACUACUUACAGACAGUAGCAGGUGACCGUUGCUUUAUCGAGGGCCAAUUGAUUGAAAAACUGAAAGAACUCCUCAAAUGGAACAGGUAACAAACACUAGUAGAAAAAGGGUCAAACGUGAAGCACAUUAGUGCCGGUUUGUAAAAAGACCGGCACUAAUGUGAUCAAUAGUGCCGGUUCGAAUGGCUAUGCAUUAGUGCCGGUUCGUAAUGAACCUUUAGUACCGGUUCAUGCCACGAACCGGUACUAAAGGGGUGGUGGCAGGCUGGCGUCAGGCCAGGCCCCACGAGCCCCUUUAGUGACGGUUUGUGACACAAACCGGUACUAAAGGUCUAACCUAUAGUACCGGUUUGUGUCACCAACCGGCACUACAAAGUCUUAACCUAUAGUCCCGGUUGAAGACACAAACCGACACUAUAGGGCAAUUUUCAAACUCUACCCCCCCCCCCGUGUAUCGCCAUUUCAGUUUUGAAAAAAUCAAAAGAAAAUGAUAAAAACUUCAAAAAAUAAAAUCCUUCGAGAGGUAGUUAUAUUACUACAUCUACUAGUUAGGAAAAUUUGAAAACUUAAAUUUGGACAUGUUUUGCAAAAAGUGUAGGGAAAAUGUAAAACGGCUAUAACUUUUGCAUAUGAUGUCGGAAAAAACGUAUAAUAUAUCAAAAAAUUCAGCACGAAAAUCCUCAAAUUCCAAAAGGAAAAAAAGAUAUGGUCAAAUUUAAGUUUUUUUUAAAAAAAAUUGGUUAAAUCUGGUCAAACUACUUAUUCAAGAAGUGUUAAUGUUACUACAUAAUUAUUCAAGAAUAUUAGUGUUACUAAAUAAUUAUUUCAAUUUUUUGAAUUUUGGUCAAAUCUGGUCAAACUAUGGUCAAACUGUGGUCAAACUAUGGUCAAACUUAUUCAAGAAAUAUUAGCGUUACUAAAUAAUUACUGUUUUUUUAGAAUAAUAGUUUCAAACUCAAACGGUGAAAUGUGUGACUUCAUGCUCAAGCUAAACUCCUGAGGGUUAAUAGGAUUAACAUCUUACUAUCAUCACGAAAACAACAAGUGCAGACAUGGAAACGAAGGAGAAUAGAACCCGAAAGUUAAGCGUGCUCGGGCUGGAGUAGUGAGAGGGAUGGGUGACCGGUCGAGAAGUUAGAUGAUUUGGAAUGAGUGAUCCACACUUGAGCAGUUAAGAGAGGUGAUUAGAGACUAAAUCAUCAAAUAAUUUAGAAAAAUUAAAAAAAUCAAAUUAAUUUUCAAAAAAAAUAUUCAAAAAAAAAACCAUUAGUACCGGUUGGUAACACCAACCGGUACUAAAGGUCCCCCAUACCAGGGCGUGAACUCACGCCACGUGGUGGCACUUUAGCGCCGGUUCGUGCCGAACCGGUACUAAAGGGGGGGGGGGCUUUAGUGCCGGUUCCAUAACCGGCACUAAAGGCACUUACAAACCGGUUUUAAAGCUCCGUUUUCUACUAGUGAAAUCAAUUCCAACGAGGUCAUGCUCCUUUUUAACUCUCACAUACAAAGUACUCCUCCCCUAGACUCUCUGCAGAUUUUCAAGUACCAAUCAUGCAAUCUUUGCAUCAUCGUUGAUAGAGAUCUUUCAUCUUUGACGAGAGGCUUCCCGUACUCGUAUCUUUGUAUCUGCACCUCCAUGAAAUCAUAAUGUACAUCGUCGGGCAGGUAAUCUCCAAGAUUGCUAUAACCGGGCACCAUCCUCGGAUCAUUAGCGACGAUGUCGCUAGGUACCUUGAGCGGGGGGGGGGGGGCACGAUUGCUUCCCUUGUUCGCCAAGCUGGGAAAUUUGUUUCCCAACUCGUCGUUCUUUCAGCCUUUGAUCACUGACAGUACUUCCCGACCGCUCCGCUUCGGCAAAUUCCUUUCCAAUAAUGCGCUCAUAGUUUCCUUUCGGUGGAGACUUGGGUGGUUUUGUUAGGGCAGCCAGAGUGCGCUUCGCUUUCACCGGAUCUACCUUCUCCUCCAGAGGUGGAUGUUUCUUUGCUUUCACCCCUUCAAAGAAGUUCCUGACUUCUUCUCGCACGAUCUCGGCGUUCUCCUCCGGGGUCCUCUCGUAUGGUAACUUCUCUGGAGUCUUUAGAGAAGGACCGAAUCUGUAUGUCCUCCCGCCUCUGGCUGUACUGCUAGACGCCGGCAGAGCAGACGGAGCGGUUGUCUUCUUUACUUGCUUACGAGGCAGAGGAGAAGGACUACGACGCACCAGAGCAGCCGGAGCGGCCGCAGGUCUCUUCCGCCCUUGCUGACGAGGCGGAGAAGGAGGAGGCUGGCUGCUCGGGCGCGCCGGCGCAGGCGGAGAAGGAGGCGGAGUGCCGCCACGCGCCGGAGAAGGAGCCGGCCGAGUGCCCUGAUAGUCACUCGCCAGAGGAGGAGGCGGUGGAGGGGGCGGAGUGCCCUGACUCGCCGAAGGAGGAGGAGGAGGCGGAGGCAUCCAAUUCGGAAGGUUCAUGACCUCCUUCCGCCAUAGGCAUGGAGUCUUCAGAGCAGAACCCAGCCGAGUCUCCCCUUCACCGGUAGGGUGGUCAAGCUGGAGGUCCUCAAAUCCCUCCGUUAUUUCAUCCACCAUCACCCUAGCAUAUCAUUCUGUAAUCGGCCGGCAGUGAAAAGUUGCGCUGGGUUCAGUAGGAAAAACAGAGCCAAUAGCCGCCUUGACCUUCAUAUUAACCCAUUGCGUCAUAAGGUGGCAAUUAUGAGACUCCGUGAUAGCAUCCACGGGAUAGCUGGCAGGAGCCGUCAAGACAUGCUCCUGCUGAAGCAGCUCGGUGGAAGCCAUGCUGCUUCUCCGCUGAGAUGGCGGGGUAGCUUCGGCAGUUCGUUUUGUGCGAUUUGCUUCUCGUUCCUCUAUUGCUUGUACCCUAGCGUGCAGCGCCUGCAGUUGGGUCUGCUCCACUUUCUUCCUCCUCUCGUGGCAUUUGUAACCGCCUGCGUCCGGAAACCCAGCCUUACACGGAAUGGAGCCUGGCGUGCCUCAUGUCCGUCCAGGGUGUUCAGGAUUCCCGAGGGCCAUUGUGAGCUCGUCGUUCUCUCUGUCUGGAACAAACAUACCUUGCUGCGCUGCUUCGAUAUAGUGCUUAAGCCUCUUGACUGGUAUUUCCAUUUGCUCGUCCGUCCAAAUGCACUUUCCUGAUACAGGGUCCAAGGUUUCACCAGCCCCGAAGAACCAAGUCCGGUAACGGUCUGUCCAGUUAAUUGUCUCUGGUUCGAUCCCUUUAUCAACCAGAUCAUUCUCAAUCUUGGCCCACUUAGGCCGAGCUGCCAGGUAGCCACCUGACCCCGUGCGAUGGUGAUGCUUCUUCUUCACAGCAUUUUGCUUGUUUGUCGACGACAUCUUCUUACUCUUUUCCGAUGUCUUGUGGGCCACAAAUGCGGGUCAGUGAUCUCUGAUCUUCUCAUAUCUGCCCUUGAAUUCCGGUGUCUCUUUAUUUUCGACAAACUUAUUCAGCUCUUUCUUCCACCUCCUGAAUAGUUCUGCCAUCCUCUUAAGAGCAAAAGACUUGAUUAAUUGCUCUUUAACUGGCUUCUCCGGAUCAUCCUCUGGCUGUAGGGUGAAAUUUGACUUCAGCUCAGUCCAAAGAUCAUUUUUCUGCAUAUCAUUGACAUAAGACACCUCAGGGUCUUCUGUAGCCGGCUUUAACCAUUGCUGCAUGCUGAUCGGGAUCUUGUCCCUAACCAAAACCCCGCACUGAGCAACAAAUGCGCUCUUUGUCCGGAUAGGUUCAUUCGGUUGGCCCUCGGGCGCGAUUGCUAUGAUCUCAAACUUUUCAUCCGAGCUCAACUUUUUCUUCGGGCCUCGUCUCUUUACCGAAGUUGUGCUCGAUCCGGAGGGCUAGAAAAAAGAACAAAGACUUAAUUAAUAUGUGUACAUACCAAAACAAUGAAUGCAUCAAUUAGCUAGUCAGCAGAAGCUUAACUAAUACUAGAUCAUUGAUGGUGCGUGUUGUUGCGCCCAUCUAUUUUGGAUCUUGGUUGUUAAGGAUAUAACAUUGCUAGUAUACAUUUCUUGCAUUGUUUUAAAAUAUUAUGCUUUCUAUAGCAUGUACUUCUCUUUAUUUUCAAAAUAAUGGUAUGUAAAUCAUCUUCAUUGGGGCAACAUUACAACUUCCAUAUCAACAUAAGCUUAGAUAUAAAUAGGGCAGUGCCAUAAGCCAACCUAUCCAUAUCCACGUUAUAAUAAUGGAUGGCUAUGUACAUUUUUGUUCAAGCAUAGUACAAGCUUGUUGCAGUUGCAUAGGAACAUAGACUUAAACAUAAUAUAAACUUGAAAUGUAUAAUGAUGGAAGAAGGCGGCAUGACAGUAUAUUAUACUUGGAAAACAAAUUGUACGAUGGAGUAGAGCGAACUGGAGAAGAUGUAGACCUCAAAUAGGCACCAGAAACACUGCACCAAAAUUUCUAUGAUUAUGGAUACAUCCAACAUGGCGGACGGUCAGAGGGCAUGAGAAGUAUAAUCAUAUACUAUCUAAGAAAAUCAAGACUCUUGAUUAUUACAUCAAAAGCAAGGCACAGAACAAGCUUACAUAUCGUAUUGUUCGUGCUAACACAAAUAAUAAUAUCUUCUAACACACGAAUGUAAUUUGGCCAAAAGAUAAUUUCUUCAUACGAAUUCCAACGUCACUACAUUUUUUUUCAUUGGGGCUUAAAAAUUGUUUGACCGUUUUACAUGAGAUAGAAAGAACUGACUGAACCGAGCAACAAAAGGCAACAAAAACACAAAUCAGUUUCCUCUCAUUCUCUGCCUACAUCAUAUUUUUUUUCCUGUAAAUAUAUCUUGUGAUUCAUCAUUGUUUCAGACCGUAAGGGCCGGAAGCUCUACCUAAGGCGGCUGCCAUACAAGGAUACACACAGCUUCGCCUUAAACACCCUCCUUGUGGCGAUGCUUAGAAAGGGAAUAACCUCAUGUAUUACCUUGCUCGGAAUAGCCAUGUUUUCAAAUCCCAACUAAUCCACCUUAAUCCUAACAUCAAAUGAACACAACAUUAACUUGAGAUCAGACGCUAUGGAGUCAGAGUGAUUGCAUGACUCGAGGCACAAGGCAACAGGCUGGGGUGAAGGCGUGGCAGCUGCAUGCCACCACGAAACACCGGCGAGCAGAGAACCGGAAGAUACAUAAUCGUUUAUGUCUUAUGAGUUAAUUUCUCCACUCAUUGCACGCUACAAAACAUUAGCGAGUAUACAUAGGAUGUCCCUUUCUGAACAACUACAUAAUAUAUAAAUUCCAAUUGCAUUAGGGAUUUCAUCUAGAGUAUAUUCCCUGAAUUAUUUGAAAUGAAGUAAUGGUUUUUCUAAUCCUACUUUGACCUGGAGCAUCACUCUGAAACAUCAGGGAACACACACAUCUUCAGAAGUAGCAGCAGUAGCUAAUGUGAAAAGUUCACUGGAAUGCUAGGAUACUAAAAAAGCUAGUACAUCCCAAUAGCCAAAGAACAUAACAAAAUUUGGCAUCAUGUGUCAAGUAGCUCACAGUGGGCAUAAAUUUGUACAUUAUAUGUCCCUUUAUUAACUCACUUGUCUCUGAUUUUUAACUAUUAGGAAAUAAUAGUGGUCAUCAAAAUUAGAAUAUAUUGUAAUGCUCUAGAAUAGGAUCUAAUUGUUGGGAGUUGUUACCUGAGGGAAUCCUUGCGGGGAGCUGAGCAUAGGAACCAAUGCUGUUCCGCACUGUCCACGUGACUGACCACCGUGCUGCCUCCAUGAGCCGAUGUGGAACUUCUACCAACAAGUGAUUUGUACAUGACUGCUCAAGCAAACUAAACCACUAAAUCCAAAGGGGAUUCGUUCCAGAAAGGUGCAACACCUUGAGAAAUCUACGUGUAGAAUUGAAGAGGGGAGAGUAUCAGGAGGUAAACCUAGAGAACCUGCAUAGUUUGUGAGUACAAAGAACAGUAUGAGUAAAAUAAAUUUCAAAAAUUGGAUUAGAUGAAGAAUCAGGUGAAGAGGAGAUAAAGGAAAGAACCAUCACCCAUUGCUGCACGAGAGUGGUUUUCAGAAGUAAGGGGAGUAGGGAAGGAGCAACAGCACUUUGGAUCGUAUAUUCGUAUAUGCGCGCGAGUGAAUUGAAGUAAAAAGCAUGAAUCAUCAGACCUGCAAUAAUCUUCAGUUUAGCCGGUUCAUCAAUUGCCAUUAAUCGAUCCUGAUUAAAACCUCAACGAAUCGAUGGCUAGUGAAUUUCAAUCGACAGCGGCUGUUCGCGGCCCUGACCAUCUCCCUAUUGCGUCACCGACCAGGACGCCGUUCGGUCGCUCGGCGAGGAGCGCCGUGUCAGUCGGACCUGAAGCACAGUGGCCAUGAGACACCAUCGGUCGCGUCGAUCCGACCCCAACACGGCCGCCAUCACUACUGCCCAGAUUCUGCUGCCAGCCGACAGCAGCAACCGUGCGAAACUGCGAACCAAAGGAUCUGGCGACGACGCGCCUGAGAACUCUAGAUAUGGCUUGAAAACCAGAAAUAUGCUUCACGGAUGUAGAGCGUGUUUGGUUGAGUUCCAGGAGCAAAAUUGCCUGGCCUGAGACCUUCCUGGGUUGUGCCUGCUUGUUGUUUGGAUAGUAGCCUCAAAUCACAGGCAUGUUCCUGGCCUGGAGUUGACAUGCACCUGAUUAGCCUGGGUAGAUCACAGGCAGCUUGAUUAGCCUGGAUGAGGCCAACGGAACCAGACGCCUGGCCUCCAGGCAGAUGCGUUUUGCGUCAAUUAGCAAGUUGUAUACUGUACUUUUUGUCAACUCAGCCGUCCCAUCUAAUUAUUUAAUAUUUAAGUACGUGUCCCAGGCCAGGUUUGCAACCAAACAUCACAUGCACACAGCAGCCUGGCCAGGCAAAAAUCCUCCUUCUCCCAGGCUACUAUCAGGCAUCAACUUUUGCUAGGCAUCACACCCAGGACAUGAACCAAACAUGCCCGUAGUGCGUCACUGACCUGGGGAUGAGCUCGUCGCCGGCUCGAGAAAAAGUCGCUCCCUGCUGCGCUUUUGGGGAAGAUAGGAAAUGUAGAAGAAUGAGCCAAUCUAGUGAAUCCCGUGGAACUUAAUGGAACCUGCACUCAUUUGGGAGCACAAAGAACAACAUCAAUUGAAAAAAAUUCAUGCAGAAUUUGGGGGAGAGUAGAGGUACCAACGAGGGAACACUUGUAAAAGGCCAGUAGCGGAGACUAAUUAUCGUCCUGUCAACCAUGGCAGCCUGCAAGUAAAAGGAGGAGAAUGAGGAAGGAGAAGCUCCACGAUGGAGAUUAAAUGGACGCAAUUGAAUGGAUGUUGUAACUGAGCCCAGUUAUUGGCCACCGGUGAGUGCGCCUCAUCGAUUGCAAAUUUGCCAUUAUAAUGGUCCGCUGCAACUAUGAAUUGAGUCCCGAAUCGCGGGCAACUGGAGGCAACCGACAGGGGACGAUCCGUUGCCCCGGAUACCUCCUGCUGGCGUCGCCCAGCGAGGCAACCCGGCCGGUCGCGUAGGUCGAGGCACAUCCGGUCGGUCCAAUCGACCUCGCAUCGGCACUGUUUUUUUUUCUCGCAUCAGGACUGGAUGAACGCUCAUCGGUCGCUCGUGUGUAACCCUAGUCGAUGGAACCGCACAAGUGGACCUUCUUCAGCGAAGCCCGUGGGCUGGAAUGGGCUGGCCGACGGCCCAGUUAACCACAGGGCUACGUUUUGGCCUGCGGAGCAGAAGCCCCAGGACAGCCGGCCCAGUUUUUAUCAGAUGUGGGACAGAUUGCUUUAAACAGGAGAUCCGACGACCAAAAACGUCUAGAUCGUGCAAACGGAUGGUCAGAAACGCGAAGCGCUGAGAGAGCUCGCUUUAGGUGCAGUUGUAUUGUACUUAAUAUAUACCUGGCCGGACUCGGUUCGGUCACCAGAGACGUCAUCACGGUCUCCUUCUUGCACCGGCAUUGUGUCACCGGAGCCGUCCUCACGGUCUCCUUCUUGCACCGGCAUUAGGUCACCGGAGCCAUCAUAAUCAUAGCCAGCUGCUUCCAUACCAUCGGUGUCGUUGAGAAACAACGAGCAGACGGCAUCCCUUCCUCGUGCGAUUAUGUCCCCCAACAACUCUUCUUGUACUUCGUCUCGGGCGGUGUCCAUAGUUUCUACAAAUAUUUAUAACAUGGCAAUUAUUAUUCAAACAUGACAGAUGGAUAUAUUAGUGGCAAACGUAGAACUAAUAUUAAUUAGUGGCCUCGACGCUACUUCUCUAGGGUUUGGGGUGGCCUCGACGCUGCUUCUCCAGGGUUUGAAGUGGCCUCGACAACGCUUCAAGGAUAAAAAAAGAAGAGGAAGAAGAAAAAAAGGGGAGAAGAAAGAAUAGAUCCUCUUUUUUUUUCUUCUUCUUCCUCUUUUUUUUUAUCGGGAACGAGGGUCGUCGACGCCCACGUCACUUGUGGGACGUGGAUGUAGUGUCCGACACCGAUGGCCACAUGUAUCUCACACCCACGAUACUUACUAUUUAGGGUUUCCUCUACCGCUCGGCGACCCUGACCCUCGACGACCCUCGUUUCNNNNNNNNNNNNNNNNNNNNNNNNNNNNNNNNNNNNNNNNNNNNNNNNNNNNNNNNNNNNNNNNNNNNNNNNNNNNNNNNNNNNNNNNNNNNNNNNNNNNNNNNNNNNNNNNNNNNNNNNNNNNNNNNNNNNNNNNNNNNNNNNNNNNNNNNNNNNNNNNNNNNNNNNNNNNNNNNNNNNNNNNNNNNNNNNNNNNNNNNNNNNNNNNNNNNNNNNNNNNNNNNNNNNNNNNNNNNNNNNNNNNNNNNNNNNNNNNNNNNNNNNNNNNNNNNNNNNNNNNNNNNNNNNNNNNNNNNNNNNNNNNNNNNNNNNNNNNNNNNNNNNNNNNNNNNNNNNNNNNNNNNNNNNNNNNNNNNNNNNNNNNNNNNNNNNNNNNNNNNNNNNNNNNNNNNNNNNNNNNNNNNNNNNNNNNNNNNNNNNNNNNNNNNNNNNNNNNNNNNNNNNNNNNNNNNNNNNNNNNNNNNNNNNNNNNNNNNNNNNNNNNNNNNNNNNNNNNNNNNNNNNNNNNNNNNNNNNNNNNNNNNNNNNNNNNNNNNNNNNNNNNNNNNNNNNNNNNNNNNNNNNNNNNNNNNNNNNNNNNNNNNNNNNNNNNNNNNNNNNNNNNNNNNNNNNNNNNNNNNNNNNNNNNNNNNNNNNNNNNNNNNNNNNNNNNNNNNNNNNNNNNNNNNNNNNNNNNNNNNNNNNNNNNNNNNNNNNNNNNNNNNNNNNNNNNNNNNNNNNNNNNNNNNNNNNNNNNNNNNNNNNNNNNNNNNNNNNNNNNNNNNNNNNNNNNNNNNNNNNNNNNNNNNNNNNNNNNNNNNNNNNNNNNNNNNNNNNNNNNNNNNNNNNNNNNNNNNNNNNNNNNNNNNNNNNNNNNNNNNNNNNNNNNNNNNNNNNNNNNNNNNNNNNNNNNNNNNNNNNNNNNNNNNNNNNNNNNNNNNNNNNNNNNNNNNNNNNNNNNNNNNNNNNNNNNNNNNNNNNNNNNNNNNNNNNNNNNNNNNNNNNNNNNNNNNNNNNNNNNNNNNNNNNNNNNNNNNNNNNNNNNNNNNNNNNNNNNNNNNNNNNNNNNNNNNNNNNNNNNNNNNNNNNNNNNNNNNNNNNNNNNNNNNNNNNNNNNNNNNNNNNNNNNNNNNNNNNNNNNNNNNNNNNNNNNNNNNNNNNNNNNNNNNNNNNNNNNNNNNNNNNNNNNNNNNNNNNNNNNNNNNNNNNNNNNNNNNNNNNNNNNNNNNNNNNNNNNNNNNNNNNNNNNNNNNNNNNNNNNNNNNNNNNNNNNNNNNNNNNNNNNNNNNNNNCGGGACUAAAGGGGGGCAUUGGUCACGGUUUGUGCCACGAACCGUGACCAAUGCCCCCUUUAGUCCCGGUUGGUGCCAUCAACCGGGACCAAAGGCCUGCGCCUGCCAAAGCCGUGGUGCGGUAGGAUGUUUAGUCCCACCUCGCUAGCUGAGGAGCGGCCGCACCUGUUUAUAAGCGCUGCACCUGUUUGGGCCUAAUCUCACAACGCUAUGCCUGCUGGGCCUUCUGCGGGCCUGAAUCCUGGCCCAUGGAUGGGCUUCUAGUCGUAUUCAGGCCGUGGUGGCCCAGUAGGUGGCAUUUUUUAUUACUAUUUGAUUUUUCAUUUCUACUUAGAACUAAAUACUUGUAGUUUUUUAGUGAUUUUUUUCUUUUAGGUCACAAAAAUUAUAAACUUUCUAUUAUUGCCAUUAGUUUUAAAAUUUGAAUAGUUUAAUUUUGAAUUUUUUAAAAUUUGUGUGAAUCACUAGUUUAUGAAUAACUUUACCGUAAAAAUUGAUUUUUGAGUCAUUUUUUUCCUGCUAUUUAAUAUUACUGUGUUUUAUCAUUAUACUCAAUUUGGUAAUUUUAGUUAGUCAUAACAAAUAUUAUAGGCAUUUUUUUCUUUUUUGCUAUUUUUUUUCAUUUCUACUUAGAACAAAAUACUUAUAGUUCUUUAGUGAUUUCUUUUUUCUUUUAGGUCACAAAAAUUAUAAACUUUCUGGUAGUUCCAUUAGUUUUCANNNNNNNNNNNNNNNNNNNNNNNNNNNNNNNNNNNNNNNNNNNNNNNNNNNNNNNNNNNNNNNNNNNNNNNNNNNNNNNNNNNNNNNNNNNNNNNNNNNNNNNNNNNNNNNNNNNNNNNNNNNNNNNNNNNNNNNNNNNNNNNNNNNNNNNNNNNNNNNNNNNNNNNNNNNNNNNNNNNNNNNNNNNNNNNNNNNNNNNNNNNNNNNNNNNNNNNNNNNNNNNNNNNNNNNNNNNNNNNNNNNUUAAUUCUUUUUGCUUUUCGUUUUAGAAAAAUUAUAAACUUUCUGUUAGUGCCAUUAGUUUUCAAAUUUGAAAACACUUUUUUAGUUUUUUUGCUUUCUUUGUUGCUUUAUUUAUUUUAUUUUGUUUCUACUUACAAAAAAAUACUUAUUGUUGCUAUUUUUUUUCAGUUUUUGUUUUGUUUUCUUUAUUAUUUAUUUUCUUUUGUUUUUUGCUUUAAUUUUUAAUUCUUUUUGCUUUUAGGUCAGCAAAAUUAUAAACUUUCUGUUAGUGCCACUAGUUUUAGAAAAAUUAUAAACUUUCUGUUAGUGCCAUUAGUUUUCAAAUUUGAAUAGUUAAAAUUUGAAUUCUUUAAAAUUUGUAUGAACCACAAGUUUGUGAUUAACUUUACUAAAAAAAUGAACAUAGAUGCACCUAUAGAGAAAAUUCGACCUAAAUUCAUAGUUUUCAAAUGAACUCUCAAAAAGUUGGCAUAGCAUACUCGUGUGUUACAAAGUUGGCAUGGUAUCAUCAUAAUAGUUGCUUGAGAAAGUCUUCACUUUUUCUUCGCUUGUGUCAUUUGCUUAUUGCGCCGUAACCAUGGAUAAUCUUCAUCGUUUAUCAGGAUGCUUGGGUCAGCCUUGACAUUGAAGGGAGGAAUUUCAUGAAACUUUUCAUAAUCUUCAGACAUGUCUGUCUUGCCCUCCACUCCCAGGAUAUCCCUUUUUCCUGAAAGAACUAUAUGGCGCUUUGGCUCAUCGUAUGAUGUAUUCGCUUCCUUAUCUUUUCUUUUUCUCGGUUUGGUAGACAUGUCCUUCACAUAGAUAACCUGUGCCACAUCAUUGGCUAGGACGAACGGUUCGUCAGUAUACCCAAGAUUUUUCAGAUCCACUGUUGUCAUUCCGUACUGUGGGUCUACCUGUACCCCGCCGCCUGACAGAUUGACCCAUUUGCACUUAAACAAAGGGACCUUAAAAUCAUGUCCGUAGUCAAGUUCCCAUAUGUCCAUUAUGUAACCAUAAUAUGCAUCCUUUCCGCUCUCGGUUGCUGCAUCAAAGCGGACACCGCUGUUUUGGUUGGUGCUCUUUUGAUCUUGGGCGAUCAUGUAAAAUGUAUUCCCAUUUAUCUCGUAUCCUUUGUAAGUCAAUACAGUCAAAGAUGGUCCCCUGGACAACAAGUGCAACUCAUCACAAACAGUGUUGUCACCUCUGAGACGUGUUUCCAACCAACUGUUGAAAGUCCUGAUGUGUUCACAUGUAAUCUAGUCGUCGCACUGCUCCGGAUGUUUGGAGCGCAGACUGUUUUUGUGUUCAUCGAUAUACGGGGCCACCAUGGUAGAGUUCUGUAGAACUGUGUAGUGUGCUUGAGACCAAGAAUAUCCGUCCCUGCAUAUUAUUGAGUCACUUCCAAGAGUGCCUUUUCCAGUCAGUCUCCCCUCAUACCGCGAUUUAGGGAGACCUAUCUUCUUAAGGCCAGGAAUGAAGUCAACACAAAAUUCGAUAACAUCCUCUGUUUGAUGGCCCAUGGAGAUGCUUCCUUCUGACCUAGCGCGGUUACGGACAUAUUUCUUUAGGACUCCCAUGAACCUCUCAAAGGGGAACAUAUUGUGUAGAAAUACGGGCCCCAGGAUGACAAUCUCGUCGACUAGAUGAACUAGGACGUGCGUCAUGAUAUUGAAGAAGGAUGGUGGGAACACCAGCUCGAAACUGACAAGACAUUGCGCCACAUCACUCCUUAGCCUUGGUACAAUUUCUGGAUCGAUCACCUUCUGAGAGAUUGCAUUGAGGAAUGCACAUAGCUUCACAAUGGCUAAUCGGACGUUUUCUGGUAGAAGCCCCCUCAAUGCAGCCGGAAGCAGUUGCGUCAUAAUCACAUGGCAGUCAUGAGACUUUAGGUUCUGAAACUUUUUCUCUGGCAUAUUUAUUAUUCCCUUUAUAUUCGAUGAGAAGCCAGUCGUGACCUUCAUACUGAGCAGGCAUUCAAAGAAGAUUUCUUUCUCUUCUUUCGUAAGAGCAUAGCUGGCAGGACCUUUAUACUGCUUCGGAGGCAUGCCGUCUUUUUCAUGCAAAUGUUGCAGGUCCUCCCAUGCCUCGGAUGUAUCUUUUGUCUUCCCAUACAAGAAGCCUACCAGGUUCACACAAAGGUUCUUCAUCACGUGCAUCACGUCGAUUGAAGAGCAGACCUCUAGGUCUUUCCAGUAGGGUAGGUCCCAAAAUAUAGAUUUCUUCUUCCACAUGGGUGCGUGUCCCUCAGCGUCAUUCGGAACAGCUAGUCCGCCGGGACACUUUCCAAAGAUUACAUGUAAAUCAUUGACCAUAGCAAGUACGUGAUCACCGGUACGCAUGGCGGGCUUCUUCUGGUGAUCUGCCUCGCCUUUGAAAUGCUUGCCUUUCUUUCGACAUUGAUGGUUGGUCGGAAGAAAUCAACGAUGGCCCAGGUACACAUUUUUCCUGCAUUUGUCCAGGUAUAUACUUUCAGUGUCAUCUAAACAGUGCGUGCAUGCGUGGUAUCCUUUGUUUGUCUAUCCUGAAAGGUUACUGAGAGCGGGCCAAUCAUUGACGGUCACGAACAGCAAAGCCUUUAGGUUAAAUUCCUCCUGUCUAUGGUCAUCCCACGUACGUACACUGUUUCCAUUCCACAGCUGUAAAAGUUCUUCAACUAAUGGCCUUAGGUACACAUCAAUGUCCUUGCCGGGUUGCUUAGUGUAGGGGAACAUAGUAAUUUCAAAAUUUUCCUACGCACACGCAAGAUCAUGGUGAUGCAUAGCAACGAGAGGGGAGAGUGUUGUCUAUGUACCCUCGUAGACCGAAGCGGAAGCGCUGACACAACGUAGAGGAAGUAGUCGUACGUCUUCCCGAUCCUACCGAUCCAAGCACCGUUACUCCGGCACCUCCGAGUUCUUAGCACACGUACAGCUCGAUGACGCUCCCCAGGCUUCGAUCCAACAAAGCUUCGGGGAUGAGUUCCAUCAGCACAACGGCGUGGUGACGAUGAUGAUGUUCUACCGACGCAGGGCUUCGCCUAAGCACUACAAUGAUAUGACCGAGGUGGAAUAUGGUGGAAGGGGGCACCGCACACGGCUAAGGAACGAUCACGUUGAUCAAUUGUGUGUUCUAGGGUGUCCCCUUGCCUCCGUAUAUAAAGGAUCCAAGGGGGAGGGGUUCGGCCGGCCCUAUGGAGGCGCAGGAGGAGUCCUACUCCUACCGGGAGUAGGACUCCCCCCUUUCCUAGUCCAAGUAGGAUUGGUGGAGAAGAAAGGGAAAGAGGGGGGUGCAGCCCCUCCCUCCUUGUCCAAUUCGGACUAGGGGGAGAGGGGGCGCGCGGCCUGCCCUGGCAGCCCCUUCCUAUUCUCCACUUUAGGCCCAUGAGGCCCAUUAACACCCCGGGGGGUUCCGGUAACCCCCCGGUGCUCCGGUUUUAUCCGAAACUUCAUCGGAACCCUUCCGGUGUCUGAAUAUAGUCAUCCAAUAUAUCAAUCUUUAUGUCUCGACCAUUUCGAGACUCCUCGUCAUGCCCGUGAUCACAUCCGGGACACCGAACUAACUUCGGUACAUCAAAAUGUAUAAACUCAUAAUAACUAUCAUCGUAACGUUAAGCGUGCGGACCCUAUGGUUCGAGAACAAUGUAGACAUGACCGAGACACGUCUCCGGUCAAUAACCAAUAGCGGGACCUGGAUGCCCAUAUUGGCUCCUACAUAUUCUACGAAGAUCUUUAUCGGUCAGACCGCAUAACAACAUACGUUGUUCCCUUUGUCAUCGGUAUGUUACUUGCCCGAGAUUCGAUCGUCGGUAUCCAAUACCUAGUUCAAUCUCGUUACCGGCAAAUCUCUUUACUCGUUCCGUAAUACAUCAUCUCACAACUAACUCAUUAGUUGUAAUGCUUGCAAGGCUUAUGUGAUGUGCAUUACCGAGAGGGCCCAGAGAUACCUCUCCGACAAUCGGAGUGACAAAUCCUAAUCUCGAAAUACGCCAACCCAACAUCUACCUUUGGAGACACCUGUAGAGCACCUUUAUAAUCACCCAGUUACGUUGUGACGUUUGGUAGCACACAAAGUGUUCCUCCGGCAAACGGGAGUUGCAUAAUCUCAUAGUCAUAGGAACAUGUAUAAGUCAUGAAGAAAGCAAUAGCAACAUACUAAACGAUCGGGUGCUAAGCUAAUGGAAUGGGUCAUGUCAAUCAGAUCAUUCAACUAAUGAUGUGAUCUCGUUAAUCAAAUAACAACUCUUUGUUCAUGGUUAGGAAACAUAACCAUCUUUGAUUAACGAGCUAGUCAAGUAGAGGCAUACUAGUGACACUCUGUUUGUCUAUGUAUUCACACAUGUAUUAUGUUUCCGGUUAAUACAAUUCUAGCAUGAAUAAUAAACAUUUAUCAUGAUGUAAGGAAAUAAAUAAUAACUUUAUUAUUGCCUCUAGGGCAUAUUUCCUUCAGUCUCCCACUUGCACUAGAGUCAAUAAUCUAGAUUACACAGUAAUGAUUCUAACACCCAUGGAGCCUUGGUGCUGAUCAUGUUUUGCUCGUGGAAGAGGCUUAGUCAACGGGUCUGCAACAUUCAGAUCCGUAUGUAUCUUGCAAAUCUCUAUGUCUCCCACCUGGACUAGAUCCCGGAUGGAAUUGAAGCGUCUCUUGAUGUGCUUGGUUCUCUUGUGAAAUAUGGAUUCCUUUGCCAAGGCAAUUGCACCAGUAUUGUCACAAAAGAUUUUCAUUAGACCCGAUGCACUAGGUAUGACACCUAGAUCGGAUAUGAACUCCUUCAUCCAGACUCCUUCGUUUGCUACUUCCGAAGCAGCUAUGUACUCCGCUUCACAUGUAGAUCCCGCCACAAUGCUUUGUUCAGAACUGCACCAACUGACAGCUCAACCGUUUAAUGUAAACAUGUAUCCGGUUUGUGAUUUAGAAUCGUCCGGAUCAGUGUCAAAGCUUGCAUCAACGUAACCGUUUACGAUGAGCUCUUUGUCACCUCCAUAUACGAGAAACAUAUCCUUAGUCCUUUUCAGGUACUUCAGGAUGUUCUUGACCGUUGUCCAGUGAUCCACUCCUGGAUUACUUUGGUACCUCCCUGCUAAACUUAUAGCAGGGCACACAUCAGGUCUGGUACACAGCAUUGCAUACAUGAUAGAGCCUAUGGCUGAAGCAUAGGGAACAUCUUUCAUUUUCUCUCUAUCUUCUGAAGUGGUCGGGCAUUGAGUCUGACUCAACUUCACACCUUGUAACACAGGCAAGAACCCUUUCUUUGCUUGAUCCAUUUUGAACUUCUUCAAAAUCUUGUCAAGGUAUGUGCUUUGUGAAAGUCCAAUUAAGCGUCUUGAUCUAUCUCUAUAGAUCUUUAUGCCUAAUAUGUAAGCAGCUUCACCGAGGUCUUUCAUUGAAAAACUCUUAUUCAAGUAUCCCUUUAUGCUAUCCAGAAAUUCUAUAUCAUUUCCAAUCAGUAAUAUGUCAUCCACAUAUAAUAUCAGAAAUGCUAUAGAGCUCCCACUCACUUUCUUGUCAAUACAGGCUUCUCCAAAAGUCUGUACAAAACCAAAUGCUUUGAUCACACUAUCAAAGCGUUUAUUCCAACUCCGAGAGGCUUGCACCAGUCCAUAAAUGGAUCGCUGGAGCUUGCACACUUUGUUAGAUCCUUUCGGAUCGACAAAACCUUCCGGUUGCAUCAUAUACAACUCUUCUUCCAGAAAUCCAUUCAGGAAUGCAGUUUUGACAUCCAUCUGCCAAAUUUCGUAAUCAUAAAAUGCGGCAAUUGCUAACAUGAUUCGAACGGACUUAAGCAUCGCUACGGGUGAGAAGGUCUCAUCAUAGUCAACCCCUUGAACUUGUCCAAAACCUUUUGCGACAAGUCGAGCUUUGUAGACAGUAACAUUACCGUCAGCGUCAGUCUUUUUCUUGAAGAUCCAUUUAUUCUCAAUUGCUUGCCGACCAUCGGGCAAGUUAACCAAAGUCCAUACUUUGUUCUCAUACAUGGAUCCCAUUUCAGAUUUCAUGGCUUCAAGCCAUUUUGCGGAAUCUGGGCUCACCAUCGCUUCUUCAUAGUUAGUAGGUUCAUCAUGAUCUAGCAGCAUGAUUUCUAGAACAGGAUUACCGUACCACUCUGGCGCGGAUCUCACUCUGGUUGAUCUACGAGGUUCAGUAGUAUCUUGUCCUGAAGUUUCAUGAUCAUUAUCAUUAGCUUCCUCACUUAUGGGUGUAGGUGUCGCAGAAACAGUUUUCUGUGAUGUACUUCUUUCCAAUAAGGGGGCAGGUACAGUUACCUCGUCAAGUUCUACUUUCCUCCCACUCACUUCUUUCGAGAGAAACUCCUUCUCUAGAAAGGAUCCAUUCUUAGCAACGAAUGUCUUGCCUUCGGAUCUGUGAUAGAAGGUGUACCCAACAGUCUCCUUUGGGUAACCUAUGAAGACACAUUUCUCCGAUUUGGGUUCAAGCUUAUCAGGUUGAAGCUUUUUCACAUAAGCAUCGCAGCCCCAGACUUUAAGAAACGACAACUUUGGUUUCUUGCCAAACCAUAGUUCAUAAGGCGUCGUCUCAACGGAUUUUGAUGCUGCCCUAUUUAACGUGAAUGCGGCCGUCUCUAAAGCAUAACCCCAAAACGAUAGCGGUAAAUCAGUAAGAGACAUCAUAGAUCGCACCAUAUCUAGUAAAGUACGAUUACGACGUUCGGACACACCAUUACGCUGUGGUGUUCCGGGUGGCGUGAGUUGCGAAACUAUUCCGCAUUGUUUCAAAUGUACACCAAACUCGUAACUCAAAUAUUCUCCUCCAUGAUCAGAUCGUAGAAACUUUAUUUUCUCGUUACGAUGAUUUUCAACUUCACUCUGAAAUUCUUUGAACUUUUCAAAUGUUUCAGACUUGUGUUUCAUUAAGUAGAUAUACCCAUAUCUGCUUAAAUCAUUUGUGAAGUUGAGAAAAUAACGAUAUCCGCCACGAGCCUCAAUAUUCAUCGGACCACAUACAUCGGUAUGUAUGAUUUCCAACAAAUCUGUUGCUCUCUCCAUAGUACCGGAGAACGGUGUUUUAGUCAUCUUGCCCAUGAGGCACGGUUCGCAAGUACCAAGUGAUUCAUAAUCAAGUAGUUCCAAAAGUCCAUCAGUAUGGAGUUUCUUCAUGCGCUUUACACCGAUAUGACCUAAACGGCAGUGCCACAAAUAAGUUGCACUAUCAUUAUCAACUCUGCAUCUUUUGGUUUCAACAUUAUGAAUAUGUGUAUCACUACUAUCGAGAUUCAUCAGAAAUAGACCACUCUUCAAGGGUUCAUGACCAUAAAAGAUAUUACUCAUAUAAAUAGAACAACCAUUAUUCUCUGAUUUAAAUGAAUAACCGUCUCGCAUCAAACAAGAUCCAGAUAUAAUGUUCAUGCUUAACGCUGGCACCAAAUGACAAUUAUUUAGGUCUAAUACUAAUCCCGAAGGUAGAUGUAGAGGUAGCGUGCCGACCGCGAUCACAUCGACUUUGGAACCGUUUCCCACGCGCAUCGUCACCUCGUCCUUUGCCAGUGUUCGCCUAAUCCGUAGUCCCUGUUUCGAGUUGCAAAUAUUAGCAAUAUAACCAGUAUCAAAUACCCAGGUGCUACUGCGAGCUCUAGUAAGGUACACAUCAAUAACAUGUAUAUCACUUAUACCUUUAUUCACCUUGCCAUCCUUCUUAUCCGCCAAAUACUUGGGGCAGUUCCGCUUCCAGUGACCAGUCUGCUUGUAGUAGAAGCACUCAGUUUCAGGCUUAGGUCCAGACUUGGGUUUCUUCUCCUGAGCAGCAACUUGCUUGCCGUUCUUCUUGAAGUUCCCCUUCUUCUUCCCUUUGCCCCUUUUCUUGAAACUAGUGGUCUUGUUGACCAUCAACACUUCAUGCUCCUUCUUGAUUUCUACCUCCGCAGCUUUCAGCAUUGCGAAGAGCUCGAGAAUAGUCUUAUUCAUCCAUUGCAUAUUAUAGUUCAUCACAAAGCUCUUGUAGCUUGGUGGCAGUGAUUGGAGAAUUCUGUCAAUGACGCAAUCAUCUGGAAAAUUAACUCCCAUCUAAAUCAAGUGAUUAUUAUACCCAGACAUUUUGAGUAUAUGCUCACUGACAGAACUAUUCUCCUCCAUCUUGCAGCUAUAGAACUUAUUGGAGACUUCAUAUCUCUCAAUCCGGGCAUUUGCUUGAAAUAUUAGCUUCAACUCCUGGAACAUCUCAUAUGCUCCAUGACGUUCAAAACGUCGUUGAAGUCCCAAUUCUAAGCCGUAAAGCAUGGCACACUGAACUAUCGAGUGGUCAUCAGCUUUGCUCCGCCAGACGUUCAUAACAUCUGGUGUUGCUCCAGCAGCAGGCCUGGCACCCAGCGGUGCUUCCAGGACGUAAUUCUUCUGUGCAGCAAUGAGGAUAAUCCUCAAGUUACGGACCCAGUCCGUGUAAUUGCUACCAUCAUCUUUCAACUUUGCUUUUGUUGGGGAACGUAGUAAUUUCAAAAAUUUCCUACGCACACGCAAGAUCAUGGUGAUGCAUAGCAACGAGGGGGAGAGUCUGAUCUACGUACCCUUGUAGAUCGCAACGGAAGCGUUGACACAACGUAGAGGAAGUAGUCGUACGUCUUCUUCCCGAUCCGACCGAUCCAAGCACUGUUACUCCGGCACCUCCGAGUUCUUAGCACACGUUCAGCUCGAUGACGAUCCUCGGGCUCCGAUCCAGCAAAGCGUCGAGGAAGAGUUCCGUCAGCACGACGGCGUGGUGACGAUCUUGACGUACUACCGACGUAGGGCUUCGCCUAAGCACUACAACGGUAUGAUCGAGGUGGAAUUUGGUGGCAGGGGGCACCGCACACGGCUAAGGAACGAUUUCAAGGAUCAACUUGUGUGUCUAUGGGGAGCCCCCCGCCCCUGUAUAUAAAGGAUGGAGGAGGAGGAGGCCGGCCAAGGCAAAGGUGCGGCCAGGAUAGGGAGUCCUACUAGGACUCCAAGUCCUAGUAGGAGUCCACCAAAAGGGGAGGAAGGGAGAAGGAAUAGGAGGAGAAGGAGAGGUGGCCGGCCCCCUUUUCCCUAGUCCAAUUCGGACCAAAGGGGAGGGGGGGCGCAGCAGCCUUUUCCUCUUCCCACUAAAGCCCAUCAAGGCCCAUUACUUCUCCCGUAACUACCCGGUACUCCGAAAAAUACCCGAAUCACUCGGAACCUUUCCGAUGUCCGAAUAUAGUCGUCCAAUAUAUCGAUCUUUACGUCUCGACCAUUUCGAGACUCCUCGUCAUGUCCCCGAUUUCAUCCGGGACUCCGAACUCCUUCGGUACAUCAAUACUCAUAAACUCAUAAUAUAACUGUCAUCGAAACCUAAAGCGUGCGGACCCUAUGGUUCGAGAACAAUGUAGACAUGACCGAGACACGUCUUCGGUCAAUAACCAAUAGCGGGACCUGGAUGCCCAUAUUGGCUCCUACAUAUUCUACGAAGAUCUUUAUCGGUCAGACCGCAUAACAACAUACGUUGUUCCCUUUGUCAUCGGUAUGUUACUUGCCCGAGAUUCGAUCGUCGGUAUCCAAUACCUAGUUCAAUCUCGUUACCGGCAAGUCUCUUUACUCAUUCUAUAAUACAUCAUCCCACAACUAACUCAUUAGUUGCAAUGCUUGCAAGGCUUAAGUGAUGUGCAUUACCGAGAGGGCCCAGAGAUACCUCUCCGAUAAUCGGAGUGACAAAUCCUAAUCUCGAAAUACGCCAACCCAACAUCUUCCUUUGGAGACACCUGUAAUGCUCCUUUAUAAUCACCCAGUUACGUUGUGACGUUUUGUAGCACCCAAAGUGAUCCUCCGGCAAACGGGAGUUGCAUAAUCUCAUAGUCAUAGGAACAUGUAUAAGUCAUGAAGAAAGCAAUAGCAACAUACUAAACGAUCGGGUGCUAAGCUAAUGGAAUGGGUCAUGUCAAUCAGAUCAUUCAACUAAUGAUGUGACCUCGUUAAUCAAAUAACAACUCUUUUGUCCAUGGUUAGGAAACAUAACCAUCUUUGAUUAACGAGCUAGUCAAGUAGAGGCAUACUAGUGACACUCUGUUUGUCUAUGUAUUCACACAUGUAUUAUGUUUCCGGUUAAUACAAUUCUAGCAUGAAUAAUAAACAUUUAUCAUGAUAUAAGGAAAUAAAUAAUAACUUCAUUAUUGCCUCUAGGGCAUAUUUCCUUCAGUCUCCCACUUGCACUAGAGUCAAUAAUCUAGUUCACAUCGCCAUGUGAUUUAACAGCAAUAGUUCACAUCACCAUGUGAUUAACACCCAUAGUUCACAUCGUCAUGUGACCAACACUCAAAGGGUUUACUAGAGUCAGUAAUCUAGUUCACAUAUCUAUGUGAUUAACACCCAAAGAGUACUAAGGUGUGAUCAUGUUUUGCUUGUGAGAUAAUUUUAGUCAACGGGUCUGUCACAUUCAGAUCUGUAAGUAUUUUGCAAGUUCUAUGUCUACAAUGCUCUACACGGAGCUACUCUAGCUAAUUGCUCCCACUUUCAAUAUGUAUCCAGAUUGAGACUUUAGAUUCAUCUGGAUCAGUGUCAAAAACUUGCAUCGACGUAACCCUUUACGACGAACCUUUUUGUCACGUCCAUAAUCGAGAAACAUAUCCUUAUUUCACUAAGGAUAAUUCUGACCGCUGUCCAGUGAUCUACUCCUAGAUCACUAUUAUACUCCCUUGCCAAAUCAAUGCAGGGUAUACAAUAGAUCUGGUAUACAGCAUGACAUACUUUAUAGAACCUAUGGCCAAGGCAUAGGGAAUGACUUUCAUUCUCUUUCUAUCUUCUGCCGUGGUCGGGCUUUGAGUCUUACUCAACUUCACACCUUGUAAUACAGGCAAGAACUCUUUCUUUGACUGCUCCAUUUUGAGCUACUUCAAAAUCUUGUCAAGGUAUGUACUUAUUGAAAAAACUUAUCAAGCGUCUUGAUCUAUCUCUAUAGAUCUUGAAGCUCAAUAUGUAAGCAGCUUCACCGAAGUCUUUCUUUGAAAAACUCCUUUCAAACACUCCUUUAUGCUUUACAGAAUAAUUCUACAUUAUUUCCGAUCAACAAUAUGUCAAUCACAUAUACUUAUCAGAAAUGCUGUAGUGUCCCACUCACUUUCUUGUAAAUACAGGCUUCACCGCAAGUCUGUAUAAAACUAUAUGCUUUGAUCAACUCAUCAAAGCGUAUAUUCCAACUCCGAGAUGCUUGCACCAGUCCACAGAUGGAUCGCUGGAGCUUGCACAUUUUGUUAGCACCUUUCGGAUUGACAAAACCUUCUGUUGCAUCAUAUACAACUCUUCUUUAAUAAAUCCAUUAAGGAAUGCAGUUUUGUUUAUCCAUUUGCCAGAUUUCAUAAAAUGCGGCAAUUACUAACAUGAUUCGGACAGACUCAAGCAUAGAUACGAGUGAGAAGCUCUCAUCGUAGUCAACACCUUGAACUUGUCGAAAACCUUUUUGCGACAAUUCUAGCUUUGUAGAUAGUAACACUACUAUCAGCGUCCGUCUUCCUCUUGAAGAUCCAUUUAUUCUCAAUUGCUUGCCGAUCAUUGGGCAAGUCAACCAAAGUCCAAACUUUGUUCUCAUACAUGGAUCAUAUCUCAGAUUUCAUGGCCUCAAACCAUUUCGCGGAAUCUGGGCUCAUCAUUGCUUCCUCAUAGUUCGUAGGUUCAUCAUGAUCUAGUAGCAUGACUUCCAGGAUUGGAUUACCGUACCACACUGGUGCGGAUCUCACUCUGGUUGAUCUACGUGGUUCAGUAGUAUCUUGUCCUGAAGUUUCAUGAUCAUCAUCAUUAGCUUCCUCACUAAUUGGUAUAGGUGUCGCAGAAACAGUUUUCUGUGAUGUACUAUUUUCCAAUAAGGGAGCAGGUACAGUUACCUCGUCAAGUUCUACUUUCCUCCCACUCACUUCUUUUGAGAGAAACUCCUUCUCUAGAAAGGAUCCAUUAUAAGCAACGAAUGUCUUGCCUUAGGAUCUGUGAUAGAAGGUGUACCCAACAGUCUCCUUUGGGUAUCCUAUGAAGACAUAUUUCUCCGAUUUGGGUUUGAGCUUAUCAGGAUGAAACUUUUUCUCAUAAGCAUCGCAACCCCAAACUUCAAGAAACGACAACUUUGGUUUCUUGCCUAACCAUAGUUCAUACGGUGUCGUCUCAACGGAUUUAGAUGGUGCCCUAUUUAACGUGAAUGCAGCUUUCUCUAAUGCAUGAUCCCAAAACGAUAUUGGUAAAUCGGUAAGAAACAUCAUAGAUUGUACUAUAUCCAAUAAAGUACGGUUAUGACGUUCGGACACACCAUUAUGCUGUGGUGUUCCAGGUGGCGUGAGUAGUGAAACUAUUUCACAUUGUUUUAACUGAAGACCAAACUCGUAACUCAAAUACUCUUUUCCACGAUCAGAUCGUAGAAACUUUAUUUUCUUGUUACGAUGAUUUUCCACUUCACUCUGAAAUUAUAUGAACUUUUCAAAUGUAUCAGACUUCUAUUUCAUUAAGUAGAUAUACCCAUAUCUGCUCAAAUCAUCUGUGAAGGUUUAGAAAAUAAUGAUACCCGCUGCAAGCCUUAAAUAUUCAUCGGACCACAUACAUUUGUAUGUAUGAUUUCCAACAAAUCUGUUGCUUGCUCCAUUGUUCCGGAGAACGGCGUUUUAGUCAUCUUGCCCAAAAGGCAUGGUUCGCAAGCAUCAAGUGAUUCCGAAAGCCCAUCAGCAUGGAGUUUCUUCAUGUGCUUUAUACCAAUAUGACCUAAACGGCAGUGCCACAAAUAAGUUGCACUAUCAUUAUUAACUUUGCAUCUUUUGGUUUCAAUAUUAUGAAUAUGUGUAUCACUACGAUCGAGAUCCAACGAACUUGUUUCAUUGGGUGUAUGACCAUCGAAGGUUUUAUUCAUGUAAACAGAACAACAAUUAUUCUCUGACUUUAAUGAAUAACCGUAUUGCAAUAAACAUGAUCAAAUCAUAUUCAUGCUCAACCAAAUAACACUUAUUUAAGUUCAACACUAAUCCCGAAAGUAUAGGGGAGUGUGUGAUGAUGAUCAUAUCAAUCUUGGAACUACUUCCAACACACAUCGUCACUUCACCCUUAACUAGUCUUUGUUUAUUCUGCAACUCCUGUUUCGAGUUACUACUCUUAGCAACUGAACCAAUAUCAAAUACUGAGGGGUUGCUAUAAACACUAGUAAAGCACACAUCAAUAACAUGUAUAUCAAAUAUACUUUUGUUCACUUUGCCAUCCUUCUUAUCCGCCAAAUACUUGGGGCAGUUCCGCUUCCAGUGACCAGUCCCUUUGCAGUAGAAGCACUUAGUCUCAGGCUUAGGACCAAACUUCGGCUUCUUCACUUGAGCAGCAACUUGCUUGCCGUUCUUCUUGAAGUUCCCCUUCUUCCCUUUGCCCUUUUCUUGAAACUAGUGAUCCUGUCAACCAUCAACACUUGAUGUUUUUCUUGAUUUCGACCUUCGUUGAUUUCAGCAUCACGAAGAGCUUGGGAGUUGUUUCCGUUAUCCCUUGCAUAUUAUAGUUCAUCACGAAGUUCUACUAACUUGGUGAUGGUGACUAGAGAAUUUUGUCAAUCACUAUCUUAUCUGGAAGAUUAACUCCCACUUGAUUCAAGCGAUUGUAGUACUCAGAUAAUCUGGGCACAUGCUCACUAGUUGAGCGAUUCUCCCCCAUCUUUCAGCUAUAGAACUUGUUGGAGACUUCAUAUCUCUCAACUCGGGUAUUUACUUGAAAUAUUAACUUCAGCUUCUGGAACAUCUCAUAUGGUCCAUGACGCUCAGAACGUCUUUGAAGUCCCGAUUCUAAGCCAUUAAGCAUGGUGCACUAAACUAUCAAGUAGUCAUCAUAUUGGGCUAGCCAAACGUUCAUAACGUCGGCAUCUGCUCCUGCAAUAGGUCUGUCACCUAGCGGUGCAUCAAGGACAUAAUUCCUCUAUGCAGCAAUGAGGAUAAAACUCAGAUCACGGAUCCAAUCCGCAUCAUUGCUACUAACAUCUUUCAACACAAUUUUCUCUAGGGACAUGUCAAAAUAAACACAGGGAAGCAACAACGCGAGCUAUUGAUCUACAACAUAAUUUGCAAAAUACUACCAGGACUAAGUUCAUGAUAAAUUUAAGUUCAAUUAAUCAUAUUACUUAAGAACUCCCACUUAGAUAGAUAUCCCUCUAAUCCUCUAAGUGAUCACGUGAUCCAAAUCAACUAAACCAUAACCGAUCAUCACGUGAGAUGGAGUAGUUUUCAAUGGUGAACAUCGUCAUGUUGAUCAUAUCUACUAUAUGAUUCACGCUCGACCUUUCGGUCUCUGUGUUCCGAGGCCAUAUCUGCAUAUGCUAGGCUCGUCAAGUUUAACCUGAGUAUUCUGCGUGUGCAAAACUGGCUUGCACCCGUUGUAGAUGGACGUAGAGCUUAUCACACCCGAUCAUCACGUGGUGUCUGGGCACGACGAACUUUGGCAACGGUGCAUACUCAGGGAGAACACUUCUUGAUAAUUCAGUGAGAGAUCAUCUUAUAAUGCUACCGUCAAUCAAAGCAAGAUAAGAUGCAUAAAAAGAUAAACAUCAUAUGUAAUCAAAAUAUGUGACAUGAUAUGGCCAUCAUCAUCUUGCUUCUUUGAUCUCCAUCUCCAAAGUACUGUCAUGAUCUAUAUCGUCACCGGCAUGACACCAUGAUCUCCAUCAUCUUGAUCUAUAUCAAUGUGUCGUCGUGUGGUCGUCUCACCAACAAUUGCUCUUGCAACUAUUGCUAUCGCAUAGCGAUAAAGUAAAGCAAUUACUGGACGCUUGCAUCUCAUGAAAUAGAGAGACAACCAUAAGGAUUUUGUCAGUUGCUGAUAACUUCAACAAAACAUGAUCAUCUUAUACAACAACUUAUAACUCAUCACGUUUUGACCAUAUCACAUCACAACAUGCCCUGCAAAAACAAGUUAGACGUCCUCUACUUUGUUGUUGCAAAUUUUACGUGGCUGCUACGGGCUUAGCAAGAACCAAUCUUACCUACGCAUCAAAACCACAACGAUAGUUUGUCAAAUAGACUCCGUUUUAACCUUCGCAAGGACCGGGCGUAGCCACACUCGGUUCAACUAAAGUUGGAGAAACAGUCACCCGCAAGUCACCUAUGUGCAAAGCACGUCGGGGAAACCGGUCUCGCGUAAGCGUACGCGUAAUGUCGGUCCGGGCCGCUUCAUCCAACAAUACCGCGGAACCAAAGUAUGACAUGCUGGUAGGCAGUAUGACUUAUAUCGCCCACAACUCACUUGUGUUCUACUCGUGCAUAUAACAUCAAACCAUAAAACCUAGGCUCGGAUGCCACUGUUGGGGAACGUAGUAAUUUCAAAAAUUUCCUACGCACACGCAAGAUCAUGGUGAUGCAUAGCAACGAGGGGGAGAGUCUGAUCUACGUACCCUUGUAGAUCGCAACGGAAGCGUUGACACAACGUAGAGGAAGUAGUCGUACGUCUUCUUCCUGAUCCGACCGAUCCAAGCACCGUUACUCCGGCACCUCCGAGUUCUUAGCACACGUUCAGCUCGAUGACGAUCCUCGGGCUCCGAUCCAGCAAAGCGUCGAGGAAGAGUUCCGUCAGCAUGACGGCGUGGUGACGAUCUUGAUGUACUACCGAUGUAGGGCUUCGCCUAAGCACUACAACGGUAUGAUCGAGGUGGAAUUUGGUGGCAGGGGGCACCGCACACGGCUAAGGAACGAUCUCAAGGAUCAACUUGUGUGUCUAUGGGGUGCCCCCUGCCCCUGUAUAUAAAGGAUGGAGGAGGAGGAGGCCGGCCAAGGCAAAGGUGCGGCCAGGAUAGGGAGUCCUACUAGGACUCCAAGUCCUAGUAGGAGUCCACCAAAAGGGGAGGAAGGGAGAAGGAAUAGGAGGAGAAGGAGAGGUGGCCGGCCCCCUUUUCCCUAGUCCAAUUCGGACCAAAGGGGAGGGGGGCGCAGCAGCCUUUUCCUCUUCCCACUAAAGCCCAUCAAGGCCCAUUACUUCUCCCGUAACUACCCGGUACUCCGAAAAAUACCCGAAUCACUCCGAACCUUUCCGAUGUCCAAAUAUAGUCGUUCAAUAUAUCGAUCUUUACGUCUCGACCAUUUCAAGACUCCUCGUCAUGUCCCCGAUCUCAUCCGGGACUCCGAACUCCUUCGGUACAUCAAUACUCAUAAACUCAUAAUUUAACUGUCAUGGAAACCUUAAGCGUGCGGACCCUACGGUUCGAGAACAAUGUAGACAUGACCGAGACACGUCUCCGGUCAAUAACCAAUAGCGGGACCUGGAUGCCCAUAUUGGCUCCUACAUAUUCUACGAAGAUCUUUAUCGGUCAGACCGCAUAACAACAUACGUUGUUCCCUUUGUCAUCGGUAUGUUACUUGCCCGAGAUUCGAUCGUUGGUAUCCAAUACCUAGUUCAAUCUCGUUACCGGCAAGUCUCUUUACUCGUUCUAUAAUACAUCAUCCCACAACUAACUCAUUAGUUGCAAUGCUUGCAAGGCUUAAGUGAUGUGCAUUACCGAGAGGGCCCAGAGAUACCUCUCCGACAAUCGGAGUGACAAAUCCUAAUCUCGAAAUACGCCAACCCAACAUCUUCCUUUGGAGACACCUGUAAUGCUCCUUUAUAAUCACCCAGUUACGUUGUGACGUUUGGUAGCACCCAAAGUGUUCCUCCGGCAAACGGGAGUUGCAUAAUCUCAUAGUCAUAGGAACAUGUAUAAGUCAUGAAGAAAGCAAUAGCAACAUACUAAACGAUCGGGUGCUAAGCUAAUGGAAUGGGUCAUGUCAAUCAGAUCAUUCAACUAAUGAUGUGACCUCGUUAAUCAAAUAACAACUCUUUUGUCCAUGGUUAGGAAACAUAACCAUCUUUGAUUAAUGAGCUAGUCAAGUAGAGGCAUACUAGUGACACUUUGUUUGUCUAUGUAUUCACACAUGUAUUAUGUUUCCCGUUAAUACAAUUCUAGCAUGAAUAAUAAACAUUUAUCUUGUGCUUGUGAUCUCCAUCUCCGAAGCACCUUCAUGAUCACCAUCGUCACCGGCGCGACACCUUGAUCUCCAUCGUAGCAUCGUUGUCGUCUCGCCAAUCUUAUGCUUCCACGACUAUCGCUACCGCUUAGUGAUAAAGUAAAGCAUUACAACGCGAUUGCAUUGCAUACAAUAAAGCGACAACCAUAUGGCUCCUGCCAGUUGCCGAUAACUUGGUUACAAAACAUGAUCAUCUCAUACAAUAAAAUUUAGCAUCAUGUCUUGACCAUAUCACAUCACAACAUGCCCUGCAAAAACAAGUUAGACGUCCUCUACUUUGUUGUUGCAUGUUUUACGUGGCUGCUACAGGCUUAAGCAAGAACCAAUCUUACCUAUGCAUCAAAACCACAACGAUAGUUUGUCAAGUUGAUGCCGUUUUAACCUUCGCAAGGACCGGGCGUAGCCACACUCGGUUCAACUAAAGUUGGAGAAACAGUCACCCGCAAGCCACCUUUGUGCAAAGCACGUCGGGAGAACCGGUCUCGCGUAAGCGUACGCGUAAUGUCGGUCUGGGCCGCUUCAUCCAACAAUACCGCCGAACCAAAGUAUGACAUGCUGGUAGGCAGUAUGACUUAUAUCGCCCACAACUCACUUGUGUUCUACUCAUGCAUAUAACAUCAAACCAUAAAACCUAGGCUCUGAUACCACUGUUGGGGAACGUAGCAAUUUCAAAAAAUUUCUACGCACACGCAAGAUCAUGGUGAUGCAUAGCAACAAGAGGGGAGAGUGUUGUCUAGAAGCGUUGACACAACGUAGAGGAAGUAGUCGUACGUCUUCCCGAUCCGACCGAUCCAAGCACCGUUACUCCGGCACCUCCGAGUUCUUAGCACACGUACAACUCGAUGACGCUCCCCGGGCUCCGAUCUAGCAAAGCUUCGGGGAUGAGUUCCGUCAGCACAACGGCGUGGUGACGAUGAUGAUGUUCUACCGACGCAGGGCUUCGCCUAAGCACUACAACGAUAUGACCGAGGUGGAAUAUGGUGGAAGGGGGCACCGCACACGGCUAAGGAACGAUCACGUUGAUCAAUUGUGUGUUCUAGGGUGCCCCCUUGCCUCCGUAUAUAAAGGAUCCAAGGGAGAGGGGUUCGGCCGGCCCUAUGGAGGCGCAGGAGGAGUCCUACUCCUAUCGGGAGUAGGACUCCCCCCCUUUUCCUUGUCCAAGUAGGAUUGGUGGAGAAGAAUGGGAAAGAGGGGGGCGCCGCCCCUCCCUCCUUGUCCAAUUCGGACUAGGGGGAGAGGGGGCGUGCGGCCUGCCCUGGCAGCCCCUUCCUCUUCUCCACUUUAGGCCCAUGAGGCCCAUUAACCCCCCGGGGGGUUCCGGUAACCCCCCGGUGCUCCGAUUUUAUCCGAAACUUCAUCGGAACCCUUCCGGUGUCCGAAUAUAGUCAUCCAAUAUAUCAAUCUUUAUGUCUUGACAAUUUUGAGACUCCUCGUCAUGUCCGUGAUCACAUCCGGGACUCCGAACUAACUUCGGUACAUCAAAAUGUAUAAACUUAUAAUAACUGCCAUCGUAACGUUAAGCGUGCGGACCCUACGGUUCGAGAACAAUGUAGACAUGGCCGAGACACGUCUCCGGUCAAUAACCAAUAGCGGGACCUGGAUGCCCAUAUUGGCUCCUACAUAUUCUACGAAGAUCUUUAUCGGUCAGACCGCAUAACAACAUACGUUGUUCCCUUUGUCAUCGGUAUGUUACUUGCCCGAGAUUCGAUCGUCCGUAUCCAAUACCUAGUUCAAUCUCGUUACCAGCAAGUCUCUUUACUCGUUCCGUAAUACAUCAUCUCGCAACUAACUCAUUAGUUGUAAUGCUUGCAAGGCUUAUGUGAUGUGCAUUACCGAGAGGGCCCAGAGAUACCUCUCCGACAAUCGGAGUGACAAAUCCUAAUCUCGAAAUACGCCAACCCAACAUCUACCUUUGGAUACAUCUUUAGAGCACCUUUAUAAUCACCCAGUUAUGUUGUGACGUUUGGUAGCACACAAAGUGUUCCUCCGGCAAACGGGAGUUGCAUAAUCUCAUAGUCAUAGGAACAUGUAUAAGUCAUGAAGAAAGCAAUAGCAACAUACUAAACGAUCGGGUGCUAAGCUAAUGGAAUGGGUCAUGUCAAUCAGAUCAUUCAACUAAUGAUGUGAUCUCGUUAAUCAAAUAACAACUCUUUGUUCAUGGUUAGGAAACAUAACCAUCUUUGAUUAACGAGCUAGUCAAGUAGAGGCAUACUAGUGACACUUUGUUUGUCUAUGCAUUCACACAUGUAUUAUGUUUCCGGUUAAUACUAUUAUAGCAUGAAUAAUAAACAUUUAUCAUGACAUAAGGAAAUAAAUAAUAACUUUGUUAUUGCCUCUAGGGCAUAUUUCCUUCACUUAGGGCCUUGGAUGAGAACUGGCAUCAUAAUGAACUUCCGCUUCAUGCACAUCCAAGGAGGAAGGUUAUACAUACAUAGAGUCACGGGCCAGGUGCUGUGAUUGCUGCUCUGCUCCCCUAUAGGAUUAAUGCCAUCCAUGCUUAAAGCAAACCAUACAUUCCAUGGGUCGUUUGCAAACUCAUCCCAGUACUUUCUCUCGAUUUUUCUCCACUGCGACCCGUCAGCGGGUGCUCUCAAUUUUCCGUCUUUCUUCCGGUCCUCACUGUGCCAUCGCAUCAACUUGGCAUGCUCUUCGUUUUUGAAUAGACGUUUCAACCGUGGUAUUAUAGGAGCAUACCACAUCACCUUCGCAGGAACCCUCUUCUUGGGGGGCUCACCGUCAACGUCACCAGGGUCAUCUCGUCUGAUCUUAUACCGCAAUGCACCGCAUACCGGGCAUGCAUUCAGAUCCUUGUAUGCACCGCGGUAGAGGAUGCAGUCAUUAGGGCAUGCAUGUAUCUUCUCCACCUCCAAUCCUAGAGGGCAUACGACUUUCUUUGCUGCGUAUGUACUGUCGGGCAAUUCGUUAUCCUUUGGAAGAUUCUUCUUCAAUAUUUUCAGUAGCUUCUCAAAUCCUUUGUCAGCCACAGCAUUCUCUGCCUUCCACUGCAGCAAUUCCAGUACGGUACCGAGCUUUGUGUUGCCAUCUUCGCAAUUGGGCUACAACCCUUUUUUGUGAUCCUCUAACAUGCGAUCGAACUUCAGCUUCUCCUUUUGACUUUCGCAUUGCGUCCUUGCAUCGACAAUGACCCGGCGGAGAUCAUCAUCAUCGGGCAGAUCGUCUGGUUCCUCUUGAUCUUCAGCAGCUUCACCCGUUGCAGCAUCAUUGGGCACAUCGUCUGUUUCCUCUUGAUCUUCACCAGCUCCCUCCAUUGCAGCAUAACCGUAUUCAGGGGGCACAUAGUUGUCAUCGUACUCUUCUUCUUUGCCAUCUUCCAUCAUAACACCUAUUUCUCCGUGCCUCGUCCAAACAUUAUAGUGUGGCAUGAAACCCUUGUAAAGAAGGAGGGGGUGAAGGAUUUUCCGGUUAGAGUAAUACCUCGUAUUCCCACAUUCAGUGCAUGGACAACACAUAAAACCAUUCUGCUUCUUUGCCUCAGCCGCACCGAGAAACUCAUGCACGCCCUUAAUGUACCCGGAGGUGUGUCUGUCACCGUACAUCCAUUGCCAGUUCAUCUACGUGCAUUAUAUAUAAUUAAGUGUCCAAAUUAAUAGAAGUUCAUCAUCACAUUAAAACCAAAGUACAUACAUAGUUCUCAUCUAACAACAUAUAGCUCUCCAGAGCAUCUAAUUAAUUAAACCAUACAUUGAAACUAUGUAAAACAUUUCAAUGCGAAAACAAAUGCGAUCAUAAUUGCAACCAAGGUAACAAUUGAUCCAACGGCAUAAUGAUACCAAGCCUCGGUAUGAACGACAUAUUUUCUAAUCUUUCUAAUCUUCAAGCGCAUUGCAUCCAUCUUGAUCCUGUGAUCAUAGACGACAUCCGCAACAUGCAACUCCAAUAUCAUCUUCUCCUCCUCAAUUUUUUUAUUUUUUCCUCCAACAAAUAGUUUUCUUCUUCAACUAAAUUUAGCCUCUCGGCAAUAGGGUCGGUUGGCAUUUCCGAUUCACAUACAUCCUACAUAAAUAAAAUCUAUGUCACGUUGAUCGGCAUAAUUUUCAUAAACAAUAAAUGAACCAAUAGUUAUAAAGAUAAUAUAUAUACCACAUUCGAAUCAUAGACAGGACGAGGGCGACGGGGGCGGAUACCAAAACCAUCGCACUAUAUAAGAUGCAAUAAUAAAAGUAAGAAAAUAAUACAAGUAUCUAUGUAAACAUACAAGUAAGAAUAUUUUUCCUUUCAGAAAGAAGAUAAGAACAAGAGGCUCACCAUGGUGGUGCCGGCAAGGCCCACCUUGGUCCAUGCGGGGAUGCACAAAAUAAGCUAUGUGCGGCCCAUGCGGGGAAUUUUGGUUACGCAUGGCCCAUACAUAUGGUGAUCCAGCCGUACGUGACCAAAUAGGAUGGACGGACAAACGAAAACGGACAAAAAUUAGGGACCAACCAAUUAGUACCACCUCGCGUAUAUGUUUUAUAUUUAAACUGAAAGCGUAAAUUUUCAUGAAAAGAAAUGUACUGUGACGGUGAACCCGACAAAGUCAAUCCGUGCUUUAUUAUUAGGGAAAGAUAUACUAAUUGGAGGCACCUUUGGAGCGUCUACGUUAAUCCACGUCAUUAAGAUUAAUAUAGCCGUUUGAUAUUAAAUUUAAUGGUUAAGAUAUGCUAGAAGACUAUGCCUUAUUAUAGAAGAAAACAACAUGUACGUAGGGAUGAAAUCCACGCAUACAAAAAAAAACUCAUGUAAAGAAAAAUCAAUUCUCACCACAUAGAUGAAACUCAUUAAACUUGCACAUGCAAAAAAAGUCCUAAGCUCCCACGUCCAUGAAAGAUUAGACAUGCACAUAAAAAAAGAGUCCUAAAUGCCCACGCCCAGGUUCCAAGAAAAAGUACGUGCCUACUCCUUGCAAAAAGAGGACGCGUGGCAAAACUAAAAAAUAUGAAUAUAAUCAUCUCAAUCUCUUUCUAAUAAUAAAAUAUGAAUUGAUUUUGUCAGGUUCGUCGUCACAAUACACUUUUUCCUGUAAAUUUACGCUUUCACUUUGAAUUUAAAACAUAUAGGUGAGGUGGUACUAAAAAACUGUUCAUUGGUCGCGUACGUCAAUUAGUAUAAGUCGCUUUUUUUAGUCCCUCCGGCUCGCUAGACUGGGCCGUGUUGAUCAUUCCCGUGAUGACUGAACUGGGCCUGGUCAAAAAGAAAAAAAACGAUGCAAAAAAUAAUUCCCCAUGAGCUUCGAACCAAGACGAAGGCCCUCAGUCACAAAGGAGAACGCCAACUAGAUUGCUCUAUUUUGUUCUGCCAAAUUGUGUCCCUGUAGAUAUAAUAGUCCCACAUCGCUUCUUUGCACUGUAUCUUAUCGAUUUUUAUACAUCGGCGGACUUGUCCUAGCAGAAGUUAAUUGGAAGAGGAAGCAAGGAAUAAAGAACGAACGCAGGAGGAAUUUGGCCAGAAGAAACAAGGUCGGGGAGCGUGAGGUUUAUGGUGAAUAUUCAGAGAACGGCAGCUGCAUUGUUCGAAUUUAGUCUAUCUUUGGACAUGUCUUUUCCGGGGAUUCGACACCAUGUUUUGUGCGCGAAUGGUUUUAUUAGGGUUUUUGACUGUUCCAAGUUAGAAGAGGCCAGAGUUUUCUCUGGUUCUUCAGUGGCCUGAAGCAACCAUGCUUACGCUUUUUUUUUUCAACCAUUCAUUGCCCAUUUUCAUUAAUUUCUUAAAGAAAAUACAUCAACCGUCCUUGCAGAAAGAACGAGGCAGCUUCACAGCUGGAAAUCAAGAGUGCGGUGUCCAGUUUUACGGGGAAAAGAAUUCUAUGAGACCAGGUCUCACGCGAGACCCAUCCUAAUGAAUGCCACGUGCUAUCCAUCAGAACGGGUCUCACCUGCUAACCGUGAGACUUGGUCUCAUAUAUUUUUUUUCCGUUUUACGGGGAAGCAUCAUCAGAAAUCUAGCAAAUCAUUCGCAUUAUUCUCUCACAUACAGUACAGAUCCUUCGGAUCGCCACAUCACAGCUGGACUUCAUUGCUUUGGGUGUCUAAUUAAGGGCUUGUUCGGUUAAUCCUCUCGCGAAGAGGAUUGGAGGGGAUUGGCAAGGAUUGGUUCGUAUUUUGACUUCUAAGAGGUUUAAGUCCUCCUCAAACCCCUUCAAUCCAUUCGGAUUCACACGCAACCAAACAAGGCCUAAACGGGAUCCGCAUCUGAACUAUUAAGCAGCAAAUGAUAGUGUGCGUGAAACAGGUAGGCAAUGUCAAUGAGGACAAACUGUGAUGAUAUCGUUUGAAAACUCAGCUGUCGUCCGUAGUGUUUGGCAUGUGACAGAUAGAUCCUGUUGAUUGUCUAACGAAAGCCAACGGUGAUGUCAAACUAGACUAUUUUAACAUAGUCGGUAAGACAAAAAUGGGAAACAUAUGUAUAUAUGACUACCGAGAACACGACAUCCAUUGUAUCUCGAUUAAGCAUCUUCAAAUAUUAUUCCUGUCGUGAUAUUGACAACAUUAUUAGUUUGUACUUGAAUGAAUAGUCAAGGAACUUUUGAGUGUUCCAAGUUAAACAUCCAAAUUUGUGUCGCAUUUCAGUAUGGGAGGCGCGUAUGACUCUCAAGUUUUUCCGAAUUUGAGUAAUACGGGUCAACUAUUUGCAAAAAUAAAAUAAAAACAUGUUAUCUAGCAUAUGUUUUUACCGUGUUAACACAUUCACAAUUAUUCCAUUUUGAAAAAAGGUACCUAGGUGGUAAAUGAACUACAAACCUUGCUCGACAUAUAUCGAGAAAUAUGUAUUGACAUACACAACAGAGAAAAUAAAUCAAAAUACAUUGCGCAGAACAUUGACAAUAAAUUAGUUGGUGAAAUUAGACAAUUUAGUUGGUGAACUUAGAAAAUUGUUACAUAAGGCUCCAACUUAAUUUCUCAGCAGUUGGAUCAGUUUUUUUUUUUGAGGACCAUGGAAAUACUGAAACCAUGGUUGAUACAAACUCCCCUCUCACACCUAAACUUUGAGCUAGAUAUUUCCUUUUAGUGAGUUUAGCUACUAAUUUUAAAGGGGUUCGCUAAAUCUCAGUCAAUUGAGAUUUAAUGUAGUCUCAAUCACCUUUCCAAGCCGUUGAAUACAUGCACACUAAGAUUAUGUGCUAGGAAACUUUUCUUUGUUAUUGUGAGGUGGAACGGAAAGAGAUGUGUGUGUGCCUUUCUGGACUAUUCGAAGUGUGCGUGUUUUUCCGAGGAAAGAGCCUACAAUCUACACGAGAAGCUUGUGUUUGGGCCAAGUCCAAACAUAAUAUAAUUUGUCAAACCAAACAACCAACAUUUUCUAAAACCGAAAUCAACAUAGCAAAAACAUGUUUGCUUUCGAAUAUUAAUAAAUAACUGUAUAUAAAUAAUCCCACUUCAAUGCACCACUCCUCUCACACCCGGUGAUAGUGUGAUGUUCGUUGAGGCAACAUCGAAGGACAUGAAUGUAGUUUCAUUAAUCUUUUUCCGAAUUGUGUACACCAAAAAUUGUAUCAUCAUUAACGACGGUGGCAAAAAUGAAAAGUGGCAACAUGAACGAGUCACUGAAAACAUGCGAAGACUUUCUCCUUCCGGUGCAAUGCACGACACAUUAAAUGAUGCAUACAAAGGUUAAAGGGAACCUUCUUUUGAGAAACAAAGACAAACACAGACUCACAAACACGUACAUACAUGAACACCUAGAGAGACUGAGCUGACAAGUCUUGAGAUUGAUGAACACACCACAAGUGUCUCGCUUCGACGCGAACGUCACCAUGCACUGAAAAAAUAUUUCACCUUUGUGAAACAUGAAAUUAAGCGUCAAAGUUAGGUUUUAAUUCUUGCUCUAUUGGGUAUCACCGCCCUGCAAACCAUCCAAUCAGAGAUUGGUUCUCAGGGUUAAAGCGAAACUAACCAAUACAUUUAUUUGAUAUGAAAAAAUGAACCCUUCCAAACCAAGCAAACAACUAUCUCUAAGAAAUCCAACAUAGCAACAAUGCUUUGUAUUCAAAUGUUUUGGAAAUUCUAAAAAAAAACUUUUGGAUUAGUUUUUAAACUCUCGGUUAGUAUAGAACAUUCCAAUGUUUGUAUGUUGCACUAAAAAUAAAUGCACCACUCUUUCACCCGGUGGUAGUGCUAAGCUAAAGGAGUGCCAUCAAAGGACACCACUAUGACUAUCUUAACUCUACUCCAUGAUGCGGACACCAAUAAUCAUUUUUAUUUACCAACACGAAGGCGUUUUUUUAAGAUAGUGAGUGUUUCUAAAUGUUCUUGGUUUCAAAAAAUAUAUUCAUGUUUUAAAUAUGUUUAAACUUUUGAAGAAAUGCUGAAAAUUCCUAAAAAAUGGUUCCAAUUAAAAACCAGCUAUAAUUGUUCAAAAAAUCAUUAAAAAAAAUCAUGAAAUCGCUUGUUUAUAUAAUGUUCGACUUCAAAAAAUAUUCCAAUUCUAGUAAGAAAUUAAAAAAUAGUCGAUUUCUUAAAAAAUAAAGAAAUAUUUGUGUUGUCUUUCAAAAAGCAAAAUAUAUACCGAUUCACAUACUAUUCCAUGCACAACUAUUCUUCCAACAGAUGUGGGAAGUUAGGUUGGUUCUUCAUGUACACACUUCAAGCUCCGAACAAAAAUUAGAGUUUAACAUUAUUACUCUGGUUUAUCAGCCUUUGAUACAAGAAAUGGCACAUGAAGCGCACUUUUAUUUGCCCGUUGCAACGCACGGGCAUUUGUACUAGUAAAUAUCAAUUGAAGGAAUAUCAUUCUGCAAAGGCAGAUUCUUGAAUAGGAUUGUUUCACAACUGCAUCCAUCAAUUUUAAAGUUUACUAUCUAAUAUGAUGCUAGAUAGAUAAAGCCUCAAUUAAGUAUAACAUUGUGUUUGUUGGUUAAGUUAGGAGCACUUACUAAUGUACUAAAAGAGAAAUAUAUAUUAUAUAUGGUUUGAGUACCAUUGUAGUAGUGGUGCAUAUACAUACGCGCACCACCUACUAUAUAUCGAAAUAAUUCAUACUCGCUUUCUCCCUUAUAUAUAUAGUAGGUGGUGUCAAAUUCUUGCUAAUUUGACAUGAAGGCUUCAUUCAGACCAGUGAUGAUACUUUGCGCAACAUAAAUGGGAAAGUAGAGGCACUCUUCCAUAUAAUGAAGUUUAUAAUAUAUGUGUUUAUAUUGUACUAUAAUUGUUUGAAUAACUUACCAUAUGUUCAGAUGUAUGAUAUCUGUAAUUUAAGCGCUUGAAUUUUACAUAUAAAUAUAAUUUUAUUAAUAAAUAUGUACCCAUAUAAUAGCUAGGCCGUGUAGUUGCACGGGUAGAUGACUAGUGAUUACAAUCUUGUUUGUGAGCAAGUCAAGAUUAUCUAGUUUACACGUAACAACUUGUAGAACAUUACAAAAAUUAUGCUUGCUAAUAACUUCUAGAACACUACAACACUUGACAUGUAAAAGGAAUUUGAUGAGUCAUGGCCUACUAAAGCAAGUUACAUUACUACUCUUAUCUAUCUUAACAGACCACACAAGAUUACAAACUAAGUACCGUGACAGCCAUGCUUAUCUAAUUUAUGCGUAACAAUUUGCGGAAAAUUACAAAUUUAGUUUUAGAAAAAUAGGCAAUCUAGAUUAGUGUUUGAGCUGUAAUGUGAAUAAGAUGAGUCGUGCGUCUUGUCACACCUUUUUGGUGGUGGAAUGAUAGUGCAACAACAAGGAACUUUAAUGACCAGUCCAAGAAUACACUUGUAAGUAGUGCCACCAAACAGAACAUACCAAAUUAUGAUUUUGAGAAGAAUCCAAGCACUUUCCACACAAGCAAAUGCCAAUUGUGAAAGAGAUCAUUCCAUGGCAGCUAUAAAUAGCCCCAUAGCAUGACGCUCAUCCUUCCUCAUCCAUCAUUCUCAUAAGUAGAGUGCAUCAUUUAAGCCAAGCAAGCUGUGGUCAAUACAAAUCCACCAUGAAGACCUUUCUCAUCCUUUCCCUCCUUGCUAUCGUGGCAACCACCGCCACAACUGCAUUUAGAAUUCUAGUGCCACAAUUGCAGCCACAAAAUCCAUCUUAGCAACAACCACAAGAGCAAGUUCCAUUGGUACAACAACAGCAAUUUCUAGGGCAGCAACAACCAUUUCCACCACAACAACCAUAUCCACAGCCGCAACCAUUUCCAUCACAACAACCAUAUCUGCAGCUGCAACCAUUUCCGCAGCCGCAACCACCAUAUUCGCAGCCGCAACCAUUUCGACCACAAUAACCAUAUCUCCACAACCGCAACCACAGUAUUCGCAACCACAAUAACCAAUUUCGCAGCAGCAACAACAACAACAACAACAACAACAACAACAAAUCCUUCAACAAAUUUUGCAACAACAACUGAUUCCAUGCAUGGAUGUUGUAUUGCAGCAACACAACAUAGCGCAUGGAAGAUCACAAGUUUUGCAACAAAGUAGUUACCAGCUGUUGCAAGAAUUGUGUUUUCAGCACCUAUGACAGAUCCCUGAGCAGUCGCAGUGCCAAGCCAUCCACAAUGUUGUCCAUGCUAUUAUUCUGCAUCAACAACAAAAACAACAACAACAACAACAACAAAAACAACAACCAUCGAGCCAGGUCUCCUUCCAACAGCCCCAGCAACAAUAUCCAUCAGGCCAGGGCUCCUUCCGGCCAUCUCUGCAAAAUCCACAGGCCCAGGGCUCGGUCCAGCCUCAACAGCUGCCCAGUUCGAGGAAAUAAGGAACCUAGCGCUACAGACGCUACCUGCAAUGUGCAAUCUCUACAUCCCUCCAUAUUGCACCAUCGCGCCAUUUGGCAUCUUCGGUACUAACUGAGAAGAAAAUAACUCUAGUACUAGAUAUAUGAAACACCGUUUUCUUAGUCCAUGGUUUGGUCAUUGUAGCGGUGAAAAAAUAAAGUGACAUGCACUACCAUGUAAGAACUCGAACUAUACUAGUUCAAACUUGGGAAUAAAAGACAAACACAGGUCUUGUCUACAUAUUUAUGUUGCAUUUAUCUAAAGAUAACAAAAUGAGUCUAAAAUUUGAAUUAAAUUGAAGUAUUUUCUUGGACUUUCAAAUUGAGUAUUAUUAACGUAGUAAGGACUAUCCUCAUCCUUGGCCUGCCCCUAAUCAAUUAUUUCCAGAGAAGCAUUCAAUUCAUCAAUCAAUUACAUUGAUUUUUGUGGCUGGUACUUCUCCUCAACAUCAGUAUAUUCACCGUGGCUACUCCAAAUCGGCAAGAAUGAGGUACCGGUGCUCUGGAGCAGUGCCAACUAAUUGCUUCUCAUGUGAAGGGGUGCGGGCGCGGGAGAGGUAUUUCUGGUGGGCCAAGGGAGUAAGAAGCCACCGUGGGAGUGGUACAGACGCCCGUAAAGCCCCAUAGUUUCUUUUUGGUUUACAGGAAAAUGCACAUCCAUACCGGCCUGGGGAGUAUAGGACCGUAUUGGAUGGAAAACCAUGUCCGGAUGGUUGCGAGCGGUUUGAGGGUUAGCUUUUGUAACGCCCGGUUAGUUAUGCUAUAGCAAUUCCCUGCUAAUGAUGUCACGUCACCAAGAUUACUGUUGUUAUCCUCACAAUGAUUCAAUGCCAUUCUAAUUCAAAUUUAAAAUAAAGGCAAGCAUCAAAAGUUUUCAAACAUUAAAACUAAAAUCUUUGAGAGGUAACAAAUAAUGCAUAAGUAAUUAUGGUGGAGAAACCACACUUUAAUAAAAUGUUUAAAUACUCUAAAAUGAAAAAAACAGUGGCUUAAACUAUUAUUUAAAUGCUUUUAAAAUAGUAAAAAUGUUCUAACUAAAUUAAUUGGGUACCAACCUUUUGGUGGCAGUGGUAUAUUUAGUAGAACUAAUUUAGAUGCUAGUUAUAUGAUUUAGAAAAUUAGGGUCAAUUGAAAAAUAGGAUAAAACAGAGAAGGAAAGACAAAACAAAUAAAAGCAAAAGGGGGCAACCCCUCACUGGCCUUGGCCUAGCUGGCCACUGGGCUAGCUAGGUCGGCCCCGCCGCCUCCCUUAACCCCCUGUCGGUGUCGAAACCGGUGGAUGGUACCAUGAGUAGAUCUACCACGAGAUCGGAGAGGCUAAACCCUAGAGGCUAGCCUAUGAUAUGAUUGUAUGUGUCCUACGGACUAAAACCCUCCGGUUUAUAUAGACACCGGAGAGGGUUAGGGUUACACAAGGUCGGUUACAAAGGAGGAGAUAUCCAUAUCCGUAUUGCCUAGCUUGCCUGCCACGCCAAGUAGAGUCCCAUCCGGACACGGGACGAAGUCUUCAAUCUUGUAUCUUCAUAGUGCAACAGUCCGAAAAAGGAUAUAGUCCGGCUGUCCGGAGACCCCCUAAUCCAGGACUCCCUCAGUAGCCCCUGAACCAGGCUUCAAUGACGAUGAGUCUGGCGCGCAGUAUUGUCUUCGACAUUGCAAGGCGGGUUCCUCCUCCGAAUGCAUCACAGAAGAAUUUGAAUACGAGGAUAGUGUCCGACCCUGCAACAUAAGUUCCACAUAAUUCCAUACAGAGAAUAAUAUUUUCGCAAAUCUAAUUUGCUUACUUGUUUUGACAGUACGACAUUAUGUCAUGGCCCGGUGAUUAUUCGAACCGUUUCCUUUAACUAGCCCCGCACAUAACGCGAGGCAGUUUUUCGACAUGUCUUGUCAAAGCAGAGAUCGUGUCCCCUUAUUACUGGAUUCUCAUCAAUACGGGCGUGGGUAACCCAACCGCGCCAUCGAUUGCGGCACUUGGGGGAUGAGCUAUUUUUACCUGGCAAGUGGGGACGCUUAGUUUCGUCCGCCCAUAUAAAGGGAUAAGGAUUCACCUUUCUAUCCAUGCCUUCUUCCUCCUUUGCUCAUCCGUUUUUGCACACUCGAGCUCUAGCGCCCAAGUUCGCACUUCCCACCUCAACCUUCUCCAACCAUGUCCCGAGCGGGAGGCAGGUGGAUGGUAUCCUCCGUCACGGAUGGAGACAUCAAGAAGCUGAGGAGCGCCGGAUACCUGCCUGACGACAUCGCGCACCGGCUCCCAGAUGAGGGGCAGCUCACCCCCACCCCCAGGCCCCAUGAGAGGGUAGUGUUCCUCACCCAUUUCCUCCGCGGACUGGGAUUCCCUCUCCACCCAUUUGUCCCGGGGCUCAUGUUCUAUUACGACCUGGAUUUCCAUGAUCUGGCCCCGAACUUCAUCCUCAACAUCUCGGCGUUUAUCGUUGUGUGCGUGGCCUUCCUCCGCAUCAAGCCCCACUUCGGCUUAUGGUUGAAGACCUUUAAUGUCAAGCCGAAGGUUGUGGGCGACCGCCAGGCGGAGUGCGGAGGCGCCAUGGUGGGCAAGAUGCCCAACGUAACAUGGCUCGAGGGCUCUUUUGUGGAAACCAUAAAGGGGUGGCAAUCGGGUGGUUCUACAUCACCGAGCCGCGUGACCCUGCAUGGGCAGCGGCCCCCCGAGUUCUGAUCUGGCAUCCCCACGCGGCUCACCUCCUGGAAAGAGAAGGGCCUGUCCUGGGGUAGUUUGGAAGAGCUGACCAGACUCCAAACAUGUAUUCAAAACAUGGUGAACAAGAAGCUCAAACUCGUCAACGUGGUCCAGGUCAUGCUCCACCGCCGGAUCCUCCCGUGCCAAUAACGGGAGUUCAACUUGUGGGAGUACAACCCAGCGCAGCACCGAACUCUGAACAGGCUUUUCGACACAACUCACGAAGAUGCCUCGAGGGUGCUGUUCAAAAUCACCAAGGUCCCCCUCCCAUUACUGAGGAUCACGGAUUCAGCGUGAAGCGCCAAGCCAGUGCGGCAGGCUGCUUUACCUUUCACAGGCUACUUAUUUUUUAUAGAUUGACUCCAUGCGGGAUCUAAACUCCCGUACCUUUGACAGGACUGGCAGGAGAUGGCCGGACAGAUCGACUGUCCGGCUCCUAUGCCCGAAGGCCCAGCAGACGCUCUUCUAGCGAAGAUGCUGACUUCGGCUCCUUAUACGGUGCCGGAGAAGACCAAGAAGGACAAGGGAACCCGAAAGAGUUCCCGACGCCAGGCGUCGUCGGACUCACCGUCCGAUGACUCUGCGGCGCACUCCUCCCCCGAAGACGAGGAAGAGGAAGAAGACGCUCCCUCUCUGGCUGGGGGAGAUAAGAAAAGGAAGGCCGCCCCAACUGGGGGGGCGGAAGGGUCCAAGAAGGGAAGGAAUCUCCUUCCGGAUAGUUGCACCGCUGCCGACGAAGGCGAAGACGAGGGGUUGCCCAGGGCCAAGCCCCUGGGGAGAUCGUAAGUAUUCAGAUACCAGAGUAACUCAUAGCAUUCCUUUGUCGCACUGCUUUCCCUAACGUCAAACAUAAUUAUGCAGGUCGCCAUGAGCCAGUAUCGAUGUGUGACGCCCGGAUAAUCAUGCUACAGUAAUCCCACGCUAAUCAUGCCACGUCACCUCGGUUACUGUUGCUAAUCUAUCGUUAGGUCAAAGCUGGUCCAAAAUUCAAAUUCAAAGUUUGGUAAAUAAUAACAGUUUUCAAAAAUUAAAACAAAAAUGUUCGGUGAUUGCCGAAUAAUGCAUAGGUAAUUAUGGUGGAGAAACCACACUUUUAUAAAAUGUUUAAAUAAUCUAAAAUGAAUAAAACAGUAGAAAAACCAAAUCUAAAUGCUUUUAUAAAUAAAUAAAACACUAAACUAAAUUGUUUUGGGAUAAAGCCUUUUGUGGCAGUGGGUUUCGUGGUAUUACAAUUUUAGAGUUCAUUUUAAUACUAAGUAAGAAGUAUAAUUAAGAGAAACUAAAAUAAAGAACAGAAAAAAAAGAAUAAAUAAAAGGAAAAGAAAACACAAAACAGAAAAGAAAACUACCAAAAAAAUAUGGUAAAAGGAGACCCCCCCCACUGGACCCCUUGGCCCAACUGGGCCAUGGCCCAGCCGGCCACCCCCNNNNNNNNNNNNNNNNNNNNNNNNNNNNNNNNNNNNNNNNNNNNNNNNNNNNNNNNNNNNNNNNNNNNNNNNNNNNNNNNNNNNNNNNNNNNNNNNNNNNNNNNNNNNNNNNNNNNNNNNNNNNNNNNNNNNNNNNNNNNNNNNNNNNNNNNNNNNNNNNNNNNNNNNNNNNNNNNNNNNNNNNNNNNNNNNNNNNNNNNNNNNNNNNNNNNNNNNNNNNNNNNNNNNNNNNNNNNNNNNNNNNNNNNNNNNNNNNNNNNNNNNNNNNNNNNNNNNNNNNNNNNNNNNNNNNNNNNNNNNNNNNNNNNNNNNNNNNNNNNNNNNNNNNNNNNNNNNNNNNNNNNNNNNNNNNNNNNNNNNNNNNNNNNNNNNNNNNNNNNNNNNNNNNNNNNNNNNNNNNNNNNNNNNNNNNNNNNNNNNNNNNNNNNNNNNNNNNNNNNNNNNNNNNNNNNNNNNNNNNNNNNNNNNNNNNNNNNNNNNNNNNNNNNNNNNNNNNNNNNNNNNNNNNNNNNNNNNNNNNNNNNNNNNNNNNNNNNNNNNNNNNNNNNNNNNNNNNNNNNNNNNNNNNNNNNNNNNNNNNNNNNNNNNNNNNNNNNNNNNNNNNNNNNNNNNNNNNNNNNNNNNNNNNNNNNNNNNNNNNNNNNNNNNNNNNNNNNNNNNNNNNNNNNNNNNNNNNNNNNNNNNNNNNNNNNNNNNNNNNNNNNNNNNNNNNNNNNNNNNNNNNNNNNNNNNNNNNNNNNNNNNNNNNNNNNNNNNNNNNNNNNNNNNNNNNNNNNNNNNNNNNNNNNNNNNNNNNNNNNNNNNNNNNNNNNNNNNNNNNNNNNNNNNNNNNNNNNNNNNNNNNNNNNNNNNNNNNNNNNNNNNNNNNNNNNNNNNNNNNNNNNNNNNNNNNNNNNNNNNNNNNNNNNNNNNNNNNNNNNNNNNNNNNNNNNNNNNNNNNNNNNNNNNNNNNNNNNNNNNNNNNNNNNNNNNNGCCCCUCGGCGCCCGCUCGGCCCUCUCCUGGGUCGGGCGCCCGUAACGCCCAGCGCCCGUAACCCGCUAUGGCCCCCUGGGCAGUUGACAGAUGGGGCCCACGCCCCUGUCUUGUUAGAAAAAAAAACGAAAAGAAAAUGUAAUUAAAAAAAUGAAAAUAAGUAAUUAGUUAUUUAAUUAAUUAUGUAACUAAUUAAUUAAUUAAAUAAGUAAUUACUUAACUUAAUUAACUCCGUUUAGUACUUAAUUAACUUGAUUAGUUAAUUAAAAUUGUUAAUUAGUUGUUAGACUAUGACGAAUGGGACCCACACGUCAGUUUGACCCAGUCAACGCCCUGUUGACUGCUGACGUCAUGCUGACGUCAGCGUACACUAUUCUGGAUAAUGUUAAUUUAAUUAAUAAUUAAUAAAUUAGAAAAUGAUUUAAAAAUUUAAAAAUUAAUAUAAAUUAAACCGUAGCUCAGAUGAAAAAACUUUGUACAUGAAAGUUGCUCAGAACGACGAGACAAAUCUGGAUACACGGCCUGUUUGUUCGUCACGCAUCCCUAGCAUAGCAAACUCGCAACUUUCCCCUCCGGCUCCUCUGCCCGAAAACGCAAAACACCGGGGAUACUUUCCCGGAUGUCAUCCCCCUUCACCGGUAUCACCUAUUACCGCGUUAGGGCACCUCUAACGCCGUUACUUGUCAUGUCAUGCAUCACUAUGCAUAUGCUUGCUUAAAUAUUUAUUAUUUCUUCCCCCUCUUCUCUCGAUAGACACCGAGACCGACGCCGCUGCUACCCAGUACGACUACGCUGUUGACGACCCUCUUUCUUGCCAGAGCAACCAGGCAAGCGCCCCCCUUGAUCACCAGAUAUCGCCUACUCUCUUCUAUACUGCUUGCAUUAGAGUAGUGUAGCAUGUUACUGCUUUCCGUUAUUCCUAUCCUGAUGCAUAGCCUGUCCUUGCUACUACUGUUGUUACCAUUACCUGCUAUCCUACUGCUUAGUAUAGGAUGCUAGUGUUCCAUCAGUGGCCCUACACUCUUGUCCGUCUGCCAUGCUAUACUACUGGGCCGUGAUCACUUCGGGAGGUGAUCAUGGGCAUAUGCUAUAUACUUUACACAGUUACUUUACCUGUGGUACUGUUCGGAGAUGGGGGCUGAAGGGGCAGGUGGUUCCACCCAGGUAGUGGUGGGCCUGGGUUCCCGACGGCCCCCGACUGUUACUUUGUGGCGGAGCGACAGGGCAGGUUCAGACCACCUAGGAGAGAGGUGGGCCUGGCCCUGGUCGGCGUCCGCGGAUACUUAACACACUUAACGAGAUCUGGGUAUUUGAUCUGAGUCUGGCCAUUUGGUCUAUACGCACUAACCAUCUACGCGGGAGUAGUUAUGGGUAUCCCGACGUCGUGGUAUCAGCCGAAGCCUUCGUGACAUCAGCGACUAAGUGGCGCGUGCCGGAUUGGACCGUAAGCCUGCUCUUGUAUUAAGGGGGCUAGUUCUGCUUCCGGCCGCGUUCGCAACGUGCAGGUGUGCAAAGGGCGAUGGGCCCAGACCCCUGCGCCAUAGGAUUUAGACCAGCGUGCUGACCUCUCUGUUGGGCCUAGGUAGGGCUGCGACGUGUUGAUCUUCCGAGGCCGGGCAUGACCCAGAAAAGUGUGUCCGGCCAAAUGGGAUCGAGCGUGUUGGGGUAUGUGGUGCACCCCUGCAGGGAAGUUUAUCUAUUCGAAUAGCCGUGUCCCUCGGUAAAAGGACGACCCGGAGUUGUACUUUGACCUUAUGAUAACUAGAACCGGAUACUUAAUAAAACACACCCUUCCAAGUGCCAGAUACAACCGGUGAUCGCUCUCUCACAGGGCGACGAGGGGAGGAUCAUCGGUUAGGAUUAUGCUAUGCGAUGCUACUUGGAGGACUUCAGUCUACUCUCUUCUACAUGCUGCAAGACGGAGGUUACCAGAAGCGUAGUCUUCGAAAGGACUAGCUAUCCCCCUCUUAUUCCGGCAUUCUGCAGUUCAGUCCACAUAUGAUAGCCUUAUUCCAAUUGAUACCAAUGCAUACAUAUGUAGUGUAGCUCCUUGCUUGCGAGUACUUUGGAUGAGUACUCACGGUUGCUUUCUCCCUCUUUCCCCCCUAUCCCUUCUACCUGGUUGUCGCGACCAGAUGUUGGAGCUCAGGAGCCAGACGCCACCGUUGACGACGACUCCUACUACACCGGUGGUGCCUACUACUACGUGCUGUCCGCUGACGACGACCAGGAGUAGUUUAGGAGGAUCCCAGGCAAGAGGCCUGCGCCUCUUUCGAUCUAUAGCUCAGUUUGUGCUAGCCUUCUUAAGGCAAACUUGUUUAACUUAUGUCUGUACUCAGAUAUUGUUGCUUCCGCUGACUCGUCUAUGAUCGAGCUCUUGUAUUCGAGCCCUCGAGGUCCCUGGCUUGUAAUAUGAUGCUUGUAUGACUUAUUUUAUUUGUAGAGUUGUGUUGUGAUAUCUUUCUGUGAGUCCCUGAUCUUGAUCGUACACGUUUGCGUGUAUGAUUAGUGUACGGUCAAAUCGGGGGCGUCACACGAUGUAUCAUCGGACGGUUCCCUAGGCUCGUCGGACAUGGAUAGCGAUCCAGUCCCGACCCCCACCUCCCCUCAUCCUGCUGACGACGCCGAGGUGCUGUCUCAAGAGGCAUCGGGUCGAGGGGAGACAGUCCUGGAGGCACCUCAAGGCGACCUUCCGGACUCCGGGAGCCGAGGGGACGGGGCCCCUAAGAGCUUCGAGUUCGGCCCUCAGCCGAACACCGCGCUGGAACCUCCAGUGGUUCCGGGCUCGGUCAGGCGGCCUCCUUCUAAGAGGGGCAAGACACCUGUGCCGGUGACCUCUGUCUAUCCAGAGGCGCCGGACAAUCUGCUGGAAGCGCUUCGCAGCGCUUCCAUCGACGAGGAGCACCGCACUAUCAUGAGUGCGGCGAUCCAGAAAGUUUAGUCCGCCAAGAGCGGAUUGACUGAAGCCUGUGCCAGCCUUCUAACAGGCUUUGAGGUAAGUGUUUUAAAAUAUAGGAAAAAUACUACUGCAUAUAUAGUAGCCCCUGAUGCUUUGUUCGGUGUUCAGAAAGAAAAGCCGAACAGAGGAUCAAAUAAUAUCGCAGGACUCUAAUAUAAGUAUGUCAAUAUGCGUAUGCAAGCCUCACUGCUGGCAUCCGCCACACUGACUGCGGAGGUCGCCCUACUGAAGCAGGACCUCGAGAGGUCUAGGAGAGAGCUCGGCCUUGUCAAGAGGCAGCUCGAGGAGAACAAGGGUAAGUAAUACCUUGUCUUUAGAUAUGUAUAUAUAAAAGAAGAAGCGAUUGCAAAAUGACAGGAUCAUCGUACAUUCGCCAGGGGCCACGACCAAGGUGGCAACCCUCAAGCAAGCGCUAACCAAGGCCGAAGAUAACGCGGCCAAGGAGCGCACCGAGUGAGAGAAGCACGAGGCUCGGGUGGGCGAGGUGCAGCAAGAGCUCUAGGCUAUCAUGGUGAAGCACGAGGCAUUGGAGCUUGACUAAAAGACGCGAGAGUCUGAGCUUUCCGCGGCCCUCGAGAGCGCAAAAAGUGCCAAGGCCGAAGCCCAAAGGGGUCUCCAGGCGGGUAUGGCUUUCUAUAUGCAAAGCAAGCAUGUAAAAGUAAAUUACCGAUUACUUACUCGAAUCCGGAGCUCUCCAGGAGCAUUCGCAGAUUUUCCACGCAGCGUGUCCGAUGCCGCACAAUUUUACCAGGCCGAGGAUGGAAGCUCAAUGGAGAAGCUGUUCUGGUAUCAGUAUGCUGAGGCCGGACACCCGGUGCCAAUGAGCGACCAGCUGAAGCAGGUGGUCGAGCUACAUAAGGCGGCCGAUCAGGCCAUGAAGGGCUUUAUAGUCCGGCUGUGGCCUGGCGACGCCCUUCCGAACAGCUUCCUCGGCCUGGUGAGGCGGCUUGUGGAUGCCUGCCCGCGGCUGGAGGUCGUCAAGCGAUCUGUCUACAUUGAGGGUGCACGCCGGGCUUUCGCCCGUGUGAAAUUGCAGUGGGUCAAGCUAGACGCCGUGAAGCUGAUCAAGGAGGGGCCGCCGGAGGGCAAGGAGCACCGCCACCCCGAGAUGUACUACGAGGGUGUUCUGCUGGGUGCCCGUCUCAUAGCGGACGAGUGUUCAAAAGAUGUAAUAUUUGAGUGAGACUUGCUCGUUUUAUCCUGUAUUUAUGAAAACUUGUUUCAUAUGCACUAUGCAACGCUUGUUUGAAUUUAGAAUAUUACCUUCUGUUUGGCCGUUUAUCAAUCUGAGAGAUGGCUAGUCCUCAGCUUCUGCCCCCAUGCCACGAGUGCUGGGGUCUUCGGGAUAAACCUGAGCACUCUUGUUCCCAUAUUUGGGUCCUUGGAGGGAGGUGCUCAGCACAACGAACAAGGAAACCCGACUAAUAAUGCUUUAUCACUCUCACUUAGCGAUAGAAUUCUAUAAUUUUAAAUUUCGGCGAAGCCCCUGGUAUUCGGAAGGCCGAAUUCGGGGCGCGAUACACGCCUUUAAGCCGGACAGGGCCGGCCCCUCGCCCUAAGCGGCAUAAGUCUUUGGGGACUCGAUAACCUCGCCGAACAGCGAUCAGUCUCUCCCCUUAUCAUGACAGUCAGUUUUAGCUUUCUCUACUUAGGUGCCGAACCCAGCAAAACCGGGGCACAAUCGCAGUAGUUCUCCUAGCGCUACCUUAGCCGAUAGAGUGGAACGUAAGGUACCAAAACAUAGGAGCCGGGCAAACCCAACAUUUGACCAAAGACAUGAUUCGGAGCUGAUGCAUAUAAUGCUAUAAGUUUGGGGUGCCGCACUUGUGAAAGUGUUCGGACUUUUCACACCGUAUUGUGGGGUACGUAAGCCCCUGGUGUAUUGGCCGUACCAAAGUGUACGGUUGCAAGGCAUCAUUAAUGAACAUAUAUAUAUAUAUAUAUAUAUAUAUAUAACAAGAGUGCAAUAAUAGUCGUAAUGUCAUGCAUUGUUUAUUCAAAAAAUUACGUUAAAGUAGGGUGAUACAGAUAGUGUGAUAAGCAAAGAGUAGGACUAUGUCCCUUCCCAAGGCAAGCUAAGGAAUGAUAUUAAAUUGAAUAUUUCGCUCGUUACAGUAAUCCACCUAGGAAUUCCGUGGUGUGACGUAGCUAUCUGCCUCCUUGGUUGCUGCAUCGUGUGUUCGGCAAUAGUGCUGCCGGACAGUGUUUCCAGAGGUUAAUGUCCUGAAAAAAAGAGAAAAAUAACCAAACGGGAAGCCCCUAGUGCGGUUUAAGCCGCGUCUUGGGGCGUGCUGCAGUUGUGCCACCCUCCCCACCUGUGCCCAUGGUAUUUUUAAUGCGUAAUUAUGUACGCGUGGCAUGAGUUUCGUCGUUGGGCUGGGAUUGGGGUGGCCGCCUUAUUGCUACGCGAGCUCAGAUCGCGCAAGGCGGUCUAUUUGCCGAUUGCUCCGAGCGCGCUUGAAGGUGUCCGGGCUUUGAAGCGCCGGACUGGUUGAUUGCCUUGAGAGGCUGCUUUGCGCUUCUGCUGCGAGGGCCGCGGUGUGCUCCUCUGUUCGGAGAGAGCACUCUGUGUUUCCAUUGACUGUAAUAACUCCGCGAGGUCCUGACAUCUUGAGCUUGAGGUAUGCAUAGUGCGGUACCGCAUUGAAUCUAGCAAAUGCGGUUCGCUCGAGCAGCGCGUGGUAACCACUGCGGAAUGGGACUAUAUCGAAGAUUAGCUCUUCGCUUCGGAAGUUAUCCGGGGAUCCGAAGACCACUUCCAGUGUAAUUGAGCCUGUGCAAUGGGCCUCUACACCUGGAAUGAGGCCUUUAAAGGUCGUUUUUGUGGGUUUGAUCCUUGAGGGGUCUAUACCCAUUUUGCGCACUAUAUCCUGAUAAAGUAGGUUCAGGCUGCUGCCGCCAUCCAUAAGGACUCGAGUGAGGUGAAAUCCGUCAAUGAUUGGGUCUAGGACUAGUGCGGAAAAUCUACCAUGAUGGAUACUAGUGGGGUGGUCCCUUCGAUCGAAGGUGAUCGGAUAGGAGGACCAAGGGUUGAACUUUGGGGUGACUGGCUCGAACGCAUAUACGUCCAUGAGCGCACGCUUCCGCUCCCUCUUAGGGAUGUGGGUUGCGUAUAUCAUGUUCACCGUCUGCAGUUGCGGGGGAAACCUCUUCUGUCCUUCGAUGUGCGGCUGCCGGGGCUCCUCCUCGUCAUCGCUAUGCGGCCCCUUGUCCUUCUUUUCGGCAAUUAACUUGCGGGCCUGCUUGAACACCCAACAAUCCCUGUUGGUGUGAUUGGCUGGCUUGUCUAGGGUGCCGUGUAUUUGACACGAGCGAUCGAGUAUACGUUCCAAGCUGGAUGGACCUGGCGUACUUUGUUUGAAUGGCUUUUUCCGCUGACCGGGUUUAGAGCCUUUGAAUCCGGCAUUGACUGCCGUAUCCUCGGUAUUUUCGCUGUUAAUGCGGCGGUUAUGUUUGUUGUGACAUGACCUGCUAUUGCCAUCCUUGGUAUCGGAGGUACCAUGGUUCUUUGAUAUGUUAUUACUACGGGCCAGCCAGCUGUCUUCUCCCGCACAAAAGCGGGUCAUGAGCGUCGUGAGAGCUGCCAUAGAUUUCGGCUUUUCCUGACCAAGGUGCCAGGCUAGCCACUCGUCUCGGAUGUUGUGUCUGAAAGCCGCUAAGGCCUCUGCAUCCGGACAGUCGACGAUUUGAUUUUUCUUUGUGAGGAACCAAGUCCAGAAUUGCCUAGCCGACUCUUCUGGCUGCUGAAUUAUGUGGCUCAAGUCAUCGGCGUCUAGUGGUCGCACAUAAGUGCCCUGAAAGUUGUUGAGGAAUGCGGCUUCCAGAUCUUCCCAACAGCUAAUGGAGUCCGCUGGCAAGCUGUUAAGCCAAUGCCGCGCUGGUCCUUUGAGCUUUAGUGGAAGAUAUUUGAUGGCGUGUAAGUCAUCACCGUGGGCCAUGUGGAUGUGGAGGAGGAAAUCCUCGAUCGAUACUGCAGGAUCUGUUGUGCCGUCGUAUGAUUCAAUAUUUACAGGUUUGAAACCUUCUGGGAAUUGAUGAUCCAUUACUUCGUCUCUGAAGCAUAAGGGGUGUGCGGCGCCUCUGUAGUGGGCUAUAUCGCGACGCAGCUCGAAUGGGUCUUGCCCGCUGUGUUCGGCCCGGCCGGAUUUGCUUUUACUGUAUCCGGCGUGACAUUUAUCGUCUCGCAGAGUUGUGCGCCCUCGUGAUCCGUAGAUCGAUCUUGCAUGCUUUGCUUUGUCCUCCAAUAUAUCUCGCAGGUCUGGCGUAUCUCCCCAUGCCUUUUUAUUUGAAUGGCGUCGGGGUGGAGGCUGAGUUUUUGGCUGGACUGCCUCUCUAUCGCGGCCACGAGGUGGCCGAUCCGGGCAGUAACCUGCACUUUGGGUAAUUCUUGGAGGGGUGCUUGAGUUUAUAUUCCUCGGCCGCGAGGACUUCAGUCCAUCUGUUAGUUAAGAGAUCUUGAUCAGCUUGAAGCUGCUGCUGCUUUUUCUUUAGGCUAUUUUCCGUGGCCAUAAGCCGGUGCUUGAAGCGCUCUUGUUCGAUGGGAUCCUCUGGUACAUCGAAUUCAUCAUCGCCGAGGCUUGCCUCGUCUUCGGAGGCGGGCGUGUAAUUGUCAUCCUCCUCCUCUCCGUCUGCCGCUCUUUCAGGAGGGUUGGCUCCUCCAUCCUCCUGCUCUAAAUCUUGCUGGAGGGGAUUAUUGUUGUCUUCGGCACUAUCCGGAGUGUUAUUAUCUCCUGUGCCGGUAUCACCACUUUUGCUUUGGCGGGACUUAGAGCGGCGCCGCUGACAUCGGCGCUUGGGUUGCUUCUUGGAGAGGUCAUCCUCCGUUAUCUCGUCGCCAUUGCCUUCUUUGGGUGUAUCCACCAUGUAUAUGUCGUAUGAUGAUGUGGCUUUCGAGUGCCCUAUGGGCGCUGGUUCAUGUUCAUCUCCUACAUCGUCGUCCAUACCAUCGAUGUCUUCGGAGUCGAAGUCGAGCAUGUCGGUUAAAUUAUCGACAGUGGCUACGAAGUGGGUGGUGGGUGGGCAUCGAAUUUCUUCGUCGUCCGCCUCCCAAUCCUGUUGGCCAUAGUCCGGCCAGGGCUCUCCUGACAAAGAGAGAGACUUUAGUGAAUUCAGAAUGUCACCGAAGGACGAGUGCUGCAAGAUAUCAGCGGCGGCGAAUUCCAUGAUCGGCGCCCAGUCGGAUUCAAUUGGCAGGGGCGCGGACGGUUCGGAGUCCGGAAAAGAGUCCGGCACCUUGGAGUCACGGGCUUUGCAGAGGAUUAGGCUGGUGUUCAACUCGAUCACCGUUGAGACUGCAGCCCCUGAGGCGGUGUCUAGCCACCCGUCCUCGACUGGCGCAGUUGGCUCCGAGCUAAGGGUCAGAGCUGAUGCGGGCGCGGCCUCUGGGGUACUGUCCGGUGGUAGAGCUAGGUCAUACCCAUCGUGACAGUGCAGCGCGCCCGGCUGUGGCUUGAAUCCGUCGAAGAUCAAGUCUCCGAGGAUGUCGGCCGUGUAGUUCAAACUUCCAAAUCUGACCUGAUGGCCAGGGGUGUAGCUUUCAAUCUGCUCCAGAUGGCCAAGCGAAUUAGCCCGUAGUGCAAAGCCGCCGAACACUGGACCGCAUCGUUGUUCAUGAUCGGAGGAGCCAUCGGGCCUAAAGGUGACGACACCGAGGAAAUCUCAAUGGAAGCACCAAUGUCGGUGUCAAAUCCGGCGGAUCUCGGGUAGGGGGUCCCGAACUGUGCGUCUAGGCCGGAUGGUAACAGGAGGCAGGGGACACAAUGUUUUACCCAGGUUCGGGCCCUCUUGAUGGACGUAAAACCCUAUGUCCUUCUUGAUUAAUAUUGAUGAUAUGUGUAGUACAAGAGUAGAUCUACCACGAGAUCAGAGAGGCUAAACCCUAGAAGCUAGCCUAUGGUAUGAUUGUAUACGUCCUACGGACUAAAACCCUCCAGUUUAUAUAAACACCGGAGAGGGUUAGAGUUACACAAGGUCGGUUGCAAAGGAGGAGAUAUCCAUAUCCGUAUUGCCUAGCUUGCCUUCCACGCCAAGUAGAGUCCCAUCCGGACACGGGACGGAGUCUUCAAUCUUGUAUCUUUAUAGUCCAACAGUCCGGCUGUCCGGAGACCCCCUAAUCCAGGACUCCCUCACCCCCACUCCCUAUCGAACCCUAGCCCAAUCGCCCCACCUCCCCCACACCCCCUCGCCAGCCUCCCCACCUCUUGAUCCCAUCUGGAUCGGGGAGGGGAUCACCCCCAUCGACCCCGUCGCCGUCGCCGGAUCGCCCGUCAGCGUCGCCAGGCCUCCUCCCCGCCGCCCGUCUCCGGCUCGCCUCCCCUCUCGCUCCUCUUUCCCGACCCGAUCAGGAUCGUGAACGAGCAAUGAGCGCGACGCCCCCCCUUCAUCGGCGCCAUCACCGUGCGCCACCACCACCGCCUGAAGACCUCGCCGUCGCUGACCUUGUGUCGUCUCCUGGUAUCCCUUCCCGACUCGCGUCCUCAAGCCAGGCCGACCCCCUUCUCGGCAAUGCUGUGAGACGCCCCCCGUUUCCCUCCUCUUUCCACCGUGUUCACCGCGCCGCCUGACGAAGCUACGUACCUAGGGUAGGGGCAUGGACCUGUCCUAAGAGCCCUACCCAAGGACAUCCCUGGAAGAAGUCACCUUUCAAUCGACUUGAAGGUACCCACUCGACGGGUUUAAGACACUCGACCAAGAAGCUACCACUCGACAUGAAGCCAAUCACUCGACUGCCAGGAGAUCUAAAGUCAUUCCACGGGCAAACGGUCGGCUAUUAAGUAGUCUUUAUGGUCAUUAUAGCACUUUAUUACCAGCAUUACCAGUAACGCCCCGCCUUAAUGUACAUUGAACCCUUGGUAACGUAGGCUGGCCGGGGUCCUGGCGCGCUCUAUAUAAGUCACCCCCUCCUCCGAGACAAGGGUUCGCACCUCUAUUGUUCACAUGCCUAUAAUCCAAUCGACCGCCUCCGGGCACUGAGACGUAGGGCUGUUACUUCCUCCGCGAAGGGCCUGAACUCGUACACCUUGGUGUGUUUACAACUUCCCAAUAGCUGAGAUCUAGCCUCUCCAUACACACCCCCCUACAUCACUGUCAGAGUUAGAACCACAAUAGUUGGCGCCCACCGCGGGGCCAGAAUCUUAGCGCUUACUUGGAGAAGUUGCGAUUCUUCUGAUCCCUUUGAUCAUGGUUUCAUGCGGAGUUUUGGUGGAGGGGCGCGAGAUCCGUCUCGGCGCGCUCACAUUCAUCGCCGACGACUCCGCUUGGUUUCAGGAGGCUCCACUCGACAUCGACGUGCUCCCCGUCCGUGGUGCGACGCACUUCCGCGCAUGCGUUCGUGGCGUCCUCCUGCGGCAGCCGUCGACCCAGUAUCGGUCGGCCCUCGUGUCGUCUCCCCGCUCUGUCUCCCUCCGACGCAAGCGCUUUGGUAGGUCGAGACUUUAGAGGUGGGUGAGGCAUGCCGUGGCUCGCCAGUCGGCCGCCCCACAAGUCGCGGCAAUCGAGCCCGACAAAUCCCUCUGCAGCCUGUUCGACUGGCUCCGCGGAGACUUCAUCCGAGUGUGACAGCAGAGACCCAGCGGCUGAGGUUCUGGCGGUCGAUGGGACACACUGUCCUCCCGGUUUCCCUCGCGCUAAUGGAGGCGCGGGUGGGGGCGACCCGUCGCAUCCCCACGAUGAGUAUCUCCCCGAAUGUCUCACGGCAUCGCAGCGAGAGGAACUUCACCGCCGGAACAUAGACGCACUCCACACUCCUAUCGUCGGAGAAACCCCCGAGGCCCGGGCCUUGGAGGACGCGCGCUUGGCUAACUUGGCUGAGCGCACUCGACUGGAGAAUCUCCAGCUAAUACUCGAUGAGCAAGCGCGCCAGUGAGCUCCCGAGUCCAGUCGACGUCAGCUCUUUCCGCCGAUGCAGGUAUAUUGAACCCUAGUUCAGAAUUUGGCCGCCGCGGCCCGUAUAGCAGAGUCAAUUCAGCCCUCCCAGUCAGAGGCUGGCAGGGGCUUGUUGCAGAUCAGAGCAUUGCUCCGGGCGGCGGGGAACCAGAAUUCCGCUGUUUCUCAGUCGCAGAAUAGGAUCCACAGUCGAUCCGUUGCAACAGAUACAGUCCAGUCGGCUCACAGCCCGAGAUCGCCCCCGAGGCGUGAGGGACAUGGAGACCGGCACGAUCAGUACAGAAGAAAUGAGCAGUAUGAUCACCGAUUCGAUCGUGAGGAUCGACGUCGAGUGCCAACCCCUCCCCCGAGGAGUGGGUCAUAUGCGCCUCGAUAGCGAGAUGACAGGCGCCCUCAUAGUGUUGGGCAGAGGAUUCCAGUCGACCCCAGGGACCCAGGCUUUGAUGCGAGAUCCAUCCUUGAUCAAGGUCUGGUUGACAGGAACGGGGCUCACCGAGAAUGCCAGGACAGAGAUGCGCCUGCCAGCAGCAGAGUGCGUGUUUCAGGGACAGAGUGUUUCAGUCGAGCCAUCAGAGCCACAGUGAUUCCUCCCAACUUCAGGUUGGCGACUGGAGUCAGCUAGUUCACCGGUGAGUCUAAGCCUGACACUUGGCUCGAAGAUUACCGAGUGGCUGUACAGAUUGGCAGUGGCAAUGAUGAGGUGGACAUGAAGCAUUUGCCUCUCAUGUUAGAGGGCUCAGCCAGAGCAUGGCUAAAUCAGUUAGUGCCCAGCAGCAUUUACACUUGGGAGGACCUCUCCCGAGUGUUUGUCACAACCUUUGAGGGAACAUGCAAGCGACCUGCAGGCCUUACAGAGUUGCGGUCUUGCACGCAGAAACCGAAUGAAACGCUGAGGGAUUACAUCCAGAGGUGGAUCACAUUGCAUCACACAGUUGAGAAUGUUCCAGAUCAUCAAGCAGUUUGUGCCUUCAAAGAAGGCGUUAAGUACAGAGAAUUGAAUCUGAAGUUCGGUCGAACUGGAGAGAUGUCUCUGAAUCGGAUGAUGGAGAUUGCCACCAAAUACGCUAAUGGUGAAGACGAAGAUCGCCUCCGGAGUGGCAAGCGCAAGGCAGUCGCCCAAGAAACCGGAGGAAACUCCAGUCAGAAACAGAAGCGGAAGGCUGAGCCAGCCGCCCCUGGGGAGGCCCUGGCCGUAACCCAGGGAAAUUUCAAGGGAAAACCCAAGGGCCCCUGGAAGCCCAAGAAAGUCAAGGAUCAAGAUGGAAAUGAUGUUUUGGAUCUGCCAUGUCACUCCACACCAAGAAAGAUGAAGAGGGUAAUUUUAUUUACCCAAAGCAUACCACUCGACAGUGCCAGCUCCUGAUCCAGCAGUUUCAGGGCAAGCAACCCAAAGAUAAGGAAAAAGAGCCAGACAGAGUUGAGGACAAGGAUGAUAGUGACGAUGGAUACCCCCAAGUCAAUUCCACCCUGAUGAUUUUUGCUGAUGUCGAAAGCAAAAGUCGACUGAAAGUCAUUAAUCGUGAAGUGAAUAUGGUUGCUCCGGCAACACCUAGUUAUCUGAAGUGGUCUCAGGCUGCCAUAACAUUCGACCAGUCUGAUCACCCUACGCACAUUGCCACCCCUGGGAGGCAAGCUUUGGUGGUCGACCCAGUUGUCGAAGGCACUCGACUGACCAAAGUCCUGAUGGAUGGUGGCAGUGGCCUGAACAUACUGUAUGCUAAAACAUUGAAAGGGAUGGGCAUUCCGAUGUCCGGGCUCAGUACCAGCAACAUGAGCUUCCACGGAGUCAUUCCCGGGAAGUAAGCCGAAUCACUCGGCCAGAUUGCUCUUGAUGUGGUUUUCGGUGAUUCAAAGACUUACCGCAAGGAAAAGUUGACAUUCGAGGUUGUGGACUUCCAAAGUGCUUAUCAUGCCAUUUUGGGCAGACCAGCUUAUGCACGCUUCAUGGCCUGACCAUGUUAUGUGUAUCUCAAAUUGAAGAUGCCUGGUCCUAAAGGUGUGAUCACUGUUACAGGCAAUCGGAAGAAGGCAGAAGAGUGUUUUCAGAAAGGCUCAAAGAUUGCUGACGCUCAGAUGGCAGUGGUUGAGCUGCAAGAGUAUCAGAAGACUGCAGAUCCGAGUGAGUUGCUACGAGCUAAGAAGCCCACUUCGGAGUCAGCUUUUCAGUAGUCUGGUGAAAUGAAGGCAGUUCACAUUCACCCGACCAACCCCGAGGCUGCCCCGACUCACAUCUCAAAGACGCUCGACUCCAAAUAGGAAGAAGUGCUCAUCCAGUUCCUCCGUGAGAACUGGGACAUCUUCGCAUGGAAGCCUUCUGACAUGCCUGGAAUAACCAGGGGGCUGGCUGAGCACCGUCUACGAGUCGACCCAAAGUUCAAGCCUAUGAAAGAACAUCUUCGACGGUCCGCCGUCCAAAAGAGGAAAGCUAUUGGCGAGGAGGUGGCUCGGCUCUUAGCAGCAGAGUUCAUCCGAGAGAUGUACCACUCUGAGUGGCUCGCCAAUGUUGUCAUGGUCCCCAAGAAGGACAAGUCGCUUCGCAUAUGCAUCGACUUUAAACAUAUCAAUCGGGCCUGCCCGAAAGAUCAUUUUCCUCUCCCUCGCAUCGACCAAAUAGUCGACUUGACCGCGGGGUGUGAGCGAUUGUCUUUUCUAGACGGCUAUUCCGGGUACCAUCAGAUCCGUCUGUAUGGACCCGAUGAGAUCAAAACAGCUUUCAUCACUCCAUUCGGGUGCUUCCGUUAUGUCACCAUGCCCUUCGGCCUCAAGAACGCUGGAGCCACGUUCAUGAGGAUGAUUCAGAAGUGUUUGCUCACUCAAAUCAGUCGGAACGUGGAAGCAUACAUGGAUGAUAUUGUGGUCAAGUCGCGGAAAGGUUCCGACCUGCUGACUGACCUUGCUGCAACCUUUGCCAACCUUAGGAGGUAUGAUAUCAAGCUUAAUCCAUCAAACUGCACAUUCGGAGUUCCGGGUGGAAAGUUACUCGGUUUUCUCGUUUCCGAAUGAGGAAUCAACGCCAAUCCCGAGAAAGUUGGCACCAUACUCCGGAUGAAGCGCCCUGUGCGUGUGCACGAUGUCCAGAAGCUUAUGGGUUGCUUGGCCGCUCUAAGUCGAUUCAUUUCUCGUCUCAGUGAAAAGGCAUUGCCUCUUUACCGACUGAUGAAGAAGUCUGACAAGUUCGAGUGGACUCCAGAAGCUGAUGCAGCGUUUGCAGACCUCAAAGCUCUGCUCUCCACCCAGCCGGUGCUUGCUGCCCCAAUCAGUAAAGAGCCUUUGCUGCUUUACAUUGCAGCCACAGGACAAGUUGUCAGUACAGUACUUAUGGUCGAGCGGGAAGAUGAAGGAUAGGCCUUCAGAGUUCAACGCCCAGUAUAUUAUGUGUCUGAAGUUUUGACACCUUCAAAACAAAGAUAUCCUCAUUAUCAGAAGCUUGUAUACGGGAUUUAUAUGACCACGAAGAAGGUUGCACAUUACUUCUCUGACCACUCCAUUACAGUCGUCAGCGACGCCCCACUGUCAGAGAUUCUGCAUAACAGAGAUGCAACUGGUCGAGUGGCGAAGUGGGCGAUUGAACUCCUUCCCCUAGAUAUCAAGUUUGAAGCAAAUAAGGCUAUCAAGUCCCAAGCAAUUGCAGAUUUCAUCACCGAGUGGAUCGAACAGCAGCUUCCGACUCAAGUUCACCCGGAGCACUGGACCAUGUUCUUCGAUGGAUCUAAGAUGCUGAAUGGUUCCGGUGCUGGGGUAGUAUUGGUCUCCCCCCGAGGAGAUAAGCUCAGAUAUGUUCUCCAGAUUCACUUUGAUUCCUCCAAUAAUGAAGCAGAAUAUGAAGCACUUUUGUAUGGGUUGCGCAUGGCCAUUUCACUUGGCGUCCGUCGCCUCAUGGUCUAUGGCGACUCAGAUUUGGUGGUUAAUCAGGCGAUGAAGGAGUGAGACGUCAGAAGUCCGGCAAUGACUGGUUAUUGCAAUGUAGUGAGAAAGCUAGAAAAGAAAUUCGAGGGGUUAGAGCUUCAUCACAUCCCCCGACUGAAAAAUCAGGUAGCUGACGAUUUGGCAAAGAUAGGCCCCAAGAGAGAAGCCAUUCCCAGCAACGUGUUCCUGGAACACAUUCAUUCGCCAUCAGUCCAAGAAGAUCCUUUUACAGAAGAAGCCCCGCAGCCGAAAAGUGCCACAGAUCCGACUGAAGUCGAAGUCCCUGCUGUGGUCGACCUAAUCAUGGAAGUCUUCGCAAUCACUCCCGACUGGACGAUACCGUACAUCGCGUAUAUCCUAAGGAAAGAACUCCCGGAGGACGAGGAAGAGGCUCGACAGAUCGUCCGCCGAUCCAAAGCCUUCACAGUCACAAGGGGACAGUUGUAUAGAGAAAGCGCGACUGGGAUCGGUCAGAAGUGCAUAACACUAGAAGAGGUUCAGAUAAUCCUUGACGACAUCCACUCGCGGACCUGUGGUCACCAUGCGUCUUCUCGGACCAUUGUGGCUAAAGCAUACCGAGCGGGAUUUUACUGGCCAAGAGCAAAUGAGAUGGCAAAAGAGAUAGUCGACCAGUGUGGAGGGUGCUAGUUCUACUCCAACAUGUCACACAAGCCUGCGUCAGCCCUGAAGACCAUUCCACUCGUCUGGCCCUUUGCUGUCUGGGGACUGGACAUGGUUGGUCCACUAAGAACAGGCAGGAGCGGUUUCACUCAUGUGCUUGUGGUAGUCGACAAGUUUACCAAAUGGAUUGAGGCUAAGCGCAUCAAGAAUCUUGAUGCUUGCACUACUAUCAGUUUCGUCAGAGGGCUAACAUUCAGAUAUGGAGUCCCGCAUAGCAUCAUCACUGACAAUGGGUCAAACUUUGAUUCGGACAAGUUCAGAGCUUUUUGCGCCUCUCAAGGCACACGAGUCGACUACGCAUCGGUCGCCCAUCCCCAGUCGAAUGGACAAGCAGAGAGAGCAAAUGGUUUGAUUCUCAAAGGACUAAAGCCUCGACUGAUGCGCGAUCUCAAGCACGCGGCAGGUGCUUAGGUCGACGAGCUUCCGUCAGUUCUGUGGGGAUUGAGGACCACCCCGAACCGGUCGACUGGAGGAACUCCAUUCUUUCUGGUUUAUGGAGCCGAGGCAGUUCUGCCGAGUGAUCUUCUUCACAACGCACCCCGAGUCGAACUUUAUACCGAAGAUGAAGCAGAACAAGCCCGGCAAGACGCAGUCGACCUACUAGAAGAAGAGAGGGAGAUGGCCAUGAUCAGAUCGACCAUUUAUCAGCAAGACUUGCGUCGAUUCCACGCUAGGAAUGUGAAGAGUCGAGCCUUCCAAGAAGGAGAUUUGGUCCUCCUAGUGGAUCAACAGAAACCACACAAGCUUGCUCCUACUUGGGAAGGCCCCUUCAUCGUCACCAGAGUCCUCCACAAUGGAGCGUAUCACCUCUACAAUGUUGAUCGCCAGAUCGAUGAGCCGCGAGCUUGGAAUGCGGAACUGCUCCGCCCCUUUUACACUUGAGUUCUCCCUUGGACGAGAUGUAAUAAGAAAAAAUUUCUGCAGUUCAUUUUUAUCAAAGGCAAGAGUGUUCCAAUAAUUGCUGUCACUUUUGUUUGCAUACGAAAUCCCCCAGUGGGUGACUUAGCUGCGAAUCCGUUUCGCCUAAGUUUGAAAAAUCCUACCGAGUGGAGAGCCAGAUUCCCACUCGGGGGCUUAGCUCCAGCCCAGUGCUUGCCUAAGUGUUCAAAAAUCCUACCAAGUGAGAGCAAUCCUCCCACUUGGGGGCUUAGCUGCAGUCCAGUACUCGCCUAAGUUCUCCCACUUAGAGACUUAGCUGCAGUCAGGCACUCGCCUAAGUUUGAAAAAAUCCUACCGAGUGGAGAGCAAUCCUCCCACUCGAGGGCUUAGCUGCAGUCCAGUACUCGCCUAAGUUCUCCCACUUAGAGACUUAGCUACAGUCAGGCACUCGCCUAAGUUUGAAAAAAUCCUACCGAGUGGAGAGCAACCCUCCGACUCGGGGGCUUAGCUGCAGUCCAGUACUCACCAAAGUUCUCCCACUUAGAGACUUAGCUANNNNNNNNNNNNNNNNNNNNNNNNNNNNNNNNNNNNNNNNNNNNNNNNNNNNNNNNNNNNNNNNNNNNNNNNNNNNNNNNNNNNNNNNNNNNNNNNNNNNNNNNNNNNNNNNNNNNNNNNNNNNNNNNNNNNNNNNNNNNNNNNNNNNNNNNNNNNNNNNNNNNNNNNNNNNNNNNNNNNNNNNNNNNNNNNNNNNNNNNNNNNNNNNNNNNNCUCUCCUUCCGAGCUACGCCACAAGUACAACAUGCGCUCUGCAAGGAGGACGAGGUGCAGGUCGACUGCUACCCUCUCCUUCCGAGCUACGCCACCAAUUCAAAAUCCUACUGAGUGGAGAGCAAACCUCCCACUCGGGGGCUUAGCUGCAGCCCAGUGCUCGCCUAAGUAUUUGAAAUCCUACCGAGUGGAGAGCAAACCUCCCACUCAGGGGCUUAGCUGCAGCNNNNNNNNNNNNNNNNNNNNNNNNNNNNNNNNNNNNNNNNNNNNNNNNNNNNNNNNNNNNNNNNNNNNNNNNNNNNNNNNAAAUCCUACCGAGUGGAGAGCAAACCUCCCACUCGGGGGCUUAGCUACAGCCCAGUGCUCGCCUAAGUAUUUAAAAAUCCUACCGAGUGGAGAGGAAACCUCCCACUCGGGGGCUUAGCUGCAGCCCAGUGCUCGCCUAUGUGUUUAGAAAUCCUACCGAGUGGAGAGCAAACCUCCCACUCGGGGGCUUAGCUGCAGCCCAGUGCUCGCCUAAGUGUUUAGAAAUCCUACCGAGUGGAGAGCAAACCUCCCACUCGGGGGCUUAGCUGCAGCCCAGUGCUCGCCUAAGUGUUUAGAAAUCCUACCGAGUGGAGAGCAAACCUCCCACUCGGGGGCUUAGCUGCAGCCCAGUGGUCGCCUAAGUGUUUAAAAAUCCUACCGAGUGGAGAGCCAGACUCCCACUCGGGGGCUUAGCUGCAGCCUAGCGCUCGCCUAAGUGUUUAAAAAUCCUACCGAGUGAGAGCAAACCCCUCACUCGGAGGGCUUAGCUGCAGCCCGGUGCUCACCUAAGUACAGGACACAACCCAAUCCGCAAGAAGUUACGCCACAAAUACAAGGUUAUUCCGAGUGAAGAUCAAGUUGCACUCGACAGAUCAAACCAUGAAGAUAUCCAACGAGAAAUCAAGUUCGGAUAAAGCCUAAAGGUCCCAGACCUCAGAUCAAAGUACUCGAGCCCUCGGCUCGGCAGAGUUUAACGGUUACAAAUCCACUCAGCAUUCCGAGGCAAAUUUAAAGUGAAGCACGACGAACUCGUCCAAGUCGAUCCCGUCUGCAAUACGAGUGGCAGCAGCGAUGAAAGUCUCCAUGAAGUCUUGAAAGCUGUGCUUCCUGGUAUUGGCAACUUGGAUGGCGGCCGGCUUUUCUUCUCGCGCCUCCUUGCAAUGGACGCGGACCAGAGACAGAGCGACAUCAGCACCACAUCUAGCAGAAGAUUUCUUCCAUUCCGCCACUCAACCCGGGACUUCAUUCUGUCGAGCCAUCAGAGACUCGAGGUCGUUCUGAAGCAUCAUCCCAGGCCAGAGUGAUGUGUCAAUCCGCGACAUCGCAACCUUCAGUCGAGCAAGAUAGUCAACAACACUGGUAACACGAGACUCCAGUCGGAGCACGUUCAUAGCAGCUUCAUCCUUCACGAGAGAAUUGGCGGGGUCCAAGCCUGGCUCCACUCGACUGGUUUCCUCUUCGAAGUUCUGGCAGAAUUCUGCAAACACGAUUCAAGAGUCAGACAUUGGCUCUACACAGGCUUGGCAACUGCAAGACAGUCGGGGCAGAGUAAUUACCUUCGAGCAUGACGAACAGCUUCUUGGUGAGUCCACCGAGAUAAGCCUCCAGAUCAUUUACCUUCCCCGCCAGCUUACCCGCCUGGUCGUGUAGAACCAUCUUUUCAUUCUUCAGUCGGCUGACCUCUUGAUUAGCUGUCUCGAGAGCAGUUUUCAGCCUCGAGUUCUCCUGUUCAAGAGUUCCGACCGAAGCCAUUUUCUCUUCUCCAAGCUUCGUUCUGCUCAAGGCCUCCUUCUGUGAUUCUGCAAGAUCUUGAUCCUUCUUCUUCAGAGCUUCUUCCAGUUUAUCUGCGGCACGUCGAGUGAAAUCAACAUCAAGAAUGGACAAGCAAGAAAAAUCACUCGUCAAGAAUGGAGAACCUCACCAGCCAUACCUUUUGCUUCUUCUUGCGCCUUCCUCAAAUUCUCUUGAGCAAGCUUCAAGUUAAGGUUGAGCUGGAUCUGCUUAUUCUCCAACUCAGUAUAGCGAGCUACAAGUUCACAGGAUUUCUGCAAAAAGAAAAAUCAGUGGACAGACGUCCAAGAUAAGUUGCUUCCCAAUAACUAAAAGACAACGAUGGCGUUUCUAAGACUAUAGCCGAAUCUAAAACAUUCGACAGUAGUCUCGGGGACUACACCCAGUGGGUGCACUCUGCGUGCCCCCAUUGUAAAAAAAGUCGACUGCCCGCAGUCGACCGGAUACAGUUCCAUUCGACAUGGCCUGACCAGACCGAAUGAAGAAAUACAGCUACAACAACACAAUAUAAAGACUACAGUCGACUGCCAGCAGUCCACCAUAGUCUCGGGGACUACACCCAGUGGGUGCACUUAGCGUUCCCCCACUCGUCCAAGAAUUGGCAGACACACCCAGUGGGUGUACAGAUAUAAAGAUCUUCAAAAAAAAAGAUUCUUCAAACAGCAUAUCGUAACAGACCAAGUGUUGAGUCGACUGACCUGGACGUUACUCUGAAGAGCCGAACUCGCGUCAUAAGCCGCUUGGCUGGCCUCCCAAGCCGCUUUCACUUGUUCCAUCAUAAUCCCCGCCUGGCGUAUGGCCUCUUUUGCAGCAGCUGCUUGGUCCUCAGGGACGGGGUACGUGGCAAAAAGCGAAGGCGGAUCCGCAGUCGACGUCAAGGGCCGCACCCUCGUCAGAGGAAUGGCGAAAGUCACAGAAGCCCGAGUGGUUUCACCACCGUCUCGGGCUACGGCCUCAGGCGCCGGAGUGGAUUGUGGGGUCUCGCCAGCCGACGCUCCCCUGUUCCUUCUCACUCUCAGCGGCACGUCAUCGUCGUCAUCCGGAAGGUUGAUAACAUGAUAAGGAGCUACAAGAAAAAAUUCAAUCGACCAGAGUUGCAAUAAGUGUCCAGUCGACUGAAGGCAGAACAUCAGUAAUCAUACCAGGGUGGAGGUAACAGCAUCCUCCAUCUCUUGGUCGUCGUCCUUGGCAGAGACCUCCGAAGUAGGAGCACUGCAAAUCUCGAAAGUCAGUCAGUUGGCUCAAUGAAUCGACCAAGGAUCUGUCCACGGUCGACAAAGGAAAACAAGUUUUGUUAUUACCCAGAAAUGGUGGGGACAGCCAUCUUCAUCUUGGGCAGAGCCUUGGGCGGCUUGGACGGCGUCGCGCGUGGGUGCUUGGGAGCCUUUCCAGUCAGCGUAGGAGAAGAGGUUCGAGGGCGUUUCGACAACUGCCCAACAGGAGCAGUCGCCUACCACGUUCCCGCGCUGGAUCAUGUGUGAGCUUGGAUCGCCUCUCCCGGUGGGGGGGGGGGGGGGGUCAACCUCCUCCUCCUCCUCUUCGCUGGAGUUGACGUCGUCGUCUCCCUCUCCUUCGCCAUCGGACUCCCACUCGCCUUGAUCGUCUCCACUCUCACAUCCGCUCGCCUCCCCUUCCUCAGUUGGCUCCUGUGCCCCGUUGGGUGUCGAGUACAUCUCAGUAGUCGCCUGGAAAACAACAGACAAGACAAAAGUUAGUCGACCAAUUCAAAGAAGACCAAUGAAGAAAACAAGAUUUCAAUCGGGAGCGUAAAGUCAGACCUGGUCCACUUCGUAUUGUUGUCGAGUGGAGAAACCCUCCUGGCGCCUCGGGGGUUGUCUUUGUUUCCUGUGAUGCUCGUCAGCCACCCCUCCAACAUCUCAUCAGUGACCUCCUCCGGGUGGAUCCGAGUGGUGUCUUCGAGGCCCGAGUACAGCCACAUCGGGUGGCCGCGAGCCUGGAGCGGUUGGAUGCGCCUCCGAAGAAAGACCUCCAGCAAGUCCAUGCCAGUCACGCCAUCACGGACGAGCUGAACCACUCGACCAACCAGCACUUUGAAUUGGGUCUUUUCUUCUGGCGUCACUUUCAGAGAAGCAGGUUUUUGAGCUCGGUCGAGAGAGAAAUGGGGAAGCCCGGUCGACUGUCCUGGGGUCACCUGGUCUUUGCAGUAAAACCAGGUCGCCUGCCAACCACGGACCGACUCUGGGAAAAUGAUAGAUGGAAAACAACUCUUUCCCCUCGUCUGGAUCGCGAGGCCCCCGCACAGCUGGAUCACUUGCGUCCUUUCCUCACUCGACUUGGCCUUCUUGACCGAUUGGGAGCGGCAAGUAAAGAUGUGCUUAAAGAGCCCCCAAUGGGGGCGGCAACCCAGGAAACCCUCACACAAGGAAAUGAAGGUAGCAAGGUACACGAUAGAGUUGGGAGUGAAGUGGUGGAGCUGCGCUCCGAAGAAAUUUAGAAAACUCCGGAAAAAAGGAUGAGGAGGCAGAGAAAACCCUCGAUCGAUGUGGGUGGUGAGAAGGACACACUCACCAUCACGGGGUUGAGGCUCGACUUCUCCCCCCUGGAGACGCGCAGCCUCGUAAGGAAUGACUCCCCCCUCAACCAUAUCGUCGAGGUCUUCCUGCCGAAUCACCGACGGCAUCCAAUCGCCCUGGAUCCAGCCUCUGGGCAGAGCAGUCCUUGAGGAAGAUCCGCCCCAAGCGGACUUCUUCCCUUUCCCCUGCACCGACGCCUUCUUCGCGCGCUCCAGAGCAGACGUCUUGCCCUUCACCAUCGUCGCCGGCGAAUCUCAAACGGGUCUGCGGCGCUAGGGUGAGAGCGGAGGUGGCGGAGGACUUCGCGAAGGGAGAAAGAAGAGAAAGAAGAGAAAGGAGAGAGCACUGUUCGGGAACCCGAGCAGGCGGCUUAUAAGAGGCCGCUCCUGAGUGGCUGACUGGUAGGCCCAGGCUAUCCCGUCAAAUCCCGCAGUAGACGCGCGCGCAGCUCGUGGCGGAAAAGGUGGCACGGGAAUCGAGGAGCUUCUGCCUUAUCACAUCCGAUUACUGCGGCCGCGCCCGUCCCGCUCGCUCCCCGAUGUUCAAAUCCCGCGAAAUCCGCGGGCUGCGGAACAACUCAUCAAAUAGAAGAUCCCUCUCGUGCCGGCACUCGGUAUUUCACAAGUAAGGAAAUUCACUCGACGGGAGACCAAGAAUGGAUCAAGGCGACCGAAAGAAGUUGACAACGUCAUCCUUGGCGAUAGAUCUAGUACAAGACGUCCAUAUGACGCUAAAAACCAGUCGGAAGGACCCCCAACUCCUUCCCCACUCGAACCUCGAUCCAUUCGGGGGCUAAUGACGAAGCUACGUACCUAGGGUAGGGGGAUGGACCUGUCCUAAGAGCCCUACCCAAGGACAUCCCUGGAAGAAGUCACCUUUCAAUCGACUUGAAGGUACCCACUCGACGGGUUUAAGACACUCGACCAAGAAGCUACCACUCGACACGAAGCCAAUCACUCGACUGCCAGGAGAUCUAAAGUCAUUCCACGGGCAAACGGUCGGCUAUUAAGUAGUCUUUAUGGUCAUUAUAGCACUUUAUUACCAGCGUUACCAGUAACGCCCCGCCUUAAUGUACAUUGAACCCUUGGUAACGUAGGCUGGCCGGGGUCCUGGCGCGCUCUAUAUAAGCCACCCCCUCCUCCGAGACAAGGGUUCGCACCUCUGUUAUUCACACGCCUAUAAUCCAAUCGACCGCCUCCGGGCACCGAGACGUAGGGCUGUUACUUCCUCCGCGAAGGGCCUGAACUCGUACACCUUGUUGUGUUUACAACUUCCCAAUAGCUGAGAUCUAGCCUCUCCAUACACACCCCCAACAUCACUGUCAGAGUUAGAACCACGACACCGCCUGCCGUGCCCCUCGCCGCACGCCCACCACCGCGCCAGCCCCCACUCUGUGGACGACCCUAGCCGCGCCCGCGCCGUGAUCCCCUUUUCCGCCCUACCUUCCCGCACUCGCCGCGGUCCCGAUGCUCCCCCGCGCCCUCUUUCAGGGGCGCCGACUGCCCCUGUCCCAUUACUCGCCGCCGCGCCUCGCCACCGCUCUACUGCUACGUUACUACUGCGCUGCGGCCGCCGCCUCUUCCCGCUGCUCCGCUAGCGCCGAAGCUCCCGGCUGGCUCUGCCACUGGUCACGUUUAACUACCGGUCUAAAUGGCCUAACCUCCCGGCAAAUGAACCCCCAGUAACCCACUGACACCGGGAGCCACAUCCCCUAAUUAACCAUUAAUAAAUUAAAACUCUUAAAUUAACAUUAGUGUAUGACAUGUGCGUCCCCUGUUAAUUAAUAAUUUACAUUAGUGUAUGACAUGUGCGUACCCUGUUAAAUAAACUGAUUUAAUUAAAAUCUAUUAACUUCGAGUCUAUGACAUAUCACUACUUGGGAAAAUCCUAGCAGUAGCGUGGGUAUUUUUCCUAUCAGUUGCGCCGGAUACCGCUCUACUGAUAAGGCACUACAGCUAACAUGUAGCAGUAAUGCGUGUCAUCCAACGCUACUGCUGUACAUGGCUAGCAGUAGCGAGCUUUAGUGCAAAGCGCUGCUGCUAAUAUCUGCAGCGCUUUUCAGCAUGAAGUGAUACUGGUAAGGGACCUCUACUACUAACUUUAUUCCCCUCGCUACUGCUAGUUUUAUUAGUUUCUGUUUUUUUCUGCAUAUUUCUUUUGUAUUUGAACAGGCUUUAUACAAUAAUAUUUAGCGUAUCAUACACAUACAAAUGUAAUCAUAGCAUAUACAUACAAAUAGUCUCGUCAAAUCAUGUCAUCAUCAUAAUCAUCAUCCAUCACAAAGUGGUCUCUCGUCAUCAUCUCUAAAAUAGCGAUACAAGUCUCGAUUACUUGCAACUACAUUGUCAUCCGUCUAAACAAUGAUAUACGCGAGAAGAGCUAUCACUAUGAGUGAGAGCGGAACUAUGCAGUACAUGAGUUUGUAUCCCUCUCUCGCAUUAGCGUGAACCUAAACUAACUACUAGUUGUCGCUCGGAAACCAGAAACCGGUACACCUGGGCCUGACACUCCGUCCACUCAUCUUAUACUCCUGGCGUAGCACUUCUGUGCCAUCGAUGAUCUAUGCACCUGCAUCGUCACAUGAGUCGAUGAUAUGCAACAUAUAUAGUUGAGCAAUAGAAACAGACAGACUUGGCAAAAAUAGAAGCAACAUAUCAUAAGCAUAAAUAACAAAGUUCAUCAUACCCAAAAUGCCCUAACUAGAGUGAUCUUCGCUAGUCGAGGAGGACGGUUUAAUUACAUCACAAAUAAUGUUUCAUCUUGCAUAACUCAAAGUGCCAUCAUACAGAAAGUAUGAACUAAACGGACACAUUGUCAUAUGUCGACAAUCACUCCAACAUGUCGUGCCAUCGAUCCAAGUCAAGGAGAUAGUCCCCGAGCUUAGUGAAAGGCUUCAGGUUGAGACGCUGAGCGGCAACGCGUGUUCGGACGUCUUCCCUCGACAUUUUUCCUUCUUCAUAGAACAUCCCUGUUUUUUCGAUGACCUCCCUCAUGAUGAUUUGGGCAAGUUCGCACUGGAAGUGAUAGAACUCAUCUUGAAGUCGAUGAUCCUCGAUAUCUCCUAAGUUCUUUGCCCAUUGCAGAAUAUGGGCAUCGCCGAAUCUAGGUGUCAUGCAAAGGUUCUGGUGAUCCCGUAUGUACUCCAUCAUGUGGUGUAGGACAUAGAAUCCAUCAUUAAGAGAAUCACUCAGUUGCUGGAUACAGCAGAAGCCGGUCUUAUGGCCGAAGGCGGGCCUGCCGUCCCUUUUCUUCUUGUCCUUGACCUCUCCACCCCGUGCACCGUAGUAAAACAUAGCACCGUCGAGAACAUACUUGAUGUGGGUGUAAUCCUUUUUUUUAAUGUUCUUCGAUGAGUCCAAGUAAAGAGCGUGGGAGUAUCGGGGGUAGAGGAUGAUGAGGAUGGUGCACCCGCCGCUGCGCAAAAUAAGUACACCUCAAAUUAAUUAGCCUCCACCGUGCAAAUGAAUGAUUGAAAUCGUAGGAAGGAUAUCCGCGUGGAUGACUUACAGGGGAUGAUAAGGCACAAGAAUCACCUCCUUGUCCUUAUUGGCACGCAUGAAAUUGACGAUGUAUUCCUCGCGUAUUCACGGUGCUUUGCGUGGACUCACAAGAAGACCUCGUGCAUGAAGUACCGAUCAGUGACACAGAUAUGAGGUAUUUGCUCAACCCCGAUGAGGUAGUUCAUGUGCAAGGCAUAAAGGUGGACGAAUGUAAAAUCCAGCUUCUUUAAGUGAAACAUGUCGAAGAUGUAAUCCAAUCGAAGGAAGAACUUGUUCGAGGGGAAUGUGUCGAUGUACGACAAUUGCAGCGACACGUUAACCACGGAGAGUGGGUAUGCUGGAUUUUUUGAGGCAAUGAGGCCUUUCUCUAUCAGCAACACAUCAUCAUGAAGUCUCCUUAUAUCGCCAAAUCAGGCCCCUAGCGCUGCUUUAGGUAGGAUUGGUUAACCGGGGAUACGCCAUAUUGCCGCACCGAGGAUAUCUAUACGGUCUUGAACCCGAGCCUGCUGAGGUGGCUGGAUCAUAGAAGCACCUUUGUUUCCUUUCCUCGGUGUCUUCCUUGGCUUCUUUGCUACCGGAAAGUCGUCUAUAAUAUGUUCAGCCUCUGGAGGCGGCAAUUCAGGCACCAACUCAUGCGCUCAAACCCUGAGUAGGCGCCAGUAUUGAGGUAUUGUUGAAUGUCAUCGUCGUCCUCAUCUAUGGCGAUGUCACUAGCGACAAAUCGAGCCUCUUCCUCACCCCGUCCGCUAUCACCCAGCACGACAGCCGACGCUAAUUGGGUAGGUGGGGUGUUGAUGUUCGUACCUAACUGCGUGCUCGUGUGUGUGCUCCCGGCCGCCUCCAGACAAAGCAGACUCUUUGACCACAACAGGACCCACCCAUUGCAACCACCAAGCCGCUGCGGGGUCUCGUCGUCAUCCCCUAGUAUCGGAGGAGCCAAAUUCUCGUGGCCCGGUUUGACACUGGCCACGAAAACUUUGAAGACAUACGGGGGGAUUGGUCGGCCAUGGAACAAUGGUUCCUUCGGCUUCAUUACCGUCACCUUCCCCACGUCCACCUUUUGGUCGCCGAUGUUGUACAAUAUGGUGCACGGGGUUACAUCGGCCUGCAAAGACACCGUGAGAUUAUACAUUUAUGGAAGAGGGCCGGUGUGACAGAUACCGUGAGGGCGUCGAGCUCAGCCAAAGACGAAGGACAGCUGAGCACGGCCGGUGUGGGAGCCGGUGUGGGAGCCGGUGCAGGUGCAGGUGCUGGUGCAUCGCUAGUCGUGCUACUCCCGAAGAAGUCAACAAUGGGAAAGUCCGCUGCAUUUUUUCUGGAUUUUGCAUGCUCCAAUUGAAAACGGCUGGAACCAAGACAAUAGACAUAUCUGCAACCACCUGUUUUGCGGCAGCUACCGUUAUCGUGACAGUCUCAGAUGAUUUCUUCUCUACUGCAAUCUCAACCUUCUUGUCGAUGUUUUCUUCAGUUAACCUCCAUCUUUCCUUUCUCUCCUCCGUGGUCUCACGGUAGCACUUCUUCCACGUGGCCCCGUCUCCGACACCGUGAACGCGUCCAUACGACGACCGAGUCUCCACUGGGAGUCCUUUCAAUAUGUUCAAUGCCCGGUUGAAUGGAGUGUCCCACUUGGGCCUCGCCAACGCCUCAGACGGCGAGUCUCUUUCGGUCGCAAUCUUGUGCUGCUCUCUCUACAAAAGGAACAAGGAUCAUUUACAAAUAUGACUAAACGUGCAGUCGAAUUGAUCAGAAACUAAAAUUACCAGCAGUCUCAUGAACUCCGUCGUGAUCGGGUCCGUCUUGAAAACCUUCUUGACCGAGUGCCAAUGGUGCCGUGCCCUGAGGACGUCAUGCUCCUACAGGACGGUGAAGUCCGCCAAGGGGUCUAGGAUGCCAGACUUUCGCGUUUCGUGUCCUCCUUGGCCCAUAUGGACCUCUUCCUGCUGUAACCACGGCUUCCGAGGUGGCGGUGCCCCAUGUUCCUUUGUUGAAACCCCUUCAUGUACUUUGACUUUGUUUUGGCAGUUUCAGCCUCGCAAGCCGCCUUGAAUAUUUCAAAGUGCUCUCCCGUGAUUGUCGGAUUAUCCUUUACAAUCUCGGAGUAGGGUUGAUACGUCUCCAAUGUAUCUAUUAUUUUUGAUUGCUCCAUGCUAUAUUAUCUACUGUUUUGGACAUUAUUGGGCUUUAUUAUCUACUUUUAUAUUAUAAUUUGGACUAACCUAUUAACCGGAGGCCCGAGCCCAGAAUUGCUGUUUUUUUGCCUGUCUUAGGGUUUCAAAGAAAAGGAAUAUCAAACGGAGUCCAAACGGAAUGAAACCUUCGGGAACGUGAUUUUCUCAACGAACAAGACCCAGGAGACUUUGACCCUACAUCAAGACACAAGGCGAAUCAUGUACGUAGCCACUAGUGAAACAUAUUAUCUUUAUUAUAUCUAUCAGAUCUCACUCUCGUAAGUGGCCGUGUUGGGAUUGACAACCCCUAUUCAUGUUGGUUGAGAGGAUUGAUUUGUUUUGUGCAAGUACAAAGGACUCGCGCGUAGCCUCCUAUUGGAUUAAUAGCUUGGUUCUCAAAAAGUGAGGGAAAUACUUACGCUACUUUGUUGCAUCAUCCCUUCCUCUUCGGGGAAAACCAACGCAGUGCUCAAGAGGUAGCAAGAAGGAUUUGCUGNNNNNNNNNNNNNNNNNNNNNNNNNNNNNNNNNNNNNNNNNNNNNNNNNNNNNNNNNNNNNNNNNNNNNNNNNNNNNNNNNNNNNNNNNNNNNNNNNNNNNNNNNNNNNNNNNNNNNNNNNNNNNNNNNNNNNNNNNNNNNNNNNNNNNNNNNNNNNNNNNNNNNNNNNNNNNNNNNNNNNNNNNNNNNNNNNNNNNNNNNNNNNNNNNNNNNNNNNNNNNNNNNNNNNNNNNNNNNNNNNNNNNNNNNNNNNNNNNNCCUCCACCCUCGUGGGCCCCCUGUUGCUCCACCGACGUACUCCUUCCUCCUAUAUAUACCUACGUACCCCCAAACGAUCAUAUACGGAGCCAAAACCCUAAUUCCACCGCCACAACUUUCUGUAUCCACGAGAUCCCAUCUUGGGGCCUGUUCCGGAGCUCCGCCGGAGGGGGCAUCAAUCACGGAGGGCUUCUACAUCAACACCAUAACCUCUCCGAUGAAGUGUGAGUAGUUCACCUCAAACCUACGGUUCCAUAGUUAUUAGCUAGAUGGCUUCUUCUCUCUUUUUGGAUCUAAAUACAAUGUUCUCCCCCUCUCUUGUGGAGAAUUAUUCGAUGUAAUCUUAUUUUUGCGGUGUGUUUAUUGAGACCGAUGAAUUGUGGGUUUAUGAUCAAGUCUCUCUAUGAAUAAUAUUUCAAUCUUCUCUGAAUUAUUUUAUGUAUGAUUGGUUAUCUUUGCAAGUCUCCUCGAAUUAUCAGUUUGGUUUGGCCCACUAGAUUGAUCUUUCUUGCAAUGGGAGAAGUGCUUAGCUUUGGGUUCAAUCUUGCGGUGUCCUUUCCCAGUGACAGUAGGGGCAGCAAGGCACGUAUUGUAUUGUUGCCAUCAUGGACAACAAAAUGGGGUUUUCAUCAUAUUGCAUCAGUCUAGCCCUCUACAUCAUGUUAUCUUGCUUAAGGCGUUAAUUUGUUUUUAACUUAAUACUCUAGAUGCAUGCUGGAUAGCGGUCGAUGAGUGGAGUAAUAGUAGUAGAUGCAGGCAAGAGCGGUCUACUUGUCUCGGACAUGAUGCCUAUAUACAUGAUGAUACCUAGAUAUUCUCAUAACUAUGCUCAAUUCUGUCAAUUGCUGAACAGUAAUUUGUUCACCCACCGUAGAAUACUUAUGCUCUCGAGGGAAGCCACUAGUGAAACCUAUGGCCCCGGGUCUAUCUUUAUCAUAUUAAUCUUCUACUACUUAGUUAUUUCCUUUGCUUUUUACUUUUCCUUUAUUUUACUUUGCAUCUUUAUCACCAAAAUACCAAUAAAAUUAUCUUUAUCAUAUCUAUCAAAUCUCACUCUGGUAAGUGGCCGUGUAGGGAUUGACAACCCCUAUUCGUGUUGGUUGCGAGGAUUUAUUUGUUUUGUGCAGGUACGAGGGACUCGCGCGUAGCCUCCUACUGGAUUGAUACCUUGGUUCUCAAAACCUGAGGGAAAUACUUACGCUACUUUGCUGCAUCAUCCCUUCCUGUUCGGGGAAAACCAACGCAGUGCUCAAGAGGUAGCAAGGGUUCCUUUUUGUCGACGAUCCGAUGUUUCAACCUUGUUUUCCAGGCGGCCAACGCGUCGCUAAACUUGGGCAUGGCGUGUUUGUUUAUCUUCUUCAUUGCCACGUCCUUAUCUGGAUCAUUAUUAUCCUUUUCAUUGCAGUCAGGGAACAAGAAUAUCUGGUGCAGCUUCUUUAGGAGGGAGGGCCUCAUAUUAUCUAUCUUCUGUAGUUUCCCAUCGUUGAUCGUGGCAGUUGUCCGUACGAUGCAACCUAUUUGAUUGCCGUAGCACGAUCGCGCUUCCUCGGGCGCUAUUGUCUCAAAAAUACCGUUGUCCAUCUCCGUGACCACCAGUCUAGUACUCAUGAGCUGGUUUGGGUGCCGUGGCCUCUUUGCUUUCGGUUCUAGACCAGCUCCGCUAGUCUCGGCGCCGGUCUCAGUCUCAUCACCGGUCUGCAUGUCGGUAUCAGUCCCCGAUGCGACAGCACAGUCGCUGCAACAUGGGUAAGGGAGACCACAUCAGUGCUGGGGUGGUCUGAAAAUUGGGACACACUUUCGCGCAUUGCGGGCCGCCUCUCAGACAGCUACUGGGGAGGCGGCGGAGUACCUGGGUGCGCGACGAAUCCCCGGGAACUCGGUGACCAACUUCCUUCCCAUGUAGCGCAUGGAGACGAUGGCGACCCCGCCGAAGAGCAGCUUAGUUGCGAGCUGCACAGCCUCGUCCACCUCCUAAGUUGGGACCUCCGCGCGAGCGUUGCGGGGCCGCCGCUCGGAUGGCUUCUGGAAGGCGCUUGUACAUGGGCACAGGGUGAAUCCCGGCAAGAGCUGGCCAUUGGUGCGCGCAAGUAGACGACGACGUCGCCGACGAAGAGCAGCCCGGCCAGCUCGCCUCACUCUCCUUUGAUUAGAAUUGAAAGAUUGGGAAGAAGCAGACUUGAGCCUGCAGGGAAAGGAUAAGGUGACGAUGCAGUCUCCACUCGUUCGGGGCGACACGCGUACUGAAUGUAUGAGAAACGCGACGUGGCAGGGACCCCAAGAUACUCCCUCCAUUUAUUUUUAGUCUGCAUAUAAAGUUUGGUCAAAGUCAAGAUUUGUAAAUUUUAACUAACUUUAUAAUAAAAAAAAUCAACAUUCACAAUAUGAAAUAAUUAUUACCAGAUGCGUCAUGAAAUGUAUUUCCAUACUAUAUAGGUUUGGUAAUGUAGAUGUUCAUAUUCUUUUAUAUAAAUGGGAAGUAGAGGCACUCUUCCAUAUAAUGAAGUUUAUAAUAUAUGUGCUUAUAUUAUACUAUAAUUGUUUGAAUAACUUAGCAUAUGUUCAGAUGUAUGAUAUCUGUAAUUUAAGCGCUUGAAUUUUACAUAUAAAUAUUUAUUAAUAAAUAUGUACCCCUAUAAUAGCUAGGCCGUGCAGUUGCACGGGUAGAUGACUAGUGAUUACAAUCUUGUUUGUGUGCAAGUCAAGCUUAUCUAGUUUACACGUAACAACUUGUAGAACAUUACAAAAUUUAUGCUUGCUAAUAACUUCUAGAACACUACAACACUUGACAUGUAAAAGGAAUUUGACGAGUCAUGGCCUACUAAAGAAAGUUACAUUACUAGUCUUAUAUCUAUCUUAAUAGACCACACAAGACUACAAAUUAAGUACCGUGACAGCCAUGAUUAUCUAGUUUAUGCGUAACAAUUUGCAGAAAAUUACAAACUUAGUUUUAGAAAAAUAGGCAAUCCAGAUUAGUGUUUGAGCUGUAAAGUGAAUAAGAUGAGUCAUGCGUGUUAUCACACCUUUUUGGUGGUGGAAUGAUAGUGCAAAACAAGGAACUUUAAUGAACAGUCCAAUAAUACACUUGUAAGUAGUGCCACCAAACAGAACAUACCAAAUGAUGAUUUUGAGAAGCAUCCAAGCACUUUCCACACAAACAAAUGCCAAUUGUGAAAGAGAUCAUUCCAUGGCAGCUAUAAAUAGCCCCGUAGCAUGACGAUCAUCCUUCCUCAUCCAUCAUUCUCAUAAGUAGAGCGCAUCAUUUAAGCCAAGCAAGCUGUGGUCAAUACAAAUCCACCAUGAAGACAUUUCUCAUCCUUGCCCUCCUUGCUAUCGUGGCGACCACCGCCACAACUGCAGUUAGAGUUCCAGUGCCACAAUUGCAGCCACAAAAUCCAUCUCAGCAACAGUCACAAGAGCAAGUUCCAUUGGUACAACAACAACAAUUUCUAGGGCAGCAACAACCAUUUCCACCACAACAACCAUAUCCACAGCCGCAACCAUUUCCAUCACAACAACCAUAUCUGCAGCUGCAACCAUUUCCGCAGCCGCAACUACCAUAUUCGCAGCCACAACCAUUUCGACCACAACAACCAUAUCCACAACCGCAACCACAAUAUUCGCAACCACAACAUCCAAUUUCACAGCAGCAGCAGCAGCAACAACAACAACAACAACAAGAACAACAAAUACUUCAACAAAUUUUGCAACAACAACUGAUUCCAUGCAUGGAUGUUGUAUUGCAGCAACACAACAUAGCGCAUGGAAGAUCACAAGUUUUGCAACAAAGUACUUACCAGCUGUUGCAAGAAUUGUGUUGUCAGCACCUAUGGCAGAUCCCUGAGCAGUCGCAGUGCCAGGCCAUCCACAAUGUUGUUCAUGCUAUUAUUCUGCGUCAACAACAAAAACAACAACAACAACCAUCGAGCCAGGUCUCCUUCCAACAGCCUCAGCAACAAUAUCCAUUAGGCCAGGGCUCCUUCCGGCCAUCUCAGCAAAACCCACAGGCCCAGGGCUCUGUCCAGCCUCAACAACUGCCCCAGUUCGAGGAAAUAAGGAACCUAGCGCUACAGACGCUACCUGCAAUGUGCAAUGUCUACAUCCCUCCAUAUUGCACCAUCGCGCCAUUUGGCAUCUUUGGUACUAACUAAGAAGAAAAUAACUCUAGUACUAGAUAUAUGAAACACCGUUUUCUCAGUCCAUGGUUUGGUCGUUGUAGCGGUGAAAAAAUAAAGUGACAUGCACUAUCAUGUAAGAACCCAAACUAUACUAGUUCAAACUUGGGAAUAAAAGACAAACACAGGUCUUGUCUACAUAUUUAUGCUGCAUCUAUUUAUAUAUUAAAAGUAAUAUAAGGUGAACCAGGAGCAAGGUAAAUAUGGUAGAAAAUUGCAC
rnacentral:lncRNA from 1 species